GGAUUCAACAUCUUGCGUGGCAUCAGGGUUCUGUGACGGAGGAAGGCCAUCGGGAAUCGUCUCGAAGCAGAAGGUAGGGAGGCCAUGUAGGGCGUCGGAGCCCUGAGAUUUGAGGAGCCGUUGAUGGUUGAACUCGGUGUUAACGAAGGUUAUAUGAAAGCCUUUGGAAUGGAGGAUUUUAGCAACUUUUAGCAUGGGGUUUAUAUGGCCUUGUGCUGGGGCUGGUAAGCACAAGGCAUGUGGUUUCUUUUGUAAAGAACCCAUGGAAGCCUUCUCCAUUUUUUUCAAAAUUCUGUUGACAGUAUGCAGUUAAUACAUAAUAUCUUUCUAUUUUUAUAGCCACGUGGAAGAAGCAAAACACAAUUUUUCUUUGAUAUAAAUUAUCAAUCAUUACUUAAAGCGACAGUUUUCUUCUAUGUCAAUUUUGUGGAUUUUUUUGCAAAAAUAGAGCACUUAAGUCUUAUCCAUUCAUUUUCCCAUAGAGUGCAGGGAUAGUGUUAUGGGCCACCAAUUCAAUAAUGAUUAGAUGAAUUUACAUUAAGGCCCCUUUUAAGUUUCACUUUUACCACUUUAACUUAUCUAUAAUUAUAUAAUAUUUGUUCAUGAGCUAUUAGUUUGUUUGAAAUUAUUAGAAUUUAGAACAAGGUUUUUAGGGGAGGUGAUAAUCAGAAAAUAAUAUUUAAUUAGGUUGUUUGGGAUGUGGUUAUUAAACCGGAUGUGGCCAACCUUAUUAUUCUCUCGAAAAUGAUCACGGAGACUAAUAUAUGAAGACGGUUCCUUUUGGUUCUCUUGCGUUAAAUUCAUUCAUAAUCUUAAGCUUGAUGGAACCUUGCCUAAAAAAACUUUAAAAGGUGUUUGGUUCAACAUUUCUUAAAUUUAGAUUGAGUUUGAAGAUAGAGAAAUUAAUUGGGUGAAUACUUUCAAAAGACUAGUGGGAAAGGGAGAAAACAUUUUUUUUAAAUGAUGGCUGGUGUGGUGCAUUCUUUGAAAGAUAGAUGUCCUAAUCUUUAUGUCAUUAAAUUAAUAAAGAUUGCUUAAUCAUGGAUAUUGUGAUUUUCAGUCCCAGUAUGGAAGCUCAACGGAAUUGGUUUUGGUUGAGGCAACCGAUGAGGGGUCGAGAAGCUAACCAACCUUCCGAUUUGAUAAAUCGUCUUGUGAAUUUCCAUUUUUCAGGUUGCGCGGACAGUUGUACAUGGAGAGAUGACAGUAGAGGCGGUUUUGCUGUCAAGUAUGUGAGAUUGUUGUUGGAUACAGAUGGAAUAACAAUUUGUGCUCUUUCAAUUGGGUUAAGUGGAUUCUUAUUAAAAUCAAUUGUUCUGUGUGAAGAUUAUUAGAAGAAAGGAUUCCCACAAUGGUUGUCGGUGCCAACAAACUAAAUAACCCUAGAUAUUACACACAAGAUAACGUAUAAUGGAAAGUGGAUCGAAUCCACGGAGACUAGUUCCGUUUGCAACUUAAUAAAAAUCUUUCGUAUAAAUAUUUAUAAAAUAACAAUAUAACUAAAGAGAGGGGUUUUUAAUACUUUUUUUUGAUUUAAGAAACCUAAGUUAUAUUCAACACUUGAAAAUUACAAUUCAACAAAAAUGAGAGUUCGAUAGAAAUCAGUAAGACUUCCCAUUUUUCAAAACAAUUUUUUUUAUUUUUAACUAAGGAUAAAAUAUUGUUUCCCAAAAACAAUGUCAUGAAAAACAUAAGUAUCAAAUACAAUCAUCCCAAAAUAUGAGAGUAUCAAAGCACGCAGAAUCACAGAAACUGUAGGUGAAUGUGUACAAUCAAACAUUUGUCUUCCCGCGAUCAUCUGAAGUACAUGAAACACAGUAAAUCAACAUCUGUAUGAACGAAUCUUAGUGAGUUCCUGCAAAAUACCACAUACAACAUAUAUAACAAUACAAAGAUGUAUCGGGUCUGUAUCAACCCCGAUUCCAUAUUAACUUCGAGCCUAGAUCGAUUCCAUCUGGUCUGCCUCAACCCCGAGUCCGUAAUGACUCCGGACACAGAUCAGCUCUGUUGGGUGUUAGGUGUUGCAUCAUUGGGCUGUUUUGUAUUUAGUCCAAUAUGUAUACGAUUUGGACAUGUCCAACCAUCUUAUUAAUUAGGGUUUAUGUAUUUAUAGUGCAUGCAUGCACCGUACGAGGUUAACACUUUUAUCUUUGUAAAUCAUUGUAAACCCUAAUCACGCCUCUACAGUUGAAAUUCUUCAUCAAGUGAAACUCAGGUGUGACUUUUAAUGAUUCGAUAUAUGUUUGAUUAUCAUUGUGUUUUUGCAUUACCUAUUUGAAUCUUAUCGAUAUUUUAAAUUUUAAUCUCAUCAACUGGUAUCAGAGCAGGAGACUAUGUAAUCUAUACGCAUUCUUUUGUCAAAAGAAGUUAUUAGGGUUUCCGAUAAUAUUGGAUCUUGUUCGGUCGUCAUCUCUGUGUUCUUGACGUUGUCAUUGUAAUAUCAAUAUUACCCUAAGUUUUUAGACGUCUGAUUCUUGAACAGGUUUCGAAAAUCUUGUUAAAAUGUCGCACGACGAUUCUCAAAUCAAUUCCAUCAACAGUACUGGAUCAACAACAAGGAUUCCCAUUCUCUUUCCCAGCGACUAUGAAGUCUGGGCACUUCACUUUGAAGAUUAUGUUCUAGGUUUAGAAGAUAAUGGUUACUUCAUCUGGCAAGCUAUUACUAUUAGAAGUUUUGUUCACUCUGGAACAAGAAGGGAGAUUAAAACUCAGACCGACCUUAAUCGACUUCUUCUUGAUGUCAAAGAAGUUCCUCAAGAUGAGAGAGACAAGCUGCAGAGCAACAUCAAAGCAAUGAGAAUCAUUAGAUUCGCAUUGCAGUCUAAUACGUUUCCUCUUGUUAGUUCUUGUGAUACAGCCAAAGCCAUAUGGGAUAGGCUUAAAGAGCUUUAUUCAACAAAUGCAGAUCUAGAGCAUUCUACUCAAACGCUCUUGUUGUCUGAAUUUGGUGCUUUCGCACAAAAUGCUGAUGAAAAUCUGAGUUAAACGUUCAAUCGCUACAAUCAUCUUUUGAGAAUGAUGAUUAAGCAUAGGAUUGGACGAGAAACCAUCGAUCAUAAGGUAACAUUCGUGAAUGGAUUAAGGUUGGAAUGGAUGUCAGUGGUUUCAAUGGUGAAAGCUCACGAGCAGUUCAUAAAUUAUACGUUAGCAAAGCUAGUAGGGAUCGUGAAAUCACACGAAAGUGCAGUGAAUAAAGAAACAAAAUUUGUGUCUAGCAUGGGUACAUUGGCUCUAGUUGCAAAGGGGAAACAAGUUGUUGAGGAUGAUGCUGAGUCUAACCUUUCUGACUGUGAACUGACGAAUGAAGAGUUCGCUCUAAUGGUGUCGAAUCCUAAAAGAUCCGCAAAGAAAAAGUUUCCUUUAAAAAUCGAAACUAGCAGGGAAGCUACAGUUCAGAAAAGGUAAAAGAGGAUAAAGUGAAUAGUUUUUAUAAAGAAGAAGAUAAGAAAGAGAAAAAGCUUGCAGGUGAUUUAGUCUAUGAUUGCAACUAUUGUCACGACAAGAAUCACUUGGCUAAGGAAUGCAUGCUGAGAAGAAUGAACGAGAAGAAGGAGGGAGAAUAUGAUGAGGCGUAGCAUCUUCGCAAGCUUGAGGAAAUCAAGCAGAAAAAGAAAGCUUAUAACGCUAUGCCUGCUUUUAGUCUGCCCCAAUUGAAAAUGUAGAUGAAACCGUAGGUCUCUCUAAAAAGACUUACUGGAGAGUUAAAGGAAGUUAUGUAGUUGAACCUUUGAAUAAGGUUAAUGCCACCUACGAAAAGGGAAGUUCCAGUGGUACCAAGGAUAAUCCCACUGACAAUUCCUCAGUUCAUGAAGACACUCAUGUGAGAAAGACAAGGGCCAAAAUGAAUGUUCACAAAUCUACUGAAUAGUUUGUAGCCCAAAAACAUCAACGAAAUGCCAGGUACAAGAAAAAUCUACGGGAACGAAAGCAAUUCUGGAGGUUAAGGAAUCCUAACUAUGUUCAUCAUGAAAAGCGUUUCCAUCCUCAGACGAAUGUUGGAUCAGAUGCCAAUUCCAAAAGCCGAAAGGCCAAUUCGCACGCAAAUCCGAAAGCGCCUCACCUCGUCAGUCUAACAGCCCUGAGGAUCUGAAGCACACAGUUCAUCAUAGAUCCACUGUCUUAAAAACUACUUCUCAUUCAAAUCAUAAAUCAUCUCCCAAAACCACCUUCGUUUCUAAACCAGGAGUUUCGCACUCUUCCAAAUUCUCGCGACAAGAUAAAGGGAAGGCAAAGGUUGCUUCAGAGUCUCACAUUACUUUAAAAUCUAAGGAGGAAGAGAAAAAGUUUGUUUUGAAUCAAAUAAGAAUAAAAAAACUAAUUUGAAAGAUGAUCAUAUUAAGGCCUUCACAAUAAAGAAGAAAUAGCAAACAACCUUAAUAAAAACGAACUUAUAUGAUUGAGCUCUCUAUUGCUUAUCCAGUUACUAAAAAAGGCUCACGAGGAUGCAAACACCUUUGGGUUCCUAAAUCUGCUUAAUUUUUGUAGAUUAUAUGUGACUAAUAGUUUGAUACAUAAUGGUAUAUCGACAAUGAUUGUUUGCGUCACAUGACAGGAAGAAAGGAGCAGCUGAGAGAAUACAGAGAACUGAAGAAUGGUGGUCUUGUAAAGUUUGGUAAUAAUGUACUUGGAGAAAUUAAAGUUUAUGGCAUGAUAACUAAUGGGAAAUUCUCUAUUCACAAAGUGGCAUAUGUUGAGGGGCUACAAAACACCUUAAUAAGUGUUUCAUAAUUGGUUGUUGGUACACGAUUAAAGGUAUCGUUUGACGAUGAAGCUUCUGAAUUUAUCGAAAAGAAGACGAAAACAGUUCUGCUUAAAUCAAAAUGCAAAGGCGAGGUGUAUCCAUUGAACAUCAGUCUAAUACGAGGGAAGCCUUCUAUUUGUCUACUUAGUAAGGCUGCCAUAGACGAUAGUUUGUUGUGGCAUAAGAGACUUUCUGUAACGCUCGUGUUUCUAGGCUAGAAAUUAAUAUUGGCAAAAUGGUCUAGGUUAACCUUUUUAACUCAUUUAGAAGAAAUGAAAAGGAAUUAUGUGAAUUUUAUGUGAAUUAUGUGUUUUAUGCUUAAUUAUUAGGGUUUAAUUAAAUAAGAAUAAAAAUAAGCGUCAAAAUUAAAGUGUGAGAUAAGCCCGAUAUCUUUACAUAAAGUUGUAGUGGUCAAAACAAGGAUUUCAGGGAUAUAAAGAAUGCCAAAAUCCGAGUUAUAACGAAGAAGUUAUGACCUGUCGAAGUUUUGCGACAAAACCGACACGAUGCUGAAUGUCGUAAAAAAAGUGAGUUUUUGAUAAGCUACUUUUUAGCCUUAGUAAUCUAAACAAAAGUCGUAGUAUUCGUUAAACCUAGAAGUUCGAUAAAAAGAACGCCCAAAUCUGACUUCGUAUGAGGAAGUUAUGAUUUUCGAAGUUUCAGCUUAGCAGUAGACACCUAAAAACUCGAAUUUUAGAUCGAGCGAUUUUUAGCCGACACAACCUAAACGAGAAUUGAAGGUCUCGUCAUUAGGAGCACAACGGUAAAAAGUCUGACGAAAACGGACGUCAGAUGAAGAAGUUAUGAAUUUUUAACGGAUUUCCUGUCCUGGUCUGUUAAAAAUAAUAAUAUAAAAUUUAAAGUCAAAAUUAGCCGACGAAUUCUAAACGGAAGUUGUAGAGCGUAAUUUUAGCUACGUGUGCAUAAAAAGAACGUCAAAAAUGAAGCUCGUAUGCGAAAGUUACGAAUUUUAGAAGAUUUUGGCACAAAAUUCGAGAAAUUUCGCAUAGAUAAGCUUCAUCCGGAUGUGCCACGUCACCCUCGCCUCGCAUGUGCCACAUAUCCGAAAUAUGCUGAGUCACCGAAGCCACCUGGCGAGACGUGUCUCCUUCCCUCGCAUCCGAAGUCCGGUCCACUAGAGGUCCGACGCGUGUUCCAUUCCUCGUGUCCGAGCCUCGUAGAGGGAGCCACGUACGAAGCCUCAGACUAGACCGCAGUCCAAUCAGGAGGCGACAACGAGCCNCAGCUGACCAGUCCGAGCCUCGCCGAAGCAGCCACCUGGUCCGAGCCUCGCAGACGCGUGCCAUCCCCUCCUCGGUUCGGAUCCGAGCCUUCGGUCCUCCUCCCCUAUAAAUAGCAGCCAUGCGAGACCUCCCGGGUAACUUUGGAAAUUGGCCACUUUUAACCCCUUUUCCCAUAUUUUCUUCAUAUUAACAUCCCCCCAAAGCCCCGGUAUCGAUUGUAAAGCCCGGAAUACGCCACGAAGUGGCCGAGAAGACCGGAAAAUUUAUUUUUUCGGUUUCGAAGCCCGACUUUUGCAAAGCCCGGUUUCUGAAUAAAACUCCCGAUUUUAUUAGAAACGAUCGUUUUAGGAAAUGAAUUGCAGCUCGAUUAUCACCAAAUCAUGUGAGUGUAUAGUCACUUUCAUUUUACACAUAGAUAUGAAGUAUUUACCUUAUAAUACGUGCUAUGUGUAAAUAUAUUAAUUAUUUAUUUGAGGUGAUUGUUGUGUUGAUGUUUUAUACAAGUUUUAAACUGUAUAAGUAUUUUUAUCUACAAAUAUGUUGGGUAGAACAUGGGUAGAUUGUGAUGUGUGAUAAAAUAAAAUUGAUGAGAGGCCUCGAUGUGUUUUGAGAUCCAGUCAUCUAGCGGAGUUUGGAUGACGACCACGGACUUUCUAGACAGUCCAGUGGGAAACAUUAGCAGGUCCGCAACCUGUAGGUGUUAAUGAACUAAGAGUGUUCAUUCGCUGUACUCCAUCCCCCUCAUGGUUGCCUUUAGGACAUGUAUGGCUGGGGAAACCCCUUAGCAGUAGUGUCCAUCCCGAUGAUAUUCUUUAGGCUAGGUCCCUUGUGAUAAGUGUUUAGGGACAUAAAGUAAGGAUAACGGGAACGGGUAAUCAGGGUUAUUGUUGAUUGAUGAACUUAGUAAGUUUAUUAUUAUUGUGGGUUGAAAACCCUAUAUGCUCACCAGGCUCCCAAGCCUGACCCACUCAGCUUUUUAUGUUACAGGUAGUGGACCCCGAGCAUAGUCGGAGGACGACGAGAGAUUUUUGGAUUAUAGGCCAGUAGUUGUAAAUAACUGUUGAAAGGCUUAUAAUGUCUUGUUUAUGCUUUUGAUCUGUAUCGGAACAUGACAUCCUGAGGUUUUGAUAUAUAUGGAAAAUAUAUACCUUCUUAAUGAAGGAUUUUGAUAAACUUUUAUCAUAUGUUGUUUGGGGACCAAUUCCGCAACAUCUUUUAAAAAGAUUUCUCUGAUUUUAUUUUAAAAAACAUAAAUUAAAUUGGUUCUUUUUGGCCGAGAAAUUAGGGGAUGUCACAGUUGGUAUCAGAGUAUUCGUUUAAGCGAACUAAGAAAUUGUAGGAUUUGUAGACUUAAACUUAGAAUGCUAAGUGAUUAUUGUGAGAUGAGUGUCUACCGUAUUUUAGACUUGAGCACUAGUUUAUUUUAGGAAAGAUGCCUAAAAUGCCCUUAUGUGCUAAAUGUUAUAUGUUUGCCAUAUAUGCCAUUAUUUGUUCGGAUCUAUGGUAUGUUGCCGACCGGAUCUGGAAACCUUAUGUGUGUAGGAUUCUAACCGUACGAUUACGAGAUUAGAACUAACAUGUAAAAGUUUCGGAGUGAUAAGGGAAGUAAUAUGUCUAACAAGGACAAAGACCUAAAUUCGCCUUAUAUGGUAUAUAGAUUGUAAUUGCAAGAACUCGUAGUGGAGUUGCAAAUGCAAACAGAAACAGGGAUCAACAGCCUCAACCUCAAGUAGUUGAGCAAGUACCUGUUGUAAGAGCUGCACCUGAGCCAAUGACGAUGGCUGGGGUACAACCAAUGAUCCAGAUGAUGUUAGAUCGCCAGAUGGAGGAGACAAGGCGAUUAGUACAACAACAUAGGGAAGAGACUAUGAUGCCUGUUGAGCAGCCCGUAUUGAAUGAAGGGCAAUCAGUAGGAGGGAACUAUAGUGGGACUCUUGGUCAAGCCAACCCACCGAUAGUUAGACAAAACAACCAGGAUGGAGGAGUUGAUGGACGCGGGUGCAAAUACAAUGAUUUCAUGGCAUCUAAGCCGCCGUGUCUAUCUGGGAGUCCGACACCGGUGGAAGUCAUGAAUUGGAUCUCCGAAAUGGAGACGAUGUUUGAAAGUUGCGAGUACAGCAACAAACAAAAGACCGCACUUGCAAUUCCUCUAUUAAAGUCUGGUGUGUUGAACUCGUGGAAGUUACUAGCUAAUUCGAUGCCCAAGGGAGAAGCUAGUAAGAUGUCUUGGGAAGAAUUUGUACUACAACUAAAAAUGCAAUACUGCUCUGAGCAGGAUCUUCUGGAAAUUAAUAAUGAGUUCCAGAAUUUAAAGAAGGGAAAGAUGAGUGUUACUGAAUACGUUGCUAGUUUUACUGAAAAGAUGAAGCUUGUUCCUUACCUGGUUCCAACUGAACUCUCUAAGAUCAACAAGUUUGCCCUCGGAUUACCAACGGACUUUGGUCCGAUGGUUAAGAAAGCAACCACUUUGAAAGCCGCCAUCUGGGCUGCUAAGAACGUUGAGGUUCAAAUCAGAGAGAAGGGUCUGGAGAGGGCGGAAGUUGGUGAAAAGAGAAAAUUUGAAGGAACUUCAUGUUCCAGCAAGAGAAGCAAAUUUUCUAAGUUUAAGAAGUUUGUUGGAGGAGGAGGUGAAGUGAAAUGGUGUGAGAAGUGCAAGAAAAAGCACUCUGGGAGAUGUAGUGAGGAGGUGACUUGCUUCAAAUGUGGAAAGACUGGGCAUUAUGCCAACGUGUGUCCAUCCGACAAGAGGGUAUGUUUUGAGUGCCAUGAAGAAGGGCAUGUUUAUAAAGACUGUCCAAAGAGGAAGGAUGCUGCAAAGCCCAAUCUACCACCAAAGCCGAAGGCGAGAGCCUUUUAGAUGACACUUAAGGCUGCAAAAGAAGAAGAUCAAGUUAUAAAGUAGUAAUGUGAUUAGUAACAAGUGGUUAGGCCUAUUAGACGCAUAGUAUAGGGUAAACUUGAACCUUUGUGUAAUCGUUUCAAGGAAAUAAUAUAAACCCUAGUUUUGUCAUAUGAUGAAUUGAAUGACUAUGUGAAAUUCUUGUAUGGCGAUUUGGAGAAACUGCGAGACAAUACUUGGGACGAGUAUGAGUAGGUGCGAAUGGUAGUAGAGGCCUAUACUACCGGAAGCACAGGACUCGUACUUGGACCAGGGAAAGUCACAAGGUUACCAAGGAGCUAGUAUUUGAUUCCGUCUUGUUCUAGUCUGUUGUUACCAUCAUUUCGGUAAUGACUAAGAAGAUGAUUGUUAUUCCGACCUUAGAGGUUAUAUUGAAUCGAGUCCGACUAAGAUGGGUAUGUUACAUGGUUCAGAGAACCAAGUUCGAUGUAGCAUGUGACUUAAGCCAGAAGAUUGAGGUGAAAGAUGAUUAAAGUGAUCAACAGAAGCAUCGCACGCAUUGUUAAAGAAGUUGAUAUUUAGGAAUGAUACAUGUUGAACUGUGAUUGUAUCACAUUAGAACAUGAAGGAAGGUGUAGUUUGUUCCGAAAAUUAUACCAAGGAGAUUUGAGUCUAAGUAGUGCAAUAUACAAUGAGAGAUCACUAGAGCAUGACCCACCAGUCUGUUACAAUAAAUGAAGGAAAGUACUUAUUCCAAGAAAAAGAAGGAGUCCUCAAUAAGGAUUUAUUUUGUAACUCGAAGGUUAAAACUGAAAGUCCUAUGGAGAUCUGAAGCUUUUUAGGAUUAGCUGGAUAUUAUCACUGAAUUAUCCAAGGCUUUUCUUCGAUCGCGACUCAAUUGACAGCUUUGACCCACAAAGGAGCUGUCUAUGCUUAGAAUGAGAAGCAUAAGGAAGCCUUUGAGAAGUUGAAGAAGAGAUUGUGUGAAGCACCGAUUCUUUCGUUGCCUGAAGGAGUUGAUGACUUCGCAGUUUAUAGCGAUGCAUCUAGAGUUGCGUUAGGUUGUGUUUUGACCCAAAGGGAUAAAGUGAUAGCGUAUGCAUCAAGGCAAUUGAAGGAACAUGAAAAGAACUACCCCACUCACGAUUUGGAGUUGGCAGCAGUAGUAUUCGCCCUAAAGAUAUGGAGGCAUUAUCUUUAUGGCACAAAGUGUAAACUUUUCGCUGAUCAUAAGAGUCUUCAAUAUUUCUUUAAUCAGAAGGAAUUAAACAUGAGGCAACGACGCUGGAUAGAGUUACUCAAGGACUACGACUGUGAGAUACUUUACCACCCUGGUAAAGCAAAUGUUGAUGUUGAUGCUCUCAGUCGGAAGGUGAACCUCGAAAAGAAAAGGCCAAGAGCGUUGAGAAUUGAAGUUGUCUCUACAAUUGUGGAAAGUAUAAAGAAAGCUCAAGAGGAAGCUUUAGAGAAAAAUGACCGGAAGGAGGAAUGUUUGAGUAAAACGUUGGUGUUUGAUAUAAACGGUCAGGGAUUGAAGGUAUUCAANUUUUGGAGGAGUCUACAAGAGGAAUUGGGUACCAAGUUGUGUUUGAGUACAGCUUACCAUCCGCAAACCGAUGGUCAGAGCGAGCGAACGAUUCAAACAUUGGAGGAUAUGCUGAGAGCAUGUACCCUAGAAUUCCAAGGUAACUGGGAUGAACACUUACCUUUAGUAGAAUUCUCCUAUAAUAAUAGUUUCCACUCAAGCAUUAAGAUGGCACCUUAUCACGCUUUGUAUGGGGAGAAGUGUCGAACGCCAUCAUGUUGGCUGGAAACUGGAGAAAAGCAGUUUAUGGGACCUGAAAUAGUCCAUGAGACUGCUGAAAAGUUGAAAGUGAUAAGGGAAAGGAUGUUAGCUGCUCAAGAUCGACAAAAGAGUUAUGCUGACAAGAAAAGACAACCGAUAUCCUUCGAUGUUGGAGAUUCGGUUUUACUUAAAGUCUCGCCGUGGAAGGGACUUAUAAGAUUCGGGAAACGAGGAAAGUUGAGUCCAAGGUUUAUUGGACCAUUUAAAGUUCUUCAGAGGAUCGAGAAUCAAGCUUACAAGCUAAAAUUACCAGAAGAACUAGAGAGUAUUCAUAACACCUUUCAUGUGUGUUAUUUGAGAAAAUUCACGGGAGGUGUGCCCGACAUAAUUCCCAUUUUUGAAUUAAGGUUGGAUGAAAACAAGAGGUUAAUUGGAGAACCUUACGCAAUCGUUAACCGUAAGACUAAGAAGUUGUAACGUAAGAUAGUCAAUUUAGUGCCUGUACGUUGGAAACAUAUAAAUGGGCCAAAUCCCACCUGGGAAACGGAGAGUGACAUAGUGAGUUGCUACCCGUAGUUGUUUGUCGCUGUGUGAUUUCGGGGACAGAAUCAUCCUAAGGGGGAGAGAGUUGUAACGCUCGUGUUUCUAGGUUAGGCAUUAAUAUUGGCAUAAUGGUCUAGGUUAACCUUUGUAACUCAUUUAGAAGAAAUGAAAAAGGAAUUAUGUGAAUUUUAUGUGAAUUAUGUGUUUUAUGCUUAAUUAUUAGGGUUUAAUUAAUUAAGAAUAAAAAUAAGCGUCAAAAUUAAAGUGUGAGAUAAGCCCGAUAUAUUUACAUAAAGUUGUAGUGGUCUAAACAAGGAUUUUAGGGAUAUAAAGAAUGCCGAAAUCCGAGUUAUAACGAAGAAGUUAUGACAUGUCGAAGUUUUGCGACAAAACCGGCACGGUGCUGAAUGAUGUAAAAAAGUGAGUUUUCAAUAAACUACUUUUUAGCCUUAGUAGUCUAAAUGAAAGUCGUAGUAGUCGUUAAACCGAGAAGUACGAUAUAAAGAACCCCCAAAUCUGACUUCGUAUGAGGAAGUUAUGAUUUUUCGAAGUUUCAGCUUAGUAGUAGACAGCUAAAAACUCGAAUUUUAGAUCGAGCGAUUUUUAGCCGACACAACCUAAACGAGAAUUAAAGGUCUCAUCAUUAGGAGCACAACGGUAAAAAGUCUGACGAAAACGGAUGUCGGAUGAAGAAGUUAUGAAUUUUUAACGGAUUUCCUGUUCCGGUCUGUUAAAAAUAAUAAUAUAAAAUUUAAAAUCAAAAUUAGCCGACGAAGUCUAAACGGAAGUUGUAGAGCGUAAUUUUAGCUACGCGUGCAUAAAAAGAACGUCAAAAACGGAGCUCGUAUGCGAAAGUUAUGAAUUUUAGAAGAUUUUGGCACAAAAUUCGAGAAAUUUCGCAUAGAUACGCUUCAUCCGGAUGUGCCACGUCACCCUCGCCUCGCAUGUGCCACGUAUCUGAAAUAUGCUGUGUCACCGAAGCCACCUGGCGAGACGUGUCGCCUGCCCUCGCAUCCNNNNNNNNNNNNNNNNNNNNNNNNNNNNNNNNNNNNNNNNNNNNNNNNNNNNNNNNNNNNNNNNNNNNNNNNNNNNNNNNNNNNNNNNNNNNNNNNNNNNAAGUUCGUUAAGUUGACUGGAAAGUUCCUGCAUUUCAGCCAGUGCUAGACGAUACGGGGAUUUGGCUACGGGGGUAGCCCCUAGCACUAAGUCGAUUCUAAACUCGACUUGGCGUUGUGGUGGUAAACCGGGAAGUUCUUCUGGGAAUAUGUCGGGAAAGUCGCGUACUUCUGGGAUUUUCUGGAUGUCUUUCUGUUCUUGNNNNNNNNNNNNNNNNNNNNNNNNNNNNNNNNNNNNNNNNNNNNNNNNNNNNNNNNNNNNNNNNNNNNNNNNNNNNNNNNNNNNNNNNNNNNNNNNNNNNNNNNNNNNNNNNNNNNNNNNNNNNNNNNNNNNNNNNNNNNNNNNNNNNNNNNNNNNNNNNNNNNNNNNNNNNNNNNNNNNNNNNNNNNNNNNNNNNNNNUUUAAAAGAUGACGACAUGGAUAAGAAUAAAUGAUUAAUGAAUGUGUCUCAUGGACUAAAUCCCCAUAGCCCAACAACAGAAAGAAUAGUAUCACUAAAUGAAGAAGAUAGCAUUUGGAUAAUAAUUUCCAUUAGAUUAGAUAUCCGUCAAUAAUACUGGAAUUACAGAUGUAACAAGUUCGGGAAAAAUGGCCUAGAAGUAGGCCUUACAUCAACCAAGAUGGAAAAUUUUGACAGAAUUAAGACUAGAUCAAGACCUAACAGGUCUAAGAUUUAUACAGAUAGGAAAUUAGACCAAAGUUUUACAUAAACUAGGUUAUAUCCAAAAGAUGAGUCGACGAGAUUGUAUUGGCGACGAGAACUGCUAGCAUGAGUCCUUGAUCCCGACAGUAGACGUUCAAUGUCCCUUAUACGCUUGUCUGACCUUGCUUGCUGAGCUCGAAGUUCUCUAACUUCAGCUUGAGUUUCAGCAAGUUCCCUCUGCAGGUUUGCAUUUCGGACCAGAGUCCUUUCAUUAGCAGACUCUAGUUGGCGAAUGUGGACAGUGUUAACACCAGAGUUGGCGUCAACUUCCAAGACUUGAUUGAUAGUCGCCUGAGCUAUUAUCGAGUUCCGAGAAAUCCUACGCACCAUGAUUGGUAGGACUCUAUCACCAGAACCUCCUUCAGUGAGGUUGUAGAAACUGCGGUCUCCAUUGUAGGGAAUGGGCUGACCCUGUUCAUGACUCCAUGUAAUCAAGUUAGUGGCCCAAAGAGGUGUGGGUCCUUGAAACAUAGGGCGAGGGUUUAGGUUUGGGUUUUGAGCAUUUGGGGGUAGGUUGUUGACUUCUGGCUCCGAGUCAGAACUAUCAGAAAAACCUUCAGCAUGGUGAUCAUCCAAAGGAAUUGGGUGAUCAUCUUCUGGUUCAGCCUCUAGCCAACCAGCAUUGCCUUGGUUUGGGAAGUACGGAUCGCCAUGAUGAAAUCCAACCAUUUUAAUCUACACGAGAAAAGGGAUAUAAGAAAUAGCUAAAUAGACGAUCUGAUUAAGAUAAUUACAGUAAGACCAAAUAGCCCUAUGGUAUUUCUUUAUGGUUGUGUUGGUAAGUUUUUAGACUUNNNNNNNNNNNNNNNNNNNNNNNNNNNNNNNNNNNNNNNNNNNNNNNNNNNNNNNNNNNNNNNNNNNNNNNNNNNNNNNNNNNNNNNNNNNNNNNNNNNNUAAAUCGGUCUUUUCUGGCCGAGAAAUUAGGGGAUGUCACACUUUCACACCUCAAUUUCAAAGAUGUCAACAAUCUAGUUCUUGGUGAUCAUGUGCGAGGUCUUCCCCUCUUGAAAUAUGAAAAGGAUCAUUUAUGUGCCGCCUAUGAAUUGGGAAAGCAAAGCAGGAAAAGUCAUCCAAAUAUAGUGACCAUGAAGGUUAUUGAGUCACUAGAACUACUUUACAUUGAUCUUUGUGGCCCAUCUGCAAUCGAAAGUAUACGUGGUAAUAAGUAUAUUCUCGUAAUUGUAGAUGAUUUUUCUCGUUUCACUUGGGUGUUCUUUCUAAAGGGGAAGUCUGAAGCAACUCCUAAGCUUAAAUAUUUUAUCAAGAAAAUUGAGUUACAACUGUGAAAGGUGGCUCGCAAUGUUCGAAGUGACAAUGGUCUAGAGUUCAAGAACCAAGCAUUCAAAAAAUUUCUUAAUGAUAAGGGAGUCUCUCACAAUUUAUCUGCUCCCUAUACUCCACAGCAAAACGGGGUCGUUGAAAUACGAAACCUUUCACUAUGUGAAGCUGCUAGGACCAUGCUUUCAUCCGCAAACCUGCCUUUAUGCUUAUAGGUUGAUGCUGUUGCCACUGCUUGUUUUACUCCAAACAGAUCUCUUCUUAAUAUAAGAUUUUCUGUAACUCCCUAUGAAAUCAUCAAUAAACAAAAACCUAACGUCAAAUUCUUUCAUGUUUUCGGUUGCAGGUGUUUUAUUUUUAAUUCCAAGGAAAAACGAAACAAGUUUGUUGAGAAGGCUAACGAAGACAUUUUUCUGGGAUAUUCGCUAAAAUCAAAAGCAUAUAUGGUUCUAAACAAACGAUCCAAAAGGAUUGAAGAAAACUAUUAUGUCACAUUCGAUGAUAAUUACUUGAAGAAAACUCAAGCGAAUGAUUGUCAAGCAAAAUAGAUCUUUCCUCAAACGAACCAAGUGACCAUUCCAUUGGCUAAUCUUUAUGAAGAAUCCAUGCUUCUAUUUGAUGAACCUGAGAAGGCUAUCUCUUCUGAACCAAAAGCAGCUGACAAAAAGGCCGAUGAAUUGAAGAAGAUAAUUGAUGAAGCUACGAAAGACAUGGACCAUCAGCCAUCAACUAUGAAUGUGCCUCAAGACACGAGCACUACAUUCCAGGGGGAUAAUUCUAACUCCAAUGCAAGUCCUUGGGAGGAACCUUUUGCACCAAAAAAAUCCAGUGAUCCUUUCUAGGGAGAGGAUUCACCUUCAAACGUUGCACAUGAAUGUGCAGUCGAGGGGGAAGAAGCAAAUCCAACCUUUGAGACUCAUUCAUCAUUUAAGGGGGAGAAUACAGGUGCGAAUGAUGAUACAUACAUUCAAUCAGAAUUUGAAGACUUGAAUGUUGAACUGGAUCCAUCUUAUGAUCCGAACUACCCUCCACUAACGAAAUGGACCAAAGAUCAUUCAAAAGCACAAGUGAUUGGUGAAUCGUCUGCAAGAGUUCUUACAAGAUCUCAACUAGCAAAACAUACUGCUUUAUUCUCUCAAGUGAAUACUGCAUGUUUAAUUUGUUUGUCUCUAAGAUAGAACCUAAAACUAUCAAUACUGCUCUCGAUCACUCUGAUUGGGUACUGGUAAUGCAAGACGAGCUCAAUGAGUUCGAAAGAAACAAGGUUUGGAGAUUGAUUAUCACUACACUAGAUGCAUCUUUGGUUGUUUUGAAAUGGGUGUUUCGCAACAAACCAGACAAAGAGGGCAAUGUUAUAAGGAACAAGGCGAGACUCGUGGUUAAGGGUUACUGCCAAGAAGAGGGUAUCGACUAUGAAGAAACCUUCGCACCUGUUGCAAGGUUGGAAUCAGUUUUCAUAUUCCUAGCAUAUGUAGCACAUAAGAAUUUCAGGGUGUUCCAGAUGGAGGUUAGAUGUGUUGGAUUAGUGUCUAAGUCCAUAACUAUUUUGGUAUGUACUUGACCCGAUGGUGCAUGGUCCUUUUGGGUUUCCUUCACCAAAGCAACUUGAUAGGAUGAAUAAUGGAGAGAAAUGAUUAAAUAUGAUUUAUUAAUAUAUUAUGAGAAUAAUAUAUUAAAGGAGAAAUCAUAUUGUUUAAUUAAUAUUAGUCAAGAAUUAAUAAGAAUUAAGUUUGUGACUAAAAGACAUUAAUUAAACUAAGGGACUAGAACUAUCAAUUGUAUGAUAGUUGAAUAUUGAGCUAAUGGACUCCAUAUUAAAGAGGUGGAUGAAUUCUAUUGGGAAACCCAUUAGAAAUCGUCCAAGGCCUUUAAGGAAGGAGCCCAUGGGUUGCUUAGGGCUUAAGCAUCCAAAUUAGGGUUUCCUUGUUAGAUAACCCUAAUAGCCUCACUAUUUAAAGAACCCUUAUGCCCCAAAAAUGUGGCUAAGCUUCCUUCUAGGGUUUUCACACGUUUUGGGCAGCCUCCUUCUCUUCUCUUCUUCAUCCUCUUGCUCUUGGUGUUUGUGAACCAUUAGAGGAGUGACAUUUGUGACUCUAAGCUUUCUAAAGUCAAUACAAGAAGGAUUUGAGAUUGUUAUUGCUACAUAACAAUAAAGGUAUGAUCUAAGACCUAAUUUAUAUGUUAUAUUGAUCAUCAUAUGCUAGAUCUAGGGUUUAUAGUCUUGGAUGAAUUGCAUGUACAAUAGAGAAACCUAGAUCCAAGCAUUAGGGUUUGCAUGAGCACAUAGGAUGUUCUUAUGGCUAAAACCCAUCAGUGGUAUCAGAGCCUUGAUUGGUUUCUAUUGUAUUGAUGCCUUGUGUGUUUAUUCAAGCUACAAAAUCAAUUUUUGGCCAACCUUCCUAAUGAACUCGGCGAGUACCACAGUGUACUCGACGCGUAGGCCUCAACUCGGCGAGUCCAGUGUGGUACUCGGCGAGUUCGAGCGUCAGAAAGAGGGGAUUUCGUUAUUUCUUGCUGUUUUUCUCAUGGAUACUUGCCUUAUCUGUUUUAGAUCAUUAAAAUCCGAUUUUAUACAUAUUUAUGAGUAUAUCCUUGAUUAAACAAAAGAUAAUUACCAAUUGAUUAGAUAAUAACUUCCUUAUAUGAUUAAAGUUGAUUAUUUGUAUUAAUUGGGUAACUUAUUUUGCAAGAAAUUGAAAUUAGGUCAAAUAUAGAUAAUGAUAAAAUUAAUUGUUUAAUUUAUAUUAUUUGUUAUUUGAUCCUUGUGUUAUGAAAAGUUUCAAUUUUCCCCCUUAAGGUUUAUAGUUUAAAUUUGAACUCAAAAGUUUUGUUUUGAAAUUUAAAUAGUUGAAACCCUAAUGUUUUGAAAAGGUUUCAAAACUUGCCCUCAAGUUUUGGAAUUUAAAUUUUGAUUAAAAGUUUAAUUUUGAUGUACANCAAACCCUAAUGUUUUGAAAUAUUUCAAAACUUUACCUCAAGUUUUGGAAUUUAAAAGUUGAUUAAAAGUUUAAUUUAGGAAUGUUAAAUUCUAAAACCCUAGUAUUGUUUUGAAAAGUUCAAAUCCCCUCUCAUGGUUUUAUUAAUUAAUUAAGGUGUAUAAUUAAAAGAGGUUUAAUAAAUCCAUAAAUUUUUGGUUUACAAUUUAAUUGAAUUAAAAGUAUAAUUGUUAAAUUUGACCACNNNNNNNNNNNNNNNNNNNNNNNNNNNNNNNNNNNNNNNNNNNNNNNNNNNNNNNNNNNNNNNNNNNNNNNNNNNNNNNNNNNNNNNNNNNNNNNNNNNNNNNNNNNNNNNNNNNNNNNNNNNNNNNNNNNNNNNNNNNNNNNNNNNNNNNNNNNNNNNNNNNNNNNNNNNNNNNNNNNNNNNNNNNNNNNNNNNNNNNNNNNNNNNNNNNNNNNNNNNNNNNNNNNNNNNNNNNNNNNNNNNNNNNNNNNNNNNNNNNNNNNNNNNNNNNNNNNNNNNNNNNNNNNNNNNNNNNNNNNNNNNNNNNNNNNNNNNNNNNNNNNNNNNNNNNNNNNNNNNNNNNNNNNNNNNNNNNNNNNNNNNNNNNNNNNNNNNNNNNNNNNNNNNNNNNNNNNNNNNNNNNNNNNNNNNNNNNNNNNNNNNNNNNNNNNNNNNNNNNNNNNNNNNNNNNNNNNNNNNNNNNNNNNNNNNNNNNNNNNNNNNNNNNNNNNNNNNNNNNNNNNNNNNNNNNNNNNNNNNNNNNNNNNNNNNNNNNNNNNNNNNNNNNNNNNNNNNNNNNNNNNNNNNNNNNNNNNNNNNNNNNNNNNNNNNNNNNNNNNNNNNNNNNNNNNNNNNNNNNNNNNNNNNNNNNNNNNNNNNNNNNNNNNNNNNNNNNNNNNNNNNNNNNNNNNNNNNNNNNNNNNNNNNNNNNNNNNNNNNNNNNNNNNNNNNNNNNNNNNNNNNNNNNNNNNNNNNNNNNNNNNNNNNNNNNNNNNNNNNNNNNNNNNNNNNNNNNNNNNNNNNNNNNNNNNNNNNNNNNNNNNNNNNNNNNNNNNNNNNNNNNNNNNNNNNNNNNNNNNNNNNNNNNNNNNNNNNNNNNNNNNNNNNNNNNNNNNNNNNNNNNNNNNNNNNNNNNNNNNNNNNNNNNNNNNNNNNNNNNNNNNNNNNNNNNNNNNNNNNNNNNNNNNNNNNNNNNNNNNNNNNNNNNNNNNNNNNNNNNNNNNNNNNNNNNNNNNNNNNNNNNNNNNNNNNNNNNNNNNNNNNNNNNNNNNNNNNNNNNNNNNNNNNNNNNNNNNNNNNNNNNNNNNNNNNNNNNNNNNNNNNNNNNNNNNNNNNNNNNNNNNNNNNNNNNNNNNNNNNNNNNNNNNNNNNNNNNNNNNNNNNNNNNNNNNNNNNNNNNNNNNNNNNNNNNNNNNNNNNNNNNNNNNNNNNNNNNNNNNNNNNNNNNNNNNNNNNNNNNNNNNNNNNNNNNNNNNNNNNNNNNNNNNNNNNNNNNNNNNNNNNNNNNNNNNNNNNNNNNNNNNNNNNNNNNNNNNNNNNNNNNNNNNNNNNNNNNNNNNNNNNNNNNNNNNNNNNNNNNNNNNNNNNNNNNNNNNNNNNNNNNNNNNNNNNNNNNNNNNNNNNNNNNNNNNNNNNNNNNNNNNNNNNNNNNNNNNNNNNNNNNNNNNNNNNNNNNNNNNNNNNNNNNNNNNNNNNNNNNNNNNNNNNNNNNNNNNNNNNNNNNNNNNNNNNNNNNNNNNNNNNNNNNNNNNNNNNNNNNNNNNNNNNNNNNNNNNNNNNNNNNNNNNNNNNNNNNNNNNNNNNNNNNNNNNNNNNNNNNNNNNNNNNNNNNNNNNNNNNNNNNNNNNNNNNNNNNNNNNNNNNNNNNNNNNNNNNNNNNNNNNNNNNNNNNNNNNNNNNNNNNNNNNNNNNNNNNNNNNNNNNNNNNNNNNNNNNNNNNNNNNNNNNNNNNNNNNNNNNNNNNNNNNNNNNNNNNNNNNNNNNNNNNNNNNNNNNNNNNNNNNNNNNNNNNNNNNNNNNAUUUGACUACAUAGUUUUUCAGUUGAUUUUGCAUUGUAAGGACAAAUGUUUUCCGCUGCUUUUAUGAAUAAAAUAAAUUUUGGUUUGACUCAUUUAUUUAUUUAUUUAUUUUCCUUCCAAUGAAAUCAUUAUGAAAAAUUGAUGUUCAUAUAUUUCUACGAGUGGAUGUGAUACUUAAUUAUGAUAAUUGUGGAAAUGUCAAGAAUUUACCAAAUAGGGAGAGUUUCUCAUCACCCAAGUUUCAAUUGGACAGAAACUUGGAAUCAUGCAACUCGGUUGCACGAUGAAUGAGAAAUUUCACAUUUGUAAAUUAGAUUAAUUCAUUGACCAAGUGUCAAGUGAAGGACUAAGAGAUCGAGUACACAAAGUUGUGUGUUGAUNNNNNNNNNNNNNNNNNNNNNNNNNNNNNNNNNNNNNNNNNNNNNNNNNNNNNNNNNNNNNNNNNNNNNNNNNNNNNNNNNNNNNNNNNNNNNNNNNNNNNNNNNNNNNNNNNNNNNNNNNNNNNNNNNNNNNNNNNNNNNNNNNNNNNNNNNNNNNNNNNNNNNNNNNNNNNNNNNNNNNNNNNNNNNNNNNNNNNNNNNNNNNNNNNNNNNNNNNNNNNNNNNNNNNNNNNNNNNNNNNNNNNNNNNNNNNNNNNNNNNNNNNNNNNNNNNNNNNNNNNNNNNNNNNNNNNNNNNNNNNNNNNNNNNNNNNNNNNNNNNNNNNNNNNNNNNNNNNNNNNNNNNNNNNNNNNNNNNNNNNNNNNNNNNNNNNNNNNNNNNNNNNNNNNNNNNNNNNNNNNNNNNNNNNNNNNNNNNNNNNNNNNNNNNNNNNNNNNNNNNNNNNNNNNNNNNNNNNNNNNNNNNNNNNNNNNNNNNNNNNNNNNNNNNNNNNNNNNNNNNNNNNNNNNNNNNNNNNNNNNNNNNNNNNNNNNNNNNNNNNNNNNNNNNNNNNNNNNNNNNNNNNNNNNNNNNNNNNNNNNNNNNNNNNNNNNNNNNNNNNNNNNNNNNNNNNNNNNNNNNNNNNNNNNNNNNNNNNNNNNNNNNNNNNNNNNNNNNNNNNNNNNNNNNNNNNNNNNNNNNNNNNNNNNNNNNNNNNNNNNNNNNNNNNNNNNNNNNNNNNNNNNNNNNNNNNNNNNNNNNNNNNNNNNNNNNNNNNNNNNNNNNNNNNNNNNNNNNNNNNNNNNNNNNNNNNNNNNNNNNNNNNNNNNNNNNNNNNNNNNNNNNNNNNNNNNNNNNNNNNNNNNNNNNNNNNNNNNNNNNNNNNNNNNNNNNNNNNNNNNNNNNNNNNNNNNNNNNNNNNNNNNNNNNNNNNNNNNNNNNNNNNNNNNNNNNNNNNNNNNNNNNNNNNNNNNNNNNNNNNNNNNNNNNNNNNNNNNNNNNNNNNNNNNNNNNNNNNNNNNNNNNNNNNNNNNNNNNNNNNNNNNNNNNNNNNNNNNNNNNNNNNNNNNNNNNNNNNNNNNNNNNNNNNNNNNNNNNNNNNNNNNNNNNNNNNNNNNNNNNNNNNNNNNNNNNNNNNNNNNNNNNNNNNNNNNNNNNNNNNNNNNNNNNNNNNNNNNNNNNNNNNNNNNNNNNNNNNNNNNNNNNNNNNNNNNNNNNNNNNNNNNNNNNNNNNNNNNNNNNNNNNNNNNNNNNNNNNNNNNNNNNNNNNNNNNNNNNNNNNNNNNNNNNNNNNNNNNNNNNNNNNNNNNNNNNNNNNNNNNNNNNNNNNNNNNNNNNNNNNNNNNNNNNNNNNNNNNNNNNNNNNNNNNNNNNNNNNNNNNNNNNNNNNNNNNNNNNNNNNNNNNNNNNNNNNNNNNNNNNNNNNNNNNNNNNNNNNNNNNNNNNNNNNNNNNNNNNNNNNNNNNNNNNNNNNNNNNNNNNNNNNNNNNNNNNNNNNNNNNNNNNNNNNNNNNNNNNNNNNNNNNNNNNNNNNNNNNNNNNNNNNNNNNNNNNNNNNNNNNNNNNNNNNNNNNNNNNNNNNNNNNNNNNNNNNNNNNNNNNNNNNNNNNNNNNNNNNNNNNNNNNNNNNNNNNNNNNNNNNNNNNNNNNNNNNNNNNNNNNNNNNNNNNNNNNNNNNNNNNNNNNNNNNNNNNNUGAGAACGUAGCACAUAAAAUAUUAUGGCAGAAGAUUGAUAAAGUAUCAAAUCUUUAUGUAAGACAUUAUGCAUCGUGUCCCAUACGCUUCGGGUAUAGGAUCGAUUGCAAAUGCUAUAAUAUUUGACCAUUCUAAAAUUUUCCAAAUAUCUAGUGCAUUUAGAGGGAAAAGGACAAGAAUCGGUUUUGACUAAGAUAAUUAGACAACUAUCAAAGGACAAUCCAAAGUUCGCCGAGGAUUGGUCGCUUGUGAGUAGUUGGAAGUAUAGUAUUGGAUGGACCACAUCGACAUUAUUAUGAAUAGAAAAGAUUCUAUUAAGAAUGAGUUGUCAUAUGGAAAAUAUGGAAACGUUUCCAUAUUGGGAAUUGGAUAUUGAGAAUCAAUGUCUAGAUUAGAAACUUUUAUGCAAAAGGAUGUUCAAAGGAAUGUACUUUGAGUGAGAGACAUCAUAUCUAAGGAAUUGUCUUGUAACAAUCUUCGAUAGAGGACUUUGUAAUUCCAUUGGAAAUAGUCACUGUGACUUUUGUGCUAUGGCAUUACGAAAGGAUCAUUGCAUAAAAUGUUAGAAUCUAACAUAUUCUAUAAGUGGAAAGAAUUUGAUAUUCUUUCACUUAUGAAAAAAGGAUUAGGACUUGUGAGAUGAGUAUGAUUGGGAAUGUGCUCAUUUGAUCUAUUUCACAAAGUAAGAACCAUAGAUAAGCAUUGUGUGCAUGCUAAGAGCAUGGGACAAGUGUAGUAGUAAUUCAAGUAAGAUGUUGAUUACCCGAAAGAACAAAUAAUGAGUAAUCGAUAUGGUGAUAAAUAAAAGGUGUUUUAUUUAUACUCAAAGGUUUGAGGCCAUAUGGGAUUAGUAUUAUUCUUGUGUUUCACUUUGCAUGUUUUGACUUCCUGAAUAAUUUAAUUGGUUCAGAACAGUUAAAUUAUUCAAACGGGCCACAGUCGUUCAUAUGUUGGAAGUAGAUAUGAAUGAAGANNNNNNNNNNNNNNNNNNNNNNNNNNNNNNNNNNNNNNNNNNNNNNNNNNNNNNNNNNNNNNNNNNNNNNNNNNNNNNNNNNNNNNNNNNNNNNNNNNNNNNNNNNNNNNNNNNNNNNNNNNNNNNNNNNNNNNNNNNNNNNNNNNNNNNNNNNNNNNNNNNNNNNNNNNNNNNNNNNNNNNNNNNNNNNNNNNNNNNNNNNNNNNNNNNNNNNNNNNNNNNNNNNNNNNNNNNNNNNNNNNNNNNNNNNNNNNNNNNNNNNNNNNNNNNNNNNNNNNNNNNNNNNNNNNNNNNNNNNNNNNNNNNNNNNNNNNNNNNNNNNNNNNNNNNNNNNNNNNNNNNNNNNNNNNNNNNNNNNNNNNNNNNNNNNNNNNNNNNNNNNNNNNNNNNNNNNNNNNNNNNNNNNNNNNNNNNNNNNNNNNNNNNNNNNNNNNNNNNNNNNNNNNNNNNNNNNNNNNNNNNNNNNNNNNNNNNNNNNNNNNNNNNNNNNNNNNNNNNNNNNNNNNNNNNNNNNNNNNNNNNNNNNNNNNNNNNNNNNNNNNNNNNNNNNNNNNNNNNNNNNNNNNNNNNNNNNNNNNNNNNNNNNNNNNNNNNNNNNNNNNNNNNNNNNNNNNNNNNNNNNNNNNNNNNNNNNNNNNNNNNNNNNNNNNNNNNNNNNNNNNNNNNNNNNNNNNNNNNNNNNNNNNNNNNNNNNNNNNNNNNNNNNNNNNNNNNNNNNNNNNNNNNNNNNNNNNNNNNNNNNNNNNNNNNNNNNNNNNNNNNNNNNNNNNNNNNNNNNNNNNNNNNNNNNNNNNNNNNNNNNNNNNNNNNNNNNNNNNNNNNNNNNNNNNNNNNNNNNNNNNNNNNNNNNNNNNNNNNNNNNNNNNNNNNNNNNNNNNNNNNNNNNNNNNNNNNNNNNNNNNGGUGGACGAAUUCUAUGGGGAAACCCAUUAGAAAUCGUCCAAGGCCUUUAAGGAAGGAGCCCAUGGGUUGCUUAGGGCUUAAGCAUCCAAAUUAGGGUUUCCUUGUUAGAUAACCCUCAUUGCCUUACUAUUUAAAGAACCCUUAUGCCCCCAAAAACGUGGCUAAGCUUCCUUCUAGGGUUUCCAAACGUUUUGGGCAGCCUCCUUCUCUUCUCUUUGCCUUACUAUUUAAAGAACCCUUAUGCCCCCAAAAACGUGGCUAAGCUUCCUUCUAGGGUUUCCAAACGUUUUGGGCAGCCUCCUUCUCUUCUCUUCUUCAUCCUCUUGCUCUUGGUGUUUGUGAACCAUUAGAGGAGUGACAUUUGUGACUCUAAGCUUUCUAAAGUCAAUACAAGAAGGAUUUGAGAUUGUUAUUGCUACAUAACAAUCAAGGUAUGAUCUAAAGCCUAAUUUAUAUGUUAUAUUGAUCAUCAUAUGCUAGAUCUAGGGUUUAUAGUCUUGGAUGAAUUGCAUGUACAAUAGAGAAACCUAGAUCCAAGCAUUAGGGUUUGCCUGAACACAUAGGAUGUUCUUAUGGCUAAAACCCAUCAAGAUGUGUUUUCCUGAAUGGAGAAUUAGAAGAGACUAUAUACAUGAAACAACCACCUGGAUUCCUUAAAAUGUAUGGUAUGAAACUCUUACUCGUUUCCUUAAAAUGUCUAAAUUUAAACAAGGUUUGGUUGACCCAACCUUCUUUCACAAGAAAGAGGGUGAACACUUGAUGAUCGUCCAAAUUUAUGUUGAUGACAUCAUCUUCGGCUUUACUAAUCCUAGCUUCACAGCUGAAUUCCAAAAAUUGAUGUAAACUAAAUUUGAGAUGAGCCCUAUGGGUCCAAUUAACUUUUUCCUUGGAUUUAAUAUAAGAUAGGGACCAGAAGGCAUUUUCAUAAAUCAGGAAGCAUGCAUGAAGACCUUACUGUCCAUGUUCAACAUGAUGGGAGACUCCAAAGUGAAGGUUCCAAUGGCAUUCAGAAUGAAACUAACACCCUCUAUGGAAAAACCAGCUGCUGAUAUGACCCUUUAUAGCCAAAUGAUAGGAUCCUUAAUGUAUCUAACAGCUAGUAGGCCAAAUAUUAUGUUUUAUAUGUGUUAUUGUGCUAGGUUACAAGCAAAUCCAUGCGAACCUCAUAUGGUGGCAGUCAAGAAUAUUUUCAGAUAUCUGAAACAAACCUCAUCACUCGGUAUAUGGUAUCCUGCGAAAUCAGGUUUCUUUGUAUAAGCGUUUUCAGAUAUUGAUCUUGGAGGAUGCGGCUCAGAUAGAAAAUUCACAACUGGAGGAUGCCAAUUUCUCGAUGGCAAACUUCUCAGCUGGCAGUCUAAGAAACAAACAUGUGUCUCUUUGUCAACAGCCGAAGUUGAGUACAUUGCUGCUGCAUGUUGUACUUCUCAUGUCAUAUGGAAUCAAAGUCAAUUAUGAGACUAUGGCCUAAAAAUGAAGCGAAUCCCACUCUAUUCUGAUUCUGAAAGGACGAUCCAUAUCUAUCACAACCCAGUGCAACACUCGAAGACAAAACACAUAGCACUGAGGUACCGUUUCAUCAAGGACCAUGUAGAAGACGGCAACGUAGAUAUACAUUUCAUACGAUCUGCAGACCAAUUGGCAGACAUUUUCACAAAAGCCUUGUUUGAAGCAAUCUUUAAUAGAAUACUUUAAGGCCUAGGAAUGAUGGAAGCUGAAUCAGUUCCAAAACUACUUUCGCUUUUGCAGUAAUCCUUUCACUUUCCUUUUUAUUUUAAGACACACGAAGUGGUACAAACGCUCGCUCUAAUUCGAUUCUGAAUUCUUGGACAUGAAUUGAGAGAAACGCUCAUCCUAUCUCGUGUCUCAAAUUUUUCUUUAGAGCGAAUGCUCUUAGUCUAAUCUUUUUGUAUAUUUUGUAUAUUAGACUUUCUUCUUUUGUUUUACUUUUCUCUAAAAUUUCAAAAUACAAAAAUAUUUUAUUUUUGUUUCUUUUUCAGAAAAAUUUCAAAAUACAAAAAUAUUUUAUUUCUAUUUUUGUUUCUCUUUCAGAAAAAUUUCAAAAUACGUAAAUAUUUUAUUUCUUUUUCAGAAAAAUUUCAAAAUACAAAAAUUAUUUCCUUUUUAAUUUUGUUAUUUCCUUGAGAAGCAUUGCAGGUUAGCAUGCAAAAACAAAUGAUAUGGAAUGUUGGUGAGUUCAUAAGCAGGUUUGAUGUGAAAUUGUUUUGUGUAGUUUGAAAGAAAACAACCCAAAAAAUCCGAUAUUUUCUGAAAACGUCUAUAAUUGAAAAACUUUGAAUUAAAAGUACCAGUGAAAAAUGUUGAACUUCCCCGGAAAACCCGAUGUUUUCCGAAAAUAAAAAUAUCAUAUAAUGGUUCAAAUUGUUAUCCCAUCACGUGAGUGAUUUUGACUUACCUUGAUUACUUGAUUUAUAUUGGAUUCAUUUAUGAGAGUCGUUAUAACCACUCAUGAUAAUGACUAGUUCGUCUGUCUUGACACUCUGGUGAACGCUGGAAUUGAUCUUAAGAUUUUGUCACCCUAGACUGGCCGAGUCUAACUAUAGCGAACAGCUGAGGUGUGGGGGAGUCACCCCCAUAUAGAUCUAUACACAAACUCUCGCUCUCCCUCCAGGAGACUUUGAUUAUAAAUGCAGACUACGACCGACAUACGUUGGUGCCACCCGUUAUUACUCACUAAAUCCCAAUUGACUUUGAUUACUAUUGAUUAUCGACCUGUAUUUGCUUACUUGGAUUAACGAUAUGCCUAAUAAACGAGGAGAAGAGAAUUACAAGAUCCUACUAUUCCCGCGUAUUAUGUAUGGCUAUUGAUUAUAUGAAGGACACGCUGACCCAUUUCGCAUUUGAUUUACUUGGACCAUACUAGCAGUGCUAACGGGCCACUAAGGCCCAAUAGCAUUUAAAAGCCAUUGAGGGUCCCUUAAAUAUGAAAUUGGGUCAUAGAAGGCCCAAUAACAUUUAUAAUUAUCCCUUGGGCCCAAAAAUCAUGUUAAUGGGUCACAAAGGCCCAAUAAGCAUGUUUGGAACUUUCAAGCCCAAAGAAUUUAAUGUUUACUUGUUUUAGGAAUUGUAUAAUUGUUGGAAGGUUUGAUUGAACGAUUGUUAUUUUUUGUAUCGACACGAGACCGGUCGAUUUGUUUAUAACGAUAUUUGGAUUAUACGUAUAUUCAUCUCUCUAUUUUCAUGAGUUAUGAGUUUUGGUAUUUUUGACUCAAAGAUCUUAGAAAUAGAAUAAUUGGUUCAAAAUGUUGGUUUGACCCCUUUUAGCCCUUUUUAAUAAAAAUUACCUUUUUUGGUCCUUUAUACAAAAAAAAAGACGUUUUAAGCCCUUAAAGCAUUUUCUUGACACAUUUGACCUAUAGGCUUACUCAAUUGAUAUUUUUAGCUCAAAAAUUAUUCUUUGGAAGUUUCAACCCUUCCAGAAAAGUGAUUUUCAGUUAAAGCCCAAACUUUUGCAACUCUUACAAUUUUGGCCUAAAAUCCAAAAAAAGUUUACAUUUUUUAUCCUUGUUUGGAAAAUACAUCAUUUUGACCCCUGAAAUAGUUUUGUUUACCCUUUUUACCCCCUAUUUUGAGAAGUUUAUCAUUUCACCCCCUUGAAAGUUGAAAUUUUCGCAAGUCAUGGCCUAAUGGGCCGAAAAGCCCAAAAAUUUGGCCAAUUAAGCUACAAUUUACACUUCUAGCCCUUAAAAGAGUAUGAUAUCCAUAAAAACAUUUAUUUUUUCUGAUUUGACUCUUUUUGUCCUUAAGAAAAAUCGUAAAUGGCAAUUUUAACCCAAACUUUUUUUAUUUGACAAUUUAAGCCCAAAACUUGUUUUAUGUUGCAAUAUGUUGAUUUAAAUCUUAGGGGAUACUUCUCUAGACUUGUUUAGUGUAGUAUAGUAUACAUUAGAUCAUGUUUGAUUUCCUUUUUAUGUCAUAGAUCUCGAUAUUUCUUUCCUUUUUGUUUACAUAUAUAUUCAACAGAUAAGCACAUAAAUUCAAACAUACAUACAUGAAACCAUAUAUAGCAUACACAUACACAUAGAUCUACACAUUUAAAUUGUAUUCUCCCUGAUAAAACUUGUAAAAACGAAAAAGAGAAGGGUAUGAACUCACCUUGCUUAGUUUUUCUCGGUUUGAAGAAGAAAUGGGAAGAGUUUGAUGCUAUUUUUCGGCCCUAUGAAGCUUUCUUGGGUUGAUUUCGAACUUAAGAGCUUCUAAAGAGUAGAUCAUGAGAAUUGUUUGUGUUAGGAAGAAGUUUUGAUGAAGGAAAGAGUCUAGGUUAUGGAUCUAAACAAUAACUGUCACACCCCAAAACCACGAACGGCGGAAACGUUCAGGGGUGGAGGACGUCAUGUGCAGUAUCACAACAGUGUAAUAUAAUAAACAAGCAACAACAUCAUCCAUUGCAUUAUAAGUAAAGUUUAAUACAUGUGUGCUCUUUCAUUGUAAUAAGACACCAAAAAUAUACAAUCAAAAUAAACGACGAGACUUGUCUGCUCCGUCUUCUCAAAACCAGGCCUCCGUACCUGUCUACGGAUGACCUGAGAAUACAAGUUAUUUUGAAAGCGAGUAUCAACUUUAAAGCUGGUGAAUUCAUAAGUAUAUAAGUGUCAUUGCCUUGUUUGUGAAAAUCUGUUAUGAAAGCCAUGUAAACCUUUAAAUGAAAAUGUUGAGGUAAGUAUGAAAUCCCUAGAAAAACCCUUAUUUUCUAUAAGUAUGAAAUGUAGUCUUCUACCAACACCCGAAUGUUCUGUACGUAUGAAAUGUAGUCUUCUACCAAGACCCGAAUGUUUUGUAAGUAUGAAGUGUAGUCUUCUACCAAGACCCGAAUGUUUUGUGAGUAUGAAGUGUAGUCUUCUACCAAGACCCGAAUGUUUUGUAAGUAUGAAGUGUAGUCUUCUACCAAGACCCGAAUGUUUUGUAAGUAUGAAGUGUAGUCUUCUACCAAGACCCGAAUGUUUUGUAAGUAUGAAGUGUAGUCUUCUACCAAGACCCGAAUGUUUUGUAAGUAUGAAGUGUAGUCUUCUACCAAGACCCGAAUGUUUUGUAAGUAUGAAGUGUAGUCUUCUACCAAGACCCGAAUGUUUUGUAAAAUGAUAGUUUUCCCUUUGUAUUGACUAAUACUAAAAGUGCUUAGUCUAACUCAUCGAUUAUGUGAAGGUAUCACAAAAUAAAGUAAACAGGAAAAAUGUACUACUGUAAGUGUUGUCACUGGGUACUAGGACCAACACAACAUCGCAUUAAGCGAAAUUGAUAACCUAAUGAACAUCCGAAGAUUAUCCAAAACAAGUAUUAAUGUAAGUGUCAUCGCUGGGUACUAGGACUGACACAGCAUCGCAUUAAGCGAAAGGUAUAACUUAAUGAACAUCCGAAGAUUAUCCAAAACAAGUAUUAAUGUAAGUGUCAUCGCUGGGUACUAGGACUGACACAACAUCGCAUUAAGCGAAAGGUAUAACCUAAUGAACAUCCGAAGAUUAUCCAAAACAAGUAUUAAUGUAAGUGUCAUCGCUGGGUACUAGGACUGACACAACAUCGCAUUAAGCGAAAGGUAUAACCUAAUGAACAUCCGAAGAUUAUCCAAAACAAGUAUUAAUGUAAGUGUCAUCGCUGGGUACUAGGACUGACACAACAUCGCAUUAAGCGAAAGGUAUAACCUAAUGAACAUCCGAAGAUUGUCCAAUUGUCCUCUGUAGCAACAGCAGGUGGGUGGAAGGGUUAGUCCCAAAUCGAUCUUCCUAAUAUAAGUAGUAACCUUAGACCUCCGUAGAUGGUCAUCGACCACUGGUGCUAAUCAGUGGGGUUUGGAAUGGUAAGUCCCGCCUAGCUAUCCCAUUGAACCGAGAUAGGAAAGACAAUUUACAAAGUAAGUACUAAUAAAUCAUCCUCGUAGUUCUAAGUACAAGUAUCCAGGUAAGUGAAUACAGGAUAAUGCACCUAUGUAAAAGUGUUCCUGUAUGGUAUUCAUGUAUGUGUGUCCAUGUAACAGGUAAGUAUAUGUAAACAUAUUCAUGUAUCAGGUAAACAUCUGUAAGUACUCAUGUAUCAGGNAAGUAUAUGUAAACAUAUUCAUGUAUCAGGUAAACAUCUGUAAGUACUCAUGUAUCAGGUAAUGUACUAGUAUAGACUCAUGAAUGAACUGACUCUUGUGUGAUUCCUUGUAAUAGAAGUAAUGUUUGAUAUCUUCAAAUUAUCCCUAUGAUAAUUUACUAUAAUAUAACUAGUUGAUCAUGUAGGUUUGUACACUCUUACUACUCAAGGGUGUGGGAAACUAAAUGAAAGAUGUAAACUAUAACAUCAAUACAUAUAUAAGAAUAUAAGUGUAUAUGCAUAGUUUAGUUCAAGAAUGUAAAAUGGUUUUGUAAGACAUCUUAUGGGUUUUGAACAAUAAUUAACAAUGACUUGAUGUCAUUUUAAUAAACAUUUCAAAGGUAAAACAUUUGGUAACAAUGUGCUUUUAAGAUGUAAAACCAUUUCAUGCAUCACAUUUUGUAGCAUGUGAAAUCUGUUAAAUGACAAACACAGUUAUAAAAUACAUAUCAAUGAUUUAAUAACAUGUUUGUUUCUACUUGUAUCCCCCCCAUUAAAGCAUUUAAAAUCAUUUAAAAUAUUGAUUAGGGGUAUGAACUCACCUGUAGUUGGUGAUUGGGAUGAACUGAACGGUAUAGGAUGGCUAGGUGUCAAGCGAGGACUUGUACACACACUACGAUCCUAAUGAACAUAUAAUCACACAUAUAUGCAUUCAAUUAGUCUUAAAUCACUAAUUGAUAAAGUUAAGACAUCCUAGACAUAAUAAACACUUUAUAUAAGUGUUUUAAGCCCUAAGGAUUGCAUCUAAGCUAUUGUGGGACAAGGUAUUUGUGUUUAGGGUUCCAAAGGACCCUAUAAGUGAGUUUACUCCCCAUAAACCAUCACACAUGGAGUUUACGGUUGUAAACUCUUGAGUUUACGGCCGUAAACUCCCAAACAUGUGUGUUUGGUGUGUUUUGAAGUCCCAAAUGCUUUCUAGAAUUAUUCUAACUUGGUGGUUCCAUUCUUGAAGGGGUUUAAGGUCUAGAAAUACUCCAAAUAGGAGUUUACGGCCCUGAGGCCAAUCCCCUUAGAGUUUACGGCCGUAAACUCUAAGUAUUGGGUGUUUUUGUUGUUUUCAAGUCUCUUGCUUUUGAAGGACAUGUUCUAGACAAUUGUUUAAGGCAAAUGAGGACCCUAGGCACACUUUGGUGCCAUUCUUUCAUGUUUACGGCCCAAGAGCAUUCUCUUGGCCGUAAACUCACUUUGCUAAGUGAUUUGGAUGAGUUUUGGCCCUUCAAUUAAGUGGAAACAAUUCCUUGUAAAGGUCUAGGGCUUUAGGUGUCAUGAAAACACCCCUUUUGUCCAUUUUUAUGGAGUUUACGGCCUAAGAUACACUUGGGCCGUAAACUCUCAUUUGUUUGUGUUCUUUGAUGUGUUUAAUGCCUUACACUAAAUGGGAUCUAGUCUAGAUAAAAGCCUUAAAGUGUUAGAGUCCUUAAAACACCAUUUUGAGUGUGAAAAGGGAGUUUACGGCCAAUGAAUCUCUUUGGCCGUGAACUCCCCAAACAUGGGUGUUUUAUGGAUGUUUUCUUGUUCCUAACAUGCAUACAUAAGAGUCCUAAGCAGUUGUAUAAUACAAAGGUCGAUUUUGGCUUCAUUUCGGGAGUUUACCGCCCAAGAACACCUUGGGGAGUAAACUCCUAGAUCUAAUGAUUUAGCCAUCUAAAUCAUGUUAUAAGCAUCUAAUAAGCAUUCUAAUCACUACUAGAAAGAGUUACUCACGUUUUGGUAUAAAAACCCGAAGAUCCGUGAGAGAGAAAAUGGCUUUUCUCUAGUUGGAAAUGUGAAUAAUGAAUGAAUUUGGUUCAGAAAUCUAUUUAUAGUCCUGAAAUAUUUUUGGCAGAAAAUAUUUUUAUUCCUGAAAUGAUCUCUAAUAUAAUAGAGUGUUGGAAUAACAGUGUUGCACAAAACCCUAGUGCACCCACUCUCCUGAUAUUUCCUGAAGUGUAAACCUUGAAUUACUCAAACUUAUGUGAAAAAGUUUGAAAAUUAACAGUGACACUAUAACUUCUAUUGAAGUGAUAUAGAUUGUACAGAAUGGAAAUUUCGGGUUGUCACAAUAACUUACCAAUGAUGAUGAUUAUUGUGGAAUAACCUUCUUGAAAAGCCCUAGAUGUCGAAAUUUUGGUGGAGGGUAAGAAGAUCUUCUUGAAGACUUAAAGAGAGUUUGAAAGAAGUUUGAAGGUGUGUGUGUGUGUGUUUUUCCUCUUGAUCUCGGCCGAAGAAGAGAAAGAGAGGGGGGAGAAAAGAGAGAGAGUUGCAUGGAUGUAUGGGAUUGAGUAUUGUUUAGUGGUUAGUUUGCAUAGAUUACCUCCAUGUAUUAGUGAGGUGGCAUCGCUUGGAUAAUUAGCCAUUUUCCCCUUUUUUGUUUUCUUCUUGGGCCGAGAAAAAGAGAAGAAGGAAAGAUUUUGGGCCCUUUUGUGCUUAAGUCCAUAUUAGGGGCCCACUUUGAUGAUUUUCGGCUCAAUUGGUCUUUGGAGGUAAUUCACGGCCCAAUAUAUUUCAAAGAAUGGGUUUUAUGGCUCAUUAGGUUAAUUAGAUUUGUUAUGGACAAUAAGGUCCAGUAGGGUAUUUUAUUUCAUUCUAGGCUCAAUAUGGCCCAAAAUGUUAAAAUAAAUAGAAGUGAGUCCAAUUAUAGCCCAUUUAAGAGUUCUUAGCCCAAAACAAUCAAAUUGGAAGCUUAUUGGCCCAUUAGGCCCAAUAAGGAAAUCCUAGUCCAUAAUGGACUUAAACCGGGAUUUCUAGGGUUUCCAAUUCUUUGUUGACUAUUUGAAGUGCUUGCAUAGAGCAUUUGAUGGAAAAUUUGUUGUUAUUGAAUAAGCACCAUACGUGCUUUCACAUUUUCGGUUCACAAAUGUUAUCAUUGUUGUUAUUAGAUGGUAUAGAAUUCCUAGUUGUGACAUCAUCCCCCCGUUAGAGGGAAUUUUGUCCCGAAAUUCAUUCUAAAGCUAGAUUCAAGAAUGAGAGAAUAGGUGAGGGUACUUCUGCUUCAUCUGAUCUUCGCGUUCCCAUGUGAAUUCUGUCCCACGCAUUACGUUCCACCGUACCUUCACAAUUGGAAUGCGACUUUACUUAGUACGCUUUGCCUCCCUGUCCGUGAUUUCGACUGGCUCUUUGACGAACAUGAGAUUCUCGUUGAUUUCUAUUUCUUUAAGUGGAAUGACGAGGGUUUCUUCAGAUAAACACUUGUUCAAAUUGGAAACAUGGAACACGGGGUGUACACUGUUGAGCUCGACAGGUAGCGGUAGUAUGUAAGCCACUGGACCGAUUCAGGCAAGGAUCCCGAAGGAUCCAAUGUAUCGUGGGUGCAACUUUCCCCGUUUUCCAAAACGAAUAACCCCUUUCCAGGGAGAGACCUUUAACAACACUCGAUCCUCGACUUGAAACUCCAACGGCUUCCGCCGUUUAUCAACGUAGCUCUUCAGUCGGUCUCGUGAUGCUUGUAGUCGAGCUCUGAUUUGAAUUAUCUUCUCCGUUGUUUCGCGUAUCAUUUCUGGUCCCGUUAACGCAUUGUUUGAUGUCAAUCUUCUUGCUAGUUGGGUGUCACCUACCUCAGCCCAACACAAUGGUGAUCUGCAUUUACGUCCAUACAAUGCCUCGAAGGGAGCAACUUUGAUGCUCGGGUGAUAACUGUUGUUGUACGAGAAAGGAUAUACUUCAAGUGUUUGAAUGGUUCAUUCGCUUUGACCAUCUAUUUGUGGUUGAUAAGCGGUGCUCAUGUCGAGAUGUGUUCCCAGUUCUUUCUGAAGUGAUUGCCAAAAACGUGAAGUGAAUCUACUAUCUCUAUCUGAGAUGAUAGAUACUGGCACUCCAUGGAGUCUCACAAUUUCCUUGAUGUAUAUCCUCGUCAACCUCUUCAUCUUGUAGGAUUCUUUUAUUGGCAUGAAAUGAGCGGAUUUCGUCAAUUUGUCGGCUACUACCCAUAUGGUAUCCAAUCCAUCCAUUGACUUGGGUAAUUUGGUCACAAAGUCCAUAGUAAUCCUUUCCCAUUUCCACUCGGGAAUUACUGGUUGUUGUAAUAAUCCCGAGGGCUUCUAAUAUUCCACCUUCACUUUAGCGCAAGUAAGGCAUUUGCUAACAUAGGUGGCAAUAUUUGCCUUCAUGUUGGGCUACCAAUAAUGUUGCUUGAUAUCCAAGUACAUUUUAUCUGAACCCGGAUGGAUGGAGUAUCGUGUCUUGUGGGCUUCAUCCAUGACCACUUCUCUGAAUCCCCCAAGUUUAGGGAUCCAAAUGCGGUUCAUAAAAUAAUAUGCUCCAUCCUCCUUCACUUUGAAAUUCUUUUCGAUCCCUCGUAACGCUUCACUUGCUUUCUUUUCCGUCUUCAUGGCAUCAGACUGGGCUGCUCUGAUUUGGGAGGUCAGAUGGGAUUGAAUGGUUAUGGAGAGAGUCUUUACACGACGAUUUGAGUAUUCUUUCCAACUCAUGGCUUCAGCUACCACGUUAACCUUGCCUGGGUGGUACUUAAUUUCACACUCAUAAUCGUUUAGUAGGUCAACCCACCUUCGUUGCCUCAUGUUCAAUUCUUUUUGAUUUAGGAUAUGUUGUAGACUCAUGUGGUCCAUAAAAAUGGUGCACUUGGUACCACAAAGGUAUUGCCUCCAAAAUUUUAAGGCAAAGAUCACAGCUCCCUAUUCUAAAUCAUGGGUGGUAUAUUUCACCUCGUGUGUCUGUAGUUGUCGGGAUGCAUAAGCUAUCACCUUCCCAUGUUGCAUGAGUACGCAACCUAAACCCUGAUUCGACGCAUCGCAGUAAACUACGAAGUCCUCCGUUCCUUCUGGUAGUGAUAGUACCGGUGGGCUGCAGAGUGCUCGCUUCAGAGUUCGGAAUGCAACCUCUUGCUUAUCUGUCCAUUCGAAGGGUACACCCUUUUGUGUAAGCAUGGUAAGUGGCUUGGCAGUCUUAGAGAAGUUUUGGAUGAACCUCCUGUAAUAUCCUGCUAGACCUAAAAAUUGACGAAUUUCUGUGGGUGUCAUUGGGGUCACCUAUCCUUCAAUGGCUUUGACCUUAGAAGGAUCCACGUGUAUCCCUUCUUGACUAAUAAGAUGACCCAAAAAUUUCACACUGCGGAGCCAUAACUCACACUUAGAGAGUUUUGCGUAUAGUUUCUCGGUUCGCAGGGUUUCCAGGAUUUGUCGAAGAUGUUGGCCGUGCUCCUCUUCGUUUUGAGAGUAAAAUAGAAUGUCAUCAAUGAAAACGAUGACAAAGUUGUCAACGAAUGCUCGACAGAUUCGAUUCAUUAGAUCCAUGAAUGCGGCAGGGGCAUUCGUUAGACCGAAGGGCAUUACGGCGAAUUCAUAAUGUCCAUAACGAGUUCGGAAAUCGGUUUUGGGGAUAUCCUUUUCCCAUACCUUGAGUUGAUGGUAUCCAGAUCGUAUAGCUAUCUUGGAGAAAUAGCUCGCGCAAUGAAGUUGGUCAAAUAGAUCGUCGAUUCGUGGAAGUGGGUAGCGCUUUUUGGCAGUGAUCUUAUUUAGUUCCCUAUAGUCAAUGCACAUCCUAAAGGACCCGUCUUUCUUCUUAACAAAGAGAACCGGAGCUCCCCAAGGUGAGAAGCUAGGUCGGAUGAAUCCUUUGUCCAAAAGCUCACUGAGUUGGCUGGACAAUUCUUGCAUCUCCGCAUGAGUGAAUCUAUAGGGCGAUUUGGCGAUGGGAGUAGCUCCUGGUACAAGAUCAAUUUGGAACUCGACUUGUCUUUCUGGGGGUAUUCCUGGAAGAUCAUCAGGGAAGACAUCCGGGAACUUGCAAGCUAUUGGAAUGUCUCGAAUAUUGACCUCUUCCUUGGAUUUAUCCACUAUAUGAGCCAGGAACAUCAAGUCUUUCUUUCUUAGAUACUUUUGUGCCUUAAUGCACGAGAUCAGACGAAGGUUCAUGCUGGGUUUGUCUCUGUAUAUAAUUUGGGUUUCACGGUUUGGAAGGUGAAGGCGAACAACCUUCUCGUGACACAUAAUUUCAGCAUGGUGGGGGCUUAAUCAAUCCAUGCCAACAAUGACAUCGAAACUCCUAAUGGAAACAGGCAUUAUGUUUAUUUGAAAGAUGUGUUGGUCCAAGGUUAGGGUACAUCCGAUAUAGAUUUCCCUAGUGGAUUUUGUUUUCCCAUUGGCCAUUUCCAUCGUAAAGGUUUCAUUAAGCUUCUGGGGUUGUUGUUUUAAUAAGUGUUUAAAUCUAUUGCUCACAAAGCUUCGUUCUGCUCCGGUGUCAAAUAGGAUGCAUGCAUAAGUGCAGUUUAGGAGAAACGUACCGGUGACAACAAUGGGAACCUUAACCGCUUCUCCCUGACCCAUGGUCAGCACUCUUCCUAUUCCUCCAUUCCCAGGGUUGUUGUUGUUGGGGCAAUUUCAACGGAAAUGCCCAGUCUUUCCACAUCCAUAGUAGGUGUGGCUCGGUCCUGCAUUGUUGCCGCAGUUGUUGUUGUUGUUUUUGUUGUUGUUGCAGGUUUUGCUGUUGUUGUUUCCUUGCUGCUUAUUCUGGGGAGGAUAGGUCCUGCAAUAUUUUUCCGUGUGACCCUUUCGAUUGCAACUGGUGCAAUGCAUCUCUCUGCAAUCUCCAUUAUGAUGGAGACUGGACUUGUUGCACUUUGGGAGAUUACCAGAAUACUGUCUAGGUGCACUAGGAGCAGUUGAGACUGGAGCAUGUGGUGUGGAGGGAACUUGAGUGGUUGCAGCAUUAACUGUCACUUUUUGUUGCUUCUUGGACGACUCCGAGCCUUGUCGCCCCUUUCUCUUGUUAUUCUUUCCCUUCAUGUUGUCACUCUCCCUCUUGCCAUCAAUUUCCACUGGCUUCUCGCCCUUCUUUUUGUUGUGGUCGUACAGUUUCUUGGCCAAUCUCUUGGCACUGUCGAAGGUUUUCGGAUUUGCAGCUAUCACAUUUCCUUGGAUUGGGGAGGUUAGUCCUAAGAUGAAUCGUUCGAUUUUCUUUCCCUCUGAAGUAAUCAUGUCAGGGCACACUAGAGACACUUCGCUAAACCUUGAUAUGUAUGUAUCAAUGUCGGAAUUUCGGACGGUAAGAUUCCAUAAUUUCUGUUCCAUUUUCUGAAUGUCGCCUCGCGGACAGUACUCGGCCAUCAACAUUUCUUUCAAAUCCGCCGAGGGCAUGGAGUUGGCUACGGGGAGAGUCAUGGCUUCUACAUGACCGUUCCACCAGGUGAGAGCUUGAUCAACGAACGUGCAUGCGACAAACUUCACCUUCAUCUCCUUAGGGCACUCACAUAUCUUGAACACCGAUUCCACCUUCUCAAUCCAUCUUUUUAGGGUUAUCAUUCCCCCGGUGCCAUUAAGGGUUCGCGGCUUGGCAUUGGUGAAAUCUUUGUAGGAGCAUGUCUUGGUAGGUCCUUGAUUUAUCCCGUUUUUUCGAACUUCCAGCCCCUUUUCAAUUGAUUCCACCAUUGUUCCCUUGAUGGAUUUGUGCCAUGGCUGCAGUAACCGCAUCAUAUACAACUGCAUGGAAUGCAGCUGAGUUGACUUCGGGUGGGGUUGGCCUAGGGUUUCCGUGGGCUGGUCGUCGAGGCAUCUUUCUGUCACGAAACAGAAAAAUGUUGAGUGCCUACGUUUUGUGGGUUUGUGGAAUUAUGACUAGGUUUAUGUCAUGUAUUUAAGUAGUUUCGCAUAUCAACAUAUAAUCAUAGAAGCAUAGCACAUAACAGAUAUUAACAUCAAAACAAAACACAUAUAUUUUCCAUUAAUAAUAUUCAUACUUUGAUACAUGAAAAUUUGCUCGAAAGAGCAUACAUAAGGAUAUAAGUUCGGCAGCAAAACGACGCUACGAGUAGUGUAAUCACUUAAACAUAGAGUCGAUGGUACAUAACAUAGAUCAUAGUACUAGCAUAAUACUAAAAAUGGAUACAGCUAGUCCUAGUCAUGAUGGGAUGUGUCAGGGGGUGGUGCUGAGGAAGUGGACGCUAAUAAAGGCAAGCCACCCGUCGUUCCGCAUCUUGGAGUCAAGCCUCCCACCUUACCUACCUUAUGUGGAACUCUCGGAUAACCUCUCGUGUCUCCUGCUCUGCAUACUCGACCCUGGUCGGCAUCUGGUGCAUCUGAUCAGUGGUGCUCUGAGCUAGAUCGCCAGUGUUCCGCAAUCGUCUCACCAUGACCGGAAGUUCACGAUCAGCCGGUCCUCCCUCCCUUAAGUCAUAGAACUCGCGUGACAUGCCGAAUGGGGGUCGCUGUCCCUGCUGUUUGCUCCACCUCCAAAGGUCGAUACCCCAAGGGGGUGUAGGACCAGUGGGGCCCAUCCGAUGAGCGGGCACCCUAAUCGGAUAAGGGGGGUUGAUGACUUCGGACUCCGCGUCCGAAUCACCGUCUUCGUCAUCGUUGAGUUCCUCCUCGAGGUCUUCUUCGACUUCCUUGUCACACCCCCAAACCAAGGAUGGCGGAAACGUUCGGGGGUGGAGGACUUCAUGUAUAGUAUCACAACAACGUGUAUAAUAGUGCUCAAAGUAAAAAAAAAACCAUCAUAAAUAUAAUUGAGAAAGUUACAUCAUAGCAAGUUUAAAUGUUUCAAAAUCAAUUACAUUAUGAUGACAAAAUGAAAUGUUUGACGAUUUAUCGUCCCAUCCUCAAAAUGUUGUUGGUUUUCCGGUUUCACUGAUUUUCUGAGAAUACAAGUAAUUUUAAAUAAAGUGUCAACAAUUAAGUUCGUGAGUUCAUAAGAGUUUUGUUUUAGAAUGAAACUGUUUUCCUUGUAAAAGCAACAAAAUAUGUUUCCAGAAAAUCCAAUAUUUUCCUUAUUAUGUAUGAAAUGAAUGCUUCUAUGUUAUGCGAUAAUAAAUCCUAGAAAGACCCAUAGAUUCCUUCUAUAAUCACUCAACGUAUAUAAAUUAUAUAAAAAUUUAGUUAAAUAAACCGUUGAGUAUAACGGGUAUGCCCCAGGUCCACAACCAAACGAGGAACAGGAGAUAAGGCGGGCCCACCAAUUCUAAGUCGAUUGUGACUAGAUUCUUAUAUAACUCUAGCAUAUACAUUUAGCAAUUAUAGCUGAAGUCUAACAAUUCUAGAUGAAAUAUAGUUUUAAUAUCAUAAAAACUAUUUCGUGUGAACCUGGUACUUUGUAUUUGUACCCCUUUUUGUUUAAAAACCUGGUACUUUGUAUUUUUACCCCUUUUUGUAUAAAAACCUAGUACUUUGUAUCUGUACCCCCUCUUGUAUAACACCGGUACUUUGUAGCUGUACCCCUUUUCAUAUGAAAACCUGGUACUUUGUAUUUGUACCCCUUUUUGUAUAAAACCGGUACUUUGUAUUUGUACCCCUUUUCGUAUAAAACCGGUACUUUGUAUUUGUACCCCUUUUCGUAUGAAAAGCCUUUUGUUAUGUAAAUGAACAUAAACUAUAACUAUUAUAGUUUAUCAAGAUGUUUGAAAUGUAUAAGCAACCUAACUAUACCUAUUAUAGUUUAGUAUGUUUGUCUGUGGUGUAUAAGAACCCUUUCCUAUGUAAGUCGAAUGUAUAGCAAAAUAUAACUAUGUUUAUCUUGCUUUGUUUUGUACUAAUGGUAAUGAUGGAGGAUUCUUACAAUUCAGUGAGUAUUUUCUGUUAUAUAAUUAUACCACAACAAGAAACACAUGUAAAAUAUGAAGUCAUCAAAGAUUUAACACUUUGCUGAACAUGUUACAAAGUGUGUUGAAAGUUAUAAACUGUUAACAAAUUUUUAACCUUUCUGCACUGUUUUAGAAAGAUCAUAGAAAAAUCAUACGAAGUCGAAAACUGAAUCCAUAAAUUCUGAGAGUUCCUAAAAUGUGUCUAGUUAUUCAUAAUUUUUAGCAUGAUUUUCGGAAGCCUUUAACUUGUGUUAAAAUGUUCAUAUUCACAGCCUGGUCCAGAUUUUUUCAUGAAAUGAUAGGCUGUUUUCAAAAAUCACCAUAAAUUGUAGAAAAAUCGUGUGGAGAUGUGAAAGUAGUCAUUUUAAAGCUAAUAACUGGAACUACUCACACCUAAAACAGUGUUAAAAACUAAAAUGUUUAAGUUGCCCAAAACAGUCCGUGAAUGGAGUUGAACUUGUCUGAUGAAGGCUGUUAAAUGAGUUUAGUUGUGUUCUUGGUGUUUUAACUUGUAUUCCCCUCCCCCCACCCCCCUUAAAACUUAAUAAAACAUGAAAAUGUAGGGGUAUGAACUCACCUUAUAUGAUUUCAGUGGGUGAAUGUUGAAGAAAUGAAGUGUUCAACUCAAGAACACUUGAAGGAUCACUUGAAGAUUUGAGAAUCUAACACACAAAUGAUGGAGUUUGUGUGAGGAAUCAUUGAUUUGAUUGAAAAGGGAAUGUAAUAACCAUAAGGAGAGUGAUGAUACUUACCAAAUGAAGAUGGAAAGCUUGAAAAAUGACUUGGAAAUCUUGAAUUUGUAUGAGAGAUUUUGAGAGAAGAGAUGUGUUUGAUCUUUGGUGGGAAUGAAAGAAAUGAGUGAGAAUGAGGAGAGAGGGUGGGUUUUUAGCUCUUGACCAAGAGUAUGGAUGGUCAAAUGGUGGGGAAGUGCCCUUGAAUGACCAGGUAGGGUGGGGAGGACAAUGGUUGGUCAUGGAGUGGGUAUGGGGGUGGUUGCUUGUGUCAUAAAUCAAAGAUAAGUCAACACUUCACCACAAGAUCUCCUUUAAUAGAUUUUAUUCUAAAAUAAAAAUUUUCAUAAAAAUAUGUUUAUAUUAUGAAUAUUUAGGGUCUUAUAUGUUAAAAUAUGAUUUUUGGAGAAAAUCCCACGUUAAAAUANNNNNNNNNNNNNNNNNNNNNNNNNNNNNNNNNNNNNNNNNNNNNNNNNNNNNNNNNNNNNNNNNNNNNNNNNNNNNNNNNNNNNNNNNNNNNNNNNNNNNNNNNNNNNNNNNNNNNNNNNNNNNNNNNNNNNNNNNNNNNNNNNNNNNNNNNNNNNNNNNNNNNNNNNNNNNNNNNNNNNNNNNNNNNNNNNNNNNNNNNNNNNNNNNNNNNNNNNNNNNNNNNNNNNNNNNNNNNNNNNNNNNNNNNNNNNNNNNNNNNNNCUGCGGUCAGCUUGUUGCGGCUGCACCCUGGGGCUUCGGUCCUAGCUACUUCCGGUCCAAGAGGGUCCGACCCUAAGAGGCUUCGACCCUAUAAAGGGGAUUUCGGGUCCUUUAAGGUAUUUUCUCCAUUCUAACUCCAUUUUAAGCGGUUUUUGACCCGGUUAAGGGUCGGGAUGGCCCGAAAGACUACAAAAUGUUUAAGGAACUUUUGAGAGAGAUUUGGGAGAGAUUUCACAUACUUGGAGAGAUUUCUCAUAUGGAGAGAGAUUUGGGAGAUAUUUGACAUACUUGGAGAGAUUUCUCAUACAAAGAGAGAUUUGGGAGAGAUUUCACAUACUUAGAGAGAUUUCUCAUAUGGAGAGAGAUUCGGGAGAGAUUUGACAUACUUGGAGAGAUUUCUCAUACAAAGAGAGAUUUGACAUACUUGGAGAGAUUUCAGAUAAAGAGAGAUGAGUGAAAACGAUUGAGAGAGGUUUCGUGUGUGACAUUUGUGAGUGUUUGGCUCCGCAACGCAAGGUCCGUAAGCCCCGUUAAGCCAUGUUGAAGGAUCUUACACACUCCCGAUGAGUAUGCAACAUUGUUUUAUCGGUUUGGUUCUUUACUUAUCGUCGUUUUAGGUUAAUGAAAUCUAGAUAUACGAACUUUUCCAUUGGUGAUUUCUCAUUAGAAUAGUGAGUUGUUUAGUAAUUACAUAACGUAAACCCUAGCAUACAAGGGUUAACUGAGUUGACCAGUUUGACUUGUUAACUUUAGUUGACUUUGACUCGACCGGAAAUUAACGGUUGUCACAUUCCUCUUCUUCCAGGUCCACCACUGGCUCAGCAGGUCCGCCCUUGACUUCUGCCUCGGGUUCCCCUUCCGAUUCUUCCUCGGGGUCGUCUUCAGGUUCCUUUUCGGACUCCUCCAACCUCCCAUUAUUCCCCUGAUCUGGGAAAUACGGAUCUCCGGGGUGAUGGAAACCGGCCAUGCUAUCUGCGAGAGUGUAUAAAUAUGCUAAUAUUACUCCUAAGAUGUUUUAACUAUUGUAUAAAUCGAGUUGAUGUUCUCUUCUUGGUAAUAAAGGGGUAUGUUUUUAGGUUUACCUACCAUCGCGGUUUCCUCGGGGCAUGUGAUUGUACAAGUACGGGUGUUUUAUCGUUGUUUUUUAUUUCUUUUGUUUUGUUCAGAGUUGCUUUGUCCCUUUUUGGUUUAUAGUUUCAUCUCAAUGUGUUGUUAGAUAUGCUAGUUCACCAUAAACAGUGCUCUGAUACCAACCUGUCAUACCCCCUAACCAGACGGCGGAAACGUCUGAGGGUUCACGUGACUAAAUUUGAAUAUCAUCACAAUGAAUAUACAUGAAUCAUAACAUAAACAUCACCAUGCAUCAAUAUAUUACAAUUGACGUUGUUUACAUCAAGUACAUUGUUUUAACAUUACAAUCCAUAACAUAAAAUGUUCGAUAGUUUUCAAAAGCACAACACACUAACAUACUUGGUACUACUCCUCUGCUUACCUGUUACCUGAGAAUACAGAUUAUUUUGAAAAACGGUCAAAAUAUGGAAUGUUGGUGAGUUCAUAAGUAGGUUUGAUGUGAAAUUGUUUUGUGUAGUUUGAAAGAAAACAACCCAGAAAAUCCGAUAUUUUCUGAAAAGACCAUUUUUAUAUAAAAGUGUGGAGAUCCGUAAGUAUAUGCAUGAUGAUUUCAAAACGUGUAUAAUUGAAAAACUUUGUAUUAAAAGUACCAGUGAAAAAUGUUGAACUUCCCCGGAAAACCCGAUGUUUUCCGAAAAUAAAAAUAUCAUAUAACAGUUCGAAUUGUUAUCCCAUCACGUGAGUGAUUUUGACUUACCUUGAUUACUUGAUUUAUACUGGAUUUAUUUAUGUGAGUCGUUAUAACCAUGCAUGAUAAUGACUAGUUCGUCUGUCUUGGCACUCUGGUGAACGCCGAAAUUCAUCUUAAGAUUUGGUCACCCUAGACUGGCCGAGUCUAACUGUAGCAAACAGCUGAGGUGUGGGGGAGUCACCCCCGUAUAGAUCUAUAGACAAACUCUCACUCUCCCUCUAGGAGACUUUGAUUAUAACUACAGACUACGACCGACACACGUUGGUGCCACCCAUUAUUACUCACUAAAUCCCAAUUGACUUUGAUUACUAUUGAUUAUCGACCCGUAUUUGCUUACUAGGAUUAACGAUAGGCCUAAUAAACGAGGAGAAGAGGAUUACAAGAUCCUACUAUUCUCGCGUAUUAUUUAUGGCUAUUGAUUAUACGAAGGACACGCUGACUCAUUUCGCAUUUGAUUUACUUGGACCUUACUAGCAAUGCUAACGGGCCACUAAGGCCCAAUAGCACUUAAAAGCCAUUGAGGGUCCCUUAAAUAUGAAAUUGGGUCAUAGAAGGCCUAAUAACAUUUAUAAUUAUCCCUUGGGCCCAAAAAUCAUGUUAAUGGGUCACAAAGGCCCAAUAAGCAUGUUUGGAACUUUCAAGCCCAAAGAAUUUAAUGUUUACUUAUUUUAGGAAUUGUAUAAUUGUUGGAAGGUUUGAUUGAACGAUUGUUAUUUUUUGUAUCGACACGAGACCGGUCGAUUUGUUUAUAACGAUAUUUGGAUUAUACGUAUAUUCAUCUCUCUAUUUUCAUGAGUUGUGACUUUUGGUAUUUUUGACUCAAACAUCUUAGAAAUAAAAUAAUUGGUUCAAAAUGUUGGUUUGACCCCUUUUAGCCCUUCUUAAUAAAAAUAACCAUUUUUGGUCCUUUAUACAAAAAAAAAAAAGACUUUUUAAGCCCUUAAAGCAUUUUCUUGACACAUUUGACCUAUAGGCUUACUCAAUUGAUAUUUUUAGCUCAAAACUUAUUCUUUGGCAAUUUCAACCCUUCCAGAAAAGUGAUUUUCGGUUAAAGCCCAAACUUUUGCAACUCUUACAAUUUUGGCCCUAAAUCCAAAAAAAGUUUACAUUUUUGAUCCUUGUUUGGAAAAUACAUCAUUUUGACCCCUGAAAUAGUUUUGUUUACCCUUUUUACCCCCUAUUUUGAGAAUUUUAUCAUUUCACCCCCUUGAAAGUUGAAAUUUUCGCAAGUCAUGGCUUAAUGGGCCGAAAAGCCCAAAAAUUUGGCCCAUUAAGCUACAAUUUAUACUUCUAACCCUUAAAAGAGUAUGGUAUCCAUAAAAAUAUUUAUUUUUACUGAUUUGACUCUUUUAGUCCUUCAGAAAAACCGUGAAUGGCAAUUUUAACCCAACUUUUGUUUAUUUGACAAUUUAAGCCCAAAAAUUGUUUUAUGUUGCAAUAUGUUGAUUUAAAUCUUAGGGGAUACUUUUCUUGACUUGUUUAGUGUAGUAUACAUUAGAUCAAGUUUGCUUUCCUUCUUAUGUCAUAGAUCUCGAUAUUUCUUUCCUUUUGUUUACAUAUUCAACAGAUAAGCACAUAAAUUCACACAUACAUACAUGAAACCAUACAUAGCAUACACAUACACAUAGAUCUACAUAUUUUACUUAUAUUCUCCCACAUAAAACUUGUAAAAACCGAAAAAAGAGGGGUAUGAACUCACCUUGCUUAGUUGAUCUCGGUUUGAAGAAGAAAUGGGAAGAGUUUGAUGCUAUUUUUCGGCCCUAUCAAGCUUUCUUGGGUUGAUUUCGAACUAAGAGCUUCUAAAGAUUAGAUCAUGAGAAUUGUGUGUGUUAGGAAGAAGUUUUGAUGAAGGAAAGAGUCUAGGUUAUGGAACUAAACAAUAACUUACCAAUGAUGAUGAUUAUUAUGGAAUAACCUUCUUGAAAAGCCCUAGAUCUCGAAAUUUUGGUGGAGGGUAAGAAGAUCUUCUUGAAGACUUAGAUAGAGUUUGAAAGAAGUUUGAAGGUGUGUGUGUGUGUGUGUGUGUUUCCUCUUGCUCUUGGCUGAAUAAGAAAAAGAGAGGGGGAGAAAAGAGAGAGAGUUGAAUGGAUGUAUGGGAUUGAGUAUUGUUUAGUGUAUAGUUUUCAUGGAUUACCUCCAUGUAUUAGUGAGGUGGCAUGGCUUGUAUAAUUAGCCAUUUCCCCCUUUUUUUUUCUUCUUGGGCCGAGAAAGAGAGAAGAAGGAAUGAUUUUGGGCUAUUUUGUGCUUAAGUCCAUGUUAGGGGCCCACUUUGAUGAUUUUCGGCCCAAUUGGUCUUUGGAGGUGAUUCACGGCCCAAUAUAUUUCAACGAAUGAGUUUUAUGGCUCAUUAGGUUAAUUAGAUUUGUUAUGGCCCCAUAAGUUCCAUUAGGGUAUUUUAUUUCAUUCUAGACCCAAUAUGGCCCAAAAUGUUAAAAUAAAUAGAAGUGGGUCCAAUUAGAGCCCAUUUAAGAGUUCUAAGCCCAAAACAAUCAAAUUAGAAGCUUAUUGGCCCAUUAGGCCCAAUAAGGAAAUCCUAGUCCAUAAUGGACUUAAACCGGGAUUUCUAGGGCUUCCAAUUCUUUGUUGACUAUUUGAAGUGCUUGCAUAGAGCGUUUGAUGGAAAUUUUGUUGUUAUUGAAUAAGCAUCAUACAUGCUUUCACAUUUUUGGUUCACAAAUGUUAUCAUUGUUGUUGUUACAUGGUAUAGAAUUCCUAGUUGUGACAUUCAUCAUUUAAUUCUUACCGUUUCCAAAUAUUCUUAAGAACCCUAAAGGCAAUCUCUGCUUACUGCUCAUCUUCUUCUUUGCUCAACAACAAUGGCUCUUUUUUCGUCAUCAAAUGAACAGUUUGCUCAAUCAUCUGUCCUCACCAUCAAACAAAAUCAAAACCUGAUUAUAGACUCGAAUCCAGUCAAGUGAGACGCAUAGAUGUUAACGAUUAUCGAACGCCUAAAGUACUCACCUUUGGUAACCGCUCUAAUCAAGUUCAAGAGUGUUCCGAUGUUGCUACUAUCCAAAGUUUAUUCUUCAGUAGCCUACAUCAAAGAGGCGGAACGGAUUACCUUUGACAUAUUUGAGAAGAAAACUUCAAUUUCGAAGGCUAGGUUUUGCUCACUUCUAGGGCUUACUUUGGUCGAUUCAAUGGUGAACCCAGACUCAAUCUCUACUGCUCAAAUCGUGGAAAUGUUUUAUCAGAUGGGGUACACGAAACUUAUACCCGCCAUCUCCAAGUUUAGAAAACCUAACCUUCCUCUUCAAUGGAACGAUCUCUUUACCUUACUCUGUAAGGGUUUCUCUGAAAUGGUAACUGGGCCUGAUCGUGCAAGUAAGUUGUUCAUGACCAUCAUCUAUGGUCUCUAUCUUGGCAUCAGCCUGGACUAUGGUUCUGUUUUAUGGGUUUAGCUAGUGCAAAGCACUAAUUCCACUAGUCGACACAUUGAGAUUUCAUGUGCUCGAUUUUGGACCAUCGUGGUGCAGCGAGUAAUUGACAAACUCAACAUUCCAAUCAUUGCAGACUCUCUGAUGUCUUUAAUCUCCACGUUUCACACCAAAAAGAUCAUCAUUGAUGAUACCUCCAUGUUUUCAUUUGUGGGAUCAAUUCCUGAAUCCAUGUACAGGUGUGUGUCUGGUGCAAGCAAAAUCAUUGGGGAAUACAAGAAGCUUCAAGGUUCGGGUCCAAGGGCUAUCACUCCCGAGAUGCAGCAAAAUCUUGAUGUAGUUGAUAAGGUCAAGAAAAGAGGAAAACCAAAGCAACCAAAAGAGGGUCCAUCUGCCCUAGUUCAGACUCCAAAAAGAAAAAGGCAAAAGGCGAUUCUUCCAAGUCUACUCCAUCUUCUCCCAAACGAAGGCGAGUCAAGAAGCCCGCUCGUAAGGUUCACAUCCCUUCUUCAACUUCCUCUGAAAACGAAUCUAAUGGUGCUCAUCCAAGUGAAGCUGAGGAGGAUGUCAACCAAAACGGCCCAGAGGUAAAUCUCUCUAUUACAUCCCCUCCACCAUCACCUACUUCCACAUCAAUUCCUAUCACAAUUGCACCUUCCCACCUCCUUUUAUCCAGUUAACCACUUACUUCUAUUCCACUACAAAACCCUAUUUUUACUAAAACAACAACCACUACGACUACCACAACAGGUGAACCUUUUGUUGAUGUCAACACAUCUCAUGCGGAGGCAAAGACUUCGGGUUUUGAAACCUUUUCUACAACACCUCCCACUUCUUAAACUCAAGAUGACUCCGACAACCCUCUCAGUGUUGAUGGGCUCGACUUUGAUACUUUUCACUCUAGUGCAUUCUCAGGGCACUUAUUGAAAAGUUGGAAUCUCUCAUUGCUUCAUCUACUACCUCUUCAAGCCAAGCAUAUUCCGAAGCAGUCGAUAAGGGUAUGCUCGAUACUCUUGUGAAAGAGCAUGCUGCUAAUCUUGAAAAAGAAAACAAAGCAGUUGAAAACUCCACUCUUUCCUGUCGGCAAGUGACCGAAAAAUUAGAUAAACUAAUCUCAGAAAUGAAAGCUUUUAUGACAGAGAUCAAUACCGCAGCUGAAUCGAAUGCCUUCGAAGCGAAUGAUGUGAUUACGAACUUUAACACUUCGCUUCACAAAGUAAGGAGAAUCUGGAGAAGCUUUGUACAAAUAUCACUACUGAAAACACAACAUUUCAAACUUCGAUUUUCUCAAGGCUUAGCAAGUUCCAAGAAGACCUAGCUGUUGAAAGUAAGAUAAUGGACGAACAUGCUCUCCGAACUACUCAACUCAAAUCUCAGUCCAUCAAGCUCAAGCACGCGAAUAAAGAAAUUGAGGAUCUUAAAAUUAAACGAACAAUUCUAUAACGAUGCGUGGGAGAUGUGAAUACGUUACUCUCCAAUCUUCUUGAAGCGCAUGAUACUAUUAUGACCAUUAGCAUUUGCAGACACUUGGCAGAUAAGCUUCGUCCAUCUCUCACUGUUCUUAAUAGGAUUGAAGGUGUUUCUGAGGGCUCUGUCCCUCCGGAACAAGGGGGAGAAGAUGAAGUUACUAAGACGGGGGAAACACAAAUACGAACCGAAGGGUAAUGUAGCUUCAGGUUCGAAAGGAAAGAAACCAAUGGAGGAUGAUUAUGAAGAAGAAGAAACUGAAGAAGAUCAACUGAAAAGAAAGGCUCACGAUCAUGAGUUAAAUGAAAAUUCAUGAAUUGCGAGAGAAGCCGAAGAGAAGGUGAGAAAAGAAAAAGAAUUCUCAAUUCGACAUGCCUAUAACACGAAAAGCUUUCAUCUUUCAUUGUUUUGAAUCUAUUGCAAUUGUUCCCUAUCAUGAUACAAAAGUGGAUAAAUCCUUAAUUGACUUUUAUCUCAAUCAUGGCAAACCUCAGUAUCUAACCUGGAGUGCUCAGAAGAUAACUACAUUCAAAGUUUCAGGGCCAAUCGUUACAGGAGGUUUGUAAAUGCGAAGUUCAAGGUAACAAGAGGUUCUGAAAAAUGUUUUGUACGAAUUCACUUUUGCUAAUCUGCCCAAUCUCAAUCCUCAUGAUUGGAUUUUGUUGGUUAAUUUUUUGCUGAUUGAAGAACAAAAGUACAAACCCAUUCUGGCUCACAUAAAGCGAAUGUUGGUUUCGUAUAUAUAUGAAGUGGCGAAGCUUGACACCGAAAUUGUUGUUGUUUUGAAACAAAAUCCUACUGUCAAUCCGAUUGGAAGAGCAAGUGAGAUGAGUGAAAUGCGAAUGGGUAAAAUUGAUUUGGAGCACUAUAUUGCAAUGUUCCAACGUGGAAAAGAUGCUUCUAGAUAAUUUCAAAAAUUUCUUUUUGCAUUGUUUGAUAAACCUUUGUUCUCCACAUCUUGUUCGGAACAUAUUUUGGAGAUUCUCAAUAAGUAUAAAUCAAAUGAUGUUCCUACGACGAAGAACUUCAAUGAUAUAAUUCGGUGGUAUAUCGUCUUCUGCAGUACUUUACUCGCUGUGUUUCCUAAGCUUUUCAAGACGAUCAAGAAGACUCAACAGUAAAGCACCACUCGCCCCAAUUGAUACAAAAGGGAGAUUGUUGGGUUUUUGGCGUUGCAUCAUUGGGCUUUUUUUUAUUUUGUCCAAUAUGUAUACGGUUUCGGCCUGUCCAGCCAUCUUAUUAAUUAGGGUUUACGUAUUUAUAGUGCAUGCAUGCACCGUAGGAGGUUAACGGUUUUAUCUUUGGAAGUCUUUGUAAACUCUAAUCAAGCCUCUAUAGUUGAAAUUAUUCAUCGAGUUAAACUGAGGUGCGACUUUUAAUUAUUCGACAUCUGUUUGAUUAUCAUUGUGUUUUUGCAUUAUCUGUUUGAAUCUUAUCGAUCUUUUAAAUUUUAAUCUCAUCACUUCUUUCUUCCCUCGGACUGAAAGCUCGCACCAUAAACGGUCUACGGCCGAUAACCCUCGGACCGCAAACACGCGCGCCUGGUUCUAGAAACCUUAUCUUCUCGGAAGGAGUUCCCAAUCGAGAACCCUCGCGUCGGUUUGACUUUCUAGCCGCAAACCUCGCCUCGGUUUGUGUUUUCAUCCGAGAACUCGCAUAUAUAUAUAUAUGAGGUCCGAAAUCUUCCUUCAUGCUUACACAUUUAGCCGAAAACUACCCUUUUCUCUCAAAGAAUCUGACUGAAAACUCCUUCCUCUUUCCUCUCAAGAACAUGCGAAGCCUCUUACCCUCUUGAUCUUCAUGCGAAAAUCCUUUAUAUCUUCUUAAACAUCUUGCAAAUAUCAUCCAUUGAUCUUGUUAUCUUUCCAUAAAAACCUUGCAAUCUUCUUAUUUUGGGUAGAAAACACUAAAAUACAUUCGUUUUCACGAAGAACACGAAUGUCACACCCCGAACCGGAGAUACAGAAGAAACGUCCGGGGGUUAGGUGACUUCAUCUUGUAAUAUCGUCACAGUGUAUAUAAUUGAAACAAGAAAACAUCAUCAUCACACAUCCAAUAAUACAACAAAACAUGGUUUACAUCAUUGUAAUUGUUUAUAAAAGUUACAUCCCAAAAACAUAAAGUGUAUGAAAGCAAACAAAUCUAGCAAAAAUCCACAUGUUCUUGAAGUCCACCUGCUUAACGAUUCGUUGAGAAUACAAGUUAUUUUGAAAACAUAGACAUGUUUAAAUAAAAAGUUUGUAUUGCUUUGUAAACAAUUGAAAAUAUGAUAUUUUCUGUAAAAAUCGUUUCAAAGUUUUGUGUCCAAUCCUAUAUUAAUGCAUGUGUGUAACUGUUGAAAAUGUAUAACGUGAGUAUUCCAAAAAAUCUUAUAUUUUUUGUUGUAAGUAGAAGUUUUGGUAUAAUUGUAUGUUUUCCUAGAAAAUCCGAUAUUUUUUGUUUAUAAAAAAAUGUUGUGGUCUUAAAACCCUAAGACCGAGUAUCAAUGUAUGUAUGUUUUUGUAUCGUUAAAACCGUAUGUGUAUUCCGUAAAUUUUAAAUGGACUUAGUCUCCAUGUGAGUUGUUAUAACCAUACUUGAUAAUAACUGAUCCGCUUAUUAUGACGUUUUUCAGGCACCGAGUUGUUUAAGGUAAGGUUUGUCACCUUAGACUGACCUAGUCUAACUGUAGCGAACAACUCAGGUGUGGGAUGUCACGCCCGUAUAGAUCUAUAAACAAACUCUCGCUCUCACUCCAGGAGACUCUGGUUAUAACUACAGGCUACGGUUGUACACUAGAUAGGUACAAACAAAUGAAAUGUCUCAUAAGAGUCUUAACUGAAUUUACGCGUAUACUAUAUUACAUUAUGUACGUAAUAGAUAAUGUUUUCCAUGUAUGUUUUAAGUUUACAAGGUCCAACGAGUUUGCAUGUGAACCACAAAAUCCCAAUAAACAUGCAAUCUAUAUUACAGGCCCAAUAAACAUGUAAAAGGCCAACUAAGGCCAACUAAACAUGUAAAUUAUAUUUCAGGCCCAAUAGUAGUGAAAAUGUUGUGUUUAGCCAGUUUAUUAUUACUUUGUUUGUUUUACCCCAAUUAUUUGCCAAAAUGACACAAAAAGCCUGCUUUUUCUAAUAAUUACAUUUUUGGUCCAUUAGACUAAAAAUUUACUAGUUAGGCACAAUAUUAGUAAAAAUAACACUUAGGUCCCUUAAGACCAAUACUUUACAUCCUAGGGCUUGUUUUAAGUAAUAUAACUUUUUUGGCCUACUUUUGUUAGAAAUAUCAUUUUCGGCCCAAUUUUAUGAAAGUUGGCAUUUUCGGCCCAAAUGCAUAGAAAUUAACCUUUUUGGCCCAAGUUUAAUAAAAUUUUCAUUUUCAACCCAUUUAACAAAUUUUACAUUUUUGGCUCACAUUUAUUAAAAAUAACAAUUUAACCCACAAAAGUCCAAAAAGUUACACAUUAGGCCCAUGAGUCGUGAAGGCCCAAUUUACACUUUUGGUCCUUUUAAUACCAUGAAUAUCAUAAAGACACAUCUUUAAUUAAAAAUGACCCUUUUUGUCCUUUUAAAAACCAUGGGUUAGCAUAAGAAUCAUACUUUCUGUUUAUGUUGCCAAAAAUGGCCCUUUUCAUUAUUUUUGUUAGUUUUUCAAGCAUCCUUAACAUGUUUGAUCCCUUCAUCUUCAUGAUAAGUUGCAUAAAAGGUUUUAUUUUACAAACAUCACCAUAUUUGAAUAGAUAUCUUGAAGUUUAGGAAGUUUCAACACAUAAUCACAACAUAUAUCAUGGAAAACACACACAAAUAUUCAUAUAUGCAUAGAUCUAACACAAGCAACUUGUAUCCUCCCUUGAAAUGUAGUAAAAACCAAAAAUAAGGGGUAUAAACUCACAUUAGGGUGUUGGAUUCGGUUUUGGUGUAUAGUUGGAAGGAGUUUUCAACCUAGCUUAUUUCUUGAGGAGAGUUUUCGAGUCUAAGAUGGUUCUAGGAGCAUAAAUCACGAAAUAAGAGUGUUAAAAGAAAUAAGUUUAACAUAAACAUGAAGUUAAACUUCUUGAGUGGAAGUAGCUUACCAAGAUGAUCGUAUUUGAUGAAGUUUUCUUGAGGCACACACAAAAAUUUAGAGGGGGAAAAGUGAGAAUUUCUUGAGGCCUUAGAGAGAAUUUUUGUGUGUUUGAAGUUUGAAUGGAGAGUGGAGGAAGGAGAGGGGGCCGAGAAUAAGGAGAGAAGGGAAGGAGUGAGAAGACAUUGCAUAGAAGUAUGAGAUUUAUUUGUUGUAUGUUAUGUAUUGCAUGUAUAUUCACCAUGUAAACAUGAGGUAUCUCUAUGAUAUUAUCCCAUCUUUUCUUUCUUUCUUUUUUGUGUAUAAGGCCGAGAUUGAGAGGGAAAGAAAGAAAGAGUGUUUUGGGCUUGUUCAUGCUUUGGCCCAUUAGGGAGUUUUGAUCCAUGUUGGACCAAAUAGGUGUUUAUGGCUCAUCAUGACAAAAAGAAUGGGUUUUCAACCAUUGAGGUUCAAUGAAGUUGUUUAUGGCCCAAUAAGGCCCAUGAAAGCAAUGUGAGACAUUUUAGGUCCAAUAAGGCCCAUAAAAAGUCUUAUGGUCCAAAAUGUUAUAAUUUAAUGAAUAUGGGUCCAUUUAGGGCCCAAAUGAGGAUUCUUAGCCCAAAUUACUCAAGUUGUGGGUUUAUUGGCCCAACAGGCCCAAUAAAAGGAUUCUUGUCCAAUCUGAGUUUGAACCGGAACAUUAGGGUUACAAAUUCAAAGUUGAGUGUAUGAAAUGUACUGAAUUAGGUUUAGGGUUUCACGGAUGAGUUUUGAUUAAAAUAGUUGUUUUCGGGAUAAGUAUGUUGUAUAAUUUCAACCUAGUGUUACAAGCUACAACAAGAGUUGAUUACAUAUAAUCAUAAUUUCCUAGCCAAAAAUGUUGGUUGGGAUAGGGAAGAACACGAAGAACACCCACACACUAUUCUACGGAUUAUUGACUCGGUAUUGUCACAAGUUCUAACUUGGGGAUCUACACAAAUAGUCGAGAACUCAACCAAAAUGUGAGUUCAUACCCCUACNNNNNNNNNNNNNNNNNNNNNNNNNNNNNNNNNNNNNNNNNNNNNNNNNNNNNNNNNNNNNNNNNNNNNNNNNNNNNNNNNNNNNNNNNNNNNNNNNNNNNNNNNNNNNNNNNNNNNNNNNNNNNNNNNNNNNNNNNNNNNNNNNNNNUAUAUAUAUAUAUAUAUAGAAUUUGGAAUCAAAAGAUUUAGAAUAUAUAAUUUGACCCCAUUUCCUGUUCCAUGUUUGGUUAUGGGCUUAGGGUAAAGUUAUUUAUUCUGAUGUCUAAUUAAUCACAAUUAUACAAAUAUUAUAUUUAUAUAAGUAUAAAAUGGUUUUCAAACUUGGUAAACAGAAACAUAAUUUUUGCAAACUUUUUUAGUACUAUUUGAAUAUAAAAGUGGAUUUCAAGUAACAAUAGUAUUACAAACAUAUAAACUAUAAUAGGUAUAGUUUAUGGAACUUAUUCAUUGAUUUCAAGGUUCAGAUUAGAAAACAGAAAACAAACAAAGUACAUUAUAGAAAACAAACAGAGUACAUUACUGAAAAUAAACAUAUAAACUAUAUUAAAUAUAGUUUAUGAAACUUACUUACAGUGUAUUUAUUACAAAGUAACUUUUCAUUAUUCUACGUGUAAUAACCAAUAUAGAAUUUGUGAGACAACCUUCAAUUACUUUUCUAAGUACCUACCAAGUCCUAAAAUUAUAACCAGAGUCUCCUAGAGGGAGAGUGUGACACUUGUGUAUAGAUCUAUACGGGACUGACAAUCCCGUACUAGAGCUACUUGCAACAGGUAGGUCGGCAGACCUGUGGUGAAAAACAUCCUACUGAUUACGACGCCUGAAGAAUGUCGUGGUCAGGCCAUCUUAGGUCAACAAACAUGGCUAUAAUAACUCACAAUUUGGUAUUGAACACAAUGAUUAGUGUAUGAAUAAGUAAACAACUUCACAUAGUUUUAUUUAAUAAUAAAACUAUAAUACCACAUUUUACAAGUAUAAGUACAAAAUACUAUUUUAGUACAGAGAGAACAUACUUUUGAUGGUUUUAUGUGAAAUAAACUACAUUUUACAACUUCAGAGUACAAUACAUUCACACAUUGUAUACUACAACAGAAAAUAUAGGAUUUUCUGGGAAAAACAUGUUUACAUUAUCAAAGAAUAAGAAAACAUAUUUAAGUUACAAACAUACUGAUGAACUCACCAACUUAAUUGUUGACACCUUUUCAAAACUACUUGUAUUCUCAGGGAAUCAGUAGACAGGUACACACCUGGAUUUUUGAGAAGACAAUGCUCUAUUGACUCAUGUCUUUUAACUUGUACCUUUUGGUGUCAAUAUACAAUGUUUUGAAUAGAUAUGUAAAAUUUAUAACAUUUUUAAUAUAAUGGUUGUGGUACUUUGAUUACUAUUAUGCAUUGUUGUGAUACUGUACAUGACGUCCUCCGCCCGUAAACGUUUCUGCCGUUCCGGUUUAGGGGUGUGACAUGAUUGGAUUUAAAUUUGUACUUGACUAAUAUCUGGAUAUUCAAACAUGUGUAUGAAUAAGAUGUAAUCUCCUCUGAAUAUGAGACAUCACUUUUGUGUUGAACAUUGUUGUGUUCUAUAUUAGCAUGUUAUUCAAUCCUUGAAUAAUGUAAUUAUUCAAAAUUUUUCUAUAGUCAAUCACUGUUGCGGGAGCAACUGUGAAUUAAGACUAAUAUGAAUCUACUUUGUUGAUUUCAAGAGGUGAAAUAGCAAAGUAUUGCAUCCAAAUUCAUAUGUACUUGUUAGAGAACAACUAUUGGAUAUGACACGCAUCAAGAAUCACUUCAUGGAUCGAUAUCAUAAGUGAAUAUUGAUCACAUGUAAAUAUUUUUUAUGUCUUUCAACCUGAGAUGCAUAUUCAAGAACUCAAGUAUGAAGAUUGUUAUACUUUGAAAUGGUUAAACACUGUUCGUAACCGUGAAGUUAUAAAAGCCUUUGUCGGGUACAACAAACUAUAUGAGAGUACGCAUGUGGUCAAGAUGGGAUUUGUUCCUUUUAUGUGUUGAGAGUUAGACAUCUAAGACGCCUUUCUUAAAAGUUAGAUGUAAAAUGAGAAUGAUCAUGUUCCAUGUCUCAUAUCCAACAUGAUGUCUGUAGCAAAGAGAAUAUUGAUACACUUACCUUAUAAUUCAAUUGUAGCUAGUGAGCUCUAGGAAUUGGAUGUUGAUUGAUGGCACCCCUUCGUGUGUUAUUAGGGGUAAUAUCCCGUUGCUAGACGUCAGCUACUGUCUAUGUCAGUCUUUAAUUGAAUCUUGUGCAAGUGGGAGAGUUUUGGAUCUAUAUGCCUAAGAAUCAUUAUUAAGUGGCAUUGCUAAUAACAUAUGAUCCUACAGGGUCACACCUUAAUCAAGUUGGUACUUAUUCAAUAUUUAUUAUGUAUUUGAUCUUAAAAAAGUAAUUCAACUAUUGUAUUUAAUUAGAGAAAAUUUAUUGUUCUAUGAAAACAAUGUUGUAAGAAGUAGAAAAAUAGCAUUUAUAUGAUAAGGUAUCAUAAAAUAAGUCAUGUAAAAAGUUUUGGACACUUUGAUUAACCAUGAUUAAAUCAAGGGCUUACUCUACCAUGGUUAAAGGACAAAGGAAUGAAUUUUUUAUUCAAAAGGCCAUAUGGCCAAAAACGGGUAAGAAGCAUGGAUGUUGCUUGUUAACCUCCAUGAUAAUGUCCCACAUGCCUUAAUUUAUAGCCCAUACUUUUGAAUAUAAUAUUCAAAAAGCCAUGCUUGGAUGAGGUUAUAAAUAGAGGGUCUUAUGUGUGAAGAUAUUACAACUUGUUGGUCAAAAAUCUUAUUGCUCUUCUCUCUCAAAACCAUGAGCUUCAAGAGCUUAGAGCUCUUUCCUCUUUUGAAGAUAUUACAAGCUUUUGGUGUUUACUUUGUGUCUUUCUUUUGGUGCUUAAUUGUUUAAGCACUUAAGGAUUCAAGAACAAAGUUGUACAAGAAGAAAUCUAGCAAUUUUGGUACCUUACUCUUGUUGGUGGAUUACUUGUUGAGAAGAUCAAGCUCCUUGUUCUUGCCAUCUACUUCAACAACCCAAAUCCAAGAGGGUCCAAAGGAUACAAAGGUUAUAUUUUCUAAGCACCCUAUGGUUAUAAUAUCAAUCUAAUCUCUUUAAAAGGAUCAUUGAUGGUUUGUUUUGUUGCUAGACUUGAAAUUUAUAAAAAAAUUUUAAAGCUUUCAUUGCCGACUUUUUGUGAAAAACUAUUUAUUUUAUGUAACAAAAUCCCUUCAAGUUAUUGGGAUCCUUUGAAGAAGAGAUGGUUGUUUGAAGAAUAAAGAAGAUGAAUAAGGGUGGCAUAAAUGGAGAAGAUAAACUUUUAGGGUUUUUGGUAUUCUUUCUUUGAUACCAUAAAAUCCAUUUUAUUUUCCUUGAUUCACAAUGAUAAAAUUGGUGUCAAUAUGUACAAAGAGCCUAUCUAUAUUUACGUGAUUUUUGUCAACAAUAAAUUUGUAUAAUUUACUUUCUAUAAGAAACCUUCAUCCUAUUGAGAAAGGGAAUAAUCGGCUAUAAUGGGGUCACCACCCUGUUUCUAUAAAAAAAUGCCCUGAUUUUUCCAAAACAACUGGGACGAUCCCCUUUUUUGCUAAAGGCUCUAAUUGCGUGAUUGUUUGAUGGCAUUACUAGUAUAUUGAUUGAUCAAUGUUUGUUACAUCUCGAAGAUGAAAAGAAAUAUUAUAUUAUUUGUUGUCUUUAUCGAAAAAAUGUUUCAAAUAUACAUGUGGAUAUGAUAUGCUAAUUUACGUGGCGCACAUGUUCAGAAAAUACUGAAAAUCAAGAUAAUUUGCUCCACCCAUUUAACAAUGUUUUAUCAACUCCUUCAAGUUCGUUGCCCUAAUCUCAUUAUAUUGCAAUCGAUAGGCCUAGGAGGGUUAUUAGGCCUCAUAGUAGGUUCACUAAUGUUGAUAAUUUAGUAGCUUAUGUUUACUUAGUUGCCAAGGAAAUUGAAAAUUAUAAAGAGUCGUCAUCCUAUAUCGAAGCAAUUUCUACUACUGAUUUUGAUACGUAGAUACUACAAUUCAAGAAGAAAUAGAGUCUCUAGAAAAGAACCAAGGAACUUGUCAAAUUAUUCAAGAAAAAGAACCCAAUGGGUUUAAAUAGGUGUACAAAAAAAAAGAGGAUGCCAUAUUCAAAACGCGAUUUGUUCCAAAAGAUAUAUACCAUUUUUAAACAUAGCUUCAUCCGUACUUUACUUAGCAUUGCUGCAAUGUAUGAUUUGGAACUUCAACAACUCGAUGUGAAUACUGCUGUCUUACAUGAUGUUCUUUCAUUUGUUGUUUCCAUUUUUAAUCAUUACACAAUGCAUUCUCGAAAUCAUUUUAUCAAUCUUGAUGGUGAGAUCAAAAUGACUAAUAAUGGUGCUCUAAAGCGAAAAGACGUUCCUUGUAGCUUGACUGCUAGUCAUUUAAUGAGAAAUAUAACCACACUUCAUAUUAACAUCUUAUUUUAGUUGAAGGAUCACUUGUGUUAUCAUGACAUACUUCCUGGGAGAAAUCAUAAAUAUACUGCUAAGUAGUGGCAGGAGGGAUCGAGAGGUAAUAUGUGCUGCUCCAUAAAUUUUCCGGUAUAUUGUAACUCUGACGUUCAACCCCUAAAAUCAUUUGCGCUACACCUUUGAAUAUUGUUUUAUUUUAUUUUAUUUUGUUUGUUCAACCUGUGCUGCUAAAUCAAAAUUCGUUGCAAAAGUGGUUCUAUGGUCACAUUAAUGGAUUUUUAUUCAUACGAGGAUGAUACUUAAAAGAUCAAACUGUAUACAUUUCAUACCUGCCUCCUCCUAUAAUAUAUAUAUUUUGGAAUAAUCUUUCCGGUAAGCUUAACCUUAAAUGAUUUGGAAUUAUGCGGUCAAACUAUAUCGAUGUCAUGAAUGUCCCUACCCUUUUUUCUUUAUCUACAAAAAAAUGUCACACCAACACAAACAACAAUAAUUUCGUCAUCCAAAUUAAGGCAAAAUAUUGAAAUUACAUCUACAACAUAACAUCGAUCACUUUUAGUAAACCAAUGUUCCUCUGUAGAAUAUGAUAAACACGCAUGCAUCAUAAAUAAACAAUGAACUAUUCUGUCGAUGUUUGUAGCAGAUGAAUUACUUUAUCCAAAUUAACAAUGGAUGAACCAAAAGGAGAGGCACAUGCUUUUUCAGCUCUAUUCUUCAAGUCGAUUGCCUUCUUCCUCAACUCGGUCCCCCUUUCACCAUUCAUCAACUCAAUGACAAGAUUGGCAACUUCUUCUCUCUUUACAUCAUUGUCAAUCUCCAUGGCAACCUCCCACUUGUUGCAACACGACCAGCAAUUUGGUUGUUGGUCACCAAAAAAUGGCCAAGAAAUCAUUGGGACUCCACUGGAAAUACUUUCAAUUGUCGAAUUCCAUCCACUGUGUGUUAAAAAUCCUCCAAUCGAUGGGUGAUUCAGAACUAGUUCUUGUGGGCACCAACUAGCCAACAUCCCUCUACUGUUUGUCUCUUCCAAAAACUCUGGUGGAAGCAUGGCAGAGUUGUCAACCACAAGGUCUGGACGUAUUAUCCAUAAGAACGAAUAAUUGCUCUUUGCAAGUCCCCAACAAAACUCGACUAGGUGUUGAUGUGUCAUCACUGUGAUGCUACCGAAAUUCACAUAAAUAACUGACGAUGGUGGUUUAGAAUCUAGCCAUUUCAAACAUUCGUGCUCUUCCUUCCAAAGAUUUGAUUUGAGGGAUGAUACAGAUUCAUCAACAAGCUUCUUCUCUAGUAAAUUCAAAGGACCAAUUUCAUAGCAUGGUGGAAAUAUUGAACCAAGCAUCUCCAAAAGGUCACUUUCUAGUUCAUGAAAGGUGUUGAAUAUAACAGCAGAAGCUCUUUUUGCUCUCUCAACUUGUAAACACAAAAACUGAAUCAUGUAUUCGUCACCAGGGUUGGAAUUUCUAAAGAACGAAAUCAUGUCUUUUAGACGUAUACCAGGCAUGGUUGGAACACAAUCUAUCUUGGUAUCUAAAUACCCAUCUUCUAAAACACCCGAUUCUGUAUAAAGAAAUAAUGGAAUUAGCUUCAAAUUAGCAACAAAAAAUGCAAACAUAUAUGAUUGUAUAUAUAUACAGACAUAUAUAUCUAUAUUUGAACAAAGAAUGAGUGUAUAUUACCUUUUGGCAUCAAACCUCUCUCUAAAAGAUUGGGAUACUCAUGAAGACACAUAAGAGAACCAACUCCACUGGUCCAUAAGACUAUCUCAGGGAUAUCAAAUUCCGUAGCAGCAUCAUGGGUGAAGCCCAUAAGGACGUCAGCCACUAUGCAAGUCACCGGAGAAGAUGAAGCAUUCAGUUUUGUGAGGAGACUUUUAAAGGGACCCAAACACGUUUCAUCGACGGACUUGCAUAAGGAUGGAACAUCUUGGGUGGCAUCAGGGUUUUCUGGUGGCGGAAGGCCAUCUGGAAUAGCUUCAAAACAGAAGGAAGGGAGACCAUGUAGGGCGGCGGAGCCCUGAGAUCUAAGAAGGCGUUGAUGGUUGAACUCAGUGUUAACGAAGGUAAUAUGAAGCCCUUUGGAAUGAAGGAUUUUAGCAAGUUUUAGCAUUGGAUUGAUAUGGCCUUGUGCUGGCGCUGGUAUGCACAAGACAUGUGGCUUCUUUUGUAUCGAACCCAUGGAAGCCUUUGCAGUUAACACUUAACAUAUGUCUGUUUUAUAGGCAUGAAUUGGAAAAAGCAAAAUCGAAGUCCUCUUUAACAUAAAAUAAUGUUGUUAUCGUUUGUUCAGUUUUGACCAUGGAAAUUUUGUCACUGCUUGCAUGAUUGAUUAAGUAACUUCUUUUAUAUCGCUUUUGUUGAAUCUGAGAACGCUUUCAUAGCAAAACGUUUCUAACUCUCAUCAAUUGGUUAUUCAUGUCCAUUUCUCGUCAUCAAUUGUUAUUUAUAAUAUUAAUUUAAAUUGGAGAGCAGGUAUGUCGUCAUUAUUUUUCUUGUUUUUUUUUUGUGUUCUUUCGAUCGUAUGGUAAAUGAUAUAUACAGAUUAAUGAAAUACACGACAAAAGAGGAUAGCUGCCGGAUUAGGUUUAUUUAAAUGAUAUAUACAGAUUAAUGAAUUAAACGACAAAAGAGGAUAUCUGCCAUAUUAGGUUUAUUUAUUUAUUUAUUUAUUCGUUUCUAUGUCUUAUCACUUCCAAGGAAAAUGAAUUGCUAAAUAGGUAACUUUAAUUUAGGCAACUUUAAAAACAAAAGAAAGUUAUUUAACAAUUUUCAUAAAUUCUUACCUAAAUUUUGCUUAUAAUUUUUUUUAAACUUUUUUUUAUGAGAAAUUAAAUAUCUUUCUACCAUUUGUUUUUACUUUUCCUCUUAUCAUAUCAAAUGUUGACAUAUAUCACUUUUAAUUACACAUUUAAUUAAAUUAAUAAUCAUUUAAUCCAGUUGUCAACAUUUGAUAUGAUAGAAGGAAAAAUAGGAACAAAUGGUAGGAGGAUAUUUAAUUUCUCUUUUUUUAUACUUUCAUAAAAAUUAAAUACAAAUGCUUUUAAACAAAAAAAUUUAUAAAUGUUUUAUAUUUUUCUUACAAGAUUUUAACUUGUAAUUUUUUAUUUUUUAUUUUUUAUUUUUUAUUAUUUUUUUUUUUACAUUUUCAUACAAUUAUUUUUCUAAUUUUCAUACAUUCAUUUCUAAAUUUUAUUUUACAAUAUUAUUAAAUUGCCUCACAGAUUUUGUAUGACAAUCUAAUAUUUUUUUAUAACAUUUUAAAAUACUUUCUUUAAAUAAUAGUUUAAAACAUUUCAUAAAAAAAAAAUUAAAAGUUUAUAAACUUCUAAUUAAAAAGUUGCAAUAAUUUUAAAACUUUUACAUUCUAUAGAAUUUUUUUUUUGUUUUUUUAUUUGCUAGGUAAUAUAUAUAUAUAUAUAUAUNNNNNNNNNNNNNNNNNNNNNNNNNNNNNNNNCCAAUCUUAUAUAUAUAUAUAUAUAUAUAUAUUCUAUACUUACUAUUACAUAUUUAAUUUUAUUGUUAGAUACCAUUUACAUUAAAAAUAUUCUAUAUGCUAAAAGAGAAAAGAACAAAACAUAUUAAAGAUUAUAUGAAAUAUUUUACAAAACAAAAACAUAUUUUUAAUUAAAAAGUAAAGUUUAUAAUUGAUCAAUAUUUAAUUAAUAUUUAAAAACUUAUGGAUAAUUAAAAAAUUAUGUUUGAAAAAAUAAUACAAACAAAUGUGAAAAACAAUCGCUAUUAAAACAGGGGAAAAUAAUUUAUCAGAGUAAUUAAGUUUUUGUUUUGUUAACAUUUAAACAAUUUUUUGUACACAUUAAACAUUUAAAUUAUUAAUUUUUCACAUUUACCAUUUUGACGUGCUAUAAUCGGUGACAAUAACAACAGGUGAACACAUAUAACAAGUUAAAUGAUCAAAUGUAUACAAAAAUAAAAAAGUUACCUAAAUGUAAACGAAUCCACAAAGAUAAUUACCAUGGUAAGUCAUUUUCCCUUGUGUAUAACCAUGUUCAAAAUUUCGUCACGUACUUGCAGUGACAUUAGACGCAUGAUAUAUUCUCAUUUUCAAGACAUAGAAUUUAGACCAAACAAUUCGUGUAUUCGUAUAAUGAAAACGUGUCAGCUAUAAAUUUGACACGAUACGAUUACAUGAUGAGAAAUAAUAUUUAUCUCAAUUUUUAAGAUGUAUUCGUGUCGUGUCUCUCACAGAUUCGUGUAUUCUUGUCAGCAAUUAUCAGGUCUAAUAGAAUUAGUUGGAGUAUAAAAAAACGGUAGAGAACUAACAAAUUUUUUUUUAUUUAUAAUGAAUUUACAUACCAAAGUUCACAUGUACACUUAAAUACAUAUUUCUAUGAGAAUCGCAAAUAUAUAUACACACAAAAAAAAUAUGAAUAAUAAUUAAAAAAGCAUUUAAAAAAAAAAAUCUUUUUUUGAAUCUUAAUUUCAAAAUUUGAGAUAUAUUUUAACAUAUUUGUAAAAAAAAAAACUUUUUUUAGUUUUUUAAUUUUUUUAAUUUUUUAAUUUUUUAAUUUUUUUUAGUUUUGUAAUUUUUGUAAUUUUUUUUAAAUCACAGAUAAUAUUUAUACUAGACAUUUAAAAAAAACAUUUUUAAUGCUUCUAUAUGUAUGCAUAAGAGUAAGCAUAUACAUAUACAUAUGAAAAAAAUAUAUACAUAUACAUAUACAUAUGAAUAAAUAUAUGUAUAUGCAUAUAUGUAUGCAUGUGCAUAUGGAUAAGAAUAAAUAUAUACAUAUGACAAUUAAACACAUAUAAAUAUGUUUAUGUAUAUGCAUAUGCAUAACAAUAACUAUAUGACAUAUGCAUAUGCAUAAGAAUAAGUAUAUGCAUAAGACAAUUAAAUACAUAUGAUUAUGUCUAGGUGUAUUCAUAUUCGUAAGAAUAAAUAUACGACAUAUGCAUAUUCAUAAAUAUAUGCAUAUGAAUAUGAAUAACUCUAUAUGCAUAUUCAUAAGUAUAUGCAUAUAAAUAAGAAUAAGUAUAUUCAUAAGGCAAUUAAAUACAUAUGAUUAUGUUUAUGUAUAUGACAUCCUGUAAUUUUCAUAACCAAUUAAAACUUUUCUUUACGCUUUAAAAAUCAUUUAAAUAUAAAGAUCAUUUUGAUUACAAGUGUUUGUUUCCAAAAUGUUAAAACCCUAAGGAUGUCAUAAUCAAUACAAAUACAUAAGUUACGACGUAGAGACCUGAUGGUUCAGAACUUUAUUGGAAGCUAUCUCUUAAUCACUUAGCAUCCUAAUCAAGUUCCAGUAGCUUAAGUCUUGAUACAUGCGAUGCAUAUAAACUGAGUGAGUAAGGUUGGGAAACCUGAUGAGAUACAUAAGGAUUUCAAUCCCAUAAUAUUUUCAUGAUAAUAUUCCUUAAUUAUCAGACCUGUAAAACAAACGGUUACCAAAUACUAUAGAUCAAGUUUAAUGAUCUAUAAAACCUUCAACCCAUCCUAAUCGAUCCUCACAGAUCCUAGUCCACGAUUAUCAUGAAGUUUUAUCUUAUGUGAUGAACCGUUUAAAGGGUUUGACUUCACAGCUAGGGGGCUUCCCUGGCCAGUGGAAGUCAUAAAGGCACAUGAUCCAUUAGAGUAUUUCGAGGAAUAGGAUUUUACCUUUCAUCUACGUCUAUAGGUUAUGAGCCUACACUAGCAACGUAAUUCACCAGANAGCCGUAAAUCAAGGGUUUAUGAUCGUAAACUCUUUUGAUAGUGACCACAAAACCGUAAACUCCCUAAUGGAGUUUUCCUUGAACCCCAAGCACACUAUCCUUUCACUACAGCACUUAGAUGCAAUCCUUGGGACUUAUAACACUUGUAUAAGGUGUUUAGCAUGUCCUAGGGUGUCUUAACUUUGUUUAUUAGUUGUUUAAAGACUAACUGGAUACAUAUAUGUGAUAUUAUAUGUUAACUAGGAUCAUAGAGUGUGUUCAAGUCUUCACUUGACACCUAACAAUCCUACANNNNNNNNNNNNNNNNNNNNNNNNNNNNNNNNNNNNNNNNNNNNNNNNNNNNNNNNNNNNNNNNNNNNNNNNNNNGGGGGUGGGGGGAAAUACAAGUUAAAUCAUGUUUAGUUAUUAUAUCAAUCACAUGUGAUUAAUAAUUAAACAUGCAAAUGGCUUUACUAUACGUUAACUGUUUUACCAAUCAGAUUUCUUCAAAUGUUUAUCUUAAACGUUUUUAGGUGUUUAAAACACUUUAUUAAACUGUUUAUUAAACAUUGUUUGUUCGUUUCAAACCCUGUUAUAUUUGUGUUUCAAACAAAGGUUCCUUUAUACUUAAACUAUUUUUAUCAAACAAAUACUUUCAAACCGCUUUAUAAACUGACAUCAAGUUGAUAUUUUCUUAGGUAUUAAUCUUUUUCAAAGGUUUUACAAAACUCCUUAUAUGCUUUUAUAUUGUCAAAUGCAUGCCCAUAUAAGUAUACUUAUAUAAGUAAUGUUUCAAGGACUUAGGAAGGUUAACUCACUCUAUUUCCUUUUCCUCAUGGGAUGUGGCUAUGGAGUAUCGGUUAUCCGUCCGAAUGUCAUCUAAAUAUUAGCUAUAUAUCAUGUAUACAUAUGUAGGCAUAAAAGUUUUCAUCAGUCAGUUCAGUACCUUUGGGUAACAAAGGCAUACUUCAGGUUAUACACGUACAUGGUUAGUAACUAUUAUAGGUAUAGUUAGGAGAUACUACUUACCAUUACAAGUACAAGGAAUCACACAAGAGUCAGUUCAUUCAUGAGUCUAUACUAAUACAUUACAUGUUACAUGAGUACAUUUACAUAGGUACGUUUACAUGAGUACAUUUACAUAGAUACGUUUACAUGGGUACGUUUACAUAGAUAUGUUUACAUGAGUACGUUUACAUAGAUACGCUUACAUGAGUACGUUUACAUAGAUACUCUUACAUGUAUACUUUUACAUAGAUAAUAUAUGAAGAGUUACUAUUACAUAUUAUAUGUAUAGAUACUGUUAUAUAGUUUACCUUCUUAUCUUUAUUUUGUGAUACAAUCACGUAAUUGACGAGAUAGAUUGGACUUAAUAUCCUAGUACCAAAGGAUACUUUGCGGGACUAACCAUUCCUAAAACCUUGUUAGCUACAUAUGUAAAUGCACAUCUACGGAUGUCAACGGUUGAUCCCAUUAUAGAUAUACUUUAAGGGACUAACUAUUCCUACACCCAACUGUUAGCUACAGAGGUAAAUGUACAUCUACAGAUGUCUUCAGUUAACACUGUUAGUUAUCCUAGUAUAAAAGGAUAAUACUUAAGUUAGUUAUAUUAUUACCUUUAUCUUGUGACUCAUUCACAUAAACGAUGAGGUGAAUUAUAUUUGAGUAUCCUAGUACCAAAGGAUACAAUUUCUUAUAUUAAAAAUAAUAGUCAAACAGUCGGGUCUUGGUAGAAGGCUACUUUCAAAACAGUCAGGUCUAGGUAGAAGCCUACUUUCAAAAUAGUCGGGUUUUGGUAGAAGGUUACUUUCAAAAUAGUUAGGUCUUGGUAGAAGAUUUCAUCUAUACUAAUAGGAAUCAUAGAGAUUUCUAGGGUUUAUCAAACGCUUUCAAUUACUUACAAACAUUUCCACACUUAUACGAACUUUCUUUCAGAACCAUGUCAAGUCUUUCUUUACAGGUUUUACAAAUCAAAGACACAUUAGUACUUAUGAAUUCACCAGCUUUUUGGCUGAUACUCGCUUUCAAAAUAACUUGUAUUCUCAGGUCACAAAUAGACAUGUACGACGACCAAUUUUUGUGAAGACGGAGCAGUCCAGACUCAUCUUAUUUUCUGAUUAUUCAUUUUAUUGUUGUAUAUUAUGAAAGAACUCAUUUGUAAAUAAAAUUAUACUAUUAAUGCAAUGGAUGAUGUUGUUGCUUGUUUACUACUUUACAUUGUUGUGAUACAUUACAUGANNNNNNNNNNNNNNNNNNNNNNNNNNNNNNNNNNNNNNNNNNNNNNNNNNNNNNNUAUAUAUAUAUAUAUAAAAGUAAAGGUUUGUAUCGAUCGGAUACACUUCAAGUAUAAAGAACAAAUGUAAAGUAAUAUAAAGAAAAUAAAGAACAGAAAAUAAGUAACAUAAGGAGUUCUCCAAACUGUCUUUCAUCAUGAUAGUGUUUUGUCUUCACCCAGAAGAUGGGUUGUCACAAAGAUGAUUACAUCACCAAGCUGUGUUCUCAACAUUAGGGUGUACCCUAAUGUUGUAUAUUAUGAAAGAACACACUUGUAAACAAAAUUAUACUAUUAAUGCAAUGGCUGAUGUUGUUGCUUGAUUACUACUUUACAUUGUUGUGAUACAUUACAUGAUGUCCUCCUCCCCAGAACGUUUCCGCCGUUCUCGGUUUUGGGGUGUGACAGAUUGGUAUCGGAGCAUUGUUUAUAGUGAAUUAAGUAUAUCAACCCAUAAAAGAUAUACUAACUAUAAAUACAAUGGGAUUAAAAAUACUCUGACCAAGAGUAUAUACUUUAAAUAAUAAAAUAUUUAACGAAGUAUACGUGCCUGCAUUCAUACUAAAAUCCGUGUCACAAUGACAAGAACAAAAGUAUUACGAUUGUUGAAUAUCACAGGUAAGCUCGGGGAUGUAUGGUUUGUCUUGGGAGUGGCAUAGCCUGAUCAACUAUGAUGGUCCGAGGAGUGAUUAGCAUAUGCCCAAGAAUGGUUGUGAUGUGGCAACAAAUCAAAAAAAAAAUUACCAACACCACUGCAAUGAGAACAUUAUAACAGAACCUAAGUCUAAAAUACCAUAGGGGUGUUUUGUGUUACUAUAAUUACUUACUUGAGAACUAAAAAGGAUCUUCAUUGCUAAGUUGAUAGUUACUAAGUGGAUACACUAAGGCUAUAUGUAAAUAGGAUGUUAUAGACUUAGAAUCUGUGAAAUUUUUGCUUUACCCCUAUUCCUUGGGAAUUUGGAGUUAAGGUCACUUACUCGAAGGCCUAUCAUGUGUUAAUUACAUAUAAUUGAUAUGCACUUUACAAAUAGUGAUGUAACUAAUGAAGAUUUUCUAAUAAUUAUCUAGAUAGUCCGUCUAAUAAUUAAUUCCUUACCCCAAUUCUCGCGUAGAUAACAUGGCUGGACUCCAUCCCCACGACAACCCGUACCUUCCGAACGAAGUCAUUGCUGGAUGGUUUGGAGAAGAACCAGAGAAUGAUCAUCCGAUCCCUUUGAAUGAUCACCACGCUGAAGACCUCGCGGAUGAUGAUAACUCCGAACCCGAAGUUGAGAACCUACCCCCGGCAGCUCCCUUUCCAAAUCCUAACCCUCGUCCGGCUUUUCAUGGCCCGACGCCUCCUUGGGUAGAAUGCUUGGAAACAUGGAGCCAAGGGCAAUAUCAGACCAUGCCAUUUAAUGGUGACCAAAGCUUUUAUAACCUGAGCAAUGGGGGCUUAGUAGACAGAAUCUUGCCAAUCCUGGUCCGCAGAGUGGCCCGAAAUGAGAUUCAAGGCAGGACAGCCCUACAUCAAAUCACAGAUGUUGUCGCCAAUGCGAGAAAGCAUACCCUUCGCACCAUUCGCCUGGAAGAUGCUCGCGAGAGAUCUGAAAGAGACCAUGAAACCCUGCUUCAAGCACUGGCUGAAUCACGAGCCGAAGUCAUAGAACUCCGAGUACGCCAGAGGGUGUACGAAACACACUUGCUUGAUAUGGAACGUCAACUGGCUGAGCUAUGAGUGCACCAGAGGGAUGAUCGUCACCAGUAGGAGAUACUUUACUUCCGUUCUUGUUUUAAAGAAUUGUGUUCCUGUCUAUGUCCUAUGUGGCAUUUUCUAUGAAACUGCCUUGUACUGUAGGUACUUUUAGUUAGGCCUUUAUGCGGCCAAAACCUUGCUACUCAGGAUAUGAUGUAAGACCUUUUUCAAGGUCAAAUUUUCCUAAACUUAUUACAUAUUAAACAUCGAUGAUACUGACAGUCGGCUAACUUCCGUGUCUCGCUUUGUUCAAAUACCCACAUCAUACCUUCGUUGGAGUCUAUCUGAAACAUGCUUAGGUCAAGUCUUUGGACUAUAGUAAUUUAACUCCGGAGACAUUUCCAAGUCUCUUUCAGUGGUUGGAUCAUGUUAUUCACCAACCAACGAUACCUCGGCUUGAACGACAAACGUCUUAAGACCAUUUUACGAACUUACUUUCACUCUUUACUAGGACUGCAUCAUAGGGAUGUAGGUCGAACCUACGAGAACAUACUUCUAUUCUUUACAUGAACGAUCGAACUACAUCUAGGUCCAACCAUACUCACUCGCAAAUUCAUUUUCUUUCAGUGUAACAGAAUCAUGUCACCAAAGAAAAACGAUCAACCCAUCAACCAAACACCAACUCUUCAGAUUGAUGCGGCUACCUUUCAAGCUGCAGUCUCGGCUGNNNNNNNNNNNNNUCCCUUCCAAGCUGCAGUCUCGCCUGCCGUGACAGCUGUUCUGACCCACCUUAACGCUAACAACGCGAAUGUUAGUGGGAUUGUUAAGAAUAAUUCCAAUCCUGGUAACAAUCAAGUACCUCAACGAGCAACAAACUACCACGACACCCCGAGUUCCAAUACCAAGAGUAACAAACAGAAGUUUUCGGCUAAAUCCAAGGACAAAUCACUUCGAGGGGCGAAUAAGAAACAACCACGGGUAAUGACCUUCACAGCUACGACAUCUGUACCUCCUACUACCAUUCCUUCUGGUAUCCCAAUUUUCCCUACACCAUGCCGGAAACCUACCGAAAUGAUAUAAGUGUAGCUUUCAUCAUCUGGGUAGUUGUCAUCCUUUACACUUCUUUAAGUGCAACAAGAAUGGUCAUACUACCAGCUGCUGCAGGACCCAGAUCCAACACAUUACUUCAACCACCAAUGUCCAAACCUCUCGGAUAUGCCAUCUACAUGGCGUAAUGGGACACUUCAAGAGGGACUGCCCAACAGAGAAGAACGACGGCGAAUCCGGAGGAGUUUGACCUUAGAAUGAAAAGAGGAGACGAAGGACCCUACUAUAGUAUAGGUUCACUUCCAAUCGUUAGUAUUUUGCAUGGUUUUUAAAACAUGUUUACAACUAGUGUAACUCGAGUCUUAUCUUUUGUGAGAUCCCGUCAGUUAAGGGACCCUCACGCUGCGUAUACUUGCCUUUUGUAGUAUACUUUGUUCGCAGCAGUAUUCCUGUAAUUACUCUAAAGUACUGUAACCCUGAUAAAAGUUGAACCGUUAUAUUUUGUCUGUAACGCCCUUAUGUUCAAAUCUAAUGUCUUUUACUUAUAAGUAAGUCUGACAUUAUCAUACAACUUGAGAUAAUCUGAUCCGCACAAAACAAGUUUCGUGCGCACAUCUCCUUCUCCGAAAACGUCUUUCUAGCGAAGCCGUCAUUCCAGAACAUUGAAGUACUCAUGCAUGGAGUACCUCAUGUUUCUUAUCCUUUCCGAAGAAAACUCAGCAAACCUCCCCAAAGUACCACUCGUACAGUACGUCAGGUUCAAUCCAAAGAUCCAUAGGGUUGAUCUAUCGCUGAAGAAUGUAUACAUAGCGGUGGUAUAUAAUCAAGGUCCUACAGGUUUAGAAUGGAUGAUUCCAGUUUAACUUCUUAUUCUCAUUGGAAUGUGAGCCUAAAGAAGAAUUAGUUAUUCGACUACCUUUUCAAUCUUAAUUAUAUACGACUCGUAUACACGAGGCUGCGAUUGAUGAACCAUGUAUGACUUCUAAUAUGAACUUCAGGACGGAGACUGCCCAAGAUCCGAAUACCACCAGUUGCGAGGAGUUAGUGAAGGAUGUUCUGAGGACAAUCUUCCAAAAUCGAUACGGAGACUACGAGUCUAUAGUGAUACCCCUUGGAUAGGACCAAUAUGCCGGUGGUAUUCGUGAACUUAAUGAAUAUAGUACACCAUUCUUACUAGGAUCGAUUCGUCAUUGUCCUUGUAAAUGACUUACUUAUCUACUCUCGUAGUAAGAAGGAAAUCAUAAUGAGCAUCUACAACAAACCAUGGAAACAUUACGAUCAGAGAAGCUUUACGCAAAGUUCUCUAAAUACGAGUUUUAGAAUUGAAGAGUCAAAUUCCUAAGACACACUAUUAGUGAUGUGGGAAUUCUUGAAGACCCUUCCAAAGAUCAAAACUGUUGAGAAAUUUUCAGCACUAAAAACGCUUAUGGAAUUCGCCAAAUUCUAGGUCUCGCUGAUCUAUCGUCGUAAGUUCAUUCGGAACUCCUCGCGAAAUUACGGAACCCCUUACAACUUUGACUUUGAAGGGAGUGACCCUUAACUGAGAAGAGAAACAAGAAGGAGAAAUGUUGAAAUCCCAAGUGAGACAAAAUCCUUUUGGAAGCCUCACCCUGGGAAGGCUUGAUACACUUCAGAAAGCGUGGAGAGCUAAAUCCAAGAGAGUUAGGACCUCCGAGAUUCUUACCCGAAUUGGUCCUGUAACUCAUAAACCCAACCUACAUCGCGAACUCAGUGACAUACAAUCCUCCCUUCACGUCUCGAACUUGAAAACGUACCUUUCCGUCAGGACUCUCGAAGUCCCACUUGUCGAGAUUAAGAUCAAUGAGAGCCUCGCCUUCGUGGAAGAACCGUGGUGACCAUGGACAGAGAGGUCAUGCGAACAAAUCAGAACUGCUUUCCAUUAGUGAAUGUUCGCUGGAACGCCAAGUGAGGACUGGAAUUCACUUGGGAGCAUGAGGAUUAGAUGAAACUGAAAUAUCCUCGUCUUUUUACUUAGUUAUUUGUAACUACUUAUUUUCUUAAAUUCUAAUUUCGGGACGAAAUUCCUUCUAAGGAGGGGAUGAUGUGACAACCCGAUAUUUCUAUUCUAUACAAACAUAUCAAGUCAACAGAAGUUAGAACAGUUACUAUUAAUUUUCAGACUUUUUAGAAUAAGUUUGAUUAGGAUUCAUACUUUAGAGAUAUCAGGAGAGAGGACGCACUAGGGUUAUUGUGAAACACUGUUAUUCCAAAACUCUAAGAAAUUAGAGUUUACUUCCUAAAUAAAAUAUUUUCAGCCAAAAACCCUAAAUUUGGGAGUAUAUAUACGAGAAUUUAUCUUUAUUUACACCUUUUCUAAAAACUCAAGAUCCAAACGCAUUUCUCUCUCAAGUAUCAUCCAAAAGAUUUUCAAGAUCUUAAAACUAGUAAGUGAUUCUAGCUUUCUUAAGUGAUUAUAUGGCUUAAUCUAGUGUUUUAACACUCUUCUAAUCGUGAAAUCAUUCCAAAAGGUUGAUUCUUCCUUUUUCACCAAGAACACACACUAGUGUUCUUGGACUUUUAGCUCAUUUCAAGCUUCCAUAUAGUAAGUACUUCUAUCCUAGAGUCUUAUAAAGCUUUUUAUACAUCUUUACAUCAAGAAAAUGUCCCAAGAACACAAAUAACAAGGUUUUCACGGUUCAAGAAGUUCUUGAACCGUAAACACCAAGUAAAGGUGCCAAAGUGUGCUUAGUCCUUUCGUGUGCCUUACUAACUAACAUGGAUCCAUUCCUUGAUGAGCUAAGGACUUGAAAACCCCCAAAAUACCAUAAAUCUUAUGAGUUUACGGUAGUAAACACAAAGAAAAAUGGUUUAGGAACCGUAAACUCCAAAUAGAAGUGAAAUGGUUCCCUAGUUCCCUCCAUAGAUACAUACUUCAAGUAGAAAAGAUUCUAGGGACUUUUAAGGCUUCAAACCAAUAUAUGGUUAAAAGUGUAUGAGCUUACGGCCGUAAACUCAAGGGUUUACGACCGUAAACUCUUUUGUUAGUGACCACAAAACCGUAAAGUCCCUUAUGGAGUUUUCCUUGAACCCCAAGCACACUAGCCUGUCACUACAACACUUAGAUGCAAUCCUUGGGACUUAUAACACUUGUAUAAGGUGUUUAGCAUGUCCUAGGUUGUCUUAAAUUUGUUUGUUAGUUGUUUAAAGACUAAUUAGAUACAUAUAUGUGAUAUUAUAUGUUAACUAGGGUCAUAGAGUCUGUUCAAGUCUUCACUUGACACCUAGCAAUCCUACAUCUUCAGUUCAUCCAAACCACCAACUACAGGUGAGUUCAUACCCCAUGAAUUAACCUUUUAAAGGUUUUUAAAUGUUUAUAAAUGCUUUAUAGGGGGGGGGGGGAGAAUACAAGUAGAAUCAUGUUUAGUUAUUAUAUCAAUCACAUAUGAUUAAUAAUUAAACAUGCAAAUGGCUUUACUAUACAUUAACUGUUUUACCAAUCAGAUUUCUUCAAAUGUUUAUCUUAAACAUUUUUAGGUGUUUAAAACACUUGAUUAAACUAUUUAUUAUACACUGUAUGUUUGCUUCAAACCCUGUUACAUUUGUGUUUCAAACAAAGGUUCCUUUAUACUUAAACUAUUUUUAUCAAACAAAUACUUUCAAACCGCUUUAUAAACUGACAUCAAGUCAAUCUUUUCUUAGGUAUUAAUCUUUUUCAAAGGUUUUAAAAAACUCCUUAUAUGGUUUUAUAUUAUCAAAUGCAUGCCCAUAUAUGUAUAGUGAUAUAAGUAAUGUUUGAAGGACUUAGGAAGGUUAACUCACUCUAUUUCCUUUUCCUCGUUGGGAUGUGGCUAUGGGGUAUCGGUUAUCCGUCCGAAUGUUGUCUAAAUAUUAGCUAUAUAUCAUGUAUACAUAUGUAGACAUAAAAAUUUUCGUCAGUCAGUUCAGUACCUUUGGGUAGCAAAGGCAUACUUCAGGUUAUACACGUACAUGGUUAGUAACUAUUAUAGGUAUAGUUAGGAGAUAUUACUUACCAUUCCAUGUACAAGGAAUCACACAAGAGUCAGUUCAUUCAUGAUUCUAUACUAGUACAUUACAUGUUACAUGAGUACGUUUACAUAGGUACGUUUACAUGAGUAUGUUUACAUAGGUACGUUCACAUGAGUACGUUUACAUAGAUAUGUUUACAUAUAUACGUUUAGAUGAGUACGUUUACAUAAAUAUGCUUACAUGAGUAUGUUUACAUAGAUUCUCUUACAUGUAUACUUUUACAUAUAUAAUCUAUGAUGAGUUACUAUUACAUAUUAUAUGUAUAGAUACUGUUAUAUAAUUUACCUUCUUAUCUUUAUUUUGUGAUACAAUCACGUAAUUGACGAGAUAGAUUGGAGUUAAUAUCCUAGUACCAAAGGAUACUUUGCGGGACUAACCAUUCCUAAAACCUUGUUAGCUACAUAUGUAAAUGCACAUCUACGGAUGUCAACGGUUGAUACCAUUAUAGGUAUACUUUAAGGGACUAACUAUUCCUACACCCAGCUGUUAGCUACAGAGGUAAAUGUACAUCUACGAAUGUCUUCAGUUAACACUGUUAGUUAUCCUAGUAUAAAAGGAUAAUACUUAAGUUAGUUAUAUUAUUACCUUUAUCUUGUGACUCAUUCACAUAAACGAUGAGGUGAAUUAUAUUUGAGUAUCCUAGUACCAAAGGAUACAAUUUCUUAUAUUAAUAAUAAUAGUCAAACAGUCGGGUCUUGGUAGAAGACUACUUUCAAAACAGUCAGGUCUAGGUAGAAGGCUACUUUCAAAAUAGUCGGGUCUUGGUAGAAGGUUACUUUGAAAAUAGUUAGGUCUUGGUAGAAGAUUUCAUCUAUACUAAUAGGAAUCAUAGGGAUUUCUAGGGUUUAUCAAACACUUUCAAUUACUUACAAACAUUUCCACACUUAUACGAACUUUCUUUUAGAACCAUGUCAAGUCUUUCAUUACAGGUUUUACAAAUCAAAGACACAUUAAUACUUAUGAAUUCACAAGCUUUUCAAAUGAUACUCGCUUUCAAAAUAACUUGUAUUCUCAGGUCAGAAAUAGACAGGUACGACGACCAGGUUUUGUGAAGACGGAGCAGUCCACACUAGUCUUAUUUUCUGAUUAGUCAUUUUAUUGUUGUAUAUUAUGAAAGAACACACUUGUAAAUAAAAUUAUACUAUUAAUGCAAUGGAUGAUGUUGCCGCUAGUUUACUACUUUACAUUGUUUUGAUACAUUACAUGACGUCUCUGCNAUAUAUAUAAAUAAAUGUUUGUAUUGAUCGGAUACACUUCAAGUAUAAAGAACAAAUGUAAAGUAAUAUAAAGAAAAUAAAGAACAGAAAGUAUGUAACAUAAGGAGUUCUGCAAACUGUCUUUCAUCAUGAAAGUGUUUUGUCUUCUCCUAGAAGACGGGUUGUCACAAAGAUGAUUACAUCACCAAGCCGUGUUCUCAACAUUAGGGUAUACCUUAAUGUUGUAUAUAUACUAAUUUAUACAAGUAUAUGCCUUUAUUGAUAGGUUUUCGUCUAAUCUAUAGUAAGAACCUGUCUUAUCACAAAGAUACCAAAUCUAUGAUCUAUUUUAUACUUAUCUAUAUCAUUACCUAAUAUACAAAAGAUUACAUAGAAUAACUAUGCUAUGCGUUGACGCUGAUAAGCUUUAUACGUUGGCGUUGGUUGUAGAGUACGCGCUGACGUUGAUGGAUGUGGAGAGUGUUUGACUCAUCAGAUCUUAAGAUGUGGCCUUAUAAUCUCCCUUAUCUGAUGAUGUCAAAAAUUAAUCUUCAAAGAAUUCUUCAUUUCAUGCUCCCCUUGAGAGUAACAAUAAAGUUUUAAUGUUUCAGCUUUAACUAAUGCUCCCCUUGUGAAGAUGAAUGACUUAUCAAGCAGUUGAGGCAACAUUUAUGAAUCACUACAGAUGAUGGAUGAAUAGGUGAAGGUGACGAGUUGGGCUGAAAACGUCGGUCAGCUUGACUCAACUAGCUGAGAAUGUUAAUAUUAUCUUGACUUGACUCCUCCUUAGAUUGUGCUUUCGCUUGUCUCAACUAGCUGAGAAUGUUAAUAUUAGCUUGACUCGACUCCACUUAGAUUGUGCUUUUCUAUGUAGAUUUAGAUUAUGUUCCCCCUUUUGACAUCAACAAUAAACAUAGGAUAAGAGUUCUUGUAGUUUAUAGUUUACUAAAACUAUAAUGUCUCUUUAUAGUAUUGGCUUAAACUAUGAUUCAUUAACAUAGUAUUGCAAGAUUUCAUCAGUGUGUGGUUUCAUUCGCUGAUUCAUUAAUCACUUUUAUUAGAAGAAAAAGGGCAAGAGUGGUAUAAUGUGUGUGAUAAGUUGUGGUGCUUUAGCUUAACCAUCGGCAUAGCAUUGUUAAGCUCUCAUCAAUGUAUGGUACAUUACACUAAAUCAUAAAAAUUUAAAGAAGAAUACAAGGGCAAGAAUGCAUUGGUGUGUGUGAUAUUCUAUAGUAUAUAGACUAACCAUCGGCACAGUGUUUCAAACUUUCAUAAAUGUGUGAUAUAACACAGUGAUUCAUUAUGUUUUAAUAAAAAGAUAAAGGAAAGAAUGGUUUGUUUCAAUCAAGCUGAUGUAAAAUCAGUGUGAUCCAUACACAGUUUAACUCAUCAUCAAGAAGUUUUUUACACUUCUGUAUCAUAGAGUAAGUUGCAUUCUAGAAUCAAUAAUUCAGCGUUAACUCAUAAUGGUACCAUGUCAUACCUUAGACUAGGAGGUCAUGGACAUGAACAACCCUUUGUCAUUUUAGGACCAAACAUGUAACUAUUACACUGUUCACUAUGUAAUCAGGGUAAGCCAUUGGGUUAUGCUCAAUGUUUCAGCAGAACAUGAGACUUGAUGUGUAUGACAAGCAAGCUUCCAAGGAUAGGGUCAGGUUGGAUAGCUAACUAAGAAUAAACACCCAAGCCUUUUUAUAAAAUUUUUUAUUUGGACCAGCCAAUUUAAAUUAGAAUGUUUAAAUAAUGCUAGAUAGUCAGCAUGAGUGGGUGACUCAAUGUUCUCAUCAGACGGUCUCGUUGAUUAGAAACAUAAAGAGAUUUAGUAAGAUACAACAACAUGUUUCUAGGGAUGAUGAUGUAUCAAAAGUCACGUACUAGGCUUAAAGUGUCCACCGUCAAAUUCUUUUUAAAAAUGGUACAAAAGAAUAAGAAAAUAUAAGAAUACGAACAACCGAGUUAGUCAAAAAAGAAAAUAGUUUAAACAUCAAAGUAUGUACAACUUUUUUAGAAAGGUGAUAAUGACUCGAUCCAUAAAAUCUUUGGAAUGGAAUAGUCAUAAAUAUACUUCCAUUUUCCGAGAUAUCUACUCCUUAAAUUUUGAGUAUAAAAGAGACCACAAGUAAAAAUAAACUCAUCAGUACACAAAACAUCUCACUAUAAAUCAAGAAUGAUGAGGCUACUUAUCAUUAAAGUGUUUCCAAUGCUUUCCAAGGUUCAUGUUCACUAGGAGCAAAAAAGAGUAGAAACCAGUCUUUGUAUCCUAUAAAAUAACUUACUGAAAUCUAUAAAAAAACUUCGUGUCUUCAAGAUCAACACGAGGGAAUUCAAUGUGUUGUCAUAUUAUGAGUCAGUAAAUGAAAACAAGACUUAUUUCAUUGAUGGUUUCUCUUUGCAUCCGCGAAAAUGAGUGUAAGGGAAGGAGGGUGAUCUCAAGAAGAAAAGGACAUGAUGCCAUUCUUUUUCUCAACACUGGGAGCACUAAGAUCUUUCAAUAAGGCUCCAGCCCUUACUCAUUCUGAAGGAAUAAGAUGAAAAUAUAUCAUAGACAGGCUUGAAGGAAAAUACAUGUAAAUACUAAAUGUAAAAAAUUUCAAACAUACUAAAAGAAGCACUUGUUUUUGUGUUUUUCAUAAGGCAGAAAAUAGUUAGAAAAUGAUUAAUUCACUGAAAGCAUGCCAAGUUCUGUAAUUAAUUUUUUGAAACUCUUUUUGUCCAAUAUCUUGGUGAAAAUGUAUGCCCUUUGAUCAGUGGAUUGAAUGUAAAACAACACUAAUUUUCCCUUUCGAAUGAUCUCCUUGAUGAAGUGAUGACGAAUAUAAAUAUGCUUGGUCUUGGAAUGUUGUAUUGUGUUCUUGUAUCAUCUGAUGGCAUUCUUGUUUUCAUAGCAUAUGGGAGUCUUUGAGAAGUUUAGACCGUAGUCCAAGAGCAGAUUUUGAAUCAAUAGAAUAUGAGCACAACCCCUUCCAAUGGCUACAUAUUCAACUUUAGCGGUAACACAAGCAACUGAUAUCUGCUUUUUGUCGGACCAGCUUACCAAUCUAUUUUCAUGCAUGUGAACUCCUCCUAAAUUGCUUUUGCGAUCGAUGUUGCAUCCACCAUGAUCAGAAUAAGUGUAACAAACAUAGAUUGAACUCAGAAUCAUGAGGGUACCAUAACCCAAGAUUAGGUGUAUACUUUAAGUAACGAAAGAUCCUUUUCACACCGAGAAAAUGAUAUUCCUUAGGAUUAGCUUGAUAAAGAGAACACAAUAUAGUAGAAACAAUAACGUCAAUGCGAAUCGCGAUAAGAUAGAGUAGAGGGCAUAUCAUUCCUCGAAACAUAACUGCAUUCACGUAAGCGCCAUUUCGAUCAGUGCUAAUAGACGCUGAUGAGGAUGUCAGAGUCUUUUUCGAUUUGCAAUCAUAAAAUCCAUACUUCUUCAGGAAAUAUGCAAUAUAUUUAGCUUAGCGAACAAAAAUAACAUCAGUUACUUGUUUGACCUGCAAACCAAAAAGAAGGUUAGUUCACCAUCAUUCUCAUCUCAAACUUUUUGCACAUGAUCUCUGAGAAUUCUGCACUUAGCAUUUCAUCAGUGGAUCUGAAGAUGAUAUCAUCCACAUACUCUCAGGCAAGAAUGAUAUGGGAUUCUGAAUGCUUUGUGAACAAAGUGUUGCCACUCUUCUUUCAUUGGUAUCCACUUGAUAGAAGAUAGAUUGGAAAUGUGUCAUUCCAUUCCCUAGGGGAAUGCUUUAAGCCAUGGACAGCUUUAUCAAGACGAUACACAUGAUUUUGAAACUCUUCACUUUCAAAUCCUGGAGGUUGUUUUAGAAAAACUUAUUGUUGAAGAUCUCCAUGCAAGAAGGCAGUCUUAAUAUCCAUUUGAUAGAUGUUUAAGUUCUUGAAAAUUUUUCAUCAUACUAUAACCCUUUCAAGAUCACAGACACCUUAAGCCACAAGCCUAGCUUUGUUUCUUAUGUGAAUUCCAUAUUCAUCCAUUUUUUUAUUGAAAACCUAGCAAGUGCCAAGGAUAGUAUUCCCUAGAGGUUUUGAAAUAAGAGUCCACACAUUAUGACGUUCAAAUUCUUUCAGCUCAUCCUGCAUAGCCUUGAUCCAGUCAGCUUCUUUUAAUGCAUCAACAACAUUCUUUGGUGCAGUCAUAGAGACGAAGUUGACAAACAUGCAGAAGUUGUUGCUGACUCUACUGCGGGUGAGAAUCCCAUAAUUUACAUCUCCAAUGAUUUGAGAUUCAGGAUGAUAUCAAAGAAUUCUUGGAUUAGAACUUCCAUUUGUAUUACUUUCAUCAGAGUCUUGCUAAUUUAAUGGUUCAACUUCUUCAAGAAUGGCAACUUGAUCUUUAGAGAUAGGGUAUGAACUGGUUAAUUGAUCAACAUUUGGUAUAACAAGCUCAACGUCACUUGGAAAAAACUCAGGAACAGGGUCUGAAGGAUUAUAAGUAAUUUCAUUUAUAAUUGAUGACGGGUGAUCAACUUGAUCAUGAAUAAACGACUCUUCAUUAAAGGUGACAUGAGUUGUUUCCACAAUAGUUUGCCUAGAAAGAUUCAAUACACUGAAGGUUUUAGAUAUGCUGGAAUAACCUAGAAAUACUCCUUCAUCAGCUUUAGCUUCAAACUACAAAAGCUGAUCUAUUUGAUUUUAGAUGUAAAAAACACAUCCAAACACAUGAAAAUAGUAGAUGCCCGAUUUCCUUCCUUUCAGUGUCUCAUAAGCAGUUUUCCCAUGAUGAUUGUGACAACCCGAAAUUUCCAUUCGGUCAAACCCAAAAAGUCAACCACUUCUUGUUAUAAGUUAAUGUCAUUAUUUCUUAUUUUUAACAAAUUUAAAGUUCGUUUGAUUAUUUUAAUAUUAUUUUUAAACGAACGGGUGAAAAAAAGUGUCAUCUCGGGUUUUAAAUUUUAAAAACCGCAAACACCUAGUGUCUUAGAAGUUCCCGGCCAAACUAUUAUGUUUGGGUUGAAAAAUCACCCAAAAACCGUGAACUCAUGCAUAAGCAUGAGUUUACUCCCCAAGACUAGUCAUUCUUGUGUUUAGUCCCCAUUUACCAAAAGAGUAAACUCAAAAUCCUCUCAAGUAUCAUCCUAGAAUUUAUUCAAGAUCUUCAAACUAGUAAGUGUUCUAACCAUUUCAAGUUGGUAUUACACUUAAUCUAGUGUUUGUGCAUCUAUUCAUCCAUUCAUUUUUGUAUUUUGACCAGAUUUCCAAAAACACCAAGAACACACACUAAGUGUUCUUGAACUUUUAUCUAAAAUCAAGCUUCCUUAUAGUAAGUACUCCCAUCCUUGAGUCUUAUUAAGCUAGUAUUACAUGAUAGCAUCAAGAAAAUAUGCCAAGAACACAAGGUUUAAGGUAUUCACGGUCCAAGAAUGUUCUUGGGCCGUAAACACCACGAAAGGCACCAAAGUGUGCCUAAGUCCUUUAUCUAAGCCCUAGUUUGAUGUUUAAGCCUUCCUUUAUAUGUUUAAACCUUCCCUUGAUGUGUUUAAGCCUUGAAAAACAACAAAUUCCAACAUUAUUAAGUGUUUACGGUUUGGGGAGCUCCUAAAACCUUAAACACCCUAAAGUGUGUUUAAAUGGGCCAUUUUCCUUCCUUAGGCCUAAAAACUAACCUUGACAAUUACCUUGAUGAGUUAAGGACUUGAAAACAUGGAAAUAGCCUUUUCCAUAUGGUUUUACGGUAGUAAACCCAAAGGGAAAUGACCAUGAGGCCGUAAACUCCUCAAAGGCGUGUUUUGUUGCCCUAGUCCCUUCCAAAGGCCAAACCACCAAGUAGAAAUGCUUCAAAAGACUUGUAAAACAUCAAAACAACAUAUGGUCUUAAGGAGUAGAGUUUACGACCGUAAACCCUUGAGUUUACUGCCAUAAACUCCUUGGGUAAUGGUCAUUAAAACCGUAAACUCCAAAGGAGUUUACCCUUGAACUCCAAACACUCUAGCUUUGCCCUACAAACACUUGGAUGCAACCCUUGUGAUCUUUAACAUUUGAAACAAAGUGUUUUCAUGUUCUAGAGUGUCCUAACUUAAUUUAUUAGUUAUAAUUUGGGUAAUUAGUUAUAUAUAUGUUCAUUAUAUGAUAACUAGGCUCGUGCGUGUGUACAAGUCUCCAUUUGUCACCAAGCACCAUAUCUGACACUUCAAUCCAAUCCACUCACUGCAAGUGAGUUCAUACCCCUUUAACUAACCUUUGAAAUACUUUUAAAUGUUUUAAAUGCUUUAAAUGCUUUUAUGGGGGGGAAUACAAGUUGAAUACUUAUAGUUAUUACAUCAAUCACAUGUGAUUAAUAACUUCAAACCAAUGAUAUUGUUACUGUUCAAACUGUUUUACAAAUUCUUUUACUUAUCAAAUACCUUUACAUAAACUCUGUUAUACUUAUUAUAAAUUGCUUGCCCAUAUAUGUAUAGUUAUAUAAGCAAUGUUUAAAAGGCUUAAGAAGGUCGCCCGCCCUAUUUCGUUUUCGCGGGUGAGAUGUGGUCUGGUGGGGUAUCGGAUAUCCAUCCGAAGGUUGUUUAAAUAUUAGUUAUAUAUCAUGUGUACAUAUAUAGUCAUAAAAGUUCUUCCAUAUUCAUACAAACCAGUUACAUCAUUAGUAAGCUACCAUAUGGGUACCACAGGAUAAUACUUAUACUAUUACUAGAACAUUGAGAUGUUCAAUGAGUCAAUUCAUUCAUGAGUCAGUACUUACUACUAUGAGAACAUAUACAUUAUAUUACUAUGAGAACAUAUACAACUAUACAAGAAGAAGAACAUAUACAACUAUACUAGAAGUAGAACAUAUACAACUAUACUAGAAAGAGAACAUAUACAACUAUACUAGAAAGGGAACGUUUACAACUCUACUAGAAAGAGAACAUAUACAACGAUACUAGAACGAGUAACAAUAUAUUACAUAUACAUGAAUACGUUAACAUAAUUGUGAUCCAUUGUAUCGGAGCAUGCCUUCAAUGUCAUCACCCAUGUUGUAGCCAGAGUCUCUUGGAGGGAGAGCGUGAGUUUGUGUAUAGAUCUAUACUGGAUUGACUAUCCUACACCUUGCUGCUAGCUACAGCCGGACCUGCAGGUCUGCGGGUGCCAAACGUCAUACCUUUUUACAACCUACAUUGUCGUGUUACAUAGUCGAUAGUAUGGUACAAUUAAUCACAUAAUACCUUGAUUUAAAUCCGGUUUAAGGUGGUUAGUACAACAGUAGUUCCUAUAAUACAACACUACAAUACUACAUUAAUUUACCCUUUACAUAUAUUUAGUGAUCAUUUCACUUAAACAUUAAUGUACAAACUAUAUUUUGUUAAUGAUAGUUACACUUGGGAAAAUUACACACUUUUACAAUAAAAGAACAUACAAAACAGUUACGCCUUGGUAGAAGGCUACUUUUAAUAGAAAAUAUAGAUUUUUCUAAGAGAUUCAAACUUUUACAAACACUUACAAACAUACAGCUACUUAUUUCACCAAUGUUUACAAACUCAUACUUUAAACCACGUUCAAACGUUUUGGUAUAAACACUGACACUAAAAUACUUAUGAACUUACCAACUUAAUGCUGAUAAACUCCUUCAAAAUAACUUGUAUUCUCAGGUCAUCAGUAGACAGGUAUCGAGGCUAGCUUUUGAGAAGAUGGAGCGCAUUCAAGACUCAUCUUAUUAUUUUGAUUUACUUUUUGGUGUCUAUAACUGUACGAAACACGCUUGUAUUAAAAUUAUAUAUUUAAUGCAAUGGAUGAUGUUGUUCGCUUAUUUACUGUUAUACUGUGUUGUGAUACUUUAAACGACGUCCUCCGCCCCAGAACGUUUCUGCCGUUCUCGGUUUUGGGAUGUGACAGAUUAGUAUCAGAGUGAAUUGAGUAUAUCAACCCGUAAAAGAUAUACUAACUAUAAACCGAUAUGGGAUUAAAACACUCUGACCAAGAGUCUAUACUUUAAAUACUAAAAUAUUUAAUUAAGUAUACAAGUCUGCAUUCAUACUAAAAUCAGUGUCACAAUGACAAGAACAAAAGUGUUACGAUUGUUAAAUAUCACAAGUGAGCUCGUGGAUGUAUGGUCAGUCCUGGGAAUGGCAUAGCCUGAUCAACUAUGCUGGUCCGAGGAGUGAUUAGCAUAUGCCCUAGAAUGGUUGUGAGAUGUUAACAAGUCUAAAAACUUACCAACUAUACCAUAAGGAGAACAUUAGAACCUAAACUUAAAAUACUAUAGGGUAUUUUGUGCUACUACAAGCUAUUUAUACACUAGAUUCUUAUACCUCUCUUCUCGUGUAGAUUUAAAUGGCUGGAUUCCAUCAUGGCGACCCGUACUUUCCAAAUUAAGGUAAUGCUGGAUGGCUUGAAGAAGAGCCCGAAGAUGAGCAUCCAGUCCCAUUGGAUGAUCACCUUGCAGAAGGCUUUUCGGAUGGAUCUGACUCUGAGCCUGAAGUCAACAACCUACCGCCAGUAGGUCAAGCCCCAAACAACAAUCCCCGACCAGCUUUCUCAGGUCCCACACCCUUGUGGGCAACCAACCAUAAUCGUUGGAGUGACGAACAGGGUCAACUGUUACCUUACUUUGGGGACCGAAGCUUUUACAAUCUCAGUGAAGGUGGCUCUGCGGAUCGAGCUCUACCCGUCAUUGUCCGCAGAAUAGCUCAUAAUGUUGAACAAGGUCGAGCAACCAUCGACCGGGUCAUGAAGAUUGAUGCCAACUCUAGUGUCAACACAGUCUGCAUCUGCCGUCUUGAAGAAGAAAUGGAAAGGACCAGGAGAACCAAUGAAACCCUGCAGCAACAGUGGCUGCCUCCCGAGCCAAAGUCAUAGAACUUCGAGUUCGCCAGAGGGCUUAGGAACGACACCUUCAAGAGGUGGUCCGUCAAAUGGCAGACCUCAGGGUUCGCCCGAGGAAUUCCCAUCGCCGUUAGAAGAUGUCUAGCACAUCUUUGUCUUUUGGUUAAAGAAUAGCCUUUAGUAUCUGUUCUCUAAGUAUCACUUGUCUUUAAAAUAUUCCUAACUUUCAGUACUCUAACUAGGAAUCUAGGAACUGACAAACUUUUCGUAUGGUAUGAUGUAAGACCUACUAUUAGGUCGAUUUUCCCUGAACUUAUUACAUCAGUAAUACCAGUAUUAUUGAUAACCACCUAAUCUGUGUGAAAAAUCUGUACACUUGUGUUUUCCUACUAAUCUUCUAUGUUGUGAUCUCAAACAACCAUUCAACUAUUGGGCUAUGGUUAGUUAGCCCAUGUGUCACUCUCACCCCACUUACAAUUGAUUCUUACCAUUAUGUUUAUCUUUAUAAACUUAUAAUUGAAAGAUGCCUCCUCGCAAAUCUCCCAGGCAUAAUCCACCACCUCCUCCUCCUCAGGUCAUCGAUACUACAACCCUGAAUGCUGCAGUAGCUGCGGCAGUGGCAACUGCCAUGGCUCAGUAUCACUCUACUAAUGCCAGCAGAGGCAGAACCCCUGUUGAUUCUAUUCCUGUUGAAAUCCCUGUGCGCUCGAGAGAGUGCUCCUAAAAGGAUUUCACCAACUACAAGCCGAAGUCCUUCAAGGGAACCGGCGGAGUCAUUGCCCUCUCACAAUGGUUCAAGAAGACUGAAUCAGUCUUCGAAAUUUGUUCGUGCCCUGCUACAAGCAAAGUCAAAUAUGCCGCGUGCACCUUUGAAGAAAAAGCCCUGACGUGGUGGAAUGGCCAUGUUAAAGCACUAACUCUCGUAGUGGCCAAUGACAUGGGUUGGGAAACCAUAAAGGACCUCAUGAUCGAGGAAUACUGCCCGAGGGGCGAGAUCCAGAAAUUAGAGCAGGAGCUGUGGAGCCUAACCAUGAAGGGUUCCAAUGUAGUCGCAUAUACCGCCAGAUUUAGCGAACUGGUGGCCCUCUGCCCCAAUAUGGUUCCCAUUGAAGGGAAAAAGAUCGAGAGGUAUAUAUGGGGGCUAGUGCCUCCGUAUCAGGGAAAUGUCCUAUCAUCAAACCCUGCUACCUUCGACAGUGCCAAACGACUGGCACAGCGACUCAUUGACCAUGGAGUCAAAGCCCCAUCAGCAACGACAACCCUAGCCAUCUCAGAACCCUCCAAACCCACUGACACUAAGUGGAAGUUCUGGGAUGACAAGAAGAAAUAGCGAGCUGCCAAAAAGCAGCAAAUUGUGGCUGUGCAUGCCACAAUAACCCCUGCUACUGCUACUGCUCCUGUGAGGCAGAGUUUGCCUAAGUGCAACAAAUGCAACUUCCACCACAAUGGCCCCUGCCGUGAAAUGCAUUGCUCUAACUGCAACAAGAAAGGACACACAGUCUGUUUCUGUAAAUCACCGGCGAGGCCGAUCCCCGAAGUCCCCGACACUGGUGUGAGCCAGGCUUGCUAUGGAUGUGGCGAUGCGGGCCAUUAUAAGAGGGACUUCCCCAAAGCAAAGAAUGCUGGCGGAGCAGGGAGAGUACUAGCGAUAGGCCAUGGGGAAGCAGUUGCUGACCCGAUGGUGGUGACUGGUACGUUCCUCCUUGAUAACUCUUAUGCAUGCAUUCUGUUCGAUAGUGGAGCGGAGCGAAGCUUCGUGAACCAUAAAUUUGCUCGCAUGCUUAAACAACAACCACACACACUUAAAGAACAAUUCACAAUAGAAAUGGCUAAUGGAAAGAUAGAAAGCACAAAUAGCAUAUACUUAGGAUGUACACUAACUCUAGAUAACCAUUCAUUUCCCAUUGACCUUAUGCCGGUCUCAAUUAAAACCUUUGACGUAAUCAUCGGCAUGGAUUGGUUGAGUCUUCAUCGCGCUGACAUCAUGAGCUACGAGAAAGCAAUCUGUUUAAACCUCCCGUCUAACGAAACUCUUAUCGUCUAUGGCGACAAACCCAGUACGAGUCUUCGUAUAAUAUCAAGUAUUCAAGCACAGAAGUAUCUACGUAAAGAAUACCAUGCAUUCCUUGCUCUCGUUGUUGAUACGAGCCUCGAAACGAAAGAACUAAAGAACAUUCCAGUAGUGAGCGACUUUCCCAACAUCUUCCCAGAAGAGCUACCAGGAUUUCCUCCGCAACGACAGGUCGAGUUCAGAAUCGACUUAGUCCCAGGAGCUACCCCAGUACCCAAGUCGCCCUACAGAUUAGCUCCAGCAGAGAUGCAGGAACUAUCUGGUCAACAUAAUGAACUGCUCAGUAAGGGCUUUAUAAGACCAAGUUUCUCGCCUUGGGGAGCACCGGUCUUGUUCGUUAAGAAGAAAGACGGAUCAUUCCGUAUGUGAAUCGACUAUAGAGAACUCAACAAACUGACAGUCAAAAAUCGUUACCCUCUGCCUCGAAUAGACGAUCUUUUUGACCAACUGCAAGGGGCGAAAUACUUUUCCAAAAUUGAUCUAAGAUUCGGAUAUCACCAGUUACGAGUGCUAGAGGAGGAUGUUCCAAAGACAGCCUUCUGAACUUGUUACGGACACUACGAGUUCAUGGUGAUGCCAUUCAGAUUGACCAAUGCGCCCGCAGUUUUCAUUGAUCUAAUGAAUAGAGUAUGCCGACCUUACAUGGAUCAAUUCGUCAUUGUCUUCAUUGAUGACAUCCUGAUCUACUCCCGAAGUAACGAAGAGCAUGGCGAUCACCUGCGACAAGUUCUAGGAACUUUACAAACGGAGAAGCUCUAUGUGAAGUUCUCUAAAUGUGAAUUUUGGAUCCGAAGAGUCGAAUUCUUAGGACACGUGGUAAGCGAAGAAGGAAUCCACAUGGACCCAUCCAAAAUUAAGGCUAUUGAGAACUGGUCAGCACCGAAGACGCCUACAGAAAUUCGUCAAUUUAUAGGUCUCGCUGGCUACUACCGCAGGUUCAUACAGAACUUCUCUCGAAUUGCGAAACCUCUUACAACACUGACCCAGAAAGGUGUGGCCUUUGAGUGGGAAGAGAAACAGGAGAGAGCGUUCCAAACGCUCAAGUGAGCCUUGUGCACCGUACCAAUACUAUCCCUCCCCGAAGGGAUAGAAGACUUCGUUGUCUAUUGCGACGUGUCAAAUCAAGGGCUCGGAUGUGUUCUGAUGCAAUGGGGUAAGGUCAUCACCUACGCCUCGAGACAGCUGAAGACACACGAAGUCAACUACACGACCCACGAUCUUGAGCUAGGAGCAGUUGUGUUUGCUCUGAAGAUCUGGAGACAUUACUUGUAUGGAACGAAAAGCACUAUCUUUACCGACCACAAGAGUUUACAACACAUAUUCAAUCAGAAAGAGCUCACCAUGCGACAACGACGGUGGGUCGAGCUACUCAAUGACUACGAAUGCAAUAUUCGUUAUCAUCCGGGUAAAGCCAACGUAGUAGCAGACACCCUAAGUUGGAAGGAAUAUUCUGGUCGAAGAGUCAAGUCGUUGACAAUAACUAUCCAUUCACACUUGUCUAAGCAAAUUCAGGCGGCCCAGCUUGAAGCCAUGAAACCUGAAAACGUGACGAGUGAAUCCCUUAGAGGAAUGGAUAAAAAUUUAGAAGCCAAGGGUGGCGGAGCCUUAUAUUUCAUGAACCGGAUCUGGACCCCGAAGCACGGUGGUUUCCGAGACUUGGUCAUGACCGAGGCGCACAACACUUGGUAUUCUGUCCAACCAGGUUCAGAUAAGACGUAUCUGGAUCGUAAAAAGUUAUACUGGUGGCCUAAUAUGAAAGCAGAGAUUGCUACCUUCGUAAGUAAAUGCCUUACUUGCAUAAAGGUUAAGGUCGAAUACCAGAAGCCCUCCGGAUUACUACAACAACCAGAGAUUCCAGAAUGGAAGUGGGAGCGGAUCACUAUGGAUUUCAUAACCAAGUUGCCCAAGACAACGGGUGGACUUGAUACCAUAUGGGUCAUCGUCGAUAGAUUGACCAAGUCUGCACACUUCCUGCCUAUCAAAGAAACUGACAAGAUGGAGAAGCUUACGAGAAUAUACAUUAGGGAAAUCGUACGACUGCGUGGUGUACCUAUAUCCAUUAUCUCCGAUAGAGAUAGUAGGUUCACCACAAGAUUGUGACAAUCGCUACAACAUUCCCUGGGAACAAGGUUGGACAUGAGCACGACCUACCAUCCAUAGACCGACGGACAAAGUGAGAGGACCAUCCAAACACUAGAAGAUAUGUUGAGAGCACGUGUGAUGGACUUUGGAAAGGCAUGAGAUACUCAUUUACCCCUUGUCGAAUUUUCGUACAAUAACAAUUAUCACACGAGCAUCAAGGCUUCUCCAUAUGAAGCCCUCUAUGGCCGAAAGUGCAGAUCCCCUCUGUGCUGGGCUGAAGUGGGUGAUACCCAAUUAGCUAGGGGGCAAGUUUCUGACAGUACUCUCACAGGCCCGAAAAUCAUUCGGGAAACAACAGAGAAGAUCGUUCAGAUCCGUGAACGAUUGAAAGCCUCUAGAGACCGACAGAAAAGCUACGCUGAUAAACGAAGGAAACCUUUGGAAUUCCAGGUGGGAGACCGAGUCCUUCUUAAAGUCUCACCCUGGAAGGGCUUAAAACGCUUCGGUAAGCGUGGGAAGCUUAAUCCGAGAUAUAUAGGGCCUUUCGAGAUUCUCGCAAGAAUUGGCCCUGUAGCUUACAAACUCAAUCUACCCGAUGAACUUCGUAACGUACAUUCUACAUUCCACGUCUCUAACUUGAAAAAGUGUAUGUCCGACGAGACUCUUGUAAUCCCACUCGACGAGAUCGAGAUCAACGAGAUCCUCAACUUCGUGGAAGAACCAGUAGAGAUCAAGGACCGAGAAGUCAAGCAGACGAAGCAAAGUCGUAUCCUGAUUGUGAAGGUUCGCUGGAACGCCAAGCGAGGACCGGAAUUCACUAGGGAGCGUGAGGAUCAGAUGAAACUAAAAUAUCCUCAUCUUUUUGCUUAGUUAUUUGUAACUACUUUAUUUGUUUAGACUUUAAUUUCAGGACGAAAUUCCCUUUAAUAGGGGGAUGAUGUGACAACCUGAAAUUUCCAUUCGGUCAAACCCAAAAAGUCAACCACUUCUUGUUAUAAGUUAAUGUCAUUAUUUAUUAUUUUUAACAAAUUUAAAGUUCGUUUGAUUAUUUUAAUAUUAUUUUUAAACGAACGGGUGAAAGAAUGUGUCGUCUCGGGUUUUGAAUUUUAAAAACUGCAAACACCUCGUGUCUUAGAAGUUCCCGGCCAAACUAUUAUGUUUGGGUCGAAAAAUCACCCAAAAACCGUGAACUCAUGCAUAAGCAUGAGUUUACUCCUCAAGACUAGUCAUUCUUGUGUUUAGUCCCCAUUUACCGAAAGAGUAAACUCAAAAUCCUCUCAAGUAUCAUCCUAGAAUUUAUUCAAGAUCUUCAAACUAGUAAGUGUUCUAACCAUUUCAAGUUGGUAUUACACUUAAUCUAGUGUUUGUGCAUCUAUUCAUCCAUUCAUUUUUGUAUUUUGACCAGAUUUCCAAAAACACCAAGAACACACACUAAGUGUUCUUGAACUUUUAGCUAAAAUCAAGCUUCCUUAUAGUAAGUACUUCCAUCCUUGAGUCUUAUUAAGCUAGUAUUACAUGAUAGCAUCAAGAAAAUAAGCCAAGAACACAAGGUUUAAGGUAUUCACGGUCCAAGAAUGUUCUUGGGCCGUAAACACCACGAAAGGCACCAAAGUGUGCCUAAGUCCUUUAUCUAAGCCCUAGUUUGAUGUUUAAGCCUUCCUUUAUAUGUUUAAACCUUCCCUUGAUGUGUUUAAGCCUUGAAAAACAACAAAGUCCAACAUUAUUAAGUGUUUACGGUUUGGGGAGCUCCCAAAACCUUAAACACCCUAAAGUGUGUUUAAAUGGGCCAUUUUCCUUCCUUAGGCCUAAAAACUAACCUAGACAAUUACCUUGAUGAGUUAAGGACUUGAAAACAUGGAAAUACCCUUUUCCAUUUGGUUUUACGGUAGUAAACCGAAAGGGAAAUGACCAUGAGGCCGUAAACUCCUCAAAGGGGUGUUUUGUUGCCCUAGUCCCUUCCAAAGGCCAAACCACCAAGUAGAAAUGCUUCAAAAGACUUGUAAAACAUCAAAACAACAUAUGGUCUUAAGGUGUAGAGUGUACGACCAUAAACCAUUGAGUUUACUGCCAUAAACUCCUUGGGUAAUGGUCAUUAAAACCGUAAACUCCAAAGGAGUUUACCCUUGAACUCCAAACACUCUACCUUUGCCCUACAAACACUUGGAUGCAACCCUUGUGAUCUUUAACAUUAGAAAUAAAGUGUUUCAUGUUCUAGAGUGUCCCAACUUAAUUUAUUAGUUAUAAUUUGGCUAAUUAGUUAUAUAUAUAUUNGUUAUAUAUAUGUUCAUUAUAUGAUAACUAGGCUCGUGCGUGUGGACAAGUCUCCAUUUGUCACCUAGCACCGUAUCUGACACUUCAAUCCAAUCCACUCAUUGCAAGUAAGUUCAUACCCCUUUAACUAACCUUUGAAAUACUUUUAAAUGUUUUAAAUGCUUUUAUGGGGGGGGGGGGAAUACAAGUUGAAUACUUAUAGUUAUUACAUCAAUCACAUGUGAUUAAUAACUUCAAACCAAUGAUUUUAUUACUGUUCAAAUUGUUUUACAAAUUCUUUUACUUAUCAAAUACUUUUACUUCAACUUUGUUAUACUUAUUCUAAAUUGCAUGCCCAAAUAAGUAUAGUUAUAUAAGCAAUGUUUAAAAGGCUUAGGAAGCCCUCCCGCCCUAUUUCCUUUUCGCGCUUGAGAUGUGGUCUGGUGGGGUAUCGGGUAUCCAUCCGAAGGUGGUUUAAAUAUUAGUUAUAUAUCCUUUGUACAUUUAUAGUCAUAAAAGUUCUUCCAUAUUCAUACAUACCAGUUACAUCAUUAGUAAGCUACCAUAUGGGUAGCACAUGAUAAUACUUAUACUAUUACUAGAACAUUGAAAUGUUCAAUGAGUCAGUUCAUUCAUGAGUCAGUACUUAUUACUAUGAGAACAUAUACAUUAUAUUACUAUGAGAACAUAUACAACUAUACUAGAAGAAGAACAUAUACAACUAUACUAGAAGAAGAACAUAUACAACUAUACUAGAAAGAGAACAUAUACAACUAUACAAGAAAGAGAAUGUUUACAACUAUACUAGAAAAAGAACAUAUACAACGAUACUAGAACGAGUAACAGUACAUUACAUAUACAUGAAUACGUUAACAUAAUUAUGAUCCACUGUAUCAGAGCGUGCCUUCAAUGUCAUGGCCCGAGUUGUAGCCUGAGUCUCUUGGAGGGAGAACGUGAGUUUGCGUAUAGAUCUAUACUGGAUUGCCUAUCGUACACCUUGCUGCUAGCUACAGCCGGACCUGCAGGUCUGCGGGUGCCAAACGUCAUACCUUUUUACGACCUACACUUUUGUGUUACAUAGCCGAUAGUAUGGUACAAUUAAUCACAUAAUACCUUGAUAUAAAUCCGGUUUAAGGUAGUUAGUACAACAGUAGUUCCUAUAAUACAACACUACAGUACUACAUUAAUUUACCCUUUACAUAUAUUUAGUGAUCAUUUUACUUAAAUAUUAAUGUACAAACUAUACUUUGUUAAUGAUAGUUACACUUGGGAAAAUUACACACUUUUACAAUAAACGAACAUACAAAACAGUUACACCUUGGUAGAAGGCUACUUUUAAUAGAAAAUAUAGGUUUUUCUAAGAGAUUCAAACUUUUACAAACACUUACAAACAUACACGUACUUUUAUCACCAAUGUUUACAAACUCAUACUUUAAACCACGUUCAAACGUUUUGAUACAAACACCGACACUAAAAUACUUAUGAACUCAUCAGCUUAAUGCUGAUAAACUCCUUCAAAAUAACUUGUAUUCUCAGGUCAUCAGUAGACAGGUACCGAGGCCAGCUUUUGAGAAGAUGGAGCGCAUUCAAGACUCAUCUUAUUACUUUGAUUUACUUUUUGGUGUCUAUAACUGUAUGGAACACGCUUGUAUUAAAAUUAUAUAUUUAAUGCAAUGGAUGAUGUUGUUUGUUUAUUUACUGUUAUACUGUGUUGUGAUACUUUACAUGACGUCCUCCGCCCCAGAACAUUUCCUCCGUUCUCGCUUUUGGGGUGUGACAAUGAUUAACAAUGAUAGACCAGUUUUGGGUAUAACAUGUUGUAUUGACGGCUUCAACGCAAAAUGACAAGGAAAGACCAUCUUUAACGACCAUAGUUCUUCUAGCUUCAAUGAGAGUUCUAUUUCUUCUUUAUACAAUCAUUUUGCUGUGGAGUUCUAACUACCAAAAAGUUCCAAGAAAUUCCUAAGAUUGAGCAAAAUUCUUCCAGAGAAGAGUUUAUGAGUGCAGUUCCAUGAUCACUAUGUAAUUUCCUUAGUUUGUCGUCAUAGAGGAGUUCUAACUACUUAAUGAGGGCAAUGAUUUCAUCAGCGGCAUGACUGUUCUUUCUUAAAAAGAGUGCCCAUGUAAUCCUUGAAAAUUCAUCCACAAUGACGAGAGUAUAUUUCUUUCCAGCCAUUGACAAAACCAGAACUGGUCCAAAAAGAUCCAUGUGAAGAAGAUGACAAAGUUUGACAAUAGACGAGCAUGACAUUGUCUUAAAGGAAGACUUGGUUUUCUUCCCCUUUUCACACGUCGAGCACAACUUAUCCCUAACAAACUGUAUUUUAGGAAUUCCUCUUACGAGUUGAUUCCCUGCAAUCUUUGAAAUGUUCUUAUAGUUCAUAUGUGAUAGGCUCUUGUGACAUAGUUAAUUUAGAUGAGAUUGAGCUCAACAGAAGAAGCAACAAUGAAAAUUCUUUCCAGUAGAAAACAUAUCCAGAACAUAGAUGUCGUUUUGUUGACUUGUAGUAAGAUCAGUGACACUCUUUUGAUCAACAACCUUUCCUUCUCUCUUGUUAAAGAGAAUUUCAUAUCCAACCUCAAACAAUUGGCUAAUAGAAAUGAGAUUAUGCUGAAGACCUUUCACAUAAGAGACAUUCUUGAAAACAACAGAGUUGAACUUGAUGGAUCCAUAUCCCUUUUUAGCUCCCUUGCCAUUUUUCUCUGUAUAUAACAGUCGGACCAUCCUUCUUUAUGAAAUCUUCGAGGAGAGACCUGCGUCCUUUCAUAUGUCUUAAACAACCGCUAUCUAAAUAUCAAAUAUGCUCUUUACCCUAAAACUAGGACACACAUUAAGCCCUAAAACAAAGCAAAAAAAAACAAGCAAAAAUGUACACAAUAUACACUAACGCAUUUGUAAAGGACAACUUAGGAAAGGAUAUUAUUACAAUCAUCAGGAGGCAGUUCAAAAAGUUUCUCUACUUGAUCCACUUAUCAUUACGAUUCAUGAUGUUAUCAGUGCAAUAGAGUUCUUUUCAGAAGUGCACUCGCUGACUUUGUGAGAGGCAUAACCACAUCGAUAACAAUCUUUUAUUUCAUAAUUCUUUCCUUUAACAUAAGAUUUUAUUUUCUUUUCAACUGCUAAAUCUGAAGAACUUUGAUUUUUUGAUUUAAGAGUUAUUGACAUAGUUUUGGAAUAUGAAAUGACAUUGAUGUUAUGCUCAGAUAUUACUUUUUCAUGAGGCUCAUGAUGCAUUGAAGAAUCAUCAGAAGUAGAAGACUUUGAUUGAUCUUCAGGUUCAGAAUUGCUAACUGAUCACUAAGGAAACAUGCUAAGAAUUUCUUUCACAAAAUGAACUUCACCGUUACAUAUAGGAAGCUUUAGCAAAAUCUUAGUGGACGGAAACAACACCAUUAGAAUCAAUAGAGCAGUAAGUAUAAAUUAAAGUUUGAUUUAUAAAAUAAGAACUCAAAAAUCUACUCUUAAAAUCUUCUUUUAAACAUUCAACUUUAUAGAAGGUUUAUUUAGUCUCAAUAACUUUGGUUAAGGAAACAACACCAUCUAUAUCACCUCCAAGAAUUUUCUCACACUGAUCUGGAAUCUAAACAUUAAUAAUUCUUGUGACAUUAAAGUUAAAAGAUACCUAGCUUUUUAAAAUAAGUUGAAUGCAUUUAGCAUGAUCAAAAACUUUUUCAUUUUUAGUGUGAAUAAAAUUAUUGGUUAGUCAGAUACACGCGUUUUCCUUUUUUAACAUUGAAAGAGAUUUUUCGCGAAAAGAGAAUUUUUCUUUGAUUUUCUUUAACUCAUGUCAGAGUGCAGCUUUUCUUUAUUUUAGAUCAAUAAAUCAAAACAUAGCAAAUCGAUUGUGUCAUCUUUUUUAAUACUUUCAACAGAGGAGAAAUUAACAGGACUCUUUACCUGAUUUGCUAAGGUAUCGUCAUAUUCUAGCUUGAUUUUCUUAUCAGCAUGAGAAGGCUCAUCGUCAAGGGUGCCAACGUUGUCAUGUGAAACGUCAGGGUGAGAUUCAACAAUAUUAGCCAUGAGACACUUACCUUCAUCGUAUAAGGAGUUUUCUUUUUUAAAAUUAGAUGACUAAGUGAUCAUCAUUCUUGAGCAGUUGAGCAAUUUUGAAUCAAACAAUAGACGGAAAAAGGGAGUGAGUUUCCAUUAGCAGUUUCACCUUUACAUCGAUACUCAACAUAUUUUUCUCUCCCUUGUUAUAUCGGGGAUAGAUUUCCCUUUCAGCUUACUACCCAAUGCACCAUCAUUGGAUGAUUUAUGCAUAGCAACGAUAGGAACUUUAUUGAUGACAUCGGUCAUAUCAAACUCCAUGAAAUCGAGAGCUUCCAUGGCCUUUCAUUUCCAGGUAGAGAAUUUUUUUUAUCAAACGGACGGAAGGAGAUCUACAUAAUUUCCCGAGUGUAUCAAAAACCCUCUCAAUACCAAUUGAUGGUUUGUACCGGUCGGAUACAAUUAAAGUAUUAAACACAAAUGAAAACUAAUCUAGAAAAACAAAGAAUAGAAAGUAAAUAACACAAGUAGUUCUCCAAAUUGUCUUUCACCAAGAAAGGGUUUUAUCUUCACCAAGAAGGUAGAUUGUCACAAAGAAGCUUACGACGCCAAGCUGUGCUCAUAACAUUAGGGUUUACCCUAAUGUUAUAUAUAUACUAAUCUAUACAACUAUAUCCCUUAAUUGAAGGGAUUGCAUGUAAUCUAUACAAAGAAACGAUCUUAUCACAAAGAUACCAGAUCUAUGAUCUAUUCUAUACUUAUCUAUAUCAUUACCUAAUAUACAAAAUAUUACACAGAAUAAUUACACGAAGUGUUGAAGUUGAUAUUCUUUAUAUGCUGGUGCUAGUUCUAAAGUACAUGCUGACGUUGACAGAUGUGUGGAGUGUUUCGCUCAUCAGAUCAUAAGGUGCGACCUUACAAUAUAUGUAUCUUCAUAUGCACUACAAUAAGUUAUAUGACAUAUGCAUGUUCAUAAGUAUAUACAUAUGCAUAUGAAUAUCUGUAUGCAUAUUAAUAAGUUUAUAUAUAAGAAUAUGAAUAUGCAUAUGCAUAAUUAUAAGUAUAUGCAUAGGAAUAAGAGAUGCAUAUGAAUAAGAUAUGCAUAAGAAUAAGUAUAUGCAUAAUAAUAAGUAUAUGCAUAUGUAUAAGAAUAAGAAUAAGUACAUCCAUAUACACAUGCAAAGGAAUAUGCCUAAAUGCAUAUUAAUAAGUAUAUUCAUAUGCAUAUGAAUAAAUAGAUGCAUUUAGAUAUGCAUAUGCAUAUGAAUAAAUAGAUGCAUUUGGAUAUGCAUAUGAAUAUCUGUAUGCAUAUUAAUAAGUUUAUAUAUAAGAAUAUGAAUAUGCAUAUGCAUAAUUAUAAGUAUAUGCAUAGGAAUAAGAGAUGCAUAUGAAUAAGAUAUGCAUAAGAAUAAGUAUAUGCAUAAUAAUAAGUAUAUGCAUAUGUAUAAGAAUAAGAAUAAGUACAUCCAUAUACACAUGCAAAGGAAUAUGCCUAAAUGCAUAUUAAUAAGUAUAUUCAUAUGCAUAUGAAUAAAUAGAUGCAUUUAGAUAUGCAUAUGCAUAUGAAUAAAUAGAUGCAUUUGGAUAUGCAUAUGCAUAAGAAGAAUUAUAUACACGAGCAUAUGAAUAAGUAUAUGCAUAUAUAUAUAUAUAUAUAUAUAUAUAUAUAUAUAUAUGUGUGUGUGUGUGUGUGUGUAGGAAAAAAAAAAUUUUUAUAAUAAACUCUAAUAGGUAUAGUUUAUGAGUCAUUAGUAUUGUUAUAACAUUUUAGGACAAGACGAAUAAUUAUAUAAAAGUAUAUAAAUGUUGUAUACUAGAUUAAUACUACGGAAAAAUGAUAUUUACACAUACAAAGGUUUUCAUUAUACAAAAUGUAAACUUGUUGAAACAAUUAUCGGAGACAAAGUCAUCACCAUACCUACCAGAGUACACACUAAACUCCUGGAUUAUAAUCAUAAUCUCGGUAAGAGAGUGUGAUACUUGUGUAUAGUUCUAUAUAGUACUAACAAUCCUGCACCUAACCAGUUACCUGCAGCUAGACCGGUAGGUCUGGAGUGACAAAUGUCUAACAUUCUGACGCCUGAAGAAAGUCGCAGAAGGCCAACUUCUGUUUUAGUAUGGUUGUAAUAACUCCCUUGGGAAAUCAACGAUAAAUUUAGUUUACGGGGUAACAUGCAUUCAAAUGAUUCUAUAUAAGAAUUAAACUACGUAAUACUAUUUUAAGUAUAGAAAUACUUACAAAUUUUUGGUCUUAUGGAUUUUAAGACGACAAAUCAUUUUUAAGAAAAUAUUGGAUAUUCUGGGAACAAAUACUAUCAUUUCACAAGGAAAGAAUUACAGAUUUUUACCAUACAAAACUCUAAUGAACUCAUCAACUUAAUCGUUGACACUUUUCGAAACUACUUGUAUUCUCAGGAAAUCGUUAAACUAUAAGUCCCCAAAAUGCUUGUGUAUCAAUCAGAUCCGUUUGAUGGUGCGGAAUCCCAAUCAAAUGGAUGAUGUCAGAUCAAAUAGAAGAGAAGGAGAAGAAGAAGAUGAUGAAUCUUGUAUGUAUUGAUAUGAAUGAAGAUCCAGAUAAAAGAUUUACACACACUAACACACACUCUCUUUUCUCUCUCUCUCUCUCUCUCUCUCUCUCCAGAACACCUUAGAAUACACACACAUAAGCUCCUCUAGAUUGUACACUCUCUUCUGUUNNNNNNNNNNNNNNNNNNNNNNNNNNNNNNNNNNNNNNNNNNNNNNNNNNNNNNNNNNNNNNNNNNNNNNNNNNNNNNNNNNNNNNNNNNNNNNNNNNNNAGUAUGGGCAUAUGCAUAUGCAUAAUAGUAAAUAUGCUUAUACAUAUGAAUAGGUAUAUGCAUAUGUGUAUGCAUCUGAAUCAAUAUAUGCAUAUGCAUAUAAAUAAGUAUAUGAAUAUGUAUAUGCAUAAAAAUAAGUAUAUUACAUAUACAUAUUAAUAUACAUAUUGAUAUACAUAUACAUAAGAAUAAGUAUAUUCAUAUUCAAAAGUAUAUGUAUAUUCAUAUGAAUAAAUUUAUGCAUUUACACAUAUGAAUAAGGUUAUGCAUAUGCAUAUGCAUAAGACUAAAUAUAUGCAUAUGUAUAUGAAUAUGUUUAUGCAUAUGCGUAUGCUUAUUCAUAUAUGAAUAAUUUUAUUCUCUUAAUUUGUAAACUAUAUUUAAUAUCAUUUUUUACUAAUAAUAACAAUAUAUAAACCAAAACUUCUAAUGUUAGUACAUGUUUUUUUUAUCUUUUGGAAUUAUCGAUAAAAAAUAAGUAUUUUUCUGUUUUAAGUAACUAAUUGUAGGUACGAUAUUGGUUGAUGUUGUCUACUAAUUUCCUUUCGAUUUAGGCUUUUUUUUUAAUCUUUUUUCCAUUUGAUCUUUAAUUAAUAUUUUAUAAAUGAAAGACCAAAAUAAUAUCAGGGCUGAUGAAAUGACAUUUUAGAAGCUUCUACUCAUGUGCUAAGGUAACACUUUAAUAACAUAGUAAUAACUCUACGACAUUUAAGAAGAAGUUAAAAUGUCUAGUAUCUUUUAAAUAAAAACAAUGUAUUAAAAGGGAAGUACAAAUGUAAACGCGCAUUAAAAAAAUAACAUUGUAUUUGGUUAGCCACACUUUGAUUUUGUCUAAUGGAAAUGGAAAGAGUGAAGUUACAUUAAAUAAAUAUUCUAUCCAGGUUAAUAGAAAUGUGAAUGGUAACUCAUGGUUCUAUAAAGCGUAUAUAAACUAGAUUAAAAGUCCAAUAAUUAUGUAUAUCAGAAAAUACCCUUCCUCUAUCCCUUUUCAACAAAACUAAAUACAGGUCUUAAAUAUUAUAUACUACCCUCCACCUUUUUCUUUCAUGCAAAAACCUUUUUUAUCUUAUAAAACACAAUACCUUUCCUAAAUCCUUUUAAACUGCCCCGUAAUCUCCAAAAAAAUGUUGAUACGUGUAAGUGAACCUCUACCAAUCUAAUGCCUAGCCCAAACUAAAGUCGUGUGCAUUCCGAGGUUGAUGAGCUCCGAAAUGAAACUUGUUCUGAAGUGAAGAUAUGUACGAAAAAACUCAUAGUUUUCAGUGUUAUUUAGAGUUUGUAUUAGCAUUAAAUGUUUAUUUUUCUUUUGUAUUUGUUUUAUUAUAAAGUUCAUAGGACAAGAUCGAGUAAAUUUUGUAUGUCAGCUUUUUGACUUCUUGGAUUUACAUUCUCCAUGCAAUUAUGUAUUUUGUCUUUUUAUCACUCCUUGGCUAUUUAAGCAGUUGAUCUUUCUAUGCAAUGUAACCUUUUGAGCAUCAUUCUCUUUCACGUCAAUACUAAGUAUCUUGCAACUCUAAUCACUAUUUCUAUUAUUCUAAUUGUUCUUAAAUUGUCUUUACUUUGCUCAUAAUCAUUUUCUCUUAAAUUUUUUGUUGAAUAAUUUGUUGAACUUCGUACUCUAAGACAAGAUUGGUUUACCAGACUUAACUAGACUCUUCAUGCACUCUCAAUUGGUAUCAGAGUUUGUCCUUUGAAUCCAUAAGAUCAGAUUAUAACUGAUCUAAGAUUACCUUGCUAUCUCAAUUAUUUCUGAGUUCAAGAUAAAAGUUCUUUUAUAUACCACUUAAGCUUUCAAUAAUUUAACUUCAAUGGCUACUCUUAAUCAAUCUCAACAAAUGUUUUCAAUGUAAACAAGAAAUAGUGUGGGUUGCCCAACGCGUGCCGAUUGCUAUUUGUUGAAGAGUAUGAUCACUGGAAAGUUAGAAUGGAGAGAUUUAUAGUUGGUAAAGAAAAAGGUGAAGAGAUAUGGAGAUUGUUAGAUGCAUAUUAUAUGCAUCUUUUAGCACAAUUUCCUAUGUAUUUCAUUAAAAUAAGCUAACUAGUUCCCGAUUAAUUUUUUGUAUUUCGUGUUUCAUGAUUAUUUUGAAGAAUGCCCAUACUGCUCACGUUUGUUAUUACUUUUCUGGGCCAUUUGGAACACAUUGAUGAUUGCGCAAGUUCGGGAUGCGUUUGUGGAUGCUUUGGAGCUUAAUUGGAGUCUAGACCAAGGAGGGAUGCCGGGAAAUGAUCAGGAACUGCUUGGAAUGAGGAACGCCGAUCAAAAGAGCCAAAAAAAAGUAACAUGCGAUCACAUUUUGUCUCCUUGCGAUCGCAGGUUGCUUUCGAGGUUUUGUCGAGCCUAAAAAUUCAUCAGCUUAGAGAAAAAGAAACAUGCGAUCGCAGGUUGCCAAUUUGCGUCUAAAUAGCAACGUACUUCAUUUAAGAAGUCCCAUGACUCUUUUUGGAUAAUACAUGUGAUCGCAGGUUGUCCCUUUGCGAUCGUAGGUAUGGCGUUUUGACAGCUAGACGUAUAAAUAUAGCCCCAUACUCUUCCAGUAACCCUAAUUGGUGAUUCAUGGGCAAUUUUCAGAGGGUUUCAAGUGAAGAACGUAGCUCUAAAGGAGACGACUCAAUUCCAAGUCAUAGUUUAGUAAGAUUUAUUGUAUAGAUUCUAUUUUCAUUGUUUGUAAUCCAUUUUUAGCCAUGUCAGCUGGCUAAAAACCCAGAUUUCAGUUUCGCAAGACGUAACCUUUUCGUAUGAUUAAUCAUUAGGCAUAGUGUUUGACUAUGAGUAUUGUUUGGUUUGAUCAAUUCUAUCUUAAAUUGAGUGUUUGAUUUGAUUUCAAUUUCUGUUGGCCACUUAAAUUGUUUGUGAAUCAUUCUAGUCUUCUAAUUGUUUAGAUCCAUAAUUUUCUAGAUUAAUUAGUAAAAAGUGACAUAUAUUAGAUUAAUUCUGAGUUUAGGGUUAACUCUAAUAUGAAAUGAUCAAACAUGUUUUAACGCCUCCGAGCUUAUGAGAGGUAUUGAACUUUACUGGGAUUACACUGUGUCUAAUGCAACUUUUCUUUAUUAGUCAAGAGCUUGUUUGGUUAAUUUAGUAAAAAGUUAGAUUUAAUUCAAAGAGCUUAUUUUAAUUAAAUGGUUUUCUGUAAUAAAAGUCAUUAGAGCUUGUUAAUGAACCUUAGUACCAGUUUGAACAAGUGUAUAGUCGAAUAUUGUGUUGAGGAUUAGUUAUAUGAUUAGGGGAGUCACUGUGAAACUAGAAUUGCUUUCUCUUAAUUGAAUUUCCAUUACUUUAAAUUUAGUCAUUUUCUUGUCAUUUUCAAUUUCUGUUAAUUUAAUUUUCAGAAAUAAAUCCCCCUUUUUAUGUUUAUUGCAUUCAUCAAGAAUUAGUUCAUACCCUACGCAAAUAGGUGUAAACGUUAGGACGUGUCCCUGAGGAUCCGACCCUGCUUACAUGUACUACCUUUUAGUGGAAUAAAGCAGUUUAUUUUAUAUUUUUAUUUGUUAAAACAUGUACAAUAGCAGUCUUAACAAAUUGGCGCCGUUGCCAGGGACACAGUAAAACACUAAUAGUUUUAUGCCAAGAUCAUCAUGUACAGGUAAUCUGAUUUUUGAUCCAGAGAUUAAGAAGACUGUUAGGAAGCUUAAGAAGGAGGCAAAACUUCAAGAGCAACAAAAAGGAACCUCAACCUCACCUAUACCACAAGGCACUCCCUUGUGGAACGAACCUGAACACUCAUUUCAACCUUUUCUGAAAGCACCACCUACCUCAGCCAUUAACAGCCCGUUCAAAACCUACUCUUCAUCAUCUUCAGACAAACCCGGACUCACAGAUUCUUCAGAACCGAAUCAGAAUUCAUCAUGAGCGAAAACGGAGACGAAGCUGAAAAAACUCUUUGUGAGUGGGCAACACAAGAGGUGACCCAACAACCCUUGUGUAUUACCUUUCCAGAAGCUCGAAAUUUUGAGCUCAAAUCUGGUUUAAUCCAUCUGUUGUCCCCAUUUCGAGGCCUUGAGAAUGAAGAUCCUCAUAAAUUUCUUAAAGAAUUCCAUUUUGUCUGCUCCAGAAUGAAACCCCAUGGAGUUACUGAAGACCAGAUCAAACUCAGGGCGUUUCCCUUCUAAGUUCAAGAUGCAUCAAAGGAGUGGUUAAAUGACCUUCCGUCUGGUUCAAUAACAAGUUGGAAUGAACUCGCCAAACUCUUCCUAGAAAAAUAUUUUCCCGAGGCGAAAGUGUUAAAUCUACGCAGAGAGAUUUUGGGUAUAAAACACGGCAAAAGAGAUGCUAUCCACACUUAUUAGGAGCGAUUCAAGAAGCUAUUAGUUCGAUGCCCACAACAUGGAAUUAGUGAUUAUCAGUUAUAUUAGUGUUUCUGCGAAGGAUUGAUACCUAUGGAGAGGGGACUAAUACAUGCAUCUAGUAGAGGGUCCCUUUCACACAUGACACCAACAGAGAUUAGGGAAUUAAUAGAGAAGCUGGCCAACGAAUCAAAACAUUCAGCAACUGAGGAAGAGUGGUACCCAGACCAUCCAAGAGGAGUCAAGGAGAUGAGAAACGCCCACCUGGAAUCCCAGAUUUCAGAAUUGACUAAAGUUGUCCUUUUGUUGACAAAAGAAAAAGGUAUUGAGCCAAAGGUCAAACCUUGCGGGAUUUGCUGCAAAACCGAGCACCCAACUGAAAUGUGCCCAAUACUUCAAGAAGAUAAUGAAUAUGUGCAAGCUAUGGGAGGAUUUCAGCAAAGGCCAUUUGAUUAACAUCGCAAUAACCAAGCUUAGGGAGGGCCUCAAAAUAACAACUUCCAGCCAAGACCUGAACAUAAGUUUUAGCAAAGAAACCAAUAUCAAGCUCCACCCGGGUUUCAACAACCUUUUAAGCAAAAUCAAAACCAUAGCAAUUUUCAGCAACCACCUGUUCAGCCACAAGCUAGCAGUUCCACCAUGUCUUUGGAAGACAUAGUUAAAAGUAUAGCAACCAGCACCCAAGGUUUCCAGAAUGAAACAAAGUCUAGCAUCAAAAAUAUGGAACAACAGGUAUCACAACUCGCGAACUCCAUGAGCAAAUUAGAAGCAAAAACAUAAGGAAAAUUCUCAUCUCAGACUGAGAAGAACCCGAAGCACAAUGCGUGUGUUGUCACCCUCAGAAGUUGUAAAAACUACAAAGGACCAGAUCAGCAAAAAGAUAUGGAAGAAGAGAUCGUGAUUGAGCAAAAAUCUGAGGCAAAUGAAGAGGUGCAGAAAAAAGAUGGACCCGCUGAAGUUGAAGUGAAAAUUACCCCUCCUUCUUUUUCCUCAAGACUGAAAAACACGAAAAAAAGAAACGGAAGAUAAAGAGAUUAUGGAUUUCUUCAAAAGCUUGAGGUAAUUAUUCCCCUUCUUGAUGCAAUUAAACAACUUGUGACAACCAAAAAUUUUCGGUCAAUUCAAAGUCAAAUAAAGUCAACAAGUCAAACCAGUCAACUCAUCUAACCCUUGUAUAUUAGGGUUUACAAUAUGUUACUAUUAUACAACUCGUUAUGUUAAUAAGAAGUUAUCACUUGCAAAGUUCGUACGUUCAGAAAUUCAAAACCCUAAUCAGGGUAAGUGAUGAAACUAUUCGAAACUGUGUUAGGUGCAAAUAGUUCAGGUUUUCACCUUUAAAAUGACUACUUGCACAUGUCCAUACGAUUUUUCUACAAUUUAUGGUGAUUUUUACAAAAAUCCCUAUCAAUAUAGCUACAAAUUCGGACCAGACUAUGAAUAUGAAUGUUUUACACAAGUUAGAUGCUUAUAAAAAUCAUGAUAAAAUUUAAGAACAAGCUAGAAACAUUUUCUAAACUCUUAGAGUUUACGGAUUUACUUUUUUAUUUUGUAUGAAUUUUCUGUGAUUUUUGUAACUCAGUGCAGAAAUGGUAAAAAAACGAAUUUAGAGAUUACAACUUUCAUGAUUUACAAUUUCUAUGGAAAAUACUAGUACAUUAAUAGUCUUGGCAUUUAAUGCUACAUUACAUUGUUAAAAGGUAAAAUAUUGGAUUUUCUGGAACAAACAUACUUUUACAAAGAAAGGAUUUCAACAUUUCAUUCAAAGGCUUAUGAACUCACCAACCUAAUUGUUGACAGGUUUUCAAAACUACUUGUAUUGUUAGGGAAUCAGUAAAAUAGGUAUGCAACGGCUUUUGAGGAUGGAACGCUAAGGCGUCAAACAUUUCAUUUUUGUCAAUAUAAUGUAAUUGAUUUAGAAACAUGUAAACGUAUACUACGGUGUAACUUUGUCAAUUAUAUUUAUGUUGGUUUUUUGUACUUUGAGCAUUAUUAUACUCGUUGUUGUGAUACUAUACAUGAAGUCCUCCAGUCUCGGACGUUUCCGCCUUCCUUGGUUUGGGGGUGUGACAAAUUGGUAUUAGAGCAUUGUUUAUAGUGAACUUAGUAUAUCAAACCACAUAAGAUGUACAAACUACAAAUGCAUUGGGACUAAAAGUCUCUGAUUAAACAUUUUUCAAAUAACUAUACUUUUAGAAAUGAAACAGUUUCUUGAUAAAAAGUAUAAGUACAUGCAUGCAUGCCGGUAUAGUGGCACAUCUAGGAGAAAUUACGAAAAGUAAAAAAUAGGAGUUGUACACUAAAAUUAUUCCUUGGGAUAUGUAAUCAAGUCUAGGAGGAAUAUAGCAUGAUCAACUAUAUUUGUCCAAGAAGUGACUAGGAUAUAUCGGGGGAUAGUUGUAGUGGGCAACAAGUCCAUUAACCUACCAACACUCAUACAAGAACUACAACUAGAGUAAAUAAAAUGUUUAAAAUACUAUAGGAGUAUUUUAUGUUACUAAAAGUACAAUAUUUUCAAAUUCAUUAUGUGCCCCUUACACCCCUAUUCUCGUAUAGAUGACAUGGCAGGAUUCCAUCUACCUGGAGACCCUUACUUCCCUAAUGAGGGAAACGUUGGAUGGCUCGAUCCAGAACCCAAGGAAAUGAUCGACGAGGAUCCAGAAUAAGAUCCUGAAGAAGACCCAAAGGAAGAAGAAGAAGAAGAAGAAGAAGAAGAAGAAGAAGUGGAAGAAGAGGAGGAGGAAGACGAAGAAGAGGGUCCCGAGGUAUAUGACCCUCUCCCUGCACAUGCACCCACACGGGACUAUCCGGGACCGACUCCCCAAUGGGGAACUAGCUUGGGAUUGUGGAGCCAGGAACAAGGCCAACCCCACCGGUACUGCAAUAACAAAGGUUUCUACAAUCUCGACAGGGGUGGCUCGGCUGACAGGGCCCUCCCUGUCAUUAUCCACCGCAUCGCUCGCCACGAUCAGAGGAUCCGGGCAUCUGCCAACCAGAUUAUGGAGGUUGGUGCGACUGCGGAAGUCACAGCAACCCGCUUUCGACGCUUAGACCAGGAUCACGACCACACCAGGAAUCACACUGAGGUCCUGCAGCGGGAAGCUACCAUCGCUCGGAGUGAAGCUCGAGAAUAUCGGGAGCAUCAGGCGAACAUCGAGAGACAACUGACGGCAAUGGAGCGUAAGGCAGCCGAGGAUAAGGAGGAGAUCAGGGCAAUGUGGGCCCUCAUAGCCGCUUUGCAGGGACAACCAGAUGCCACCCGCCAUGAGUAGUGCUUACACUACUCGCAUUUUGUUAUAGACUAGGUUUACGAGUAUGUGUUGGUGCUACUUUUUCUUGCAAGUAGGUUCGACCCUACAUCUAAGUGAUUACACUAUCCGAGGAGUCAUUUUGCUAUCAAAAUUUUCUUCUACAUUGAUGUAAUGUAAACUUCCUAUGAGGUGAAAUUUUAUUUAGCAAUAUGUAUUAAAUUUAUAUCACUGAAAUUGGCUUGCAUUUUAUUUUGUUGGAUAUUUGGCAUGGGAACUCAUAACUUGAUAAUACAAACAAUUUGUAAAUGAUAACCCUAAAUUUCUUAAGGUGUACCUUGAGGUUAUGUGUAACUAAGGGGCGAUCGACUUAGAAAUGGUGAGUCCGCCUUAGGACCUGUUCUUUGUUUGGUUGUGGACUUAGGACAGACUCAUUAGGUUCAACGGUUUAUCAAAACUUUAUUAAAUGAAACUAACAUACGUCGAGUAAAUUUUAGGAGUGGAUCAGGCACAGAGCAGAACAUGAGUGUUUGGUUGAGUCACUAUUACUAAAUUCAAAAGUUUAUUGGUAUAGACUUUAUUUAUGAAUUGCUUGCAAAUACACUAAAGUGGGACAUAAUACUGAUAAUGUAGCUCAAAUAGCACCCGACUCAUCCUUACUAUUGAAGACUCACUGACUUUUCGUCUUUAAAACUUAUGAUAGAACUAUGCCGCCAAGGAAAAAUCCUAGACCUUCCAACAGCGCAACACCACUACCUCCUCCAUCACUGCCUUCAUAGUUUGAUUUCGCGAUGUUUCAACCUGUGGUAAAAGCGGUCGUGGUGGCAGCAAUGUCACAAAUGGGUACCAAUAGUGCCGACGGUUCUGGAUCUGGUGCUACCCACUCUAAUCAUAGGGACAGUACGGUUCGUACAAAAGCAUGCUCUUACAAAGACUUCAUGAAUGGCAAGCCUGAUUCUUUCAAUGGAAGAGGGGGCGUCGUCACACUAAUGCAAUGGUUCGAGAGGACCGAAGCAGUUUUCGAGAUCUGUGCUUGUCCCGAAACGAGCAAAGUCAAAUAUGCAGCAUUUACUUUCACAGGUAGAGCUCUCACUUAGUGGAAUGGCCGACUUAAGUCAGUUACUCCUGUAGUGGCUAACUCCAUAAGUUGGGAAGACUUGAAAGCUUUGAUACUAAAUGAGUAUUUCCCGAGGGGCGAGGUGCAAAAACUUGAAAAAGAACUCUGGAAUCUCAAGAUGUCGGGCACUGACCUUGAAACUUAUACUACUCGAUUCAAUGACCUAGCACUCCUUUGUCAAUCAACGGUCACUCCAGAAGAGAAGAAGGUGGAACGAUACCUAUGGGGACUAUCAUCCCAGAUUCAAGAUAAUGUGCUGGCCUCAAGACCCACUACUUUUGACAGUGCCAAGGAAUUGGCAGAACAACUUAUCGAGCAUAGUGCCAUCCAUGGUACUAUGACCACCACCCCUGAUCAAGUAAGAGGGGGAAGCAAUAAAAGAAAAUUUUUGAGUAACAAAAAGAAACAGUUGGGACCAGAAUCCGCUAAGAAGCAGCAGACAGUUGUUAUUCGUGCUGCCACCACUCCUGCCAUCCCAACACGACAACAUCGUUAAGGAAAUAUGCUGGAACCCUUCCCAAGUGCAACUUCCAUCACACCGGUGCUUGUCGGGAAAUGCACUGCAGCAAUUGCAACAAGAAGGGGCACGCUGCUCGAUUCUACAAAGCGCCAGCCCAACCCAUCACUCAAGUCACCAACACUGGAGCAAGUCAAGCUUGCUAUGCCUAUGGGGAAGCAGGACACUUCAAAUGAGACUACCCAAAAGCACGAAAUGCUAAUGUUGUAGGUGUAGGAAGAGUCCUGGCUAUAGGACAUAGGGAAGCAGUCAAGGAUCCCAUGGUGGAUACUGGUACGUUCUUCCACAAUAACUCCUAUGCAUGCAUACUAUUCGAUAGUGGGGCAGAGAGGAGUUUCGUGAGCCAUCAAUACAAACAUUUACUUAAACAAAAUCCCCAGUCACUAAAAGAUUCAUACGUCGUAGAAGUAUAAAACGGAAAGGCAGAGCGGACUAGUGAUAUUUACACAGGGUGUGGUGUACCCUCACUCUAGACAACCAUUCGUUCAAAAAUGACCUAAUGCCGGUCACAAUAAAAAGUUUCGACAUCAUCAUUGGUAUGGAUUGGUUAAGUUCAAAUCGUGCCGACAUUUUAUGCUAUGAAAGGUCGUCCGCCUUAAUCUGCCAAAUGGCGAAACCCUUCUUAUCUACGGCAAUAAACCUAGUACAAAUCUACAAAUAAUCUCUUACGUCAAGGCUCAAAAGUAUCUACGAAAGGAAUACCAUGCCUUCUUAUCCCACGUGGUAGAUAAGAAACAAGAAACAAAGGACAUCAAAGACAUCCUGGAGGUCUGUAACUUUCCCGAUGUGCUCCCAGAAGACCUUCUAGGUGUACCACUUGCAGGACAAGUUGAAUUCCGAACCGAUUUGGUCCCAGGAGCUACCCCCGUAGCCAAAUCUCCAUACCGUCUAGCACUGGCAGAAAUGCAAGAACAGUCUAGUCAACUCAAUGAGCUACUGAGUAAAGGGUUUAUUAGACCGAGCUUUUCACCUUGGAGAGCACCAAUCCUAUUUGUGAAGAAGAAGGAUGGAUCCUUUCGCAUGUACAUCAACUAUCGGGAGUUAAACAAACUUACCAUCAUGAAUCGAUAUCCCCUACCUCGAAUCGACGACCUCUUUGACCAACUACAAGGAGCAAGUUACUUUUCAAAAAUCUACUUGAGGUCAGGUUACCAUUAACUGCGAGAUCAAGAGGAUGAUAUUCCCAAGACAGCUUUUAGAACGCGCUACGGUCAUUAAGAAUUUUUGGUGAUGCCCUUCGGGCUAACAAACGCACCUGUGGUGUUCAUGGACCUAAUGAAUCGAGUGUGCUAACCCUUCUUAGACAAAUUCGUAAUCGUAUUCAUCGACGAUAUUUUGGUCUAUUCACGAAGCGAAGAAGAGCACAGCCAGCAUCUGCGACUAGUAUUGGAGACUCUAAGAACUGAGAAGCUUUAUGCUAAACUCUCUAAGUGCGAAUUUUUUUUCUCCGAGAAGCGGGAUUUCAUGGCCAUGUAGUUAGCGAGAAAAAGAUACAUGUGGAACCCUAAAAAAUCAAGGCGAUCGAAAACUGGGCUACACGGACAACACCAACAUAAAUCCUAAAAUUCUUAGGGCUUGCGGGAUAUUACCAAAGAUUCAUUCAAAACUUCUCCAAGAUCGCAAAACCACUCACCACCCUGACUCAGAAGGGUGUAACAUUUACUUGGGAGACUAAAUAAGAAACGACCUUCCAACUGUUGAAGCAAGCCCUGUGCAGCGCACCGAUCUUGUCUCUCCCAGAAGGGACUGAGGGUUUCGUAGUCUAUUGUGAUGUUUCAAAUCAAGGUCUUGGUUGUGUGCUCAUGCGAAGAGGAAAGGUCAUCGCCUAUGCCUCGAUACAACUCAAAACGCACGAAGUUAACUACACUACCCAUGACCUCGAGUUAGGAGCAUUAGUGUUUGCCUUAAAGAUCUGGAGCCACCGCCUCUAUGGCACAAAGUGCACUAUCUUCACAGAUCAUAAGAGUCUCCAACAUAUCCUCAAUCAGAAAGAGCUCAACAUGAGAUAGAGACAAUGGGUAGAACUACUGAACGACUACGAGUGCAAGAUUCGUUAUCAUCCGGGCAAGGCCAAUGUAUUAGCAGAUGCCUUAAGCAGAAAAGAAUACUUGGGGCGCCACGUAAAGUCACUAACAAUGAGAAUCCAUUCGCACCUGUUCACACAAAUCAAAGAGGCCCUACUAGAGGCCUUGAAACCAGAAAAUGUGAAGAGUUUGGCAUUGUGGGAAAUGGAAAAGAAGCUUGAACUCAAAAAAGAUGGAGCUUGUUAUCUCAUGAAUCGGAUUUGGACCCUGAAAUUCGGUGGAUUCCGAAACGUUGUCAUGAACGAAGCCCACAAAACUUGAUACUCCAUCCACCCAGGUUCAGAUAAAAUAUAUAUGGAUCUCAAGAAGUUAUACUGGUGGCCGAACAUGAAAGCAGAGAUUGCUGCUUACAUGGGAAAGUGUCUGACUUGUGCCAAGGUUAAAGUAGAAUACCAAAAACCGUCAGGCUUACUUCAACAACCAGAAGUACCCCAAAUUUUCAUGUUUUCUUCAAGUUUUAGGGGGGGGGGGGGAAUACAAGUAAAAACACCAACAACAUAACUAAACUCAAACAUCAGCUUUCAACAGAAAAGUUAAUGUUCAUUCAGGAACUGUUUUGGACAUCUAAAACUUUUUAGCUUUCAAAACUAUAUUUUUUUUAAAACAGUUUAGGAUUAUACCUUUAAAUUACUACUUGCACAUGUCCAUACGAUUUUUCUACGAUUUAUGGUGAUUUUUACAAAACUUCCUAUCACUAUAGCUACGAACAUCGACCAGACUAUGAAUAUGAAUGUUUUCACACUAGUUAGACGCUUAUAAAAAUCAUGAUAACAUUUAUUAACAAACUAUACACAUUUUCUAAACUCUAAGAGUUUACGGAUUUAGUUUUUAAUUUCGUAUCAUUCUUUUGUGAUUUUUCUAACUCAGUGCAGAAAUGGUAAAAAAACGAAUUUACAGAUUACAACUUUCAUAACACUUUGUAACAUGUUGAGCAAAGUGUUAAUCCUUGAUGACUUCAUAUUUUGCAUGAGAUUUCUGUUGAGAUAGAAAUAUAUAAUAGAAAAUUGUUAACUAAAUUGUAAGAGCCUUUAUUAUUACAAUUAACACAAGAUGAAACAUAGUAAACAUAGUUAUGUUUUGCUACAUAUUCUAUUUACACAGAAAAGGUUACCAUACAUUACCAACAUGUUGAUAAAUUAUAAUAGUUAUAGUUUAUGUUUCAUAUACAUUACGAAAGAGUACUUUCCUACAAAAAGGGGAUUUCAAUUUCACACUACGUAAAUCUGUUAAUGAAUAAAUUUGUGAGACAUUCGCUUCACAUUACUUCCAUAGUAACGCAAGAAAUGUCAUGUAAUUAUAACCAAAAUCUCUUGUAGGGAGAGCAUGAUAGUUGUGUAUGGAUCUAUAUUGGGUCUAAAAAAUCCACACCUUAGUUGCAUGCAACAGCUAGACCGGAAGGUCUGUGGUGACAAAUGUCAUUAACAUUCUAAUGCAUGUAGAACGUCAUAUACAAGGCCGACUAAGUCAUAGUAUGGUUAUAAUAACUCACAUGGGGUAUUAACAAAACAUAAGAUUGACGAGAUUCCAUUUAAACAAACGAGUUUAAUGUCAAUUUAAACUUUCAUGAUUUACAAUUUCUAUGGAAAAUACUAGUACAUUAAUAGUCUUGGCAUUUAAGGCUACAUUACAUUGUUAAAAGGGAAAAUAUUGGAUUUUCUGGAACAAACAUACUUUUACAAAGAACGGAUUUCAACAUUUCAUUCAAAAGCUUAUGAAAUCACCAACUUAAUUGCUGACACUUUUUCAAAACUACUUGUAUUCUUAGGGAAUCAGUAAAACAGGUAACCAGCGACUUUUGAUGAUGGAACGCUAAGGCGUCAAACAUUUCAUUUUUGUCAACAUAAUGUAAUUGAUUUAGAAUCAUGUAAAAUUAUAUUACGGUGUAACUUUUUCAAUUAUAUUUGUGUUGGUUGUUUGUACUUUGAGCACUAUUAUACUCGUUGUUGUGAUACUAUACAUGAAGUGCUCCACCCCCGGACGUUUCCGCCAUCCAUGGUUUGGGGUGUGACACAACUACCCCGAUAUGCUAAAAUUUUAAAAGAGUUAUGUACUUAAAAAAGGAAAUUAAAAGGAAACAAAACAGUUAAAGUAAGCGAGAAUGUUUCAUCUUUUUUACAAAAAAGGCUACCCCCAAAGUGUAAGGAUCCAGGAGUAUUUACUGUUACUUGCAAGUUGGGGAACCUUUCAGUGCCAAGAGCUAUGUUGGACUUAGGAGCUUCUAUAAGUGUUUUACCAUAUUCAUUUUUUAAAACGAUCGAGGUAGGGCCUUUAAAAAGAACAGGAGUCAUCAUUCAGUUAGCUGAUCGUUCUCUGGUGCACCCAAAAGGUGUAUUGGAAGACGUUUUGGUUCAAGUGAAUGAACUCAUAUUCCUAACUGAUUUCUAUGUUUUGGAUAUGAGAGAUGAUGACUCACCAAAUUUGGGUUCCAUUCUUUUGGGGAGACCAUUUUUAAAAAUUGCCAGAACCAAAAUAGAUGUUUAUGAUGGUACCCUUUCAAUGGAAUACGAUGGUGAAGUUGUCAACUUCAAUAUCUAUGAUGCCAUGCGUUAUCCUGACGAUGUUUCAACCCUCAAUUUUAUUGAUGUUAUUGAACCACUAACUGUAGAAUAUUUUGAGAUUGCUAACCGUGAGUCACUAGCAUUAGUGCUCCACAAAAAAUUUUCUAUUAAUGUUGCUCAGGUUAUACCAGAAAAUUAUGUGGUUGGUACAGAAGUUCAGGAAAUGGUAGCUCAUAUGGAUCAGCACAGAAAGUUGAGGUAUGGUAUCCAAACUCUUAAAUUACCGAUUUCUAAAUCCAAGCUUUUCCCUUUUGUAGUGCAAGCUCCUAUCUUGGAGCUGAAGACACUUCCAAAACACCUGAAAUAUGCAUAUCUUGGAGAAAAAGAAACAUUACCAGUUAUCAUAUCCAACAAGCUGUCAGAAAAAGAAGAGUUAGAGCUGAUAAGAAUUCUGAAGGAGUAUGAAACCGCAAUUAGGUGGACUAUUGCAGACAUCAAAGGACUCAACCCAUCUCUUUGCAUGUAUAAAAUUUUGAUGGAAGAGGAUUUUAAAGUCGUUGUGAGAAGCCCAAUGCAGAUUAAACCCACCUACGAUGGAGGAGGUUAAAAAGGAAGUUAUGAAGUUACUGGAUGCUGGGAUGAUAUAUCCAAUUUCUGACAGCAAGUGGAUCAACCUAGUUCAAGUUGUUCCCAAGAACGCUAGGGUGAUAGUGGUAGAGAACAAAGAAGGAGAGUUGGUUCCAACUCGGGUUCAGAACGGAUGGCGUGUGUGUAUUGACUACAGAAAAAUAAACGCAACCACCUGAAAAGAUCAUUUUCCACUCUCAUUCAUAGAUCAGAUGCUAGACAGGCUUGCUGUAAAAUCCCACUAUUGCUGCUUGGAUGGAUUUUCAGGUUUCCAUCAGAUUCCAAUUGCUCCAGAAGAUCAGGAGAAAAUGACUUUAACUUGCCUUUUUGGGACAUUUGUGUAUAGGCGUAUUCCCUUUGGACUAUGCAACGCACUCGCUACCUUUCAAAGGUGUAUGGUUAAUAUCUUUUCUGAGUAUGUCGAAAAUAUCAUAGAAGUCUUCAUGGAUGAUUUCACCGUCUAUGGAGACCCCUUUGAUAUUUGUUUAAAAACCCUUACAAAAGUUUUACAUAGAUGUAUAGAAACAGACCUGGUCUUAAGUUUUGUAAAAUGUCAUUUUGUGGUUGACCAAGGUCUGAUUCUUGGACAUAUUGUUUCCAAAAGAGGUUUAGAGGUCGAUAAAACAAAAAUCGAUGUUAUAAAGAGCUUACCCUACCCUAAGAAUGUUCGGGAAGUGCAUUCCUUUCUUGGCCAUGGAGGGUUUUACAUGAGGUUUAUAAAAGAUUUUUCAAAGAUAUCAGUUCCCAUGUGCCAGCUGUUGCAAAAAGAUGUUGAAUUUGAAUUCAAUGAAGAUUGCAAGAAGGCUUUCGUUGUGCUGAAAAACCUUCAUACUUCUGCCCCCAUAAUUCAACCACCAGAUUGGAGUUUUACCAUUCGAGAUAAUAUGUGAUGCCAGUAACACGACUGUUGGAGCUGUUGUAGGAUGGAGAAAAGACCGGGUUCCCCACGUUAUAUAUUAUGCAUCAAAAACCUUGGAUAAUGCCCAAGCAAAUUAUUCAACCACAGAAAAAGAGUUGUUGUUAAUUUUCUUUGCAUUGGAAAAGUUCAGACAAUAUUUGUUGUGCACAAAAGUUAUAAUAUUUUCUGGUCAUGCAGCUAUCCGGUACCUUCUUGCCAAUAAAGACUCAAAACCAAGGUUGAUUAGAUGGAUUUUGCUGCUACAGGAGUUAGACAUAGAGAUUACGGACAAAAGAGGGAGAGAAAAUUUGGUAGCUGAUCAUUUGAGUCGACUCACCCCACCUGAAGACCCGACACCGAUCUGUGAAACAUUCCUUGACGAGCAUCUAUUCGCUGUUCAGAACCCUCCUUGGUUUGCUGAUAUUGUGAACUACUUGGUCUCCAGAGAACUCAUUUCAGAUCUCACCCGGGCCCAGAAAGAUAAAAUAAAGAAGGAGGCGAAAAGAUAUGUUUGGGACGAACCAUAUCUAUGGAAACACUGUGCUGAUCAAUUGAUUAGAAAAUGUGUACCUCAAAGUGAAGUCAAAUCAAUCUUGAAUUUCUGCCAUUCAGAAGCUUGUGGAGGGCAUUAUGGUCCACAACGAACCGCAUGUAAGGUCUUGGACAGUGGUCUUUAUUGGCCUCAUAUUUUUCGUGACUCUUUUCUAUUUUGCAAAAUCUGUGAAAGGUGCCAAAUGAAUGGGUCUUUGACAUCUUGUAAUCAAAUGCCACUUACUCUGAUCUUAGUAUGUGAAAUAUUUGACAUUUAAGGUAUAGAUUUCAUAGGUCCAUUUCCGCCUUCUUUCGGGUUUGUAUACACCUUACUUGUUGUGGAUUACGUGUCCAAAUGGGUCGAGGCAAAACCUACAUGAAUGGACGAUGUCAAGGUUGUGGUCGAUUUUGUCAAGAAAAAUAUAUUUGCUAGGUUUGGGAAACCAAAGGCCAUUAUUAGUGAUCGGGGCAUGCAUUUUUGCAACCGCACCCUCGAAACGGUCCUCAAGAAAUAUCGUCUCACACAUCGGGUAUCCACAGCGUAUCACCUGCAAACCAAUGACCAGGCCGAAGCUUCAAACAAACAGAUCAAGGGCAUUAUAGAGAAAACCAUCAAUCCAGUAAAGAUGGAUUGGAGUAUUCGAUUGGAUGAUGUGUUAUGGGCUUACUAGACAGCAUACAAAAGUUCUAUUGGUAUGUCACCAUAUAGAAUUGUUUUUGGCAAACCUUGUCGAUUACCGGUUGAAUUGGAGCAUCGAGCAUAUUGGGCUAUCAAAAAGUUGAAUAUGAGCAUUGAUGAAGCUGGCAAGAAAAGAAGAUUGGAUAACCAAGAGCUAGAAGAAAUUAGGAAUGAAGCUUACGAGAACGAAGCAAUUUAUAAGGAGAAGACGAAAGUGUUUCACGACAAAUGAUCUCACGUAAGGUAUUCACUACUGGUCAAAAGGUACUCUUAUAUUACUCUCGUUUUAAACUUACUUAUGGUAAAUUGUGGUCUUGUUGGGUGGGACCUUUUGUUGUUACUAACGUGUUUGAUCAUGGUGCUAUAGAAAUUAAGAGUGAACAGUGUGGUGGAACCUGCAAUCGCAUACCCAGUCUUUACGAUCGCUGGUUAUACAAUUAGUGUCGCAGGUAAUCAUCGAGGAUUUUUUGGAACUAUUUUCACGAAAUUGAACAAACCUGGGAUCGCAGGUUUCCCCUUGCGAUCGUAUGUAUCAGUUUUUAGGGUUUGGAAAAUUUUUAUAAUCAACUCUAGUUUAAUUGAACAAACCUGUGAUCGCAAGUUUCCCCCUUGCGAUCGCAUGUAUCUCGUUGUUGUUCCUGGCUUACUUUUGAACAAAAAAAAUUAGAUUUCAGGACAUUCUUUGAAACCUGCGAUCACAGUUACAGCCCCUGUGAUCGCAUGUAUCAGUUUUUCUGUAUCUGCGACAUAUUUGAACGUUUAUCUCAAAACCUGCGAUCGCAGGUUAAGCCCUUGCGACCGCAUGUAUUACGUUUUCACAUCUAGACAUUAACCUGCAUCGAAAAGAGUGCCAACGGUCAAAUUUCUAAAACCUACGCUCAUAGGUUCCCCCCUUGCGGUCGCAUCUUAUGUUUUCCCUAUAUAUACUGAUCGCAAGCCUCAUUUUUAACCACCACACUCGAAAAAUUCUUUCUGAAAUCCAUUAUACUUCGAGUUCUUUCACCAAAAAAACACCCAAAUCGCUCAUUUUUCGUCGAAAUCAAACAAAUAAGGUAUCAGUCUCUUCUAUUUUACUCCUACAACAUGUAUAUGGUAACGAAGUCAUGUUUUCACGGUUGAAAUUCUCCAAAAAUCUCAUUUUGUUCAUUUUGAAAUUUGAAUUUUUGUGAGUUUUUUUUUUCAGAUCUACGUUCUGUUAAGUCAUCCACAGGCCACAAAAAGUAGAAACAUUUGCUCACGACGCGAUUCUGAAGAGAUUCAUCCGAACGAAAUUUCAAAAAUCAAAAAAAAAAAUUCGGCACGAAAAAUAUACUGCUGCUCAGCGCACAAUCAAUCAGGUAUUUUCAUUCUGAAACUGAAUCUCUAUUUUUGUUAUAUAUUUGUGCAGUCGUUUGGGAGUAGUUAGGAAUAUUCAUUUUUGCUUUAUUAUUAUUAUUAUUAUUAUUAUUAUUAUUAUUAUUUUCUUUUACCUGAAAUUGUGCCUUCCUUGUCCCGCUUUUGACCUGAAAAAAAAUGCCCCCUAGACCAUCUCGUUCAUGCAGACAGGUUGACGCUCCAGAGCCGUCAUACACUGUCCAGGUGGACAAUGUCACUGUGGAUUUAGGUUCACAACUCGACUGUUACCAGCGGCUUCUAGACCCCGAGAUUAUGCCACAAGCCUAGGCCCCUAGCCGCACACUAAUGUGGGAACUCUAUAUUUAUGAUGGUGUUCAUGCUCUUUUUGCCAAUAUCGGCUGGGAGCGCCUAUUAUCUACAGAUUUUGGCAGUUGUCCCCUAUUUUCCCGAGAGUUUUUAGCCACGCUUAGCGAGAUAAAUCAUGAGGGAAAUUUCUCUUUUCACAUUUUUAGCACCCUUCACACUAUUCACGUGGACCCGUUAUGUGCUAUAUUCCAUACCCCCAUCACCAGUUUAUCCCAGCCCACCCCCGCUUUUGAUGUACGCGAGUUUUGGUACUCCAUCACUGGAUUGGAGUCUUAUGAUUCAGCCUAAUCUGUACAAACCAGUAUUAUGCACCAUGUUCUCAAAAUUGCAUUGAAAAUUAUAUGCAAUAUUAUUUAUGCACAGACUGAGACUACAAAAGUCGGUAAAGCCGAGUUUUUUCUUUUGUGGUGCAUGGUCACCGGUUCACACCCCCCGCAUUUUGGUGAUCUUAUUAUCAAACGAUGCCCUUUGCACCGGCGGUGCAAUUCGCUGUGGUGGUCUGAUUUCUGUCAUUGCCCACUCCCUCGCGGCGCAAUCUUCUCCGGGGUACACUUUCUUUGCGGGUGAUUCUUUCCGUUUGACCCUGCAGACCCUUCGGUCUAUGGAUAUGCUUCGUACUGCCCCAGGUGGGUAUGUUUGGAUGCAGGGUCACUCCACUUAUUACAAGGUCACUAGCCCUGAUGUCAUCUCCCUAGCAGACCCUAUUAGCGACACUAUGUGGGUUCUUCCGUCGAACAUCCCACCAGCUCCUCGCCCACGAAGGGCACCGCAGGUACGGCAUCCACAGUCUGAUCGACCAUCUUCAUCCACUCAGCACCCAGACUUCGCAGACGCCACACCUAUUUCCUUUAGCCAUCCUGAUCCUAUGCAGACUGACUUUCAGAAUCAGCCCCCACCCACCCAGCCAUCUCACCCUGACCCCAACUUCCCCUUCACUUACCAGCUUUAUCUUGCCCUCCAUUAGGAUAUUGCUUCUCUUCAGCAGACUAUGACCAGUCUCCGCCUUGAUUAUCAGCUAUAUAGUACUCAGGUUACUGAUUAUCAUGACGAGCUGUUAGGUUUGCGUGACGAUUUCAACACUUUCCGCGACGAUUUCUUCCGUCGCUAUGCACCCCCGUCCGAGUAGUCGUCUUCCACUCCUCCCUAAGCAUUGAGGACAACGCUUAAUUUUAAUCUUGGGUAGGGGAUUUCCUAUCUUUUUGUAGAAAAUUUUUAUUUUGUCAUUUUUAUUUAAAAAAAAUCCAAAAAGAUUUUUCAUUUAUGUUUCUUUUAUUUGUCAUUUUAUUUUUUUCUAGUUUUUCUAAAAUAUUUUCAUUUUGUUGCAUUUUGCAUUUGCAUUAAAAAAAAUUAUGAGAUGAUGACACUUUUUACAUACGAUAGCUCCAUGAAGUGGGAUAUUGAGAAUUGAAAAUGAAAAAAUCUGAAGCGACUUGAUUGUUAUUGGAAGUGUAGAAUCAGCUGUCAUAACCAGGGGAUCCAAGACACCGUAAUUCGAGACCCCGACCUUAGAUAAUAAAAAAUGGCAUACUGAAACGUUUUUUGGGCGGUAAUAACAGCUCUAGGAUGAUUUGCUUAUUUAUGUUUAAAAAGAAUCUUUAUCGGCAACUCUAAACCCAUAGAACAUGACCCUAUUUGUUGACACGCGUUACCUCUCGUGGUAGCAGAGAGCUUAUGUAUCAGAUCCACACAGUCAAAAUGAAGAAAGGGUACAACGUAAUAUCUAGUACCCAAUUCAAAGAAUUUCAAGCGCUCAAUUGAAGAAACUCAAGAAAUUCUAAAAAAAAGGAGAGAGAGAUUGAAGAAAUCAAGCUCAAAACGAAUUGUAAAUCAAAGUUCAAUCAAGUUAGAAGUCAUUAAAAAGUUACAUCUGGCGAAUAAAGAACUGUGUGAUAUGAUUCUUAUGGCUCUCGAAAAAGUGAAAGCAUAGAAGUCGGGCUCCUAUGGGGGUUGGUGCUUGCUGCUUCGGCGAAAGUUGAUUUGGUCGUGCGGGUUCUUAAGGAUGUGUCGAUUCUGAUUCUUGGUCAUCUAGUCUUAAGGACAUGAGAUCUGGACUAUGUUAUUUUUGCUCAUAAAGCUAAUUAAGGUACACAGUUUAAAUAAAACUAUAGUUAGAUUAUUGGGUUACACCAUUUUGUGGUCUUCCUUACUUUGGGAGUCUGUGAUACAUGAAAGAUAGGAAGAUGGUUGCUUUGAUGUUAGUGAUUGGAGCCCAUUAUCGAUGUAAAGUCUGAUCGUAAGAAUAAAAAAAAUAUAAAAAAGAAAAAGAAAGAGAGCAUGAUUCAUUUUAAAUGUUCGUUUGUCAUUCGCAUACUAUUUUAGUUUAUUGUUCACUUUCUUUAUCUUUGCAUGCAUGUUUUAUGUUUAGCUUUGGUAGUCCUUAUUAUUUAGGAUUCCGUUUUUCUAGUUGACGUGUGUCUAGGUAAUUCCAUUAUUACCUUUAGCUUCAAUUCCAUUUCCAAAGUUAUCGUUUCCUUACUUGAGGGCAAGUGAGGUCUAAGCUUGGGGAGGUUCGUUAGAUGCAUUUUAUAUGCAUCUUUUAGCACAAUUUCCUACGUAUUUCUUUAUAAUAAGCUAACUAAUUCCCGAUUAUUUUUAUGUAUUUCGUGUUUCAUUAUUAUUUUGAAGAAUGGCCGUACUACUCACGUUUGUUAUUACUUUUCAGGGUAUUUGGAGCAUAUUGAUGAUUGUGCAAGUUCGGGAUGCGUUUGUGGAUGCUUUGGAGCUUAAUUGGAGUCUAGACCAAGGAGGGAUACCGGGAAAUGAUCAGGAACUUCUUGGAAGGAGGAACGGCGAUCAAAAGAGCCAAAAAAAAGUAACAUGCAAUCGCAUGUUGUCUCCUUGCGAUCGCAGGUUGGGUCGUAGGUUGCUUUCAAGGUUUUGUCAAGCCAAAAAAUUCACCAGCUUAGAAAAAAAAAAGAAACAUGUGAUCGCAGGUUGUCCCUUGCGAUCGCAAGUUGGUCAAUUUCUGUCUAAAUAGCAACAUACUUCAUUAAAAAGUCCCAUGACUCGUUUUUGAUAAAACCUGCGAUCGCAGGUUGUCCCUUUGCAAUCACAGGUACAACGUUUUGACAGCUAGAUGUAUAAAUACAGCCCCAUACUCUUCCAGUAACCCUAAUUGGCGAUUCUUCGCGAUCCAGAGGCAAUUUUCAGAGGGUUUCAAGAGAAGACCGCAGCUCUAAAGGAGACGACUCAAUUCCAAGUCAUAGUUUAGUCAGAUUUAUUGUUUAGAUUCUAUUUUCACCAUUUGUAAUCCGUUUUUAGCCAUGUCAGGCUAAAAACUCAGAUUUCAGUUUCGCAAGACGUAACCUUUUCGUAUGAUUAAUCAUUAGGCACAAUGUUUGACUAUGAUUACUGUUUAGUUUGAUCAAUUCUGUGUUAAAUUGAGUGUUUGAUUUGAUUUCAAUUUCUGUUGGCCACUUAAAUUGUUUGUGAAUCAUUCUAGUCAUCUAAUUGUUCAGAUCCAUAAUUGUCUAGAUUAAUUAGUAAAAAGUGUCGUAUAUUAGAUUAAUUCUGAGUUUAGGGUUAACUCUAAUAUGAAAUGAUCAAACAAUUUUUAACGCCUCCGAGCUUAUGAGAGAUAUUGAACUUUAUUGGGAUUACACUGUGUCUAAUGGAACUUUUCUUUAUUAGUCAAGAGCUUGUUUGGUUAAUUUAGUAAAAAGUUAGAUUUAAUUCAAAGAGCUUAUUUUAAUUAAAUGGUUUUCUGUAAUAAUUUUCAUUAGAGCUUGUUAAUGAACCUUAGUAUUAGUUUGAACAAGUGUAUAGUCGAAUAUUGUGUUGAAGAUUAGUUAUAUGAUUAGGGGAUUCAGCGCAAAACUGGAAUUGCUUUCUCUUAACUGAAUUUCCAUCACUUUAAAUUUAUUCAUUUUCUUGUCAUUUUCAAUUUCUAUUAGUUUAAUUUUCAGAAAUAAAUCCCCCUUUUUAUGUUUAUUGCAUUCAUCAAGAAUUAGUUCAGACCUUACGCAAAGACGUGUAAACGUUAGGACGUGUCCCUGAGGAUCCGACCCUGCUUACCUGUACUACCUUUUAGUGCAUUAAAGCAGUUUAUUUUAUAUUUUUAGUUCAAUAAAACAGUUUAUAUUUUUAUGAUUAGGUGUCUUGUGACCAAUCAGGUCAAGACAAGGAUCCUAAUGAAGCCUAGAACUGACGUCACCUGGCAAUUAGUUAGCAUGUGUAUACUUCUCCCAGUAAGAGGAUGCCACGUCUCACGCCCACAUGGAAGAGUCACAUCAUUCUGUUAGUAACAGGUAUAAAAGGAUCUCUUCCUGUCCAAGGAAAGGAUCCAUCUUCUUCCUCCAUAGAAUUUACCCGAAUCUCUCUCUGAAUAAAGACUAACUUGAUCAUCAGAGCGACAUCCCGGGAGAACACCCGAUCAUCCUUUAACAAUUCUUAUGUGUUAUGUUCUCAAGUAAACCUCCAGGACAAACCCAACUUCAAAAAACUAGUUCCCUGUAGAUCNNNNNNNNNNNNNNNNNNNNNNNNNNNNNNNNNNNNNNNNNNNNNNNNUAUAUAUAUAUAUAUAUAUAUAUUUGAAAGUCUUUAUAAAAUAUAAAAGCUAGUUUUAUAAAAUAGAGAAUUUGGAGUUUUAAAAACAAGAGAGAAUGAAUGUUUGACUAACUUUCCCUCCUUUUUCUUAUGAUUUCGUGUAUAAGCACCCACACCCACCUUUACGGGUGGUCCAAUGCAUGUAAAUGCUUUUAUGUUAUUCUUGAUUAACUCUUGCUUGUGUGGGAUAAUUAAACGACUGAAAUGCUUUCAUUUUUUCUUAUGAUUUAGCAUACGGAAGGAACUUUACUCUUGCAAACUCUCUCACUCUCUGUCAAAAUUGUUAGUUGUAAAAAGAAGAUAAUGCAUACUUUCUUGAACACCAAAAAUUCGUUUUUGGUUGUUCAAGAUCAAGAGGUUGUAUUAUCAAGAGUUGAACUUGAUGGGUUUUGGCCAUAAGAACAUCCUAUGUGCUCAUAUAAACCCUCAUGCUUUGAUCUAGGUUUCUCUAUUGUACAUGCAUGUUAUCCAAGACUAUAAACCCUAAUUCUAGCAUACAAGUAAUCAUAUUAACAUAAGAAUGGGUUUAAGAUAUUACCUUGAUUGUUAUGUAGCAAUAACAAUCCAAUUCCUCCUUGUAUUGACUUUAGAAAGCUUAGAAUCACAAAUGUCACUUCUCUAAUGGUUCACAAACACCAAGAGCAAGAGGAUGAAGAGGAGAGAGGAAGGAGGCUGCCCUAAAACGUGUGAAACCCUAGAAGGAUGCUUAGCCACGUUUUCGGGUCAUAAGGGAUCUAUAUAUAUAGGAGGCUAUUAGGGUUAUCUAACAAGGAAACCCUAAUUUGGAUGCUUAAGCCGUAAGCAACCCAUGGAUCCCUUUCCUUAAGGCCUUGGACAAUUUCCCCAUGGGUUUCCCAUAGAAUUCAUCCACUCCUUAAUAUAAGGCAAUCCAUGGCCCAAAUUGCAAUUAUCUUAUAAUUACAAUUCCACUCCCUUAAGUUUAAUUAAUCUCUUUUAGUCACAAACUAAUUACCAAUUAAUUAUUGACUAAUAUUAAUUAAACAAUAUGAUUUCUCCUUUAAUAUAUUAUUCUCAUAAUAUAUUAAUAAAUCAUAUUUAAUCCUUUCUCUCCAUAAUUCAUCCUAUCAAGUUGCUUUAGUGAAGGCAACCCAAAAGGACCAUGCACCAUCGGGUCAAGUACAUACCAAAAUAGUUAUGGACUUAGACACUAAUCCAACAGUCUCCCACUUGGAUAAGUCUAAUAACUAUUCUGCGUAUGACUUCAGAUCCUGAUCUGCAAUCGUAGCUUUCCAAAGCCGCUGUCAACUCUGAUCCUAUCAGAUACGCGUGUCCUUAGAUAAGGGAUCAUAUAUUCCUCCAUUCUAGAUAUCGUAUGAGAUAUGAUUUCAAAUCAUUCUCUUUGUACUAUAUCUCGAUUCCCGAUUUAUGACGACUGACUAAUUGAACAAAUCAAAUUAGCCCUAGCCCGGCCGAGCAUUUACGUUUGUCAUCACUAAAUCAUCGAGGGGCCCAAAGAUAUCGCUUUUAUCCUACUUUGGAUAAAAGGAACGGAUAAACUUUGAUACAAUGCUUGCUUGCACUCACUCACCGAAUUACACACAACAAUAUGUUUUAUAACACCAAGUUACUAGUGCGUUUACAUAUUAUCAAUGUGCAACCGAUUUGCAAGAUACAACUCACACAUCUCGGUUUCAAGAAUAUAAGAUGUUAUCGUCUCACCAAUCACUCGUGAUACAAUUCAUGGAGUGAUCCAAGUGAGCGUGGGUUUAAUCCAAUGCUCAAAUCAUAUUCAUAAGCACUCAUGAACGUUGCAGCAAACAUUUGCUUAUGUCUAAUACUCUUUUAGACAAUCCACACACCAAUUCACGACAGUCUUCAUUCAUAUCUACUUCCAACAUAUGAACGACUGUGGCCCGUUCGAAUAAUUCGAUUAUUCUUAAUAAACUCAAUUAUUCUGGAAGUCAAAACAUGCAAAUGUGAAACACAAGAAUAAUACUAAUCCCAUAUGGCCUCAAACCUUUGAGUAUAAAUAAAACACCUUUUAUUUAUCACCAUAUCGAUUACUCAUUAUUUGUCGUUUCGGGUAAUCAACUUCUUACUUGAAUUAUUACACUUGUCCCAUGCUCCUAGCAUGCACACAAUGUUUACCUAUGGUUCUUACUUUGUGAAAUAGAUCAAAUUGAACACAUUUCCAAUCAUUCUCAUUUCACAACUCCAAAUCCUUUUUCAUAAGUGUGAGAAUAUCAAAUUCUUGUUACUUAUAAAAUAUGCUAGAUUCUAACAUUCUAUGCAAUGAUCCUUUCGUAAUGUCACUGCACCAAAGUCACAAAGACUAUUGCCAAUGAUAUUACAAAGUCCUCUAUCGGAGAUUGUUACAAGACAAUUCCUUAGAUAUGAUGUCUCUCACUCAAAGUACAUUCCUUUGAACAUCCUUUUGCAUAAAAGUUUCUAAUCUAGACAUAGAUUUUCAAUAUUCAAUUCCCAAUAUGGACACGCUUCCAUAUUUUCCAUAUGACAACUCAUUCUUAAUAGAAUCUUAUCUAUUCGUAAUGAUGUCGAUAUGGUCCAUCCAAUAUGGAAACAUUUCCAUAUUUUCCAAUACUAUACUUCCAACUACUCACAAGCGACCAAUCCUCGUCGAACUUUGGAUUGUCCUUUGAUAGUUGUUUAAUUAUUUUAGUCAAAACCAAUUCUAGUCCCUUUUCCCUCUAAAUGUGCUCGACAUUUGGAAAAUUUUAGAAUGGUCAAACAUUAAAGCAUUUGCAAUCGAUCCUAUACCCGAAGCGUAUGGGACACGACGCAUAAUGUUUUAUUUGCUAUGUUCUCAAAAUUCGAAUUGUGAAGAGGAAUGCCGUAAUCAUAAUCGAAAUUUUAAGAACACACUAUGUACCUUUGACUAAAUUUAUUAACAUUUCUCAACCUAAUCCUUUAGAUUUGAAAUGAAGCAUAAUAUUCUCUCCCUUAAUUAUAGCAAAACAACUUUACAACCCUUACGACUUUGCAAGGUAUAACUCUUGUUUUCUAUAAUUAAUAUUGCCAACUUGCAAUACGUGCCUUAAUAAUCAUACAAUCAUAACAUUUAUGCUCCCACUAUCAUGAUGAUUAUUAUAAACAUAACACUUAUGCUCCCACUAGCUUUGACAUGUAUUCAGAAACAGCUUAACUUUCAGAAAAACAAUGCUUAUUGAAUUUCUUAAGUUCAUGUUUCUAAUACCUAGUGCUUUGAUAAUCUUUUAUCAAGGCCUCUUGAACUUAUACAUCUUUGUCUUAGAUAGCUCAUAUGUGUGACUAAACAAUUCAGACUACUUGCCAAACCUCACAAUUCAAAUUAUGGAAAGGGAUACCGUAACCAUAAUCGAAUUCGAGAAUGCAAUUUUACAAUCACUAUCUUCUUAAAAUCUUUCUUAGUGAAAGCAUUUCCUCACAAUCAUUUUCAUGAAGGAGGAAAUCUUAUGACACUUAGAUUUAAACGGUGUAUGUGUUCCUAUCCAUGUGAAUUUGUUAAAACCAAAGUUUACGACAAAUUCAAACUCAUAUGGACCGAACUUUCUUAAUCUUGAUUUCUUGCCUUAUGGUAGCACAGCUGCCCACCACGUCUUCCAAGUAGUUAAGCAGCUCACCCUUUCCUAUCAAUGUACCUUUCAUUGAUUAAGGUGCCUUGCCUUUUAUGCGUUCAAAAUGAGAACUCAUAGAACUCACAUGCAUAAUUAACUCAAUUGAAACAACACAGAAACAAAAUAAUGUCAACACGAUAGGUUGUAAACCUCAACUCGUGUGCUAGUAACGAUUGAUAAGGUCUAUUUUGAUUUGUUCUUGAAACCUUUCAAGACCAUUAAGACUCCCACUGACUCAUUGACAUAUAAGAUUCUCUUGUCAAUAAACAUUUCUUAACAAACAAAUAUUCAAGAGUUAGCGUAGUUUUUAUCAAAACACUUCCUAAAUUGGUCUUAGUUGGUCUUUGUCUUAUCCAUGGCAUCACAACUUUCCAAAUUUGAUGAAUGUUAUAAACCUUCUUAAUACUUAUCACUCAAUUUCACAAUCUUAACUCUAAGACUUGUUUUGGAACGAAGUAUGAUUGACUUCUUGAUUUAACCAUUUCUUCAAUUCUUGAUUCCUCUUCUUAGACAUACAAUUGUACUAAGACUCACUUAGAGGAUCAAUUGAGAUAUGGUUCUUAAUCAUUAAGACCUAUCAUAAAGCAUAAAAGCUACUCUCCCUUCUUCUUAGAAUGGAGAAACUUUUAUCUUUCUGCCUACAUGAUUCUUCUUAUUCGUUUUGCUAUUGAUUAAAACUUUUUAAUCAAUUCCGAAUUACACUUAAUCUUAUGAUUAUAAUCAUAUUUACUAAACUUUUAGUAAAUCAUGACGAAUAUCUUGUUAAUAUUAUGGUGGACUUUGACAAACACACAACUUUGUGUACUCGAUCGUCCUUCACUUGACACUUUGUCAACGAAUUAGUCUAAUUUCCAAAUAUGAAAUUUUUCAUUCAUCAUGCAACCAAGUUGCGUGAUUCCAAAUUUCUGUCCAAUUGAAAUUUGGGCGACGAGAAACUCUUCCUAUUUGGUAAAUUCUCGACAUUUCCAUAAAUAAGAAUCAUGUCCAUUCUUUGUAGAAAUAUUCAAACAUCAAUUUUCAUAACGAUUUCAUUGCAAGGAAAUAAACUAAUAAAUAAAUAAGUCAAACCAAAAUUUAUUUUAUUUAUAAAAGCAGCGGAAAACAUUUGUCCUUACAAUGCAAAAUCCAUUGAAAACUAUGUAUUUCAAAAGGAAAAUUUCUAACAACUCUAUCAUAACUAUCUAAGCUCAAAGUCUAAUCUUCAAGUCCAUGCGAUCAAGAUCCAUUCCUUGUGAUUAGAUUCAUCUUGCUCUUUCACCAAGCUUCCUUUCUUUUCACUGAUCCUGCAAAACAUUUAAAUGCAAUCUUAUCACAUCAUGUAUUAAGAAUAAACGAAUAGGAACUUAAUGGAUUUAGAUAGUGGAUUUUACCUGAAGCACAGCCACACUCUUUGAAUCUCCCAUCUUCUGGACUCUUCAGGCUCUCUAGGCAGACAUGUAUCCAACGCCCUUUCUUUUGGCAGCAAACGCAGGUUGGUUCUCCUAGAACGUCCUCGGAAGCAUGGUCGGUUGACUUUCCCAACAAAUACGCUCCAUUGCUUCGCCAAAUCAUUUCUGAUUCAGCAGCAAUGAGCAUGUAAGUUAGGUUAAUGAGGUUAUCGUUAUGAUUCAUCAUAUAAUACUUUCUUUUGAACUCAUUAUAUGAUUCAGGGAGUGACUGCAAAACCCAGUUCACAGCCAACUCAUCCGGGAAUGACACACCCAACAUUAUCAACCUAUCAAUGUGUGAUUUCAUUCCUAGAAUGUGAGCACACACGGGUUUACCAUCUUCAUGUUUCAUUUCCAAUAGGGCUUUAGUGAUAUUGAACCUUUCAAUUUUUCGAUCUUGUGGGUUAGGGAGAACAAUUGGAGGAGGUGGAGGAAGUGAAGGAUGAUUUCUUGUUCCUCAAUCGAAUCGUGGAGUACCAUCAUCAUGUGGAAUGCUUGUUCCACGGGAUUUGGGAAGACCAUAGUUGACGAACUUAGACAUCUACAAAAUGGGAGAAACAAUUCAAGUUAGUUGAUUGAUUGAGUCCUUAGUAAAUCACCCAAAUGAGAUACUAAGGCUAGGACCCAACACAGUAUUCUACAACUCGGGAGAGGGAUGUCGUAACCCAAAUUGCAGAACAUUUGAAGGUAAGUGAAUGACGAUUCACUAAUUUCCACCAUGAAAAACGAAAAAGAAAUUUAAGUUUUAAAUCUAUGAAAACUCCUAGAUCCUUUGAGAUUCAUUGAACUUUCAAUGGCAUGUUUAAAUCUCGAUAUGCCCCUCUUGUUUGUGACUGGGAUGCCGAGGAUCACAAAGCGGGUGUGAAUAACCAUGCAAACUUACAUGGUGCCCUCACAUGUUACAGUCACCUAUUCGAUGUGCCGGUAAACCACACACGCUCCACCGAACUAUGACAAACAUUGAGUCACCCUUUGCUACCUUUGCUUAGAACCAUUUAGUGUGCCGGUAAACCACACACGCUCCACUAACGUCUUCGCAAGGGCACAAAGUGUAAUUUCAUGGAAUUGCAUCAAUUCACUUUUGCCUAAGUAACUAAGAUUGGGAAUUUUAUGAAAACAUUUAGUUACUUUAAUAAUUCAUUAUACUUAUAAUGGAAGGUUUCGUCCUAUCCUACCCGUUCGGCUAACGACCCUCCACUAGUCAAGAGUGCGGUGGGUAAGAGUGGAUACCCAUUCAAUCGCCAUUUUAUAGGCAAUUUCCUUAAACACCCCUUAUAGACCAGCUUCGUGAAUGAGGCCUACUAACGGUAAGACUGACUUUUACUCAUAUAUAUAUAUAAUGUUAGACUUUUAAUGUUAUAUAUAGUAUAGGGUGUAUUUUACACUUUUAAAAUACUAGGUGGUCAAAUUUAACAAUUAUACUUUUAAUUCAAUUAAAUUGUAAACCAAAACUUUUAUGGAUUUAUUAAACCUCUUUUAAUUAUACACCUUAAUUAAUUAAUAAAACCAUAAGGGUGUGAUUUGAACUUUUUCAAAACAAUACUAGGGUUUUAGAAUUUAACAUUCCUAAUUAAACUUUUAAUCAACUUUUAAAUUCCAAAACUUGAGGGCAAGUUUUGAAACAUUUCAAAACAUUAGGGUUUAGAAUUUAAAUAUACAUCAAAAUUAAACUAUUAAUCAAAAUUUAAAUUCCAAAACUUGAGGGCAAGUUUUGAAACCUUUUUCAAAACAUUAGGGUUUCAACUAUUUAAAUUUCAAAACAACAAAACUUUUGAGUUCAAAUUUAAACUAUAAAACCUAAAGGGGAAAAUAUGAAACAUUUCAUAACACAAGGAUCAAAUAACAAAUAAUCUAAAUUAACAUUUAAUCACAUAAUUAUCCAUAUUUGAUUUAUUUAAUGAUUUCUUGCAAAACAAUUUACCAAUUUAAUUAAAAUAAUUAAUCAAUUAUCACAUAAGGAAACAAAUAUUUUAUUAAUUGAUAAAUAUCUUCAAUUAGAUCAAGAAUAUACUCAUAUAUAUAUAAAAAAAUCGGAUUUAUAUUAAUCUAAUAUGAUAAGGCAAGUAUCCUCAAGCAAAAACAACAAGAAAUCUCGGUUUUCCCUCAUUCUGACCAACUGACUCGUCGAGUCAGGCAUGGACUCGGCGAGUUUAGCAAGCAGAACCACAAAAAAACGAAUUUUUUUUAACAUACAAUGCAUCAAUACAAUAGAAACCAAUCUAGUCUCUGAUACCACUGAUGGGUUUUGGUCAUAAGAACAUCCUAUGUGCUCAUACAAACCCUAAUGCUUGGAUCUAGGUUUCUCUAUUGUACAUGCAAGUUAUCCAAGACUAUAAACCCUAAUUCUAGCAUACAAGUAAUCAUAUUAACAUAAGAAUGGGUUUAAGAUAUUACCUUGAUUGUUAUGUAGCAAUAACAAUCCCAAUUCCUCCUUGUAUUGACUUUAGAAAGCUUAGAGUCACAAAUGUCACUCCUCUAAUGGUUCACAAACACCAAGAGCAAGAGGAUGAAGAGGAGAGAGGAUGGAGGCUGCCCAAAAACGUGUGAAACCCUAGAAGGAUGCUUAGCCACGUUUUUAGGUCAUAAGGGAUAUAUAUAUAUAGGAGGCUAUUAGGGUUAUCUAACAAGGAAACCCUAAUUUGGAUGCUUAAGCCCUAAGCAACCCAUGGAUCCCUUUCCUUAAGGCCUUGGACGAUUUCCCCAUGGGUUUCCCAUAGAAUUCGUCCACUCCUUAAUAUAAGGCAAUCCAUGGCCCAAAUUGCAAUUAUCUUAUAAUUACAAUUCCAGUCCCUUAAGUUUAAUUAAUCUCUUUUAGUCACAAACUAAUUACCAAUUAAUUAUUGACUAAUAUUAAUUAAACAAUAUGAUUUCACCUUUAAUAUAUUAUUCUCAUAAUAUAUUAAUAAAUCAUAUUUAAUCUCCAUAAUUCAUCCUAUCAAGUUGCAUUGGUGAAGGCAACCCAAAAGGACCAUGCACUAUCGGGUCAGGUACAUACCAAAAUAGUUAUGGAGUUAGACACUAAUCCAACAGAACUAGCGUUCAUCUAGUGUUGGAGCUUGUUGGAGAACUUUCUCUAGAGAGAUUCUACUUUGGGUUCUUUCCAUCAUUAUCAUCGUUUAACCUCCUAUGAGGAUUAAAGGACAUCAAAGGUUGUUAAUCUUAUUCUUCUAUGGUUGUUGAUUUAAAUCUUUCAUGCUCAUGUAAUGUGAUCCUUUGUUGGAUUGUUUGAUGUUCGUGUUUUAUAUUAGAUGUAUUUAUUUCCAAACUCAAAGUUCUAUGUUUUAAAACUAAAUCUUGAACACCAUAUUUUCGUCAGAGUUUGGUUCUCGUUUACACUUUAGCAUGAUUUUCUAUCCACAGACCAAUGGUCAGAGUAUAGAGGAUAUGCUUUGAGUCAUGAGUUAAUCCAAUAGGUACGCGAGAUAUUGUAACCCAUGCAGAGUCAAAAGAAGAGCUAUGCAGAUAGGUGUCGAUCUAAUUUGGAGUUUCUAGUCAGAAUAUGGUACUCCUAAAGGUGUCACCAUGGAAAUGUGUCAUCCGGUUCAGGAAGCAGGAUAAGUUGGGUCCCUGAUAUAUAUCAGUCAUUUCAAGGUUAUUGCCUGGGUGGGCUGGGUUACAUUUCGCUUGGAGGUUCCAGAAGAGCUCAAUCAGAUCCAUAACACUUUUCACAUCUCUGAACUGGGGAAGAUUUUGGUUGUUAAUUCUACAGUGGUUCCUUUGGAGAAAAUUCAGGUGGAUAAGCGCCUGAAUUACAUAGAGAGACCGAUCACAAUUCUAGAAAAGAAGAUGAAGACCUUAUGUAACAAGGUUGUGAGUCUAGUGAAUGUGAAAUGGCAAGAUUAGAAAGGCUCAGAGUGGACAUAGGAUCCCAAGGAGGAGAUGAAAAAUCACUAUCCAUGCUUCUUUGUAGCAACGGACUUCGAGGACGAAGUCAGAUUCAGGUGGGGGGGGGGGAUUUUAACAUCUAGUCUUUGGAGGUAAAUUUUGUUUUAGUUUAAAUUCAAGACCUUUGGGGCGCCACGGUGUGGGGAAGAUAGCCCUGACGUGGAGAGAUACUUUUCGUCACGAGUCACUUUUUACUCACCACAAAGUGGAAAGGAAGGCUACGACGUGGUCGUUUCUAAUGUCUUAAACCCUAAAUUUUUUAUUUUGCACUAUAUUUACAGGUAUUAGGAGGCUAGGGUGUGCUCACCCUCAGCUUCCACCACCCACUUUUAUCUAGAUGAAAACACUUGCUCUUUUCUGCAAUUUUUGAAGCUUUCUUGAGUGCUUCUAAGGGACUUCAAAGGAAGAAACAAGAAGCAUUAAGCCGAGGAUCUACAAGAAAGCUCCAUCUACCUUCCUAGUUCAAUUUUAGAUGAUAGGAUGUUAGAUCUUGAAAUAUGUCCUAUUUUCAACUUAAUAUUUAUAGUUGGGGUAGUAGGAGUUCAUAAAGGUUGCAACUUUAUGAAUCUCCGUAUCAUGUGGAGUAGUUCAUGGUCCAGAUCUAAACCUUGGAUGACUCUUUGAGCCAGGCAUAAGAUUUUAGUCAUAAAAACCCCCCUUUUGACCGAAGUUGAGUCCAAGAAACGCAUUGGAUAUGCAUGCUAAAAAGUACCAAUCUUUAGGUUAUUUUUAGUGUCAUAAGCUCUUCUGGAGAAAAUAAGCUGGAGACUUAAGGGAUGAAGUGCUUCUCGAUUAUGUACUUUCCAUUUAUAGCCUUUUUGGAUCUAAGACUUGAGAUCUAGACCUCUUGCUGGGUAUCGAGGGAUAAAGAUGGAAAAUUUAUCCAUCUUGACAUUAGAAAUGAUCAGAUCUUGACUUUGGAACCUUUUCAAUUAGAGGAUUCGAGUUAACCCAUUAAGACAUUUUGAACCCAGUGCUCACGGUGUGGCCUAGGUUGCCUUGACAUGGAGACUAACGAAAACACAUAUGUUUUGUCAUUUGAAGGCCACGACAUGACCAAGGAUGGCCAAGAUGUUGAGGGUCAACAUUGACUGUUGAAUUUGACUUUUGACUUGCAUUGAGUUUUGAUCAGACCCCUAGUUUUGGAGGGGAAGCUAUGGUUUUACUUUCUAUGGCUGAAUAGGUAGCUUGUAUUAUCUGUAUUCGCAAUAGUAAGAGUUGUAAUAUUUCAUCGUCGUUUGUUAGGUGACUCUCUUCACUAUACAUGGGGGUCGAAGGCACCAAUUCCUACCCACUAUACUAUGUUUGUAGGAUGAUAGUUGUGUUUGUGACACUUACUGAUAUGCUUAUAUGUGCUUGUUGUCUUUGUGGCUCUUGCGUAUAUGAUUGUGUGCUUAGUUGUAGGGGUGAAAUAGACCUAAUGUCGGUUGAAAGUGACUUUAAGGGUGAAACAGAUCCAAUAUCGUUUAAAAGAUACCAAAUGGGGUGAAACAAGCCCAGUACCAGUUGAAAGAUACCGAAGGAGGUGAAAUAUACUUAGUACCGGUUGAAAGAUACAGAAGGGGGUGAAACUCAAUAAGGUAUAGGUGUCAGAUCAAUUUCUUUGACAUCAAGUUUGUUUAGAAGCCACCGCAUCCAAAUUAUUUCGCUAAAUGUAGCACCAUUUCUUGGUAUUCUACUUUAGCAGAAUAUAGAAAAACAACCAUAUUCUUCUUUGAUUUCUAUAAGAUUAGAGCUCCUCCCAAAAGUAGAACAUAUAUUGCUCGAGACCUUUGAGUAUAUGGGCAUCCAAGCCAAUCCACAUCGCAAUAUGUAAUGAGAUUUGUUCCUCACUGGUUGGGAUAUAGGACGCAUUGUCCAAGAGUAGCUUUUUGAUAUCUCAAGACCCUCAUUGCAGCAUCUAAGUGAUCUUUCUCAUGGAUCUGAUACAAAUUCACUUAAAACGUUCACGAUAUACGUGAGAUCAGGUUGUAGAUACAACAACUUACCAACCAAACGAUGAUACUUACUUGCAUCAACACAUGGUUUUCAAUUUUAGUUGUCAAGUCUCAAGUUUUGUUACGUCAGGAAGGAACAUGGUUUACAUCCCAACAUUCUGAUAUCUUCAAGAAUGUCUGGAAUAUAUUUUAUCUGACUCAAAACUAAACCAUACUUUGCCCUAGCCACCUUUAUACCAAGAAAAUAUUUUAAGGAACAAAAUCCUUUAUGUUGAAUUGCUUGUCAAGGAAAACUUUGGCUUCUUCAAUUUUAUUUAGGUAAUUUCCCAUGAUGAUAGUGUCAUCAAUAUAUAAAAGGAUAGAAAUGAAAACUUUGCUUUUUUUUUUGUAUAUGAAGAGAGAAUGAUAUGCAUGAGGAUAGAGAUAAUAAGUUUUUGGUACCUGUUUCUUGAAGCUUGUUUCAGAUAAAGUGACUUCUUUAACAUUCAUGCUUUAGUCACUCCCCCUUUCUCAUAACCCUCCAAUAUCUUCAUGUAAACCUCCUUAUUAAGCUAACCAUGUAAGAAUGUGUUGUUAACAUCUAAGUGGUGGAUAAUCCAAUCUCUUUUAACAACAAUAACAACAAGGAGAGCCCUUAAAGUAACCAACUUUGCAACCGGUGCAAAAGCAUGAUGAUAAUCGUCUCCAUCCAUUUAGGUGAAACCAUUUGCUACAAGUCAGGACAUGUACCUUUCAAUCUCACCAUUUGGCUUGUACAUUAUCUUGCAAACCUACUUGGAAUCAAUAGGUUUAUUUCUACUUGGUAAUUCUUCAAUGGACCGUCUUUCAUUUUCUUCUAAAGCUUUUAUUCCCCUUUGCAUUCCAGUUCUCGAAUUCAGGUCAUGCAUAACUUGAUUGAAAGACUUUGGCUCAUCAUUAGAAGUGAUUUCACCAUGAAGGCUUUGUGAGAUUUUGAAAACUUUUCAAAAGAAACAAAUUUGGCCAAAGGAUAUACUGUGGAGUGUUCUUGACAUGGAGUGGGUUGCAAAUGGUCUAUGUAUGGAGGGAGGUUCACUUCGUAUUCUUCUAAGUGUUUUGGUCUUGGCGUAUUUCUUUUUUCUCUUAUCUAGUCAAAAUUUACAUCUCCUUCAUUAAUAUGAGGAUUCUUGUUGGUUUCGACUUGCUUAAUUUCACUUUUGAUAAUAAUUUCGUCCUAACACUGUCUUUAUUAUUCAGUUGUGAAGUCAAUUGAUGGCUCGUCAACAUUUGAUCCUUCUUGGUUGACUGUUCAUCAUUCUUUUCACUUGGUUCAAUCCAUAUAUCUCCAACAUCAUAGGGAACAUAUGUCUUACUGUUACUUGCUUCUUUAUUUGCAUUCAUAGUGGUACGAAAAAGGGAAAGCAUUUUCAGAAAACUUGACAUCCCUUGAAACAAUGAUUUUGUUGUGGAUUUGGUCAUAAACUUUGUAACCUUUUGUUCCAUGUGGAUAACCCACAAACACUCUUGGUCUUCCUCUAAUUUCGAAUUUGUCACCUUUUGUUUUUGUGCUUCAAUAGUAAACCGAACAUCCAAAAACCCUUAUGUAAUUAUUAUUUGGUUUAUAACCAUAUAACAACCUGUAUGGUGUUUUAUCUUCUAUCAAUUUCGAUGAUAUCCUAUUUAUGACAUAAGAGGCCGUCGAUGUGCACUCACCCCAAAACCUUGAUGAAACAUUUGCCUAAACCAUUAAAUCCUGAGCAACUUCAAGUAAGUAUACAUGCUUCCAUUCCACAAUCCCAUUUUGUUGCGGGGUAUAUGGACAAAUAGUUUCCAGGAGAAUUCGAUUAUCGGCAUAAAAACUCACCGUCUUAUUCAAUGUCAAUUCACCACUAUUCUUACACCUUAUUCAUUUAACAUUCUUAUGAAAUUGAGUUUUGACCAUCUUAUGAAAAUCAAUCAAGCAUGCACUGCCUCAUGUUUGUGUUUAAGAAUAAGAACCCGAACAACUCUCCUAAAAUCAUCGACAAUUGUUCAAAAAUAGUUUACCUUUGAAAACAAAGGGGUUUGAUAUUAACCCCAUAUCUCAAAAUGUAAUAAAUCAAAACAAGCAUUUGUCUUUGUAAUACUAGAAGGAAAAGGUUGUCUAGUAAGUUUAGAUUUAGAACAGGAAUCACAAAUAUGUUCCUUAUUCUUGAAAGAAAUGUUUCUAAGAAAACUUAUCUUGUUAAACUUUUUUUUCACAGCAUACCCUAUCCUCUUGCAUCAUAUAUCACUUUUCGACAUCAAAGCCUUCCUCUUCAUUCCAAGCAUUUCCAUUUCAUAUAGACCAUUCUCUCAUGACAAAAAUUCAAAAAUGGUCCCUGUGGUUUCCUAAAAACUGAAAUUUAGUUCCUAAUCUUUAAAAACCUCACAAAUGGUCCCUGUAGUUUCGAAACUUUUAACAAAUGGUCCUUUUCAUUAACUUUGUUAGCUUUUGGCCGUUAAGUAAAGGGAAUUUAUGUCAUUUCACAGUCAUAGGAACCAUUUAUGAAAGUUUGCCUUAUUUCUAAAAAAAAGAAAGAAAAAAAUAUAAUUAUUUAAUAUUAAAGGCUCUCUCUCUCUCUCUCUCUCUCUCAUUAAAUACAUCGUCACCAUUGGUUGCUCAGCCACAACCACCCCUACCUCCUUAUCAUCCUCCUUUUUCCCCUCUCUCCAAACUCCACCUCCACUAUCGCUUUCUUCUAUUUAUUUCUACCACUACCACUGCUCUCUCCCUCCCCUCCCUCUCCAUAACCUCGCCACCACAAAAACAACUUGGCACCACUAUUACUCACUAUAUAUUUAUUGACUUCGUAUCUGGCCUAGCUACUUCCAAACCUGAACACUAGGAUCAGAUAUUGCCCUCUGUUGUGAUACAAAACCCGUUGGCUACAUCAUCCUCAGCCUCUAUAGCAACCUCUUCCCUGUUAUUAUUUCUAAUUUCAAAUCAAUGUGCACUGGUGUCUCCGGUUACUACAAAGGAACGCUAAUUCAGAAAAUCUUUCCGGGUCAGUUUUUAUGGUGGGACAUCAAGGACGGAGGGAUAAAGAAGAAGUAAAGCCACCGGUAGGUUUGGUUAGAAAUAAACAGAAUAUCGACCCUAUGGCUAGAACCUGUAGUUGGUUAGAUGUUUUUUUAUUGUAAUUCUGUUUUGGGAGAGAUGAAGUUGAUACAAAAUGGGGUUGAUUUCAAGAAUACUGAUGGGGAUUGUACUUUGGAUUGCGAUUCUGGUUCGUUGGCGGCAAAUGAUGAGAUACCGAAGUGCUUGUUUAGGUUCUUUGAUAUCUUUGUUUGGUUUUGAUUAACGAAUUUGAUUUUUAGGGUCUUACUUUCACUAUUGAUUUUGGUGAUUUUGUUGAUGUUAGGGUUUACUGCAAUCUGUAAUUAUAACAUAAUUUACUAUCAGCAAGAGCUGCAUCACUACAAUUAGAUGUUUUAGUAAUCCUAGACUAUGAACAAGAAAUGGGUUAUCAGGGGUUUCUUUUCAUUUUUGAAUUUCCAUGCUUCUUAAACUAAACCGAAUUAAGUGAAAAAGGGGGGAUGAGAUUAAUGUAAUGUUCUUGGUUUGGGUUUUGGUAGAAGAGACUAAAGUGAAGAAGGAGGGAGUAAACUUGUUCAUUUGACCCCUGAAUUAUUCAAAAGGGUUAGGUAGAAGACGAGAGAGAGAGAGAGAGAGACCUUUUAAUAUUAAAUAAUUUUAUUUUUUUUCUUUUGUCUUUAAAAAAAAUAAGGCAAAUCUUCAUAAAUGGUCCUUGUAGUAGUGAAAUGAUAUAAAUACCCUCCACAUAACGGCAAAAAGCUAACGGUGUUAACAAAAAGGACAAUUUGUUAAAAGUUUUGAAACCACAAGGACCAUUUGUGAGGUUUUUAAAGAUUAGGGACUAAACUUCAGAUUUUCAGAAACCAUAGGGACCGUUUUUGAAGUUUUGUCAUCUUUCAUCUAUCCACUCCAAUAAACUUUUCGAAGUUAGGUCCUGUAUGACAAAGAAAUACGGAAAGAAAGUUACAACACACUUUAAAUCACUUGAAAGGUUACUAACGGCUAAACUAUUGCACUUAAAAUCAGGAAUGUGCAAAACAUAUUUCACUUUUAUCCUGUUAGAUAGAGUCUGAUUUCCUCUUCCCUUGAUAGAAAUGGAUUAUCCAGUAUUUAUGAUCACAAGAUUCUUAUCGAUGGAAGGCAUUACAUUCUCAAGAAUAUCGGUUUUUUUGGUCAUGUGUUCAGUGAUUACUAUAUCAAAAAUCCAAUAGUCAAUUAGACUUGUUUUACGUCAUGUUGGUUGCUGGUGAGGCGUCAUUCUUGUUUUUUUGACUCUUCUUGUGUGAAGUGCUUUAGGAAUUGUUGAUAUUGAUCUUUAGUUAAACCUUCAGAUGGGCUUGAUUUAAUCUUGGUACAAGCAACCCUUGGUUUCCUUUGAUUGUUUGUUCUUUCCUUACCACCAAUCCGGAUAGCCAAUUUGCUUGAAGCACCCAUCAUGGGUGUGACCAUCUUUGUUACAAAAGCUGUAAUGUUCUCCUUGCUUUGUUAUUUUCUUCACUACCUUGUUUCUAUGUGGAUUCAUAUUGGUCUUGAUCUUGGUAUAGGCCUGGAAAGUUGUUGCCUCAACAGUGGGUCUCUUGGUGUUAGUGAUGGACCUUUGUUGUUCAUCCUGAACAACAAUAUCAUAAGAAAAUCCAAGAGAUGGUGUCGGUUUCAAAGCUAGUAUUUAUGUUUUCACAAUCGAGAAUUCACUAUCAAGCCCAUGAGAAACUCAUAUAACCUCUUAUAUAACCUUUCAUUCUCCUUCAAUUUAGCAAGUGAUUUUCCCAAAACACAUACACAUUUGUCACAAGUGCAAUGAGGAGUAGGGAGGACUGACUGAGUCUCAUCCCAUAGUCCUCGAAGCUUUGUGUAGUAUGCUAAAAUAGUUAACCCAUCGUGCCGAGUAUUUGAGAUUGCUUGCUUCAGUUCGUAUGCGUGUGACACACUUUCUUUUUCAAACCUCUCACAGAGGUCUAAGCAUAUCUCAACAACAGUGGUGGCAUAUUUGAUGCUGGUAUGGAUCACAUUUUCCAUGGUAGUGGUAAGAUAGCCUUUUAUUAUUGCAUCACACCACAUCCACGUCAUGUGCUUUGCUUCCGUCUUUUCUAGUUUUAUUAUCGAUACAUCAAUAAACCCAAUCUUGUUCAUGGCAAACAAGAAAUUUUCCAUCUCUCGAACCCAAUUAUUAUAAUUGUUAUUCAUCAAGGUGUCAUUCACGUGCACUUUUCGUGGAUAAUCUGACAAAUCAAGAUAGGUGGGAGAGUUAACAUCAAGUCCGCUCUCUUCACUCUUUUUGUUGUUGUCGUUUUGUUGUUGUCGUUCUUGUCAAUGGCUAUGAGCUUAUCAGUUUAUUAUUAUGGUUGAUCAAUUGAGCAGUAGUACUUGCUCUUAUACCAUAAAGAAUUUGAUUAUUUAUUGAUUAUUUGGAUCACACAAAUACAAAGUACAAGGAAAGUGAUUAUAUACAAAAGCAAUACAACGGGAAGGCUGGGAAUUAGGAGUAAUAUGAGUCAACAAAUCAAGAACUAAAUACAGAGAAUAUACAAAAGUAAAUAAGGAUAGAAUAUUGAAUUCCUAUACUGAUUCUAUAAUUUUUUAAUAGCAAGCAAUUUUUUUAUGAGUCUAGAGAGGGGCUAGCAACUUACAAAAGUAUUAAAAACGGUUAGGACUUGUACACCAGUUCGACUCCAUAAAUUUACCUUUUUUAAUCCUAUUUUUUAUCAACUCGUAGCUUGCACCUUAAUGAGCAGGAAACUAUAUAUUUCUUGCAAGUGUUAACCAUCAUUAAAGACUUUUCCGUUUCUGCAACCCCACUAGACUCGCACAUAAGCCAACAUAAUUAAACGACCAAUCAUUCUCGUCUUCAGCCCCGCAUCAAGAUACUGCAUUAGCUUUAAAAAUAAGGCACCACAAAUGAACGAACUCGCAUGAAAAUCCAGGAUAACAUAGCAACGUAGCAAUAGAUGAGUCUUAGGUUCUUGCCUUCUUGGAAUGUAUUUGAAAAGAGACAAGCCAGGGAUGGUAAAUGAAUGCCUUUUGUGAUCCAGGUUACAUCAAUUGGGAAGGCGUCUAGUUAUCGAAAAGAGUAAGUUGACUUUGAUAGGUACACGUUUACACCAAUAAGUGGCCGGGUGGAUAUGUCACUGUGCUCUAGAAACCUAGCAUCACUGAGUAAAUGAAGGGAUCUCAUAGUUNNNNNNNNNNNNNNNNNNNNNNNNNNNNNNNNNNNNNNNNNNNNNNNNNNNNNNNNNNNNNNNNNNNNNNNNNNNNNNNNNNNNNNNNNNNNCCCCUAUUGUGGGCAUCAGAGCGCUUGCAGCCAAGGAUGUAGGGUGGCUCAACCGUUUCGGGUUCUAAGCGAACUAAAAAUAUAUGACUCUUUCUAGAUAUUUGAGAUAUAGUAAUAUUGAGUUCACUUCGGAGAAAAUGAAACAUUUUAGAAUUGCAGACCCUAAAUCGUAUUUUAGAAAAAUAUAUGGUUGAGUUGCCCGUGUAAGGCGGCCAUGAGGCCAUUAGCUCUAGAAUCCAAAGCCCCAAAUUAUCCCAUCUCGAGGUCUUCCACUAUUUGCAAAGCAAAGAAAGGCUGAGAGGUUUAAGGCUGCCAAUUUCCAGCCUCCCUUUAUCUUUGCUUUUCAUUACAUUCGUCCACACACUCCAAGUUUUUUUUUUGGUACGCCAAUUAUAUAUGUUAAAGAUCAAAAUCAACUCUUGACCUAUUUAGUUACAAAUAAUUGAAAUUGGGUAUGAACUUAGGGACUUAUGGCAUCCACAAUUAGGCAAAGUUGUAUAGGGGUUAAAUAAGAUGACAAUUAGAAUUAAAUAAAUGUUUAAAGAAGGGUGUGGGUAAUGACGUGGAGUGAAUUUGAAUGGAGAAGCUGAAUGAUUAUUCAAAUGUUCAAUUAAAAUGAUUAUUAGGAUUUAACAUAUGAUUAAUGUGUUGCGGGCGGUAGAAAUAAAGUUGUAUAGAUAUUUAAUAAGAUGACGUGGGAAUGAUUCAUGAAGAUUAAUUUAUUAAUUAGGAGAGAAUGAAACUACAUCAACAACAAAACAUCGAUUAUUUUGAGCAAACAAUGGGUACCUAGCACAAUAUGAUCAUAAACGCACAUGCAUCUUAAACAGAUAAUGAAUCAUUUGGAGUUGCUUGUAGCAGCAGAAUCACUUUCUCCAAAUUAACAGUGGAUGAACCAAAAUGAGAUGAACAUGCUUUUUCGGCCUUGUUCUUCAAGUCGGUUGCAUUCUUUCUCAUCUCUUUCCCUUUUUCUCCAUUCAUCAACUCAAUGACUAGCUUCGCAACUUCUUCUCUCUUUACAUCUUUGUCAAUCUCCAUGCCAACCCCCCACCUGUUACAACACGACCAGCAAUUGGUUUGUUGGUCACCUGAAAUUGGACAACAAAUCAUUGGGACUCCACUGGAAAUACUUUCAAUUGUCGAAUUCCAUCCACUGUGUGUUAAAAACCCUCCAAUUGAUGGGUGAUUUAGAACUUGUUCUUGUGGGCACCAACUAGCCAACAUCCCUCUACUGCUUGUCUCUUCCAAAAACUCUGAUGGAAGCUGUACUGCAGAUUGGCCAAUCACCAGGUCCGGACGUAUUAUCCAUAAGAACGGACAAUUGCUAUUUGCAAGUCCCCAACAAAACUCAAGUAGAUGUUGAUGUGUCAUCACUGUAAUGCUACCGAAAUUCACAUAAAUAACUGAAGAUGGUGGUUUAGAUUCUAGCCACUUCAAACAGUUGUUAUCUUCCUUCCAAAGACUUGAUUUGACGAUCGGUAAUGAUUCAUCAAUUUCCUUCUCUAGUAAGUGAAACGGACCAACACCAUAGCAUGGAGCGAAGACUGAAGAAAGCGUGUCCAAAAGAUCACUGUCUAGUUCAUGAAAGGUAUUGAAGAUGAUGGCAGAAGCGCUUUUCGCUCUCUCUGUUUGUAAACGCAAAUAUUGAAGCAUGUAUUCAUCACCAGGGCUGGUCCUUCUGGUGAAUGAAGGCAGGUCUUUUAGACGCAGACCAGGCAUAGUUGGUAUACAAUCAAUCAUGGUAUUUAAAUACUCAUUUGAUAAAAAACUCGAAUCUGUAGAAAAUAAAUGAUAAAAUCACCUUGAAAUAAGCGACUACGUACAAUGUAUACAUAUAUUUCAUGUCCUAAAGAAACUGAGAGUAUAUAUACUAUUACCUUUACGUGGAACCAAAUCUCUCUCCAAAAGAUUGGGAUACUCAUGAAGACACAUUAGAGAACCAACAUCGCUGGUCCAUAGAAUUAUCUCGGGGAUAUCAAAUUCGCUGGCUGCAUCGUGGGUGAAGCCCAUGAAUAUGUCAGCAACCAUGCAAGUCACCGGUGGAGAUGAAGCAUUCAGUUUGGUAAGGAGGCUUUUUAAAGGACCCAAACAAAUUUCAUCAACGGACAUGCAAAAGGAUAGAGCAUCUGGGGUGGCACCAGGGUUUUCUGCUGGCGGAAGGCCAUCUGGAAUGGCUUCAAAGCAGAAAGAAGGGAGACCAUUUAGGGCGUCGGAUCCCUGAGAUUGAAGGAGGCGUUGAUGGUAGAACUCAGUGUUAACGAAGGUAAUAUGAAACCCUCUGGAGUGGAGGAUUUUAGCAAGUUUUAGCAUUGGGUUAAUAUGGCCUUGAAAUGGUGUUGGUAUGCACAACGCAUGUGGUUUCGGUUUCUUUAGAAUAAAAUCCAUGGAAGCUUUCUCCUUGUUUUUUAUUUGAAUGCAAGACUACAACUAUAAAUCCAACUAUUUUAUAAUAGGCAAACAAAAAAGAAAGAAAUUAUAAACCUCCUUUUUUGGUAAUUCAAAUUCUCGAUAUAUAGUAUAUUCAAUUAUUAUUUGGAAUAUAUAUUUAAAACUAGGAACACGUUUGUGGUAUUUAUUUAGAGUAAUAUACGUAAAAAUGGUUUGUGUGAGGUAGUUUGUCGUUUAGUAACCAACUUUAUUUCUUUUAUUAAAAAUACCCGCCAAGUUCGGACCUUAAUUUUUUUUUAUUUUGAAAAAACUUCUUAAAACUGUAAAAAAUGAUCUCGGUUUGUCAAAAUUAUGUGAUUUUAAUAAACAGAGAAAAGUUUUGAAGGUGCAUUAAUUGUCAAAUUUUGAAUAUUUUUAGAAAUUUUAGUAUCUAUAGUUUGGAAAGGUUAUUAUAUCCUUCAUGAUUUUCUUUUUCCCUUUUUUUAAGAGUUAAUGUCAUUAUAACUCAAUAAACAUAUGUCUUUUGAUUUAAAUGUCACUAAAGAUUUUUUUUUUUGAGCUUUGCAACUCCUUAACCUUCAAAUUCAAAUUACAGGUUAAAUAAGAGAAUAAGUACCAAAUGAAAGGGUCUUCCAAUUGCCUAUAUGACUUGGAUCAAGAUGACAUGUUAGUCAAUUGAGGUUGUCCACAUUGUGCUGACAUGGACGUGCAAUUUAUAGUUAAAAUAAAAAAAAUGUUUUUAAAUUUUAAAACCAAAUCUCAUGUUCUUCAUGAAACCAAGUCUCUUUGUAUCAGUAGGCUACAAUAACAAACUAGAUCAUAAAAAUUCUACUUUUUUUACACUUUUGAAGAACAACACAUAAAGCUACAUAAAAUACAUAAAUAAUAUUUGAAAAGAAUAACUCAAUUUGAUCAUAACAAUUACUAAAUUUAGGUUUUUUUAAGACCAUGAACUCUUGUGACAAAACAUUCGUCCAAACUACAAAAAUUAUUUUUCAAAUCUAGAAUCAUCUUGUUUUUCAGAUCGCAAGUAGGUGGACGUUGAUUUUCAGGUCUAGAGUCGUCUGAUGCCAAAGCUCAUUCCAACAAACUUCAUAAACAACUCGGUCCAUGUUCUUUUCCUAGCUUUAGAACAAAGUUUAGUUUGGUUCUUGUCUUUUUUCUUGAAACAAAACCAAAGGAAACGACAUUAGGUCACCAUAAGAGCAAAUUAACAUCAUCAUUGAAACAAAAAUCACAUGCCUUAUUCUUUGAGGCGUUUUCAAAAACACCUUCUAGGUCAAAAAAGUAUUAUGUUCUUCUUAAGCGUGUCUUCAUCAAAACACAUAAACAUAUACCAGGGCUUUUCAUUGAUGCUUUAUUGCUUCGUCAAACAGGUAGUCCAGUUUUAAAAGCAAGGCAAUCUCAGUUUUCCUCCCUUCUAGUAUUAGCUUCACGGUCUCAAUUAGGAACUCAUCAACAUUGUUGAUAGCUUCACAUUCUCUUAGUAAUUAUAGACCUCAAUUUGAAGAUGAAAAAUAGAUUGAGAUGUAAUCGGCAACAUCAAUAAUUUAGAACAUGGAGAAGCUUGAUGGCAUAUUCAAAGUCAGCGGUUUGGAAUAAUUAUUGAGUAGCGAGGAAGAUGAAUCGUGAAGAAGAAGUGGGGACAUGAAAAGGAAAACAAAUAUGGGUUGUAAUGGGGUAUGGUUGCAUCCCACGUAAAGCCAGGUCACCCAAAGAACCCAAUAUGAUGAAGAGCCAUAAACCAUAAAUAAGUGAAGGUCAGUAUUUAGCCUACCAGGAUAUAUUGACCACAUAGUGUAACAUUCGACUUUAUGGGUAUGUUCAUGUUUACCGCUAGGUGUAAAAUUUCUUUCAUCAUUGGUCCAUAACCGAGUACGUUGGGUGUACUGGCUCGAAGAAUAUAUGCGGAGGCACCCAUGUACGUUAGGCGUACGUAGGAGUAUGCACGACGUAUCCUAAGCAGGGGCAACCUCUAAUAUUUAGGGUUUGUGCCCUAUUUAAAAAACUUAUGUUGCAUUGAUUCCAUCCUAUGGUUAGUUUCCACUCCUCCAAACCCAAAGAACGAAACCCUAGCCUCCCAUAGUGUUUUCUUGAACUUUGGAAGUGAUUUUGUGUUUUUUUUUAUGUGUGCAUUAAAGAAGGUGGUUCUUGGUGACCAACCUUUGGUUGGACUUGAGGUUGUAGAUCCAGAAUCUUCAUCAAAUUUGCUAGAUACAGAAGGUAUAUAGUUCUUAUAUUGAACCUCUUUGUGUUAGAUUGAGAUUAGUGCUUAUUUUUGAGCUUACACUACCAGAAAAACAGCCUUUUACGAUGCUCAUUGCGCGUCGUAAAAGGCUCAGACGACGCGCAAAUGCGCGUCAAGGAAGGCCCUGUCAUAAAGAGAGAUGACGCGCAUUUACGAAGCUCAUUUACGACGCGCAUUUACAACACGCAAUGCGUAUCAAGGAAGGCCCUGUCAUAAAGGAAGACGACACGCAUUCGUGUGUCGUAACCUUAUGACGCGCGUGUUAAUAACACACAAUGCGUAUCAAAAAAGCUCCUGUCAAGAAAGGCCAUGUCAUAAAUGAAGAUGACACACAUUUUUGCGUAUCGUAAAUUUAAAUAUUUAAAAAAAUAAAUUUAUAUAUUUAUUAAUUUUUAAAUUAAAUUUGCAUUUAAUUUCUCAUAAUAGAAAAUAAAAUACCAUAUACAAAAAAUACAAUCCAUUGCACAAAAGUUAAUGUCAUACAAAAUACAAAAUAAAAUACAACAAAUAAGAAAGAUAAUUCAUUGCACUAACAUGUCAAAUACAAAUAAUCAUCCCUAACUAUAUAACCUAAUACUACAUUGCUAUUAAGAGACAUCAUCAUAACUCACUGAAGGUCUUGGAACAAUGUUCUCGUCAUCAACUCUUACACCAACCUUGCUUUAGUAGAUGGUCUUGUAGCUACUAUCUUUUUCAGCGUUAAAUCCCCACAUAUAGCAUACCUGCUCUUUGACUAUAUCCAUAGAUGGUCUUGGAAUUUGGAUUAAUUAAUAAACUAUUAUAAGUAUGAUAAAUAUUUAGACAAUUUUGCUAACCUUUCUAAAAAGAGCAAGACAAUAUCUUUCGUUUUGGCUCCUUAGUACUAAGCUCUUUGACUAUAUCCAUAAAAUGUUUACAAUAAAAUAAAUGUGCUACAUGAAAAAUAGCAUGGUACUGUAGUAUAUAAAAUGAUGAAUCACUGGAAAUUGCUAACAUAUCACCACUGUCUGCCCAGUAAAGGUUCUGGAAACAUAUACAAAAAUAUUAGAAUAUCACUCAUAUGUUCAUGUUGUUGACAUCUAAUUAAAGAGGUACAAGUUGGUUACCUUGACAUGGACAUCAAUCCUUUGAAUCAACCUGCACUUAGCCCAAUACAAAAAUUAGCAUUAAUUGCUUAUUAUAAAAUCUUUACUUUUGUUUCAGGGCAUUUUGACAUGAUUUCAUUAGUUUUUUUAUUCACUAAAUGUUUCUAUUUUAGACUAAAGAUUUUUGCAUAUAUAAAAAUGGUAAACUUUUUUGUAUACAGCACAGUGCAUAAAAGAAAAUAAUCUCUUCUUCUUUUCCAGUCUAAAACAAAUAGAAAUUAACAAUAAUACAAUGCUAAAAACUCCAGUUACUUCUUUGGUGAACCGCCAAUAACAUCCUCUUCAAUAAAGGCCAGCUCCUAAAAUUGAAAUAUGAAUGCAGUAGUAGUGAGUUGAAAAAUCAGCCCAGUUACACUUAUGGCAGUAAGUAUUGCUUAAUUUAUACUGGGAUGACAUUACUUAGAAUUUUAGUAGUAAUAUAAGUAUAAGAACACAACACUACUAUAAAAAAGUCAAAGAAUGUACAUUUAAUCCUUUUUAAAAGAAAAAGAAAAAAACAAGUUGAUGGUAAAUUUAAGCAAAGAAAUAGAAACUUACUCUAUCAUCAACAUCAGCAUCAUCAACUUCUAGAAUAUCAGAUAAAGCUCCACUGUUGUCAAAGCCAAAGCCAUGACGAUCUUGAAAGAAUGUGGCAGGUGUUUCCGUUCCACAUCAUAUACAAAAGAUCUAGUAGAUGAUGUGGGGUCCAGUGAGGACCCUAUUGUUGUCUGAACAUGAUAUGAUCUGGACCCUCCUACAUCAAUGGUCAUGACAGGGGUAAUUCGUUCAUUUGAGGUGGAGGUGGUGAAGAGAAUGAUAAAUUAUUAUGACGAUGAAUCUGAAUCUAAUGAGCUCUUGAUGACAUGUGAACAUCAUCGAAAACUUUACAAAGAUUAUCAGACAUCCCUGCACCAUGCAUAGUUUAAUUUUAAUGUGGUUAAAUUUCUGUUACUGUAAAAUAAAAAUAAAAAAGCUAAAAAUUAUCAUUAACCAUUAAUUCUUACUCUUAUAGGUGGAGUAUGAGGAACAUGACUGUAAUAAAAAAAAGGCAAAAAUUAUCACUAACCAUCAAAAACUUUACAAAGAUUAUCAUAAUUUAGUAUAGUACCUCAGCAUUUUUGAUAUCUGGAAGAACAAGGUGGUUGACUAAUAUAUACAACAAAGAUUCCCCAGCACAUGGAAGAACAAACAAUCCAAGUUCUCAUCUUCUUCCUUUCUUCUCCCAAAGCACUGAUAAUGUAGCUAAUCCACCUGCAAAUCAGUACAACAACUCCAAUCACUGCAUGCCAGCUAGUCUUAAAUGGCGUAUCCAUAAACUUUUGAAGACAAAGGACAACAAAGGCUACAAAAGUCAAAGAGAAAUAAAGUGGGAAUGUUUUCCUGGAUGUUGCUGAUGUAGAGUAUGCGUUAUGAGCCAAACAUGAUUUUGUGGAUGGUUGGAUUUUUAAACAGGGUAUUGGUAGAAGGGUAUUCUUGUAAAUCAUUAAAUUCAGAGUCGUUUAUAGUUGAUGGGUAAGAAGAGAGUGAUGCAAUAUCUACUAGGGAACCUCUACAACAUUUCCUUAUAGCUUUGUAUACGGGUUUAGUAACAGGGCCAAUUUUUUGAUAAAAAUCUUAGUAUGAUUUUGUUAAGAUUUUGGGUCGCAUUACAAACGCAUACAUGACUUAAAAUUGUUGAACAAAAUGUAAGAUUAUUAAAAGGACAAGAUGUGAAAUUUAAGAAUCAAUAUGUACCUGAGCACAUCAUAAAGCAAGAGUAAUGAAUCCCCGUGUCUCCAUGAGCUUCCCCAAAGGGUGAACUUUUUCUUUGAUUUUGCAGAAUUAUAAGCACACUGUUGAGCAGGAAAAAAAACUAAAAUUUGAAAACUUGCUUCUUACACGAUACAAAACAUAGAUUACAUGACAAUUUAAUUAUCUACAUGAGCAAGCCUUGCAAGAAUAUAUAAAGCAAGUUUACGCCUUCGAUUGGAAUCAUCUAAUGCUAAAAGAGAAAGACAGACCCGCAAUUGAACCAGCUAAAAUUCUGAUCUGCUUCGUUCGAUGAAAAAGCAGAGUUAAGGAUUUUGAUCUCACAGCGAAUUUCAGAUACUAGAUCUUGUUGAGCUGCAUCAUCAGAUGAGGUGAUCCUCCAAUCCAUGAUGAAUUCGUCCUCUGGCUUCCUCUUUAAAAAUCCCUAGUCUGGAUGGAUUUUAUGGAAAAAGAUUACAUACUUGACUUCACGAGAAACUAAAGGUAUGCCAGGCAUCCUUGUUAGACAACGAUAAUGGUGUAGAAACAGAGGUCGAUGUCUUACUAGGAUUAAUCGAACCAGAAACGGAAAAAAAUAAUACUUGUGGUUCUUGGAGGUGCGAUUGAUUUUGAGAAAGGAAAAAGAUAAUCGGUGAUUUUUGGUGGCCUGGUUUGUUGAUCGAAGUGUGAAGAGGGAAGAAGACAUCUGAUCGAUUGAAGGGAGAAGGAAGGAAUGAAUUUUGGAGGAGUUCCUCCAUCUGUAUGCGAUAAUUCAUCAAGGUAUAGCAGGAGAGAGAGAGAGAGAGAGAGAGAGAGAGAGAGAGAUGUUUAUAUGAUAUUUGUAAAGUGUAAGAUUGAAACAAGGUAGCAACAUGGCGGGCCUUUCAAACUUUUUGGAAUUUCGUUUUCCCCAAAAAAAAGUGACCCGCGUUUCAUUUAAAAAUAAUAAAGCGACAUACUUAGUGGACGCGCAUUUUAUGUUAUGUGCCCUCCGUGUUUUUUUUAAUGUAACACUUAUUUUAGGGUGCGCAAAAAUGCGUGCCCUAAAUCCUUCUAAUUUUUGGAGAUCCGACAUCAUUUUUAGGGCACACACUAUUGCGUAUCAUAAAACAGCGUGUGUCGUUGUUCGCAUGUCGUAAAAGGCUAUAUUUCUAGUAGUGUUAUUAUGGUCUUACGAGUUCUCCUUGUGAGUUUGAGCCACUUCAUGAGCUAGGAAUGCUAGAUCUAAACCUGUCUGAUGUCCCUUGAGUACAAAAAUGUUAUCUUGAUGAAUCAUAUUGGACCAUGCAUGAGUUAGAGUCCUUAUUAUGGGUCUUAAUGGACAAAGUCGAGUUUUAGGUCCCACUAAGACAUGAAAAGUGGUAAAUUUGCCAACUUUAUGCAUUACUACCUUGAAAUGAAGUAGAUAUGAGGUUUGGAUGUUAACACCUUAAGAGGAUAAGAUAAAAGUUGGACAAAUGGGACUCGGGCCGCUACGGAGGAUAUAAUUCCUGGUACACUGCGCGUAAUGGGUCAUUUUCCCGUUUGUGAGUCACCAUUCAUACAUCGCGCAUACGAGGAGUAUGCUGAGCGUACUCUGUGAAGUGGACUUUUUACGUUGUGGGCCCUUUUUAGACUCAAGAUUCUUUUGGGCUUUGGACCUUAACUGAAUUUUUAGGACUUAUGUCUGUUAGGCCUUACGUUUGUGAGUUGGGCCUUAGGCCACUAAUGGGUUUUUAGGCCAAGUGAGUUGGGCAGAUUAAGGAAAGGGUAAAAUAGUAUUUUACCCUAGGAGUGAAGUUGUGGAUACCCCAGUUAUGGUUAUUGACCUAAUUUUUAAUUAGGGUUUUGCUUAUUUGGUUAGUGAGGUGAUUACCAGUUGUAGCUGCAUGUGUAUUUCGUUAUCAACAGAAUCAAGGUUAGUUUGCUCACUAUAUUGUAGGAACUAGGAUAUAUUAUGUACUUGUAGUCUUUCUGACUCCUAAUAUAGGUGUUAUAUGCAUGUGUGCAUGUUAUAUAUAUAUAUAUAUAUAUAUGGGGUAAAAUAGACCCGAUACAGCCUUAUGCUAACAUAUGAGUUGAAAUAGACUCAGAGGUGAAAUAGGCCUGGUACAGCUUGGGCUGACACAUUAGUUGAAAUAGACUAUGGCAUGAAAUGGACUAGGAGUGAAAUAUAUCCUACGCAGACUUCACCUGGCCGAUAUAUAUGGUAUGCGAUAUUUUGGGGAACUCACUAAGCUUUGUGCUUACGGUUUUCAGUUUUGUUUCAGGUACUUGCGAAUUAAAGGGAAGAGGUUGGGAUGAUCGCAUUGCAGACACCCUAUCGCUCCACAUUUAUUCAACUAUGAUGUGUUUGGAAUAUUUUGACAUACUCAGAUUUCGUUAUGAUUUUAUGAAAACGUUUUUUAUUUUGGUUUUGAUAUUAUAAAAAUUAAAAUUUUUAGUCUUAAAUUUUGAGGCAUUACAUGUACACCCGAAAUCAUCCUACCUUCUACACUCAAUAAAUAAAAUAAUAUUCCAGGAAACACAGAAAAUGAAAGCUUAUUUCAUUAAAAGGGUCUUACCCUUACAACCUUAGGACUAACGCAUGACCCAAAAGAAAAGAUCAGGGACUGGUUAAUGCCUCAACUAUAAGACAAAGCUCAACCUCUCCUGAAUGGGGUAAGCAAACUUUAGCAGUUCCACUCUAAAACAGAUCAAAAAUAUGACCUCUAAGUUAAGUCUUUAUAACAUAGCUUUUUCAAUUCUGUGUAGCGUGACAUCUGCAGUGUUUAUUGGAGGAAGCCUAUACCAGGAUGCCCAACAAUGCAGCAAGAUUUCAUGUAUCAACAUUGGCGACAUUUGUAUACAAUCAUGCAAGACAAGCAUCACACCUCGCACCCUCAUUCUAAUACACCUUUUAGCCUAAUCAACGUAACUUCAGCCUUUACACUAGCCAACAUAACAACUCCAACAACUAUACCUUUCAGUCAAAAUGAAAAAAGCUUGUAGUUCGAGUACGGCCGAGAGAAACAUGUUUUAGAGACCUACAAGACCAACCUCUAGAAACAACGACUUGAUGGCAAAAAAAUGAACAACUUUGUUACAACAACACCUUACAAAUACCAUAAUUACCCAACAGAACAUACCGACAUACAUGCCACUGUCGCCGCCAUUACCGUACACACAUUACCACAAUUAGAAACAACGACUUGAUGGCACAAAAAUGAACAACUUUGUUACAGCAACACCUUACAAAUACCACAGUUACCCAACAGAACACACCGCCAUACAUGCCAUUGUUGCCGCCAUUACAGCACACGCAUUACUAGUUAUGACAUCCGAUAAUUUAGUUCAAAAAGUAUAAACAGUCAAUUCAUUGCGAACCUCUUUGCAAUUUGACGUAUUGAGUUUUAGUGAAUCUUUUGGAAAAUAACUAGUGUCAUUUUAACUAUUAUAAUAUACCAAACGGUAUAUUAAUACCAAACGUGGAGACUAUCAAACGAAUCAAAACAGCUCAAACUGCUAUAUAAUACGUCUAAAAAAGUGCAAAUUUGUAUUAAGCAAUUGUGAGCAAAUCAAACAUUCUAUUCUCAUAGUACCUGUUCCUCUGUUUCAAAAAAUUUAAUAAACAUCCAAAACGGAGCUCGUAUGCAAAAGAUAUGACAGUUAUAUGAAAACAAACCAUUAUAACAAUGAUUUUCUUUAAACUCGUAAAGCCCGAUCGAUUCAUUGAGGAACUUGCACACCUCAGAUGGAAAUUAUGAGAGCUCUUUUGGACUUAGACUAUGGUCUAAUAUUUAACUCCAUACUCCAAAUAUUUUUAGUAAAAUUUCUUGGAAAAGUAGAAAAAUGGAACGUUUUGGGUCAUUUAGAAACUAAACUUUAAACACCAUUUCCUGAAGUUCUACAACUUGAAAUAUUAAUCCGUUCAAGUUUUGGAAUCCUUGAACUCUACUCUACCUUACGACACUUUAAAAAAAAAACUAGAUUUCGAGUUUUUGAUACAUAAAGCUAUUAUUGUUGUAAGGACUUUUUGGUAAAACUUACAUCACCAUGGACCACAUGGCUUGCAUCGAUGAUAGUGACUAGCCAACUCUUCCCUCUUUUCCUGGUUUCCCACUUCCAAUGACAUUAUCCUUGCAAAUAUGGAGUAUAGAGAAGAACAAAGGUACAAGGUAUGGCUUACAUGGUGUGUUUGACUAAUACACUAUCUUAUGUAUACUUGUAAAUGACUACAUGCUACAUGUAUAAACAUAUUAGGACGAUGCCUCCACAAAAUAGUCCAAGUGUUCGCCCACCACUAACUCCCCAAGUCGCUCUGGUAGCUGCACCAUCGGUAAUCCAAACUUCAGGAGAAACUCAAAAUUUCUGAGAAACUCCAUUCGGAACCACUAGAACCCCACCAAUUAUUUAGGCCUCAAACUCAAAAUUUUAAAUGGAUCACACUCUGAUGCAGACCCUACUUGCUCAAUAGAUUGCUACAAUCUUAGCUGCAUACGAGGCUACCUGGAACGGAAACUACAUGAAUAGUAGAAAUGGUGAUGGCAAUCCAGUUUUUAACCAAAACAAUUCCAUACCUUGUUCAUACAAGGACUUAACGGGUUUUAAACCCCAAUCCUUUUUCAGAAUGGAAGGAGCAGUCGGUCUAUCCCACUAGAGAACGAAAAUGGAGGAAGUAUUUCACAUCAGUUCUUACCAUGAUGACUGCCGAGUCAAAUACGCUACAUGUAAACUAAUGGAUUUUUCCUUGACUUUGUGGAAUAAUCAUGUCAAGUCCAUAGGAAUCGAUGCAGCCUAUGGGAGCUUUUAAAAAUAAGAUGAUGGAAGAUUACUGUCCUUGACAAGAAGUCCAUGCUUUGGAGCAUGUGUCACACCCCCAAACUGGAACGACGGAGAGGUUCGGGGCGGAGGACGUUUGUAUAGUAUCACAACAAUUGAAUAAUAGUAAUCAAAGCAAGAACUACCAUUGUAUUAAAAACAUAGUUUACAUUGUGUUCAAAAUAAUACUUGUUUAACAUUGAACUAUCACAAAAGUUAAGACGUAAAGCUACCAUGCUCCGUCUUCGGAACGCCCGAGAGGGUACCUGUCUACUAAUUUUCGUGAGAAUACAAGUGGUUUGAAAAAGUGUCAACAUUUAAGAUUGUGAGUUCAUAAGUGUUUUGUUGGAAAAGAUAUGUUCUUUGUUGUUGAAACCGUUACUAUGUUCUUCUAGAAAAUCCUAUAAUUUCUUAGUAAAAUGGAAUGUAGUAUUAGUACUUUGAAACCAAAAAGUAUAUGUUCUUUAUCUUUCUAACUUGUGAUUCAAGCAUCUGAUUCAUGUAAUUGGUAUGACCCAUACUGUUACCUCUUAUGAUUAUUUAGUGUAUACAAAUUAUAUAUAACAAAACUUAAAUGAACAGUCGAUUGGGUGAAUCUGCCCUAAGCACACAACCAAACAAGGAACAGGAAGUAAAGCGGAAAUCACACAUUCCACUGCCUAUCAGAUCUUCGUUAUAUAGAAUCCUAACGUAUACAUUCAGUGAUCAUAGACUUUAGUAAUAAGAAUACUUGAUAUAUGUUAUUAUAAACUUCUAUUUGUACCAUAUCAAUAAAUCGUAUAAAGUUUUGCUUUUCAUGUAAUUGCAUGUAAAUCUAGAACUUAUGUACUAGCAAAAUAAUGUAAUAUAGUUUUAUAUUUAAAUAAAACCCUUGAAAGUAUAUUUUCUCUGAAAUCCGAAUGUAAGGUUAAUAACCAAUUAAGAUUUUUUGAUAAUAUAUUAUUCGUACGUAUGUCAUUGUUUUCUCUUUGUAAGUUUUUAUAACCAUACUGACCCAGUCGGCCUAAUGACGACGUUUUUCAGGCGUCGAAACGUUAAAGACAUUUGUUACCACAAGCCUGUCGGCCUAAUUGUAGCUAACAAUUUAGGUGUAGGAUUGUCAGUCGCAAAUAGAUCUAUACACAAAUAUCUUGCUCUCCCUACAAGAGACUCUGGUUAUUAAUCAAGACUUUUACCCGUACUUACAUAAGUACACGAAGACGUCUCACAAAUUGCUUCCACGUUUUUCUGAGUAAUAUCUCAAAACACUUUUUGUUUAUCUGAUAUCUGAAAACCGUUUUUGUUUAUCUGUUAUCUGUACUUUGUAUAAUAAUAACCUUGUUCCAUAAAUUAUAUCUAUUAUAGUUUAUAAGUUUUUUUUACGUGUUAUAACCUAAGCUUUGUAAAAUAGUUCCUUUUUUCCACAAACUAUACAUAUUAUAGUUUAUAAAUUUGUUUUUCGGUGUUGGUGUGACAAUCGUUGUGUCUCAACAUCUUUUGAUAAAUCAUUUCUAAAAUUCAAUAGUAUCAAUACUUUUGCGUAUUUAGUAAAUUUCAAGUUUAACUGUAUAUUACGGUAAGAAAAUAAAAUAAACAAUUUAUAUUUUUAAACACAAGAUUUCUUGUGUUUUGCUUGUAUUCCCCGCCCCCCUAAAACAAUUUAAAAAUUGUGAAAACGUAGGGGUAUGAACUCACCUUAUGUAUGUUUUUGACUAGAUAUCGAGAUGAAAGCAGUGACCUUCGGACUAGAAUACGGCAAGGUGAUUGUAUCCUAUGAGUAUUUUAACAUACGAUUGUGUGUGACUAAGAUGUCUUAGCAACACAAGUAUUCUAUAAGCAAUAAAUAAUUUAAGAAUACUUACUUAAGCUUGUAACUUGUUUGAAAGAAAAAUGAUCUUCUGGAGCUUAAAAUAGAGAGGAUAGAGCAAAUGGGUUUGAUACUUUGAGAGAGUUUUGAUAGAGAUUUCAUUCACCAUAACAUUGAAAUAGAAAAUGUUCAUAAUGAAGUAUCUUAUGUAUGAAGGAAGGAUAGACUAUUGCAUUGGUAAAUGAGUCACAUCACAUUGGGAAGCUGAAUUAGUAAAAUAUCUAGAUAUUAUGGGUGUUUUUGGAUGCAUUAUGUAUGCAUAAAGAGGGUUUUCGGAUUUAACGCUAAGGUGAAAAGAGUUUUCAGAUUCGAACCUCCUAAAAGCAAGUGUUUUCGAAUCUAUUCUAUUGAGUUUUCGCCCCUAAAUGGGCCUUUAGUGUUGUUUUCGUCCAAGGAAAAACGAAAACAUUAAUUUGGAAACAAUCUCAUAUGUAAACCCCUUUUCCUUUAAAUUCCAAAACCGUAAACCCUUAAUUCAUUAAUUACUUUGGGUGAAAACUCAUUUAAUGGUUAUAUUCAUGUUUUAAACCCUUAGUCUUUCAACCUAUGUUCAUUUAUACUACCCUAAAUUAGCUUAGGUUCGAUCCAUACAUCUUUGUUAGCACUUUAAACAAGCCCUAAGGAUAUAGAUGAUAAAAUGCAACAACGAUUAAAACGAAGUUUCACUUGUACUUGGUUAGGGUUUAGGCUUUGAUGGGUCUAAAAAUUUUAAGUUGUGACAUUAUCCCCCCAUUAGAGGGAAUUUCAUCCCAAAUUGUUUUAAAAGUGGUACUCGUGAACUAGGGAAAAGAUGUGGAUACUUUUGUUUCAUUUGAUCUUCUUGUUCCCAAGUGAAUUUAGGUCCUCACUUGGCAUUCCAGCAAACCUUCACUAUUAGUAUGCGCCCUUGUUUCAUUUAAUCUGAUUGUCUGUGUUUGUGAUGGUAAGUUGUACUUAAGAUGACAGAAAAUGUGGGUUUGGUUUACUUGUCUACGUUUACUUGAAUAAUCGUAUUCCCAAUCGUAGUCUUGGGUAAUUUUUCCCUAAAGUUCAUGGUAAGACUCAUAUCUUGUCGAUCUAUCAUUAUCUUGUGCAUACAACUCGUAUAUAAUUAAGAUUGAUAAGACAUUCAGAUGGGAGGGUCUGCCCCAAGUCCACAACCAAACAAGGAACAGGAGGUAGGGAAGAAUCACACAUCCUAAGUCUGUAGAAUCUUAAUUAUAUACCACCCUUGUGUAUACACAUAACAGUGAUAGGUUAACCGCAUGGGUCCUUAGUGUCUAUUCUUGAACUUGACCUGUUGUAUGAGUGGCAUUCCUAGGAAGUCUGAUGAGGAUACUUUGGGAUGAUUACAGACUUCUGGAACAUCCUCGGUGUGUUUCACUUUAAGUCUCUUGUCUGCAGACUUAGCUAGGAAGGUGUGAUACCCCUCGUAUGGGUACUUCUAAGUUCUGAAGCGAGAGACGAUAUAGAAGCUUGUUUCGGGUUGACGUUAUAGGUUGAAAAAAUUUCAUUUAGACGGUUGGUUAAGGCGAAGGGUUUUUUUUGUGUCACAUGGAAUUGAUAUGCUGAGGAAAAAUUCAAUCCAUUUCUAAGGAAAAUAUCAGAACUUCUUAUCGUAACGGUUGUUAAAUCGGUUGGGAAGAAGUGUUUGUUAGGGUGGUAGCACUUUCUAUGUUUAUGUAUUUGGUGUUCUUUGUUUUAUCCUUGUUAUUACUACUACAAAUAUUUGUACCACAUUUAAUGAAGAUAGACAGUAAUAGUACCUCAAUAAUUACUGAUGAAAUCUCGUAAUUUAAUUCCUUACAAAGUCCCUGUAUAAUCGCUUAGUGUAUACAAAUCAUAUAUAGUUAAGAUUGAGAAGACAGUCGAUUGAGCAACUCUUCCCUAAAUGCACAAUGAAACAAGAAACAAGAAAUAAGGCAGAAUCACUCACUCUAAUCCUGCAAAAUCUUAACUAUGUAUGACUCUAAUGUUACACUAAGCCAUCACAACUCACCUAUAACUAUGUAUGAAUCUAAUUGUGCGAUUCUCAAUGUUUCGACCUACAUCCCUAUGAUGUAUUCAUGGUAGUGAAUAGAAAUAGAUAAUUUACAAAUGUUAAGUUUACUCAUCCUUGUACUACUUUUGUCUAAUCAUGCUUAGAUGUGGAGUUCUGAUGGGAUCCGGUGCAUUAGUGCUUGUAUGAUCACACCCGAUAAGUCUACGCGAAGGCAUCUUUCUACCAUAAGGUUUAAAAGAAUGAAAUAGUAGUAAGUCUUUAGUAGUGGCUAUAACUCAUGUGUCGCUUGAACUAUGUUAUCUUGGUUCUGUGCGUAUCAUGUUCUGACUUUUAUAGAGUUUUGUAAACAAUUCAUAAUAGAAGUCUAUAUAGAAUAAACUUAUCAAUUUUUAAUAGUUAUCACCCUUAAACAAAAUUCUAUGACUUUUUGUACUAGUAUUUGUUUUUACGAAAGAAGUGAUAAGCCUAACGCAUAGUGUGAGUAGUGUAAUCACUAACUCACUAAGUUAUAUCAUUUUAUAAAUUACUAUUGUGACGUAUAAAAUGCUUUCUGGUUUUCCCCUGCUAGGGUAAGGUCCGUUGAUAAUUUAUCUAGUGUUUUUCACUUCGUUCAGUCAUUUCUCUGAAUUCUCCUCACGAACCUCAUUUUAGUUCUUCCUCAACUCCUCUUUUAACUGUUUGAGAUGUCUAGGUGUGUCGGUUAUACGAGAAUGGGAGUGUCUAAAGAAUCUACGAGAUUAAUAAAGCUUUUCUAUUAAAAUAAUUUUUUACGAGGAUGAUCUUUACCGGGUCUUUCUAUAAACACAUAGUGUAUACAGAUUAUAUAUAACCAAAAUUAAAUAGGCCUUCGAAUAAGUGAUCUUACUCUAAGACCACAAGCAAACAAGGAACAGGAAGUAGAGUGAAAACAACAAAUUCUAAGUCUAUAAAAUCUCAAUUAUAUAUAACCUUAACAUAUACACUCAGUAAUCAUAUACCUACCAGAAAGGUUCUUUUAGUUUUCGCAUAAGUUAAUUAUAGUACUUAAAAUACACCUAUAGUAUCUUAAUUGUAUGUUUUAUUUUAGAGCUUCUUGGUAUACGAGGUCGAUAAGUUUUUCGACUUGUUGUUAUUGUAUAGUAUCAUAAAAUACUCUUAUAGUAUUUUAAACUUUUAUGUUUGGUUCUAGUAUUCCUUUGUAUAUAGAGGUGGUAAGUUUUAGACUUGUUACAACGCCACUAUCACUCCCAAACACAUGUUGGUCGUAUCUCAAAUAAAUAUACUUGAUCUGGCUAUAUUUAUCCCAGAUAUGAUUACAUAACUAUCUAGGUUUGACUGUAGUGUUCAACAUCUAAAUACUUUUGUUUUGUUCUUAUUGUGAUACUUGUUCUAGUAUAUAUAUAUAUAUAUANNNNNNNNNNNNNNNNNNNNNNNNNNNNNNNNNNNNNNNNNNNNNNNNNNNNNNNNNNNNNNNNNNNNNNNNNNNNNNNNNNNNNNNNNNNNNNNNNNNNNNNNNNNNNNNNNNNNNNNNNNNNNNNNNNNNNNNNNNNNNNNNNNNNNNNNNNNNNNNNNNNNNNNNNNNNNNNNNNNNNNNNNNNNNNNNNNNNNNNNNNNNNNNNNNNNNNNNNNNNNNNNNNNNNNNNNNNNNNNNNNNNNNNNNNNNNNNNNNNNNNNNNNNNNNNNNNNNNNNNNNNNNNNNNNNNNNNNNNNNNNNNNNNNNNNNNNNNNNNNNNNNNNNNNNNNNNNNNNNNNNNNNNNNNNNNNNNNNNNNNNNNNNNNNNNNUUGUUUUUGUGUGUGUGUGUGUGUGUGUAUAUAUAUAUAUAUAUAUAUAUAUAUAUAUAUAUAUAUAUGCAUGUAUGUAUACUUUCAUAACAAUAUUGUUACUCCCUCCGUCCAAAUAUUAUUCUCCACAGACAAAAAACACACAGAUUAAGAAAAUCAUUAAUUACCAUUAACUUUAUUUAAUAAAAUGACAGUUUUGUCCUUACUUUACAUUUAGUGUUCCAUUAAAUGCUUAAUUGGUUAAGUAAUAAUGAUGGGGUAUUUUGGUAAAAAUGUUAUUUAUUUUUAAAAAUGAACUAUUAUUUUGGGACAAACCAAAAAGGAAAGAUGGACUAUAAUUUUGGGACGGAGGGAGUAUAUUUUAGAAGUGCACUUUUAGUUAGAGCACUUCGGCCCUGUUGUAUUUAUAGUUGUAUAUCUUUUAUGGGUUGAUAUACUUAGUUCACUAUAAACAAUGCUCUGAUACCAAUCUGUCACACCCCAAACCGGAACGAUAAAAUUUUUCAGGGGCGGAGGACGUUUGUAUAGUAUCACAACAAUUGAAUAACAGUAAUCAAAUCAACAAAAACCAUUGUAUUAAAAACAUAUUUUACAUUGUGUUCAAAAUAAUACUUAUUUAACAUUGAACUAUCGCAAAAGUUAAGACGUAAGUCUACCAUGCUCCGUCUUCGGAACGCCCAAGAGGGUACCUAUCUACUAAUUUUCCUGAGAAUACAAGUGGUUUGAAAAAGUGUCAAUAUUUAAGUUGGUGAGUUCAUAAGUAUUUUGUUGGAAAAGAUAUGUUCUUUGUUGUUAAAAACGUUACUAUGUUCUUCCAAAAAAUCCUAUAUUUUCUUAGUAAAAUGGAAUGUAGUAUUAGAACUUUAAAACCAAAAAGUAUAUGUUCUUUAUGUUUGUAAUAUGUGGUUAAAGGUUCUAAUUCAUGUAAUUGUUAUGACCCAUACUGUUACCACCUAUGAUUAUUUAGUGUAUACAAAUUAUAUAUGAUAAAAAUCAAACGGACAGUCGAUUAGGUGAAUCUACACUAAGCCCAGAACCAAACAAGGAAAAUGAAGUAAGGCGGAAAUCACACAUUCCAGUGCCUAUCGGAUCUUCAUUAUAUAGAAUCCUAACGUAUACAUUAAGUGAUCACAAACUUUAGUAAUAAGAAUACUUGAUAUAUGUUAUUCUAAACUUCUGUUUGUACCAUAUCGGUAAAUAGUAUAAAGUUUUUCUUGUCAUGUAACUGCAUGUAAAUCUAGAACUUAUGUACUAGCAAAAUAAUGUAAUAUAGUUUUAUAUUUAAAUAAAACCCUUGAAUGUAUAUUUGCUCUGAAAUCUGAAUAUAAGGUUAAUAAUCAAUUAAGAUUAUUUGAUAAAAUAUUAUUCAUAGGUAUGUCGUUGUUUUCUCUUUGUGAGUUUUUAUAAUCAUACUGACCCAGUCGGCCUAAUUACGACGUUUUUCAGGCGUCAGAACGUUAAAGACAUUUGUCACCACAAGCCUGUUGUCCUAACUGUAGCUAACAGUUCAGAUGUGUGAUUGUCAGUCCCAAAUAGAUCUAUACACAAAUAUGUCGCUCUCCUACAAGAGACUCUGGUUAUUAAUCAGGACUUUUACUCGUACUUAGAUAAGUACACGAAGACGUCUCACAGAUUGCUUCAACGUUUUUAUGAGUAAUAUCUGAACACCCAUUCUUUUUAUCUGAUAUCUAAAAACCCUUUUUUUUAACUGUUAUAGGUACUUUGUAAAAUAAUAACCUUGUUCCAUAAACUAUACCUAUUAUACUUUAUAAGUUUGUUUUUCGUGUUAUAACUUGAGAUUUGUAAAACACUUCAUUUGCUACAUAAACUAUACCUAUUAUAGUUUAUAAGUUUUUUUUUCUGUGUUGGUGUGAAAACCAUUACAUCUCAACAUGUUUUGAUAAAUCGUUUGUAAAAUUCAAUAAUAACAUUAAUUUUGCGUAUUUAGUAAAUUUCACGUUUAACUGUAUAUUACGGUAAGAAAAUAAAAUAAACAAUUUAUAUUUUUAAACACAAGAUUUCUCGUGUUUUACUUGUAUUCCCCCCCCCCCCCCCCUCCUAAAACAAUUUAAAAUUUGAGAAAACGUAUGGGUAUGAACUCACGUUAUGUACGUUUUUGACUAGAUAUCAACAUGAAAGCGGUGACCUUCAGCCUAGAAUACGGGAAAGUAAUAGUAUCCUACAAGUAUUUUAACACACGGUUGUGUGUGAAUAAGAUGUCUUAGCGACACAAGUAUUCUAUAAACACUAAAUAAUUAAAGAACACUUACUUAAGCUUGUAACUUGUUUGAAAGAAGAACGGUCUUUUGGAGCUUAAAAUAGAGAGGAUGGAGGAAAUGGGUUCGAUACUUUGAGAGAGUUUUGAUAGAGAUUUUGUUCACUGUAGCAUUGAAAUAGAAAUGUUCACAAUGAAGUAUCUUAAGUAUGAAGGAAGGAUAGGCGGUUGCAUUGGUAAAUGAGUCACAUCACAUUGGGAAGCUGAAUUAGUAAAAUAUCUACAUAUUAUGGGUGUUUUCGGAUGCAUUAUGUAUGUAUAAAGAGGGUUUUCGGAGUUAAUGCUAAGGUGAAAAGCGUUUUUGGAUUCCAACCUCCUAAAUGCAAGUGUUUUUGGAUCUACUCUAUUGAGUUUUCGCCACUAAAUGGGCCUUGGGUGGUGUUUUCGUCCAAUGCAAAACGAAAACAUUAAUUUGGAAACAAUCUCAACAGUAAACCCCUUUUCCUUUAAAUUCCUAAACCGUAAACCCCUAAUUCAUUAAUUAUUUUGGAUGAAAACUCAUUUAAUUGUUAUAUUUAUGUUUUAAACCCUUAGUAUUUCAACCUAUUUUCGUUCAUACUACCCUCAAUUAGCUUAGGUUUCAAUCCAUACAUAUUUGUUAGCUCUUUAAACAAGCCCUAAGGCUAGAGAUGAUAGAAUGCAACAAGGAUUGAAAUGAAAUUUCACUUGUACUUGGUUAGGGUUUAGGCUUUGUUGGGUCUAAAAAUUUCGAGUUGUGACAGCAUGAGCUUUGGAACCUUGCCUUGAAAGGAUUGGAGGUUAUUGCCUACACCUCCCGAUUUAACGACCUCGCAUUCAUUUUCCUGGGAAUGGUGAACCUGAAAUAUAAGAAGACCGAAAGGUAUGUUUGGGGGUUAGCUUCACCAACUCAAGGUCUGGUUACUGCAUCCAUAACCACUAUCUUUGAUAAUGCCAAGCAUUUGACCUAUCAAUUAACUAAGCAGUGUAUUCGUCAGGGUACCAUGACCCCACAAAAUGAAAUCAACCAUAUAGGGGUACAAAAAAGAAGUUUCAUGGCAAUUCAAAGGAGAUCUUCAAGCAUCGCAAACCUUGUGCAGAACCUGUGGUUGUGUAUGUCGCAAUCACAAACACUCCCACCCCCAUCAAAUCCCUACUAUGAGAAUUUACCCCAGUGCACCAAGUGCAAUUUAAACCAUGUUGGAAAUUGUAUGGUCUGCAACAUUUGUAACUUGAGUUGUCAUACAUCUAAGUACUUUAGAAAGGCCCUAAACAACGUAACCUGAACUACUACUGCAGGAGGAAGCCGAAAAUCACUUCGAAUGCAAUCAACCAGGGAAUUUCAAGAUGGACUUCCCGAAACUAAAGAAUCAAUAUGGCAAAGGAAGAGCAUUUAUGAUAGGUGUUGGAUAUGCUCACCAGGAACCAACUGUGGUUACUGGUACGUUUCCUAUCAACAAUAAUUAUGCUUUCGUAUUAUUUGAUACUAAUGCCGAUAAAAGCUUUAUUUCCUAUAUGUUUAGAAGCAUGAUUAACUAUAAAUCAUGCAAACUUAACGAAGGUUACAUGGUAGAAGUAACAAACGGCCAAUUAGAAAACACCAUAGAAACAAUCACUACUUUCCUUCUCACCCUAAAUAGCCACGUCUUUCACGUCAACCUAAUACCUAUGACCAUCAGAAGUUUCGAUGUAAUCAUAAGAACGGAUUGGUUAUCACUACAUCGAGCAGAGAUUUUAUGUUACGGAAAGGUUGUUCGACUACCCUUACCCAACAACAAAUCUCUCCUGAUUUACAGAGAUAAAUCAGGAAAUAAUCUAAUAAUAAUCUCUUCCAUGAAGGAAAAAAGGUGUUUGCAGAAGAGAUGCUUAGCAUUCUUGGCCCACAUGGUGGAUAUGCAAGGAAAGCGUAAGGAAAUCAAAGAUAUACCACUUGAAUGACUACCCGAAGGUAUUUCCAGAGGAUCUAACUGGAGUACCACCAGUCAGAAAGAUCGAAUUCUGAAUCGACCUAAUGUGGGAUGCAACACCAGUGGCAAGAUCAAGUUAUCAUCCGGGUCCAUUGAAAAUGAAAGAACUUUCCACUCAACUCUAAUAAAUUCUUGACAAAGGCUUUAUCCGGCCAGAUUGCACGGGGAGCUAUGAUAUUAUUUGUAAAAAGGAAGGAUGGAUCAAUCAGGAUGUAUAUCGACUAUCAAGAGUUGAACAAACUCACCAUCAAAAAAUGAUAUCCACUCCCGAGGUUCGAUGACCUGUUCGAUCAGCUAUAAGGAUCCUCUUACUACUCAAGGAUCGAUCUAAGAUCCGGAUACCAUCAACUCAUAGUGAAAGGAGCAUACAUUCCAAAGACAGAAUUCAGGAAUCGAUAUACUUACUACAAGUUUCGGGUUAUUACGUGCGGACUGACCAACACACCAGCCAUAUUCAUUGACCUGAUGAAUCAAAUGUGUAAACCCUACUUGGUUAAAUUCGUGAUCGUUUUCAUCGACGACAUACUAAAAUAUUCACGAACCAAAGAAGAGAACAUGGCUAACACUUGUUAUUAAUUAUUAAAGUGUUAAAAAAGGGAGACUUUAUGCAAAGUUAUGUAAAUGUGACUUUUGGAUUAACGAAGUGCAUUUCCUUGGCCAUAUGGUCAGUAUUAAAGGGAUUCAUGUCAAUCCUACGAAGAUCAAAGCAGUUAAGGAUUGAAAAGCACCAACGACACCAACCUAAGUAUGCGAAUUCCUAGGGCUUGUAGGCUAUAAUCGGAGAUUCGUUUAGAAUUUCUCCAAAAUAACCAAGCCUCUUACCGCUCUAACCCAGAAGGAAAAGAAAUCAAUUGGGUAGAUAGAAAAAGUUUGCCUUCUAGAAAUUAAAACAAUUGUUGUGCAGUGCACCAUUUUUUCUCUUCCAGAGGGAACAAGAGACUUUGUAGUAUUCUACAAUGCCUCACACCAAGGGCUAGGUUGCAUACUAAUUCAAAAGAAUAAAGCCAUUGCAUAAUCAUCCAUAUAACUUAAGCUAACCGAGGCCAUGUACACUACCCACGACUUAGAGUUGGGAGUUGUAGUGUUUUCCUUAAAGAUUUGGAGACACUACCUAUAUGGAACAAAGUGUGUUGUGUUCACCGACCACAAAAGCCUCCAACAUAUCUUCCACUAGAAGGAGAUCAUCAUGAUACACUGAAGGUGGGUCGAAUUGCUAAAUAACUACGAAUGCAAAAUUUGUUAUCAUCCUAGUAAAGAAAAUGUCACAGCAGUGGCUUUAUGCAGGAAAGAAUGAGCAAAAGCAUUGUGUGUAAAGGGUCUAACCCUAACAAUCCAAUCCAAUCUCACCACCUAAAUUUGAGACACUCAACUGGAAGCGCUCAAACCCGAGAAUAUCGUAGAAGAAAACUUGCGAAGGAUGGACAAACAGUUCGACCUGAAGGCUGAUGGAGCACGAUAUUUCAUGAACCAAAUUUGGAUCCUAAAGUUUGUUGAAGUCAACAAUAUAGUCUUCAAUGAAGCUCAUAAGUCAAUAUAUUCGAUAUAUCCUGGGUCAGAUACGAUGUAUCUCGAUCUUAAAAAGAUUUAUUGGUCGCUCAACAUGAAGGAAAAGAUUGCCACCUAUGUUAGUAAAUGCUUGAAUUGCUCCAAAGUCAAAGUAGAGUACCAGAAGCCAUAUGGUCUACUACAAAAACCAUCAAUCGUUGAAUGGAAAUAGGCACAAAUAACCACAGGCUUCAUAACUAACUUGCCAAGAACUUCAAGCGGUUAUGCUACCAUCUGGGUAGUGGUUGACCGUUUGACCAAGUCCGCCCACUUCAUAGCCAUCAAAGAAACUGACAAGAUGGAGAAACUUACUAGGACCUAUCUCAAGAAAAUAUUUAGACUACAUGGUGUGGCAAUAUAAAUAUUAUCUCAAACCAAGAUAGCAGAUUCACUUCCAGAUUUUGGCAAUCACCGCAUAGGUCCCUAGGAACCAAAAGAGACAUGAGUAUUGUGUAUCAUCCGCAGACGUAUGCCCAAAGUGAAAGAACGAUACAAACUCUGGAACACAUGCUCCGCGCUUGUGUGAUAGAUUUCGGUAAUGCAUGGGAUACUCAUGUACCACUAGUUAAGUUUUCAUAUAACAAUAGUUAUCACACUUGCAUAAAGGCCGCUCUAUUUGAGUCAUUGCACAAACGUGGAUGCUAUUCUUAGAUAUGUUGGGCAGAAGUUGGAGAUACUCAAGUGGCUAAAAAACUUGCUAGAGAUACUCUACUUUUUGGUCGUGACAUCAUUCAUGAAACAACAGAGAAAAUCAUUCUGAUAAAGGAACAAUUAAAGGCCGCACAUGGUCUUCAGAAAAGUUAUGCUUGCGUGAGACAUAAACCAUUAGAAUUCAAAGUAGGAGAUCGUGUCCUACUGAAGGUCACACCAUGGAAGGGUGUAAUUAGUUUUGGAAAACAAGGUAACCUAAAUCCUCGAUGCAUCGGUCCUUUUGAAAUCCUGGAAAGGGUUGGUUCAGUGGCUUACAAGCACAAGUUACAUUCAGAACUCAUGAAAGUUCAUAAUUUUAGAUUAGGUGUCUAACCCAAUAACUGAAUUAGUAUAUACUUGGAUUAUUGGCAAAGUCCUUUUUGGUUUCCCUCAAAACUAGUAAUUGAAUAGUAUGACUUUUAGAUAAAGAGAAAUAUANNNNNNNNNNNNNNNNNNNNNNNNNNNNNNNNNNNNNNNNNNNNNNNNNNNNNAGAGAGAGAGAGAGAGAGAGUGAUUGAUUUAUUUAUUAUGUUAUUGAUAAAUUAAUUAUAAAUCAAAAUGCACUUAUUAAUAUGUUAUGAAAAUAACAUAAUAAUUAUAGAUCAUAUUAUUUAAUUAAUAAUUAAUCAGAAAUUAAUUAGAAUUAAUUUUGGGAUUAAUUGGUUAAAUUAAAAGUGUAGGGACUAUUUGUUUAUUUGUUGAAAGUUAAAGCAAGAAGGCUUUAGAACCCCAUGGAACGGGGGUCGACGAAAAUUGGCUAGAGAUCAUCUAGAAUUUUUGUCCAACGGUGAUUAGAUAAAAUAUAAGGCAAUUUGAUUAUUAUACUAAUUAAUGUAGGCCUUAUCCCAAAAACCCAAGCUUUGGCCCCAAGUUUUAGUCAGCUAUACAACGGGUCUUAUACUGUCAUUUUUCAGCCACUCCUUCUUCCAUAAAGAAAGCCAAAAUUAUAAUCACCUCUAUCUUUUCUCUUCAAGUAUUCUAGCUACUAGGAUUGAAUGUGAACCAUUAGAGGCGUGACACUUGGGGUGCCGCUUCAAAAAGCUUUGAAGAAAGGAUUCUUGAUUGUUUUCUACAAAAAUAAACCAGGUAUCUAAUCUUCCUUAUGAAUUCAGAUUUUAUAAGGAAUAUUUUGUGGUUUGAUAGUUCAUAGUAUGUUGCCUUUAUGUGAAAGACAUAGAUCCUCCUUAGGUUGGAUGUGCCCUAAUCAUUUAACUGUUAAAUGUUUUUCCGCUUAGAGAAUAGUUUUCUAAUCUAUGUUAUUUGUCAGUGGUAUAAGAACCUAUGGCUAUCUUUCAAGCAAUUUCACAUUGGUGAAUUGUCCAAAAAAAUUCAAAUUUUUUUAUCUCACGGUGUGAGCAUUGAUGCUCACGAUAUGAGAUCUGAGCAGAUAAAAUUUUCCGUGUUUUUCUGCCUAUUCUAUCUUCGAUGUUUUUAUUUGGUAAUUAUCUAAUUCAAAUAUCUGCCAAAUCCAAAUUUACUAAAUAUUUAAUGAUAAAAUAAAAGCCUAUAAGCUAAAAGAUAAAUCUUUGACCUGAUUAAUUAUUUUUAUUGAUUAAUAUGAUUAAUUUUUAAGUCUGUAAAUAAUUAAUUUAAAUAUUAGUUGAUCGUAAUAAUCAAUGUCAACUAGUAAUUGGUAUAUUUAAAUUAAAUUAAUUAUUUAAUUUUGAAAUUUUANAUAUAUAUAUAUACUCUAAUAAAUGAAGGUUUUUUUUUCUACAUGUCAUAUUUUCAUUCAAUUUGCCAAAUGUCAUUUUAUGGUUAUUUUGAUUUAAUUUCUUUUCCACAUGUCAUUUUAUGGAUUUUUUUAUUUUAAUAAAUUCCACAUAAUAACUUGAUGUAAUAAUUACAAUAAAUGUAGUAAUAAAUGAAUAUCAAUUUCAUUAAUGCACUUACCUUCUUAUUUCAAAAUUCCCAAAUUAAAGAUCAUUAGUUUAUUUUGUUUAUUUAUUUAAAUUUAAAAGAUAAAAAAAAUCAAUUUUAAUAAUUCAUUAUUUUUCUUAUUUUUUUUAUAAAUCCAAAGUUCUUAAAUAGUUAGACCUUUAUAUUUAAUUUUUUUAAUUAACUCAUGUAAUACAUGGGCCUUACACCUAAUAUGUAUAAUCAUUUAUGAUUAUGCAUAUAUGUACAAACAUAUAUAAUUAUAUAUGAUUAUACUUGUCUGCCAUAUAAUCAGUUAUGAUUAGGCAUACCUCUUUAUUGUCGGUAUUCNAUAUAUAACAUUAAAAGUUAAUUACUAUAUGUAUAAGACGAAGUUAUUUGAAGCGCUAGUAUGUCUCAUUCAAAAUGUUGAACUAUAAGUAGAGUUUACGGAAGUGGCCUAUAAAAUGACCGCCAUUGGGUAUCUACUCUUACCCACCGCUCUUGAGAGUCAUUAGUAGAACAGAUCUGAGAGGACAUUAACUUCAUUAAAAGUAUAAUGUUAUUAAGUAACUAAACUAUUUUAUAAAAUCUCACUUUUAGUCACUUUAGAAAAAAUGUGAGAAGUAUGCUAAUCCAUAAAAUAUCACAUUAUAGUUUAUACUAGUUAGUGGAGCACAUGUGGUUAACCGAGACACAAAUAGGGACUAUAAAAAGUAAUAAUGGGCAUCGUGAAAAUUAUCAUUGAUUGAUGGAGCGCCUGUGGUUAACAUACGCAUUAAAAUGAGAUGAUAAAUGACAUCGAGAAUUACAAUCAUAUUUGUAUGGUUAUCCACAUCUUGUUUGUGAUCGUUGGUAUCCCAGUCACAAAUAGAAGAGCAUAAUAUGAGAUUAAACAUGUCAAUGAUAAAUUCAAUGAAUCUCAAGAGAUCUAGGAAUUUCACAGUUCGAAACUGAUAAAUUGCUUUUACCUACCUUCAUAAAUUCACAUUAAUAUUACAAUAUACCUCUUCUUGGUUGUGAAUUUUUAUUUUGGAUCCUAGCCUUAAUUGUUUUAUUUUGGGUUAAAUAUUAAGGAUUAUUGUCAUGUAACUAAAACUAUGUUUUCUCUAUGGAUGUCUACUCCUAUUGAUGCUUUUGGUCCAUCAUCGUCUACCCACCACUCGGGUUUCUCCCUACUCUGCAUCGUCUCCAAAGUGACAUUUGAUGGCUCCAACUACAAUGAUUUGAUGCACAACAUCAUAAUGGAUCUUUUCUUCGAGGGCAAGGAAUAUAAACUUGAGGAAAAGCUUGUUGAAGUUGAUGAAGCCACUACUACCCCAAAACAACUAGCCUCCUAAAAAAACACUACAAUGUGGAAAAAAUGUUGCUUGCAUCAUGGUCUCCAUAAUCACUCUUGAGUUGCAAAUGUUCUAUGAGGACUAUAAGCCAUUUGAGAUGAACAUUGAUCUUGUGGAAAAGUACCACACGAGAGCUCAUCAAGAAAAGUUUGAAGUGGUCAAGUCCCUCAUGGAUUGCAAGAUGAAAAAGGGAGAGUUUGUCUGCAAGCACGUGUAGAGAAUGCAAAGAUAGGUGGUGUGACUUGUUAAGCUCAAUGUGCAUUUUAACGAGGAGUUGACCAUAGACAUAGUCUUAAACUCUUUACCAAGCUAUUAUGAUCAUUUUAUAUAAGCUUAUUAUUUGAACGACACAGUGACCAUAUUGGCUCAACUCCAUAACUUGCUACAUAGUGCUGAGUCAGGAAUGAAAGGCAAGAGUCAAGCCCCUACUACUAAUACUAGUGCUCCCGUUCUUGCAAUUGGUAAAGGAAAAGGGAAGAAGUGAAAGGAUGCUCCUAAAGCCAUCUAGAAGAAUAAUGCUGAAGUUGGGUCUUCAAGCAAUAGGCCAAUCGUGAAGCUCAAACUCAAACAUUCCAGUUGUUGGUGGCCCCAAAGAGGCCACUUGUUAUUAUUGCAGUGACAAGGACCAUUGGAAGAUGAGUUGCCUUAAAUACUUGCAGGACAUUAAGGAUGGCAAGGUGAAGCCAUCGUCAUUAGGUAUAUACAUUAUCCAAACUAAUAACUCACCAUCUACUCGUUCUUGGGUCCUUGAUACAGGAUGUGGUUUUCAAUUUUGUUCUGCUUUGCAUGGGCUAAGAGAAAGUGAAGAGGUGGAGCAUGGGAAGAUGACUCUGAUCAUGGGAAAUAUGUGAUUUUCUCUUGUGACCAAGAUUGGGACUCAUCAUCUUAUGCUCAGUAGUGAUGUUAGUUUAGAUUUAAUUAAUUGUUGCUAUUUGUCAGAAUUGACAUGAAACAUUUUUUUCUUUUGAUGCAUUGUUUAGACAAGGUUUUCGCUACACUUUUAAUGAUUUGAAUGGUUCAAUUAUAGUUUAUAAAAAUGGUGUUUUUAUAUUUCAAGCUUUACCUUGUAAUGAAGUGUAUGAAAUUUUGACUUAUGUUGAUAGCUUAGGAAAUUGUGUGUUUCACAUUGAUUCGUCUAAUGGUUUAGACAAUGCAUGUUUGUGGCAUUGUUGUCUUGGGCACAUUAACAACAAACACAUUGCCUAAAUCCAAAAGGAUGGAGUGUUUGAAUCAUUUAACCUAAGGCCAGAUUAUGAGUGUGAAUCUUUUCUUUUGGAAAAAAUUACAAAAUCACCUUUUAUUGGAUCUUGUGAAAGAGGUGAAGGAUUGCUGGACCUCAUACAUACAUAUGUAUAUGGGCCCUUCAGAUCCGAUAGAAGAGAUGCCAAUCAGUUUUAUGUAACAUUUAUGGAUGAUUAUAGUAGAUAUGGCUAUAUUUACUUAAUCAAACAUAAAUCAUAAACCUUUGAAAAAUUCAAAGAUUUUAAACAUGAAGAAGAGAAUCAAAUAGGCAGGAAGAUAAAAAUGCUAUGAUCUGAUAGAUGAGGAGUGUAUCUUAGUAUCGAGUUCCAAUACUACCUCAAGGAAUAUGGAAUAGUUUCACAAUUGACUCUUCUAACGGCACCACAACUUAAUGGUGUGGUUGAGAGGUGUAAUCGAACCUUAUUGGACAUGGUUCGUUCCAUGAUGAUUUGAGCCACUCUUCCCAUUUCCUUCUGAGGGUAUGCCUUAGAGACAGUUACCCACAUCCUCAAUAUUGUCCUUACUAAAAUGGUUGCCAAAACACCUCGCGAAAUGUCGACAAGGAAAGUUCCCCCGUUAGAACAUAUCAAAGUCUAGGGUUGUGAAACUUUCGUUAGAUGAGAGACUCAUGACAAGUUAGAAUCUAGAAGUGAGAUUUAUUUUUCAUUGGUUACCCACAAAAUUCCUUUAGAUAUUUGUUCUAAAGGACUAGUAAGAACAUAGUCUUUGUAGCACAAAGAGGAGUGUUAUGCCAGAAAGAGCUCAUAUGCAAAGAGGAGAGUAGGAGCACAAUUGACCUUGAUGAGGUUUAAGAGUUAACCAAUUAAGGAAUCUUAGAAGACAAUGUACAAAGGGGAAUUAAAAGACGAUAAGGUAACUAAUUUAAUAUUACAAACAAAAAAAGAAGUCUCGUAUGUGUUUCUUUUUAUUUCAUUUUAUGAUAGCAAAGACGACAUACAUUUAUAAAUUCCGUAAAUCCUUUAUAUUUCUAAAAAAAAGACAUUUUUUUAUGACAUAGAGUUUUGUAUGUCAAAAAAUUAGUGUGCAUCAUAGUGUCAAUGAAGGCAUAUUUGGUAGUAGUGUUUUUAGCUUUGGUAUUCAUUACAUUCGUCCACGCUUACAAGUUUUUUUUGUACGCAUAAUCAAUAUAGUCAAGAUCAAACCUAAUCUUCACACGUCAUAGUUCGUAUGUCAAUGAAGGCAUAUUUUGUAGUAGUGUUUUUAGCUUUGCUAUUCAUUACAUUCGUCCACGCUUACAAGUUUUUUUGUACUCAUUAUCAAUAUGGUCAAGAUCAAACCUAAUCUUCACACUAUUUAGUUAUAUAUCAUUAAAAUCAACUCCUCAACUUAGGACAUCCACAUUGCAAGUUAAAGUUAAAGAUGGUGAGUAUGAUUAAAUAAAUGUUUAAACGUUUAAUAUAUAGAAUAAAUUAUUGAUUAUUAUGAUUGAAUAAAUUAGUGAUUAUUAUGAUUGAAGAGAUGUUUAAUGUGUUGGUGGUAAAAGUAAAGUUGUGUAGAUAUUGGAUGAUAUGACAAUCCACAUAAUUCUAGAGUUCAAUGGAUUGUUGAUGCAAGAGAAUGAUAUUACAUCAAACUCACAUCAACAGUAAGGACUCUAAUGUUUUCAUCUUUCAGAUUAAUUAAGGCAAGAGAACGAAAUUACAUCAGAAACAAAACAUCGAUGUUUUUGAGCAAACAAAUGGCACCUAGCAGAAUAUAAUCAUAAACUCACACGCAUCUUAAACAGAUAAAUAACUACUUGGAGAUCCUUGUAGUAGAUGGUCAAUCACUUUCCCCAAAUUAACAAUGGAUGAACCAGAAGGAGAGGUACAUGCUUUUUCGGCCUUUUUCUUCAAGUCAAUUGCAUUCUUCCUCAUCUCUUUCCCUUUGUCUCCAUUCAUCAACUCAAUGACUAGCUUGGAAACUUCUUCUCUCUUUACAUCACUGUCAAGCUCCAUGCCAAUCUCCCACUUGUUGCAACACGACCAGCAAUUGGUUAGUUGGUCAGCAAAAAACGGCCAACAAAUCAUUGGGACUCCACUGGAAAUACUUUCAAUUGUGGAAUUCCAUCCACUAUGCGUUAAAAACCCUCCAAUUGAUGGGUGAUUUAGAACUUGUUCUUGUGGGCACCAAUUAGCCAACAGCCCUCUACUGCUUAUCUCUUCCAAAAACUCUGGUGGAAGCACGGCAGAUUUGCCAUCCACAAGAUCUGGACGUAUUAUCCAUAAGAACGGACAAUUGCUCUUUGCAAGUCCCCAACAGAACUCAAGAAUAUAUUGAUGUGACAUCACUGUUGUGCUACCAAAAUUCACAUAAAUAACCGAUGAUUUUGGUUUAGAUUCUAGCCAUUUCAAACAGGUGUUCUCUUCUUUCCAAAGAUUUGAUUUGAUGAACUCUACAGAUUCAUCACUUUCCUUCUCUAGUAACUUAAACGGACCAACACCAUAGCAUGGAGGAAAGACUGAAGAAAGCGCAUCCAAAAGGUCACUCUCUAGUUCAUAAAAGGUGUUGAACAUGAUGGCAGAAGCUCUUUUUGCUCUCUCUGCUUGUAAACACAAACCUUCAAGCAUGUAUUCAUCACCAGGGCUGGUCUUUCUAACGAAUGAAGGCAAGUGUUUUAGACGCAUACCAGACAUGGUUGGUACACAAUCAAUCCUGGUAUCUAAAUGCUCAUUUGCUAAAAAACUCGAUGCUGUGGAAACAAAACAUAAAGAACUUAAUUACUUUCAAAUAAGCAACUACAGUGUAUACUAUACAAAUUAGUGAAAUUAAGUAUAUUACCUUCACGUGGCACCAAACCUCUCUCCAAUAGAUUGUUCUGCUCAUGAACACACAUUAGAGCACCAACACCGCUGGUCCACAGGACUAUCUCGGGGAUAUCAAGUUCUUUGGCUGCAUCGAGGGUGAAGCCCAUGAAUAAGUCUGCAACUAUGCAAGUCACCGGUGAAGAUGAAGCAUUUAGUUUGGUAAGCAGACUUUUAAACGGACCCAGACAAGUUUCAUCCAUGGACUUCCAUAAGAUUGGGAAAACUUGGGUUUCAUCUGGGUUCUGUGGUGGCGGAAGGCCAUCAGGAAUGGUCUCGAAGCAGAAGGAAGGGAGGCCAUGUAGGGCGUCGGAGCCCUGAUAUUUGACGAGUCGUUGAUGGUUGAACUCGGUGUUAACGAAGGUUAUAUGAAAGCCUUUGGAAUGGAGGAUUUUAGCAACUUUUAGCAUGGGGUUAAUAUGGCCUUGUGCUGGGGCUGGAAAACACAAGGCAUGUGGUUUCUUUUGUAUAGAACCCAUGAAGCCUUCUUCCUAUUUUUUCUGAAUUCAAGAUAGCAACUACAUAUAUAUAACAUCUGGCUUUUUUAUAUGCAAACAAUGAAGACGGAAAUGUAAAUGUGCUCGUCUGGUUACUCAAAUUCUAGAUGACAUCUUCAAUUAUUAUUUGGAAUAUUAAUUUAAAACUAGGAGCAGGUUUACGGUACCUAAUUUGUCUAUUUGUUCAUUGUCUUCAAUUUCUACCGUACUCUAAAUUAUAUUAUAAAUUAGUAAAUAACAACUAUACACUUUUUGUCUAUUUCAUUGGAACUUCUUGAUCUCAUGUACACGUUACUUUCAUGUUACGUAUAAUUUAUCAGAAAGUGGGACCAAUAAUAAAAAUAAACCAUGCACGUGUUUACGUUUUUUCUAAUAUUGCAAUUUAUCAUCUUCAAAACUAAAUGGGAUUUACUUAAGACAAACGUUUUCAGCGUUUUGAUCAAAAUAACGUAGUUGAUGCUUUUCGCUACUAUAUAUGACAUCCUCAUUUUGUAACUUUAGCUAGGUUUGGCACACUAACAACCUUCCUUAUAAACUACUUAUUUUUCAUAUUUUCGAAGUUUUUAAAAAGAUAGGAGUAACUUUUCAAUUAGGUUAUAGAGCUUUGUUAAAAUUCUCUCAUAUAUUAAUUACAAUGAGCAUAUUAUAUACAUUUCCGCUUCAAUAUAUUAGUUUAUACAUCAUGAUUAUAUAUAAUUAAUAUCUUAGUUUAUACAUCAUGGUUAUAUAUAAUUAAUAUAAUUAAUAUCCAAUAGGUGGUUGGAUGUAUGUUUUCCACUUCAAUUCUUGUUCCUUAUUUGGUUGUGGACUUAAGACAGAUUCAUACAAUUAACUAUCUGUUCGAUAUUAGAUUAUAUAUAAUUAGUAUAAACUAAAUGAUUAUAGAAGGAACCACUGUGGUUACUAUUUUAUUAUAAGAAAUAAGGAUUUACUUAAAGAAUCUUUUCUUAAAUUAUAAAGGAACUAUUACAAUUAACUUCGUGAGUACCAAGAGAAUACACCAAGGUUAUAUAAAACACGGACCUAACAACCAAUGGGAUGUGUGUCAUCCGCCUCAUUUCAUGUUUCUUGUUUGGAUAUGGGUGUAGGGUAGAUACACACAAUCGAUUGUUUGUUUACUCCAAGUUUUAUAUAACUUGUAUCCAUUUAGUACUCAUAGAAAUGAUUGUAGAGUCAUUUUUACUUAACUUUUAUCAAAGUAGGAAAUAUAGGAUUUUCUGGAGGAACAGACGAACUUUUCUAAAACAAAACUUACAAUUUUCUACAACUUACUAAACUUUCUACAACUUGCAUACAUCACUAAAAUCUUAUGAACUCACCGGCUUAAUUGCUGAUCAACUAUUUCAAAAUAACUUGUAUUCUCAGGUAACUAGUAGACCGGUACUCGCACUGGGAAUUCAGAAGAUGGAGCAAUAUAACUUCCAGUCUUGUUUUGUUAUUUGCUUAUGUAUUCUAUGUUUUGUGAACACAUACUUUGUAAACACUUUCUUUCUGAUGAAAUGGUUGUUUAUUACUUGCUUACUAUGAUGCAUGUCUUCUGAUACUAAACAUGACAUCCUCCACCCCAGAAUGUUUCCGCCGUUCCAGUUUUAGGGUGUGACACUCGUGAAUUGCAAAUGUUCUACGAGAAAUACAAGACAUUUGAGAUGAACAUUGACCUUGUGGAAAAGUGCCACAAAAGAGCUCGUCAAGAAAAGUUUGAAGUUGUCAAGUCCCUCAUGGCUUGCAAUAUGAAAGAGGGAAAGUCUGUCUGCAAGCACGUGUAGAGAAUGCAAAGAUAGUUGGUGUAACUCGUUAAGCUCAAUGUGUAUUUUAACGAGGAGUUGAGCAUAGAUAUAGCCUUAAACUCUUUGCCAAGCUAUUAUGAUCAUUUUAUAUUAGCUUAUUAUUUGAACAACACAGUGACCAUAUUGGCUAAACUCUACAACUUGCUACAUACUGCUGAGUCACGAAUGAAAGGCAAGAGUCAAGCCUCUACCACUACUACUAGUGCUCAUGUUCUUGCUAUUAGUAAAGGAAAAGGGAAGAAGAGAAAGGAUGCUCCUAAAGCUAACUAGAAGAAUAAGGCCUAAGUUGGGUCUUCAAGCAAUAGGCCAAUCGCGAAGCUCAAACUCAAACAUUCCAGUUGUUAGUGGUGUUGGAUUAGUGUCUAAGGUUGUAACUAUAUUUGGUAAGUACUUGACCCGGUUGUGCAUGGUCCUUUUGGGUUGCCUUCACCAUAGCAACUUGACAGGAUGAUUUGUUAAGAGAGAAGAGAUAUUAUUGUUAAUAUAUUAUGAGAAUAAUAUAUUAAAGGAUUAAUAAUGUUAUUUGAUUGAUAUAAGUCAUUUAUUAAUUAAGAAUUAAUUUGGUGACUUAAGGAGGUUAAUUGAAUAAAUGGGCGUAAACUGUCAAAUGUGUGAUAGUUGUGUUUUGGGCUAUGUAUCCUUAUGGAUAUAAGGGUGGACAAAAUUUAGGGUUUGGGAACCUUAAAAUCGUCCAAGCCUAAUAUCUAGGAGGAUCUUGGAUUGCUUAGGGCCUAAGUUAUUCAAUUAGGGUUAAAGAUGAAACCCUAGUAGCUCAUAGUAUAAAUAGACCCCUAAGGGGAGGGAAAUCUCCACUCAUUCAAGGCAAGAAACCCUAGGGCCGAUUUCCCACUCUUUCCUCUCUCUCAAGAUCAUCCUUUUUCUAGUUGGUGUUUGUAAGCCAUUAGAGGAGUGACAAUUGUGACUCUAAGCUCCAAGAAGAAGAAGUAUCAAGCAAGUAAUCCAAGGUAUUGUUCUAGAUCCAAUUUCAUAUGAUUUUAUUCAAUUGUUUACAUUAGAUCUAGUAUUGUAAGUCUUGGAUUCAAUGCAUGUUCAAUUAGAGAAACCUAGAUCCAAGCAUUAGGGUUUGCAUGCGCCCAUAGGAAAGUUCAUAUGGCUCAAACCCAUCAGUGGUAUUAGAGCUUUGAUUGAUUUCUAUUGAAUUGAUUCAUUGGUCGAUUGCUUGUUGCUUGAAAAAUUCGAUUUUUGUGCUUCUGCCUGAUGAACUCGGCGAGUGGCUCCAACUUGGUGAGUCCAUAAGAGGAACUCGGCGAGUUCGAGCGUCAGAAGGAGCUAGUUCCGGGAUUUCUUGCUAUUUUACUUGAGGAAACUUGCCCUAACUGUUUUGGGUCAUUAAAAUCCGAUUUUAUACAUACAUAUGUGUGUGUAUAUAUNNNNNNNNNNNNNNNNNNNNNNNNNNNNNNNNNNNNNNNNNNNNNNNNNNNNNNNNNNNNNNNNNNNNNNNNNNNNNNNNNNNNNNNNNNNNNNNNNNNNNNNNNNNNNNNNNNNNNNNNNNNNNNNNNNNNNNNNNNNNNNNNNNNNNNNNNNNNNNNNNNNNNNNNNNNNNNNNNNNNNNNNNNNNNNNNNNNNNNNNNNNNNNNNNNNNNNNNNNNNNNNNNNNNNNNNNNNNNNCAACCCUAUACUAUUAUAUGAUUACAAGCUUUAUAUAUAUAUAUAUAUAUAUAUAUAUAUAUAUAUAUAUGAGUUAAAAUAUGCUAGUCUUACCAUUAGUAGGUCUCAUUCACGAAGUCAGUCUAUAAGGUGGGUAUAAGGUUGCUGCCUAUAAAAUGACGCUUAAUAGGUGUACACUCACACCCACUGCUUGCUUAACUGGUGGAGAGUCAUUAGCCGAACGGGUAGGAUAGGGCAAACCUCUCCUCAUUAAUAAGUAUAAUGGAACUAUAUAAAGUAACUAAACGUGUUUUAUAAAAUUUCCAAUCUUAGUUACUUUCGAAAAAAUGAAUUGAUUUAAUCCCAUGAAAUUAGACUUUGCACCCUUGCUAAGAAGUUAGUGGAGCGUGUGUGGUUAACCGGUACACUAAUUGGUUCUAAGCAAAGGUGGCAAAGGGUGAUUCAUUGUUUGUCACAGUUCGAUGGAGCGUGUGUGGUUUACCGGCACAUCGAAUAGGUGAUUGUAACAAUGAAGAAACCGCGUAGAUUUGCAUGGUUAUUCACACCCGCUUUGUGAUCCUCGGUAUCCCAUUCACAAACUAGAGGGGCAUAACGAGAUCUAAACAUGCCAUUGAAAGGUUUCAAUAAAUCUCAAAGUAAUCUAGGAAUUCUCAAUACAUGUAAAACUUAAAGCUUAUGUUUUUCAUGGUGAAGAAUUAGUGAAUCGUCAUUCACUUACCUCAAAAUUAUUUGCAUAUUGGAUUACGGUAUCCCUUUUCUAAUGUGUAGAUAAUGUUGUUGGGUCCUAGCCCUAAUUUUUCAUUUGGGUGUUUAUUAGGGACUUAAAUCUAAUCAACUUUGUACCUUUCUAUUCACUACUAGAAAAAAGGCCUUUUAUGACGCUCAUUGCGCGUCGUAAAACGCUCAGGCGACGCGCAAAUGCGCGUCAAGGAAGGCCCUGUCAUAAUGAGAGACGACGCCCAUUUACGAUGCGCAUUUAUGACACACAAUGUGUAUCAUUAAAGCCGUUGUCAAGAAAGGUUAUGUCAUAAAUGAAGAUGACACACAUUUUUGCGUAUCGUAAUUUUAAGUUUUUUUUUUAAAAAAAAAAUUAUUUAUAGAUUUACUAAUUUUCAAAUUAAAUUUGCAUUUCAUGUCUCAUAAUAGAAAAUAAAAUACCGUAUACAAAAAUACAAUACAUUGCACAAAAGUUAAUGUCAUACAAAAAUACAAUACAUUGGUAUCAAGAGGAUCUAAUUGUACAUUGCUAUUAAGAGGUUUUCCUUAACUAUAUAACCUAUUUAUAUAACCUAUUUGCAUACGUAUGUGUAGUUCCAAGCAAAGUUCCUGGGGCUAUCUUCUCUUCUUUUUCCUCCAGCACCUUUACCAAAUCAAACAGCAUAAAUGAUAAAAGUAAAACCACUGAAUAUAUUAUUUGAAUAUAUAUAAGCAUGAAAAGAAAAAGCUACCUGAUAUAGAGGUUUCUCGGGUUCCUUCCUUUGUUGUUGCUGUUUGCGGAGGUCAAUAACAUCUGGAGUUUCAACACCAGUUGGGGUUAGGGUACGGAGGAGAAAUAAAAAAGAAAAAAUGAAUCAGUUUUUUAAACACAUUUUAUUAUUACAAUAAUAAUGAUAAUAAAAAGGUGGUUAAAAAAGAAAUAGAAAAUAAGACCUUGAAAGGAUGAAUAACUAAUUCUUGGCUACAUUUUAGUAUUGGACGUUGCCAUAUAUUAAAUUCUCAAAGCUCUGUUUUAAUUUGUUUUCUAAAUUGCAUGAAACAUUGAAACCCAUGUUAAGCCUUUAUAUCAUAUAAAAAGUAAAUAACAUAUUGUAGUUGAAACCAUGGUUGUCAAAAUCGCGAUCCUGAUCGUAGGAUCGUACGAUCCUACGAUCCUAGGUGUGAAAAACGAUCCGGAUCGUAAAAGAAUCGUAUUUGGGGUAGGAUCGCAGGUAGGAUCGUAAGAUCGUAGGUAGGAUCGUAGGAUCGAGAUCCGAUCCGAUCCUACCUUCCUUUGUUUUUUUUUUUCUUUUUUUUUGCAAAUGAAUAUUUGUUACCACUUUAUAUCUUUUACCCUUUACCAAUCUAUCAUUUAUCAUUUUUUAUUGUGACUUAUGACUAAUAUUUUGAAGUUCUUAUAAUUUUUGAACGAAAAAUUAAAUGUUUGAAAUAUUUUUCAUGAUUAAAUAUUAUAAAUUAAAAUUAUAUUAUAUUUUGUGGGAUCUUAGGAUCUCGAUCCCGAUCUUACGAUCCCGAUCUUGCAAACCCAAAAACGAUCCUAGGUAAGAUCCCGAUCUUGACAACCUUGGUUGAAACCCAUGAAAAAUGCUAAUUCUUGAAAAUUCAUUACUGCAAACCUGUUUAGACUGACCAUUACAACCACCUAUAAUGCUCCACACAGCUCCAAAAGGUUGCAGCAAGCUCCACACAACUCCAAAAGCAUGGGAAAAAAUUUGAGACCAACAAACACAACAACUAAGCAAAACACAGAGCAGGGGUAAAAUGGUCAAAAAGGCAGAAAACACUUCAAAGUUCAAAUAGCAACCGUAGCAGGUUAAUGAUGUAGCUAUAAAAUUAGCAAUUAGAUACCUAAGAAAGAAAUCACAAUUUUCCCCAAGUUUCCUCUGUUCCAACAAUUAAUAAAAUCAAUAAUUCACAAAUUAGGUCAAUGAUGUAGCUAAUCUUUUAUACUCACAAGAGAAUAAGGCAAUAAGUGAUGCAAUCGAUUUCUGCAUGACAGAGUCAGAAAGAAGACUGGGUGUGUUGUUGUUCUUAUAACAUGCCUUGCUUCAGAACCCACACCAUGUACUAUCUCUGGUUCACUUUCCUGCAAUAUAAAUCCAACAUGAACAGAUUAUCAAUAACAACUGAUGAUAUAUAAGAAUUUUAUGAAUGAUAUAUAAGAAAAGUUAUGAUAAGGGAAAAGGAACUUGCACUCACUCUUUCAUCAUCAUGUUCUACCUUGUCGCAUCUCAAGCAUCUCUAUCCCGAGCCAGUCAACUGAACUAGAUGAAUAAUUCAAGCCGGUAACAACUCUGGAACUACCAACUCCACCAUGUCCAAGGUUGGUAGAAGCCAUUUAACACCUGAUGAAUAGCACAAAGGUGGCAACGACUGUUUCUUUAGUAACUUCCAGCAAGUUUUUUUAUGAAUGUCAACCAAGGGUAUAAUGGACCAAACUCGAAAUAAGUUUAUAUUUAUCCCUGACAUGACGUUGAAGUUUUCAACCUCGAGUGUCAAUACCAAGCAUAUCCCUGGAACUUUGUGUUGUUGGAUCGAUGUAUAUCAGGAGCUGUAAAAUCAAAAAUCAGAAACAUUAAAUAUGAGUAAAUGCAAAUUGUAACUUACCAAUAGACAUUAAAUAUGAGUAAAUCAAAAAUCAAGAACAUCAUCAACCAAUAGUUUGAUACCAAUAAAUUCAUCACGAUUAGCAAGGCUUCUAGCAAGGUUAAUUGCUCAUUCACUAUAAUAUAUUCUAGUGAGAUCAGAGAACCUAUUUAUACUAACAUCAAAAGUAAUAAAGAAUGAUUUAUCAAUUAUCAUCAUACCAAAAGGAGGAAUAAGUGUUAUUAUGUAUAAUACUAUACCCAUUUUUAGCAAGCUCUUGAAGAAGUAGCACAUUGCCUGUUCCAACAUCAAGAACACUCCAUCCUGCUAAAUCUUUAUCCUCUUGACUAACAGACUCAGAGUCAUCAUUUUUAUGUUGAAUUUGUAAAUGUAUUUGUGAAAUGUCAGCACAUAGUCCUUUUUUCCAUAAAGCAACCAUUUCCAUGACAUCUGCCCCAAACCUUUAGAAAGAAUUUAAAGUCAUACAAAAAAGCAUCUUUUCAAAGAAGGUAUAUGUCAUAGUCAAUUAGAUAUGCAUACCAAACUUCACCAGCAUCCCCAUGUUCACGAAAAUUUGUCAAUUUAUCUACAUAUGUUGCAUCCCAGUAACUUUAAUACCCCAAAUGAUUACCUCGGUUAAAGCUUUAAUUUACUAAAUCUUCAAUUGGAACUGAAGAAGCUUAGGGCACUACCCUUGCUGCUGUAAUUGAUGAUUGGGACCCAUUUUACCUAGCACUAACAGAUCACAGAUGUGACCAUUAUUGCAACUAAAUGAGCUUCAAUUCCUUUCCAUAUCUUCAAUUCCAACUCUCAAACGCUAAAUGAUAAUUUUCUCCGGCACUAGCAACUUCUGGGUAAGAUUGACAAGUUGAUUUAGUUGAUGAAGAAUCUUGAUCUUGAAACUGAAUUUGAACUAAACAACACAUGGGUGUCUUCAAAGUCAAGAUCAAGAACUAAAGACGAUGGAAUUUUCUAAAAAAGAAAAACAUUAAGAACAAGAACAAAGGCAAAAGGAUUGGAUGUUUAAGAAUCAUAGCCCUAAUUUGUUUACUAAUCAUAGAUAAAAAUGCCCAGAUUGGGAAGGAAAAUAAACAUGCAGGUUCCAAAAAUCAAGAAACCCGAACAGUUUAUGAAGAUCUUAUAAAAUCAAAGAGCUAAAUCCACAUAAAUUCUAACACUGAAAGAAGAACAAGAAAGGGGUUCGAAAGAUUAUAAAUGAAAAAACAUGAAAUAAGAAAUUAUACUCUAUGGAGGAGAGAGUUACCUAAAGUCGCAGGAGAAGAAGUGUUUGCACAAUCAGAGUAGUUUUAGGGUUUCCUUCGGUUACUCCCUUCACGGCUCCGACAAUCUCUAUCUAUGGAGGAGAGAGAUGAGAGAAAACCUGGCAGAGGGGGAGAGACGAGAAGGUGGAUGCAUCGAUUACGGAGAAAACAAACUCAGAGAGUGGAGUGAAGUUGGAUUUAGGAGAAGUUCACAUGUACGAUGGAUACCGGGGACGAAAAAUGGUAGAGCAGUAGUUACAGCAUUUGCAGCUCGGAAUGUUACUUGACUUUGUUCUGCUUUCUUCAGUAAAUAGAACAAACAAUUCCAACAAGCUAAGAUUGUGCCUUCUACUUCAAAAAGAGAAAGCUUUCCAAAACCAGAAUCCAAUGAUGGAGAAGAUGCAGUAGAUGCAGGCGUUGUUGUGGUGCGAUGUUGGAAUGGUGGAGUCUGAGAGAAAACACAAAUUGUGAUGGGUAGCUAUCGUUGUUGGUGAUGUUCGAUUCAUCAGAAGCCCUAGUUCUUCGCUCAAUUGUCUAUUUUGUGAAAGAAGACAUUACCAUUGCAAAUGCGUUAUGUUUGAUUAGGGUUUACACAGAGAAGGAAGUGAAAGUCGAUCGUAGAGGAAGGGGUUUGCCGAGAGAAGGAAGGGAGAGAAUGAAAUCGAUCUGGCGGGUGUAGAGAGUACAAAAGAAGAGGAUGGCGGGUGUUCAAAAUUUUGGGGGAUUUCAUUUCCCCACUUACCUAUCAAUGAGUCCCGCCCAGAAACACGCAUUUAGUAAAAAUUAUAAAGUGACAUUUGUAGAGGACACUCUUUUUAUGAGAGGUGCCCUCUGUGUUUUUUUAUUGGACAUUAACUUUAAGGCGCGCUAAAAUGCGUGUCCACUAUCCUUCAAAUUUUGGAAGGCUAACAUUAUUUUUAAGGGCACACACAAAUGCAUAUCGUAAAUCAGCGAGUGUCAUUGUUUGCGCGUCAUCAAAGGGUAUUUUUCUUGUAGUGAUUUGUAGAUAUCUAACGCAAACAACGUUGCUGCUAGCUCAUUCACUCUAAUGAGCCUUUAUCAAAAGGUGACUUUCGAUGGAUCGAAAUUUAGCGAGUGGAUAAGGUACAUUCGCACAAUCGCACGUUAUGAGGACAAAGAGUAUGUUCUCGAUGAGAAGCUCGAGAAGAUCAAUCCGGAAACUGCUGCUCCCGGAGAAAUGGCUGUCUUUGAGACCCAUGAACGUGAUGUAACGAAAGUUCAUUGCAUCAUGAUAGCCACAAUAAACUUCGAAUUCCAAAAGUCCUAUGAGGACAUGUAUCCUUAUGAGAUGCAUCUAGACUUGAUGGAGCGAUACCACCAAAGUGAGAGGCAAGAGCGCUAUGAGAUCAUAACGAAUAUGAUCACCGCUAAAAUGGGAAGUGGUGAGUCUCUAACCGUGCACUUGCAAAAGAUGCGAAGGUAUGUCGAUCGUCUUCGCAAGUUGAAUGUCAACUUUGGGGAAGAUUUGGCUAUCGACAUUGUUCUCCACUCCUUUCCCUCAUGCUACAACCAAUUUAUGAUGACCUACCACAUGAACAAAGAAGAGGUCACCCUAAGCAAACUCCAAGGGCUCCUAAGGACUGCUGAGAGCAACCUUAAGUACAAGUCUGUUGCACCAACUCCCAAUCCAACCGCUGCUCCUGUUUUGGCUAUUGGGCAGGGAAGGGGCAAGAAGAGGAAGGCUUCAUCGAAGAACCACCGCAAGGGAAAGUCCCAAGAUGGUUCCUCUUCUAGUGGGACCAAGGUUGAUCCUGCUAAGCCCAACCCAAACCCAAAGGAGGCAGAGUGCCAUCAUUGCCACAAAAUAGGGCAUUGGAAGAGAAGCUGCCCGGAAUAUCUGCAAGCCAUCAAGGAUGGAAAGAUCAAGCCAUCUUUCGCAGGUAUUUACAUAAUUAAAUCUAAUGAUUCAUCUCAUGCUAUUUCUUGGGUUCUUGAUACAGGGUGUGGUUACCACAUUUGUUCUGAUUUGCAAGGACUAGGAAGAAAUAGGGAUGUGGAGCUUGGAAGAAUAAAUCUAAUCAUGGGAAACAGAAGAUUGUCGCCUGUGACCAAGAAUGGAGUGUAUUCUUUAGUGCUUAGUAAUGGAUUGAAUUUAGAUUUAAAUAAUUGUUGCUACUCGCCAUAUAUAGCUAGAAACAUCAUUUCUUUUCAUGGUUUAUUUAGACAAGGAUUUAGAUAUUCGUUUAAUAAUGAGAAUGGUUCGAUUUAUGCUUAUCUAAAUGGUGUUUUAUAUUUUGAAGCAAUGCCUUGUAAUGGAAUUUAUGAAACUGUUAUGGUUGUAGAUAACCUAGGAAAUUGUAACGCCUGUGUUUCCGGGCUUGCCAUUUUUAGCAAUGUAAUAGUCUAGGUUAACCUCUGUAACCCGUUUUGAAAUAUUAAAGAUUGUAUUAUUUGAGUAUUAUGUGUUUUGUGCUUAAUUAUGUGGUUUGAUUAAUUAAGAAUAAAAAUAAGCGUCAAAAUUUAAGUGUAAAAUAAACUUAAUAUCUUUGAAUAAUGUUGUAGUAGUUGAAACGAGGUUUCCGAAUAUAUAUAUAGAACGCCCAAAUCUGAGUUCGUAUGAGGAAGUUAUGAUCUAUCGAAGUUUCGGCUUUGCGGUGUGCAGCCCGAAAUACUUGAUUUGAUAUCGAGCAUUUUUUACCUGAAGCAAUCUAAACGAGGAUCGAAGGUCUCGUUGUUGGUAUCGAAGCGAUAAAAAGUUAGGCGAGAACGGACGUCAAACGAAGAAGUUAUGAAUUUAUAACGAAGUUUUUCUGUCGCGGCCUAUUAAAAAUAAAUAAUAAAAAUAAAGUCAAAAUUAGCCGACGGAGUCUAAACGAAAGUUGUAGAGCGUAGUCUCACCUUCGCGUGGAUAUAAAGAACGUCGAAAACGGAGUUCGUAUGAAGAAGAUAUGAAUUUCCGAAGUUUAUUUAAUAUUUUGUAUUUAAAUUUAAUUGGAAAUUCGGAAGCAUUAUCCGAGGACGAGUCACCGAUCUGAUCCAAGGUACGCCCCGCGUACUCCGAAGUGUCGACAUUCGCAGAAAGUGGCUUCAGAUGAUGAACGCCAUGACGCAUUCGGACCAGUACGCCCCGCGUACUCCGAGGCCCCAGCCUCCUAUAAAUAGGAUCCGAAGGCAGCCGAGUCUUUUGUUCAUUUUCUCUCUUCUCUCUCCCGUUUUGCAUCGUUUUGCGUGCCAGAAAUACCCCGAAGCCCCGGUAUCAUACUCAAGCCCCGAGGCAUGUCCCGAGAUCCCGAAGAUCCCGAGAAGUGCGGUUCCCGAGCCGAAGCUCUGCCCGUGAGAAGUUCGAUUUUUGAAGAGAUCUUCCAGAUCUGCUGAGGAUUACUACUUCUGCAAGUCGUAGUGCUGUCUGAUCAUCUUCUGAUCAAGUGAGUGUAUACUACCUUUCAUAAACACGAUAAUAAUACAAGUUUGGUUCGAGUGUAUUAAGUAUAUUGUUGUUUAUAAGUGUGAGUGUGUAGUUACCUUCUUCUAACACAUAAAUAUUAAGUAUUUUCUAUAAAAUACGUGCUAUGUGUAUAGUAUAUUGUUGUUUAUAUGUGUGAAUGUGUAUUCACUCUCUUCUAUCUCAUAGAUAUGAUUUAUUCUCUAUGAGAUAUGUGUUAUGUGUGUGUGUGCCUCAUCUGUUAUGUGGAUUAUGUGUUGAUUAAAGCAUGCUAUACAGGUUUUCAAAACUAUGUAUAAAAAUGUAUAUUUUAUCUACUAAUAUGUUGGGUAGAACAUGGGUAGAUAGUUGGUGUGUAAUAAACAGAUGAGAGGCCUCGUUGUUGUUUGAUUUAGUCAUCUAGCGGAGUUUAGAUGACGACCACUGGCUAUUCUAGACAGUCUUGUGGAAACAUUAGCAGGUUCGCCACCUGUAGGUGUUAAUGAACUUGGGUGUUCAUUCGCUGUACUCCAUCCCCCUCAUGGUUGCCUUAUUUGACUUAUAUUGCUGAGGUACCCCCGAAGCAUGUGUUGUCGCCCCGAUGAAAUAUUCUUAGACUAGGUCCCUUAUGUUAGUUGUUUUAGGGACAUUAAAGUGAGAAUAACGGGAAUGGGUAAUUGGGUUAUUGUUGGUUGGUGAAAAUUAAAUAUGAUAUUUAUUGUGGGUUGAAAACCCUAUAUGCUCACCAGGCUCCCAAGCCUGACCCACUCAGUUUUAAAUUGUAUUACAGGUAGUGGCGGAAGGGCAUGAGAUGGAUGAACCAUCAAGUUGUUUUGUUUACAAGUCUGCAUAUGUUUAUAUUUGUUAUAUGACUUGUAAUGUAUUCGUUUAUGCUUAUUGGUCUGUAUCGGAACAUGACACCCCGAGUUUUGAUUAUAAUGAAAAUACAUUUCUUUUAUGAAAUGCUUCGGUAAACAAUGUUUUAUCAUGUUUUGUUUUUGGGAACAAAUUCCGCAACUCUUUCAAAUCAAAAGGAUUUACUCUGAAAAUAUUUAAAAGCAUAAAUGAAAAUCGGUCUUUUCUGGCCGAGAUUUUGGGGAUGUCACAGUUGGUAUCAGAGCAUUAGUUUAAGCGAACUAGGAAUUUGUAGGAUUUCUAGACUUAAACUUAGAAUGCUAAGUGAAGUUUUGAGAUGUGUGUCUGUUGUGAUUUAGACACGAGCACUAGUUUAUUUUAGGAAAGUUGCCUAAAAUGCUUUAUGUGCUAAAUGUUAUAUGUUGCCAUAUAUGAUAUUAUUUGUUCGGAUCUAUGGUCUGUUGCCGACCGGAUCUAGAAACCUUAUGUGUGUAGGAUUCUAAGCGUACGUCUACGAUAUUAGAACUAGCAUGUAAACGUUUCGGAGUGAUAAGGAUGAUUUGAAUAUCUAUCAUGAUUGAGGAUCUAAUUUCACCUUAUUCGGUGUAGAUCAAAAUGGUGAGAACAAGAAGUGGAGUUGGAAAUGCUGACGAAAACAGGAAUCAACCACCAGUGAUUGAGCCAAUACCUGUCGUAGCAGCAGCACCUGAGCCAAUAACCAUGGCUGGUGUGCAAUUGAUGAUUCAGACGAUGUUGGAUCGUCAGAUGGAUGAAACUAGACGGUUGCUUCAACAAAAUCGUGAAGAACUGUCGAUUCGUGUGGAAGAGCCUGAACUGAAUGAAGGGCACUCGGAAGGUGGAAACUUCAGUGGGUCUGUUGGUCCAGCCAACCCACCGAUAGUUAGGCAAGAUAACCAUGAUGGAAGGAAUGAUGGAAUGGGAUGCAAGUACAAGGACUUUUUGACUUGUAAACCAUCGACCUUCAAUGGAAAGGAGGAUCCGAUUGGGGUUAUGGAUUGGAUCUCCGAAAUGGAGUUAGCCUUUAUGACAUGUGGCUGUAGAGGCAAGUUGCAGACUAUCUAUGCCGUGCGACAAUUCCGAGGUGGAGCCGUUCGUUGGUGGAACACUCUAGGGAAGACCUUAAGCCCUAAUGAGCCACUGCAAUUGUCAUGGGCAGAGUUCUUGGUGCAGUUCAAGCGCAAGUUCUGCUCGGCUCAAAAUCUGUUGGAGUUGGAGAANNNNNNNNNNNNNNNNNNNNNNNNNNNNNNNNNNNNNNNNNNNNNNNNNNNNNNNNNNNNNNNNNNNNNNNNNNNNNNNNNNNNNNNNNNNNNNNNNNNNNNNNNNNNNNNNNNNNNNNNNNNNNNNNNNNNNNNNNNNNNNNNNNNNNNNNNNNNNNNNNNNNNNNNNNNNNNNNNNNNNNNNNNNNNNNNNNNNNNNNNNNNNNNNNNNNNNNNNNNNNNNNNNNNNNNNNNNNNNNNNNNNNNNNNNNNNNNNNNNNNNNNNNNNNNNNNNNNNNNNNNNNNNNNNNNNNNNNNNNNNNNNNNNNNNNNNNNNNNNNNNNNNNNNNAAUGGAGGAGCAGUGACUUGGAAAAGUUCCAAACAAGAAACCGUAGCUGAUUCAACGUGCGAAUCAGAGUACAUUGCAGCGAGCGAAGCGUCAAAGGAGGCGAUGUGGUUGAAGAACUUCAUUGGUGACCUUGGAGUUGUGCCUGCUAUAAAGGAGCCUAUGGAAAUUUUCUGUGAUAAUGAGGGAGCGGUUGCCUUGACCAAGGAACCGAGGGAUCAUGGUAGAUCUCGGCAUAUCGACAGAAAAUAUCACUUUAUUAGACAUCGAGUAGAAGAAGGACACCUCGUAGUGAAGAGGGUAUCGUCAGAGGAUAACCCAGCAGAUCCGCUUACGAAGGGACUGAGUAGGGUUAAGCAUUUGCAGCACGCUAGGAGCAUUGGGCUGAAAGACGAUAUUAGUUUAGAUUAGAUAGUUUUGAAACAUGUAAUAGAUAAAUGUAAUUGACAUUUGAUGAUUAAAUAAAAGAGUAUUAUUUAUGAGUAAAGCUAUUGUCUUAUGUUAAUUGUUUAACUAUUGUUUCACUUUGCAUGUUUUGACUUCCUGAAUAAUUGAGUUAUUAUGAAAUAAUCGAAUUAUUCGAAUGGUCCACAAUCGUUCAUAUGUUGGAAGUAGGUAUGAAUGAAGAUUGUCAUGAAUUGGUGUGUAGAUUGUCUAAAAGGGUAUUAUACAUAGCAAAGGUUUGCUACAACGUUCAUGAGUGCUUAUGAACAAGUUUUGAGCAUUGGAAUACACCCGCGCUAGCUGGAAUCACUUUAUGGAAUGUGACACAAGUGAUCGCAAGACGAUAAUAUCAUAUGGUCUUAAAACCAAGAUAUAUGGUUUAUUGUUUAUUAAUUGGUUGUGCAUUGACAAUGCGAAACCGCAUCAGUAAAUUGAUGUCAUAAAACGCAUUGUUGUGUAUAGUUGAUUAGUAAAUAAUAAAUGCAUAUAAGUCGAAGUUUAUCUGUUACUUUUAUCCUAAGAGAAUAAAAGCGAUAUCACGGCUGCUCGAUGAUUUGAUUUGACUUAUGUGUCGGGCCCGGUCAGGACUAAAUUGAUGUGUUCAAUUAAGUUCUAUAUCAAAUGAAUCUGAGAUCGAGAAGCCAAUUGUUGGACAAUAAGUUCCAUGAGAUUGUCUGCAAAAUAUCUAAACAUAGGACUGUACGAUCCCUUAUCUAAAGGAUAGGAGACUGAUAAGAUCAGGGUUGACAGCGUCUUUAAGAGCUACGAUUGCUAAUCCGGUUUGUGUUUGCAUAUAUAGUUACUAGACUUAUCCAAGUGGGAGACUAUUGGAUUAGUGUCUAAGGUUGUAACUAUAUUUGGUAAGUACUCGACCCGGUUGUGCAUUGUCCUUUUGGGUUGCCUUCGCCAUAGCAACUUGACAAGAUGAUUUGUUAAGAGAGAAGAGACAUUAUUGUUAGUAUAUUAUGAGAAUAAUAUAUUAAAGGAUUAAUAAUGUUAUUUGAUUAAUAUAAGUCAUAUAUUAAUUAAGAAUUAAUUUGGUGACUUAAAGAGGUUAAUUGAAUAAAUGGGCGUAAACUGUCAAAUGUGUGAUAGUUGUGUUUUGGGCUUUGUAUCCUUAUGGAUAUAAGGGUGUGACUUGUGUUGAUAACUUAGGAAACAGUGUGUUUCACAUUGAUUCGUCUAAUGGUUUAGACAAUGCAUGCUUGUGGCAUUGCUGUCUUGGGCACAUUAACAACAAACACAUCGCCCAACUCCAAAAGAAUGGAGUGUUAGAGUCAUUUAACCUAAGGCCCGAUUAUGAGUGUGAAUCUUGUCUUUUGGAAAAAAAUUACAUAAUCACCUUUUAUUGGAUCUUGUGAAAGAGGUGAAGGAUUGUUGGAUCUCAUACAUACAGAUGUAUUGGGGGCCCUUCAGAUCCAACAAAAUAGAUGCCAAUUGGUUUUAUAUAACAUUAACGGAUGAUUAUAAUAGAUAUGACUAUAUUUACUUAAUCAAACAUAAAUCAUAAACCAUUGAAAAUUCAAAGAGUUUAAACAUGAAGUCGAGAAUCAAAUAGACAGGAAGAUAAAAAUGCUCUCAUCUGAUAAAGGAGGAGUGUAUCUUAGUAUCGAGUUCCACGACUACCUCAAGGAAUGUGGAAUAGUUUCACAAUUGACUCCUCAUAUGACACCACAACUUAAUGGUGUGGUUGAGAGGUGCAAUCGAACCUUAUUGGACAUGGUUCGUUCCAUGAUGAUUUGAGCCACUCUUCUCAUUUCCUUCUGGGGGUAUGCCUUAGAGACGGUUGACCACAUCCUCAAUAUUGUCCCUACAAAAAUGGUUGUCAAAACACCUCACAAAAUGUCGACAAUGAAAGUUCCCUCGUUAGAACAUAUCAAAGUCUAGGGUUGUGAAGCUUUCGUUAGAUGAGAGACUAAUGACAAGUUAGAAUCUAGAAGUGAGAUUUAUUUUUCAUUGGUUUCCUACAAAAUUCCUUUAGAUAUUUGUUCUAAAGGACUAGUAAGAACCUGGUCUUUGUAGCACAAAGAGGAGUGUUUCGGGAGAAAGAGCUCAUAUGCAAAGAGGACAGUGGGGGCACAAUUGACCUUGAAGAGAUUCAAGAGUUAACCAAUUAAGAAACCUUAGAAUACAUUGUAAAAAGGGGAAUUAAAAUAUGACAUGGUAAUUAAUUUAAUAUUACAGACAAAAAAAAAAGUCUCGCAUGUGUUUCUUUUUAUUUCAUUUUAUGAUAGCAAAGAUGACUUACAUUUAUACAUGUCGUAAAUCCUUUAAAUUUCUAAAAAUAAGACAUUUAUUUAUGACAUAGAGUUUUACAUGUCAAAAAAUCAGUGUGCGUCAUAGUUCGUACGUCAUUGAAGGCACAUUUCUAGUAGUGUCUUUAGCUUUGUUGUUCAUUACAUUCGUCCACGCUUCCAAGUUUUUUUGUACGCAUAUUCAAUAUGGUCAAGAUCAAACCUAAUCUUGACACUAUUUAGUUAUACAUCUUUAAAAUCAACUCCUCAACUUAGGACAUCCACAUUGCAAGUUGAAGAUGGUUAGUAGGAUUAAACAAACGUUUAAACGUUCAAUAUAUAGAAGAAAUUAUUGAUUAUUAUGAUUGAAUAAAUUAGUGAUUAUUAUGAUUGAAGAGAUGUUUAAUGUGUUGGUGGUAAAAGUAAAGUUGUGUAGAUAUUAGAUGAUAUGACAAUCCACAUAAGUCUAGAGUUCAAUGGAUUGUUGAUGCAAGAGAAUCGUAUUACAUCAAACUCACAUCAACAGUAAGGACUCUAAUGUUUUCAUCUUUCAGAUUAAUUAAGGCAAGAGAACGAAAUUACAUCAGCAACAAAUCAUCAAUGUUUUUGAGCAAACAAAUGGCACAUAGCAGAAGAUAAUCAUAAACUCACAUGCAUCUUAAACAGAUAAAUAACUAUUUGGAGAUCCUUGUAGUAGAUGGUCAAUCACUUUCCCCAAAUUAACAAUGGAUGAACCAAAAGGAAAGGUACAUGCUUUUUCGGCCUUUUCCUUCAAGUCGAUUGCAUUCUUCCUCAUCUCUUUCCCUUUGUCUCCAUUCAUCAACUCAAUGACUAGCUUGGAAACUUCUUCUCUCUUUACAUCAAUGUCAAGCUCCAUGCCGAUCUCCCACUUGUUGCAACACGACCAGCAAUUGGUUAGUUGGUCAGCAAAAAACGGCCAACAAAUCAUUGGGACUCCACUGGAAAUACUUUCAAUUGUGGAAUUCCAUCCACUAUGCGUUAAAAACCCUCCAAUUGAUGGGUGGUUUAGAACUUGUUCUUGUGGGCACCAACUAGCCAACAGCCCUCUACUGCUUAUCUCUUCCAAAAACUCUGGUGGAAGCACGGCAGAUUUGCCAUCCACAAGAUCUGGACGUAUUAUCCAUAAGAACGGACAAUUGCUCUUUGCAAGUCCCCAACAGAACUCAAGAAUAUAUUGAUGUGACAUCACUGUUGUGCUACCAAAAUUCACAUAAAUAACCGAUGAUUUUGGUUUAGAUUCUAGCCAUUUCAAACAGGUGUUCUCUUCUUUCCAAAGAUUUGAUUUGAUGAACUCUACAGAUUCAUCACUUUCCUUCUCUAGUAACUUAAACGGACCAACACCAUAGCAUGGAGGAAAGACUGAAGAAAGCGCAUCCAAAAGGUCACUCUCUAGUUCAUAAAAGGUGUUGAACAUGAUGGCAGAAGCUCUUUUUGCUCUCUCUGCUUGUAAACACAAACCUUCAAGCAUGUAUUCAUCACCAGGGCUGGUCUUUCUAACGAAUGAAGGCAAGUGUUUUAGACGCAUACCAGACAUGGUUGGUACACAAUCAAUCCUGGUAUCUAAAUGCUCAUUUGCUAAAAAACUCGAUGCUGUGGAAACAAAACAUAAAGAACUUAAUUACUUUCAAAUAAGCAACUACAGUGUAUACGUACAUGAAUGUAUACAAAUUAGUGAAAUUAAGUAUAUAUGUUACCUUCACGUGGCACCAAACCUCUCUCCAAUAGAUUGUGCUGCUCAUGAACACACAUUAGAGCACCAACACCGCUGGUCCACAUGACUAUCUCGGGGAUAUCAAGUUCUUUGGCUGCAUCGAGGGUGAAGCCCAUGAAUAAGUCUGCAACUAUGCAAGUCACCGGUGAAGAUGAAGCAUUCAGUUUGGUAAGAAGACUUUUAAACGGACCCAGACAAGUUUCAUCCAUGGACUUCCAUAAGAUUGGGAAAACUUGGGUUUCAUCUGGGUUCUGUGGCGGCGGAAGGCCAUCAGGAAUGGUCUCGAAGCAGAAGGAAGGGAGGCCAUGUAGGGCGUCGGAGCCCUGAGAUUUGAGGAGUCGUUGAUGGUUGAACUCGGUGUUAACGAAGGUAAUAUGAAACCCUUUUGAAUGGAGGAUUUUAGCUACUUUUAGCAUGGGGUUUAUAUGGCCUUGUGCUGGGGCUGGUAAACACAAGGCAUGCGGUUUCUUUUGUAUGGAACCCAUAAAGCCU
rnacentral:lncRNA from 1 species